CAUCACAAUAAUACAAAAGUCGGAAACCUUUUUGAAAAUAAAUGUGGUUUUUUCACCUGAUCAUCAAUGAUGAGUAGCCAAAUUAAGCAAAACCAAAUUAAGCGACAAUAACUUCAACAGCAAAGAGUACAUGAAUUACUAGAGGACAAGCCCACAUUAGGUAAGCAGUACAUGAAUUACUAGAGGACCAGCCCACAUUAGAUAAGCAGUACACACACACAAACCAUGGCCGGAUCGACACGUCAAAUUAUUACACUACGCAGGAUGCAGAAGCUAACGCGCGCCGCCCACGCGGCUAGCCAGAUUGGACGGGCUUGUCCUGUGAUUCUUCUGCUGUUGGCUCUGGCUCUGGCUCCCCCUUGCCCUCCCCCGGCGCGGGCACGCCAUUGGACGAGCUCUCCUCGUCGCCAAUGCCGGCUCCUCCGUUGCUGCUACCUGCGCCGUACGCUCCUUCCCCGUACCCGUACCCGUAGUAUUGCUGGCCCAUGACACGCUCUCCGCCGAACACCUGGUACUACCCGCCGACGUUGGCCCGCACGGGUGCCAUUCCGACGGCGUACCCGUGCACUGGAGCCCGGGGCCCAUAGAUGCCCUGCUGCAUCUGAACCUGUAGCGGAGCCGGGGGAGCAUACACGGGCCGCUGCAUCUGAUUAUGAACCUGCACCGGAGCUGGGGUCGCGUACAUCGGGCGCUGAGCCUGCAGCGGCACGGCGUGGAUCACAGGCGAGGCCGCACGGGGAGGCGCACUCAUCACGGCGCGGCUGUAGCCUGCAGCGGCACCACCUGUCCCCGCCUCGGGGUCGCGCAUGCGCUCCAGGAAGACGCUGAGGGGCACGACGUAGUCGUCGAAGCCGAGGCGGUUUAGGGCCCACACGAUGUCUUCGGCGUUGACGGUCUUGCGGCGCUGCAUGCGGCACCGUUCGUUGGCCUCGCCGGUGUCGAAGCUGAUGAACUCCGACACGCAUUCCUGGAUCGCCUCCUUGGCUUCGUCGGAGAUCUUGGCGUGGGCAGGGAGCGCGCGGCGCAUGAUGCGGAUCACGUUUGCGAUCGGCAUCAGCCGGUCCUGCUCCCGCACCACCGGCGUCGCCUGGGUAGGCGCCGGCCCCGCUGGUCCGUUGGGGACGCCGUCGUUUUCCAUGGCUAGGGUUAGGCAAGGUGCAAUGCAGGUAGUCGCACUUGGCUUUAGGGCUGAUCGAGUUGCUUCAGUGUGUUAAAUAGGCUGAGAUAGGUAUUAGGUGCUGGCUUAGCUGUCCUUUGUGUUACAGAUCAAACGACAAGUGUCCAUUGAGUGGUUCUGGCAGAGACAUGUACUCAUGAAUGAGGCUAUUAAUCAGAGGAAAACGAUAAAUGUGGUUAUAACCGUUGGUGGUGAGGGCCGUAGUUUUUCUUUUCUUUUCUCAUGACCUGUAGACAGGUCAUUUUGAAACUGAAAUGGCACAUUAAGGGCAUGGGCUGCGGAGGCUAUAGCAAAUGCUGGUCUCAUCCCCUCCACAUAGGAUUGUACUGGUGAAGCAAUCGCUGCAUGUGAUUGUCCUUGUUCAUCCACUCAUGCAACAAGUAGGCUUCCCUUCCUUUUUCCUUUCGCUCAUGCUUUCCGCGGCCAAGCAGCGGCGACUUAUGCAGGCAACUAUGACAUGCUGCGAAUCCACCGUCCCUGACACCCGAGUCUACCUGGCCUGCGGGGAAGCUAGUUGGGGCGACGCGUUGUACAUGCCCUAAACACAAAGCAACAAAGCUGCAACGUAAUGACAACCAAAUCAAUGGCGGCACAGAAAUUUUGAAGAUGGAUAUCCAGAACAAGAAAACCUAUGAAACUACAAGCACGAAAGAGAUUGAAUCUGUAAUACAAUCUAUAAAUUUGCUAGGAAAAAGAGAGUGAAUCUAAAAUAAACGUAUAUAAUUUCAAAAUUUUAAUAAAAUUAUAAGCAAAUGAAUAUUAUGUAGAAUUGUGUGUAUUAAUGUCAAAAAUAUAUAAUAAAAGUGAAAGAGAGAAAAUAAAGAAACAAUACCAAGAGAAAAGUACAAGAAAAAAAGUUACAAAAUAAGCUGAAAUAAAAUGCUAUGAGGAGAUACUGAAUUAAACCAAGACCUCUUACUUCGAUGCAUAAGAAACAACUUACUAAGCUACUGUAAUCCCCCUAUUUUGAAAUUGUCUUCUUAAUUAUAUCUUGCCUACGAGACAAGGUGAUAUUAACAUAUUAACGUUUGCUUACCAAUAUAUUUUGAUAUUUAGCUGAAUACCUAUGAAUUAUGAUUGGAUUGCUCCCGAGUCAAAUGGAAACAAGUAGUAUCAGCGAUCUCACACACCGCGGAGCCUCAACAAAAUAUGGGUAGGUGCAUGCCCAAAUGAUAAGGCACCCAUUCUUUUGUGAAAAAUAUCUUCACGUACUUUAUUGUUGUCUCCAAGCUGUUGACACAACAAAUUUAUAUAGUGAAACAACUUCAUGACAAAUUUAAUGGCUUCUACUUCAUUUCCGUGGAAACAAAAAGAAGAAGAUAAAAAUCUACUUUACCACAGUUUGAUUACAUAGUUUUUAGGACCUCAAGUUGUUUUUUUAGAAAAACCCCAAUAUAUUACUUAAUGAUUUUUUUUGGACACAAUACAAACGCUUCAUACAUGCGCACAUACACUCUCCCUUAUGAACACAUGCACGCACGGACACCUUACCCCUAUAAGGACCUCCGAGAUACUGAGCCGACACAUUAUCUUGAGAUUGACAAAGUCUCGACAGAUGCCUACGUAGUUGACGGGAACAUCUCCUCUCACUUAAUGCACAUUGCCAAAACUUGUCAGUCCCAUGAGCCACUUUGGUAGCCUCUCUCUUGACUUUUGUUGGUUUGAAAUUCAGUAGUAGUUGAGAGAUUCCGAACACCUCUAUCUUCAAACCAACCAAAGUGGAUCCGCUCAAAGAUCCUAUGAGCAAACAUCUAAUCAAUCUUCGGGGUAAUAGGAUGGUCCAAAUUGAGAACGAUGUAAAGUCCCACCAGGCAUAGACGCAAUUCAACCUCUUUUGCACGGGAGCAAACAUGCAUAAAAUCCUAGGUUGAAACUAAGAUCUUGCCCUCAGAGCCUCUUGCCAUAACUCCUGGGCUAGUCAGCUAGAAAUUUUGAGCAACAAAGCUAGCAUCCACAUCUAACUUAGUGCAAUAAUCAAUCGGAAGUGGCUCCCACAACAGACUUCUAGAAGUUGGUUUGUCACCAAGUUGCUACGGGACACCAGUUAUUUGUCUUUAACUUCAAGUACUGAAGAAGACAUAGUAAAACUCAAAGAAAAAAAAAGGACCAAUAGUUGUCCAAAAUAUUAACGGAUGCCAUGAUAGACGCAUUUCCUCUCCAAAAAAUCACAUCAUUCCUUAACGGCCAAGCCCUCCAGAAUAGAAAUAAAAUCUUGGAACGAGUGGAAGUAUCAACUCUGUCGAGUAAGACCAACAACCAACAGAUAUGUCUUAAAUGUAUUUAUAAUUUUUUUAUUGUUCGGUGCUAUAUUUAUAUCAUUGUGGUAUAGUUUUGACACAAAUUUCUCAGUGCCAUUUGUUAUUUUUGGAGUUUCCAUGAAAAUUAUUUUUUUGGGACCAAAAAAAUCCAGAAAAAAUCAGCGGAAAUAUGAAGUCUAGACGCUUCAAGGGAGCUCCAACAUAGGCCAGGGUGGCACACAGGGGACCCACGCACCAGGAGGGUGCGCGUGUGGUGGGCUCAUGUAGGCCUGCUUAACCUCCGAUCCACCACCUCUCGGUCCCUGUGCCAUUAUAUACCUUCAAUACCCUUCGUGAUUUGUAAACCCGAAUUUUUCUGCCACUGCACACGUCUAUUUUUCAUGAUCCAGAGGGGAAAUUCUUCACGGUGGCCAUCUCCAUUAACUUGAAGGCCGUCAUGAUUACCCGUGAGUAGUUUUGUUUGGACUAUGGGUCCAUAACAGUAGCUAGAUGGUUCCCUCUCUCUUGCUUCUCAAUACAUCUCAUGAGCUUCCCUACAUGAUUGCGAUCCAUCUGAUGUAAUCUGUUGGUGUGUUUGUCGGGAUAUGAUGAAUUGUCGUUCUAUGAUCAAAUUUAUUCAUGAAUAUUUUUUAGAUAUAUUUGGUUUCUUUGCUAAAUAAUUCUUAUUCCUAUAUACUCUCUGAUCUAUUCUUCCUUGUUUGGCCAUGUUUGGGGUUUGAUCUUGAAGAGGGAGUUGUGUAUGAUAGUUGGGUUCAACUGUGCAAGUAAGCUACCAAUGUGAUAGAAAGUGGAAAAGUCUUGUAUCGUGUUGUUGCCACUAGGGAUAAAAAUAUGCUUGUGUAGUUGCCCUUUGAACACAUAGUGAAGACAAAAUAUCAUCUACUUCAUGUCAUCAUACUCAAUGCAAUAAUCUGGUUUUACUAAUACUUUAAGAUGCAUGCUGGAUAGCAGUAUUGCCUGGAUUAUUAGUUAUAGAUGCAGUUGGAUAAAAGUCUAUAGAGUUACGAACAUGAUGAUCAUAUCUUAAUUAUGCAAUGAAUAUUCAUACUCAUAAAAAUUUCAAUUUAAUUUAAAAUGGAGCCCCGUUGGCGACCCCGUUGGCAUCGGGGUUCACACAUAGUACAUUUCAUUGUUGCAUCUUCGCAUGGCUAGGUGAAUCGAGAGAGGUGGAAGGAAGAUGAAUCAUGGAACCACAUGCAAUAAUUAACAUAGCUGUGAAUCUGAUGAUUGAAUGGGAGCAGACACAUCCAACUCUCGUGAGAGUACCAACUCCAGCUCAAUGUGAGCGGUGGCUCCCGACCGAGAACAGCUAGAUCAAAGCUAAUGAGGAUGGUGCACUAUCAAGUUUUGGGAAGAAGGGGGAGUUGUGUGCUGCUGAGAGAUCACCGUGGAGCGUUUUGGGCAUGCGUGUGUCAUUUUUUCUGUCAGCAUAUGUGGAACCCCGAGCGGACAAAAGGUUUUGUCGUGUGAUAUGGAGAAUCUCUUAAUUUAGUGAGCUUUUGAGCACCAACGUGUUGUCACGCGAUGACACAUAUACCUCUGUGUUAUCGCUUCUAUCCUAUCACAACCAAGUUGCUUGCAUGCAUUUAUUGUGUGCUAGCCAUCUUUUGACGUCAACUGAUGGGCAAAUGCUUCCAAAAUUUUAUCUAGGCAUUAGUACACAAUUUAUGUAUUCAAAUAUUACAGGUCCAGGUCGGAUGUAUGACAAUCGUGAACAGUGAUUUAUUUUCAUAUUUCAAAUGGAAUUUUUUUGUUAGGUGUGACUAAUGAGAACCUUCUCUAUUCACAUAAAUAAUGGUAUUUUUCAAACAUAUAUAAUCCCAUAAAAGCAAAGUGAAUCUAGAAUUGACUUGAAUGCACUAAAUGAAUGUGGAUAUGAUGAGGCGUGUUUCUAUCAAAGUAUUUGUUAUUUAAUUGAAGACAAACUCUAAUGAUUAAUGAGGUGCAUGAUGUACACCCUAUAUGUUGUAUGGAGAAUCUUACGAGAACCGAUAUGCGAGAACAAGUCAUCGCUUCCAAUAUAUCACUUCAUCAACUGCAGUGGUCAGGCUUUGAGUCUGGCUUAACUUCACACCUUGUAACACAAGCAAGAACCCUUUCUUUGACUCAUCCAUUUUGAACUUCUUCAAAACUUUGUCAAGGUAUGUGCUUUGUGAAAGUCCUAUUAAGUGUCUUGAUCUAUCUCUAUAGAUCUUGAUGCCCAAUAUAUAAGCAGCUUCACCAAGGUAUUUCAUCGAAAAACUUUUAUUCAAGUAUCCUUUAUGCUAUCCAGAAAUUCUAUAUCAUUUCCAAUCAACAAUAUGUCAUCUACAUAUAAUAUCAUAAAUGCUACAGAGCUCCCACUCACUUUCUUGUAAAUAUAGGCUUCACCGAAAAUCUGUAUAAAACCAAUGCUUUGAUCACUUCAUCAAAGCGUAAAUUCCAACUCCGAGAUGCUUGCACAAGUCCAUAGAUGGAUCGUUGGAGCUUGCACACUUUGUUAGCACCUUUAGGAUCGACAAAACCUUCUGGUUGCAUCAUAUACAACUCUUCUUUAAGAAAUCCAUUAAGGAAUGCAAUUUUGACGUCCACUUGCCAAAUUUCAUAAUCAUAAAAUGCGGCAAUUGCUAACAUGAUUUGGACUGACUUAAGCAUCGCUACGGGUGAGAAGGUUUCAUCAUAGUAAACACCUUGAAGUUGCCGAAAACCUUUCACGACAAGUCGAGCUUUGUGGAUGGUGACAUUACCAUCAGCGUCCGUCUUCUUCUUGAAUAUCCAUUUAUUCUCAAUGGCUUGCCAAUCAUCGGGCAAGUCCACCAAAGUCCAUACUAUGUUCUAAUAUGUGGAUCCUAUCUCAAAUUUCAUGGCCUCAAGCCAUUUAUCGGAAUCUGGGCUCAUGAUGGCUUCUUCAUAGUUCGUAGGUUCACCAUGGUCUAGUAACAUGACUUUCAGAAUAGGAUUACCAUAUCACUCUGGUGCGGAAUGUGCUCUGUUCGACCUACGAGGCCCAGUAGUAACUUGAUCUGAAGUUUCAUGAUCAUCAUCGUUAGCCUCCUCUCUAGUUGGUGUAGGCAUCACAGGAGCGGAUUUAUCUGAUGUGCUACUCUCCAAAUUGAGAGAAGGUAUAAUUGCCUCAUCAAGUUCUACUUUCCUCCCACUCACUUCUUUCGAGAGAAACUCCUUCUCUAAAAUUGUUCCAUUCUUGGCAACAAAGGUCUUGCCUUGGGAUCUGUGGUAGAAUGUGUACCCAAUUGUUUCCUUAGGGUAUCCUAUGAAGACGCACUUCUCCGAUUUGGGUUCGAGCUUAUCAGGCUGAAGCCUUUUGACAUAAGUUUUACAACCCCAAACUUUAAGAAACGAUAGCUUAGGUUUCUUGCCAAACCACAGUUCAUACAGUGUCGUCUCAGCGGAUUUAGACGGUGCCCUAUUUAACGUGAAUGCAGCUGUCUCUAAUGCAUAACCCCAAAAUGGUAGUGGUAAAUUGGUAAGAGACAUCAUAGAUCACACCUUAUCUAAUAAAGUAUGGUUACGAUGUUCGUACACACCAUUACACUGUGGUGUUCCAGGUGGCGUAAGUUGUGAAACUAUUCCACAUUGUUUUAAAUUAAGGCCAAAAUCGUAACUCAAAUAUUCGCCUCAGCGAUCUGAUCGUAGAAACUUUAUUUUCUUAUUUCGAUGGUUCUUCACUUCAUUCUGAAAUUCUUUGAACUUUUCAAAUGUUUCAGACUUGUGUUUCAUUAACUAGAUGUACCCAUAUCUUCUCAAAUCAUCUAUGAUGGUCAGAAAAUAACGAUACUGACGUGUGCCUCAACACUCAUUGGACUGCAUACAUCGGUAUGUAUUAUUUACAAUAAGUCAUUAGCUCGCUCCAUUGUUCUGGAGAACGGAGUUUUAGUCAUCUUGCCCAUGAGGCAUGGUUGGCAAGUAUCAAAUGAUUCAUAAUCAAGUGAUUGCAAAAGCCCAUUUGCAUGGAGUUUCUUCAUGCGCUUUACACCAAUAUGACCUAAACGGCAAUGCCACAAAUAUGUUGCACUAUCAUUAUCAAAUUUGCAUCUUUUGGCAUCAAUAUUAUGAAUAUGUGUAUCACCAGAAUCAAGAUUCAACAAAAAUAGACCACUCUUCAAGGGUGCAUGACCAUAAAAGAUAUUACUCAUAUAAAUAGAACAACCAUUAUUCUCUGAUUUAAAUGAAUAACCGUCUCGCACUAAACAAGAUCCAGAUAUAAUGUUCAUACUCAACGCUGGCACCAAAUAACAAUUAUUCAGGUCUAAAACUAAUCCCGAAGGUAGAUGUAGAGGUAGCAUGCCGACGGCGAUCACAUCGACCUUGGAACCAUUCCCGACGCGCAUCGUCACCUCGUCCUUAGCCAAUCAUGAUUUAAUUCGUAGCUCCUAUUUCGAGUUACAAAUAUGAGCAACCGAACAAGUAUCAAAUACCCAGGCACUACUACGAGCAUUAGUAAGGUACACAUCAGUAACAUGUAUAUCAAAUAUACCUUUGUUCAUUUUGCCAUCCUUCUUAUCCGUGAAAUACUUGGGGCAGUUCCGAUUUCAGUGACCAGUCCCUUUCCGGUAGAAGCACUCAGUUUCAGGCUUGGGUCCAGCUUUGGGCUUCUUCUCAGGAGUGGCAAAUUGCUUGCCAUUCUUCUUGAAAUUCCCCAUCUUUCCCUUGCCCUUUUUUUAUUGAAACUGGUGGUCUUGUUAACCAUCAACUCUUGAUGCUCCUUCUUCAUUUCUACCUCCACAGCCUUGAGCAUUGCAAGAGCUCAGGAAUUGUCUUCUCCAUCCCUUGCAUAUUAUGGUUCAUUGUAACACUCCAAAAUUUUUGCCUUGGUUUUACCAAAUUCUCUAUUUGUUUUGAAAGGGGUUAUUUAAAUUUUUUCUAAAGGACUCUCCCUUUCAAAAACUUUUCUUUUAUGACAAGUAUUUUUGUUUGGAUUCAUCCCAAAUCUUGAUCUUUGGCUUUGAGGGUUUUUCAUCUUAUGUUGGCUCAACACAAAUAACAUUGGAAGGAUGUUGCAAUACUUUUCAUUUAAAAAGAAUUCCAUUAAAACUCUUGGAUUUAUUCUUCCUCUUUCAAAAAAAUAUCCUCUUGCCAUGGCCUAUGAAGAAAAUUUUCUUCCAACACUAUCUACUCACUUUGAGUCAAGCCAAGCAUCCUAUUCCAGCAAGUCUCAACCUCUUUAAAAUUUUAUUUCUAUUUAUUUUGCCCUCAAAAUCAAUUUCUGUCAUUUACUUUGACCUUGGUGGUUUACAAAGGAACUACCAAUUUUCCUUUGAAUCUUGAUCCGAAAUAAAUUUCUCUGGAUAGUCCUUAGCACCCUCAACCAAGAUCCAUCAAGAUCCACUGGUCCACAGUUCAAAAUUUUCAAAAUUUUCCCACUGCAAGUUUGGACCAGAUUUGCCAUUUUUGGUGAAAUUCAUACUUUUGCUUCUCCUAAAAAUCUGAGAUAAUUCAUGCAGUCUCCAGAUACAUCAAGAGACCACCUCACCAAAGAUCAGCUCCAGAAAAAUUUCCCACAUGCCAAAAUCAUUUCAUCAAACAGUUGGCAUGCACUGUUGCUGUUCAAAUUCACUAAAGUUUCAGAGUUUAGUGUCUAGUUUCUGUCGAUAGUGUCGUUUCUUCAGAGCGCGGCGUCAAUCUCGCUAGUGCCCGCGUUGGCACCUUGCGCACUGCUUCUCCUUCUUAUCCAGUGCGCCGCUCGAUCACUUGGACGGGUGCGAGCGUCGGCGGCGAGCUGGCAGGAGUGUAUCGCCCCCGUGAGCGGCGACAGCAGCGCCCGCUGCGGCCGUUAGAAGGGCUUGGUAUGGAACGGCACCGUCCAGCACCUCCCAAGCCACCCGAGGCAUCCGCGUGGCCGUCCCCUUCCCCGUGCACGCUGCAGCACGGUCGCCGUGGCCUGAGAGGCGCAGAGCGCGCUCUCUGCCGCCGGCGUGCCCGUGAGCCGUUUCGUCGAGAACGUGGAGUGACGCCCAAGAUUUUCCAAGUUCAACCUCUGGAUGGAACCAGUAGACCAUCACGUUGAUGCCCAAUCGCCUAAAACCGCCAUUCGGCCACUGCCUCGCCGUAAUCACCACCGGAGUUAUCCCGUUCACGGCAACCACCUCGGAUCGGCUAUAAAAGGAGCCCUCGAGCUCACCUUCUACGCUGCACCACACCUCCACCUCACCAGUGCCCCGCCUAGAUACUAGGAAGACCUCGGGGAGGCCUUCUUCCCCGACUCCGGCCGCCCCGAUCCGCUUCGGGCUCCGGCAAGAUUAGCUCGAGUACGUGCACCCCCGCCUCCCAAGUUGUACCAGUGGCAUCCUAGUGCACCCACUCCACUAACCCACGCCCCAAUUUGAAGCUUGCAGCCUUCCCCGGCGAGAUCCACCGACGCCCGAGCCGCCGUCCGCCGGAGUGAAGGCCGUCGUCGACGUGGGGCUCGCCGACGACCAACUCCACCACCCACAGACGCAGGGGAGCACCGUGAGUCCGUAGGUACCAGCCCCUCCCCCUACCUCGCCGGUGACCACCACAAGCUUCUGGCGUCGGCGUGCUCUGCUUUUCCUUUUCAAACAUUUAAACCUGACGGGUGGGACCCCCUCGUCAGCCUCUCUUUUCUAAUCAAACCGUUUCUCUGGAAAGCGCCUUCGGGCAGAGUACGUUUUCCCUGUUGGGUGACGUAUUUCUCAACGAAAAGUUUUCAGUUUUAUAAACUAAACCCUGGAUACUUUCUAUUUCAUUACAGAUAAGUCCCUGGGCAAAAACCUUUAUAACUUUUUAACAGAAGAUUCUUUUGAAUUGAUUCUUUUUCUGUCAUCUUUAUUUUUCCAUCUAGUUUUUUAUCAUAUUUAUUUGAACAAAAUUGGGACAAUUUUUAUACACACACUAUAUUUACGUUAGUGUGCGAUUUCUUUAUACCGUACAUACCGGAGGAGGUGACGGAACCACGAACUUCGCUGAGCUAGACUCCGACUACUCCGAACCAGGCAAGCAUGUUUGAACCUUUGAUAUGAUGAGUGUUUUGCAUGUUUGCUUGAGUAGUUUUCUCAUGGCAUGUUUAUAUAAGCAUAUGGUGAAUGUUAUAUUGCAUGCAAGGCAAGCUACAGGUGAGCUUCUAAGUUGAUAUGUUCAUAUGAUGAUAAGAUAACCUGAUCAUGUGGUGGCAUGAUAAGUUGUAAGCUGGUAUUGUUGAAGCAUGCCAGUCUUACGUCAACCGCGUAACUCCAGUGUUAACGUGGAACAAGUGUUGUUCCCGUUCGUCCCCGUCCGUGCCACCACAUGCUUUCUGGUUGUACACACCAAAUAGAGGGGCCGUGAUGAGGGUUCCAUGGCCCUAGAUUAAAGCCCGUCAUCCGGUCAGGGGGCAUGGGUGUUUCCGGUUGGGACCGAGAGGGGGUCACCCCUUAGAGCGUGCAAAUAUAAAUUUGAUCCCAUGCUAUUCGAGGUUCUAGCCUCCCCGUCUCAAAGUUUUUCUUGAACGUUGCCUAGGGUGACCCCUGGCAGCAGAAUGUGGAAUAGGUGUGUACUGGUCAGAUGUGUUUCUUCUAAAAUACCGUAAACGGAACUAGUCCUUCGUGACUACUGAAAUCUAUUGGCUGUGGAAUAGCAGUGCAAACUCUGUAGAGUCAUAACCAUUCGAGUAACCGUGUCCAUGGUCAAGGACUUUGAUCAACAUAUGAGUGUAAGUCUCCGUGUCUGUCUCAGUAUCCGUCUCAGUGACAGUCUCCGGAGAAUAAGUAUGGAACUGAGAGUGGUAAACUCGGCUGAACGUUAUUCCUGUGAACGGACUAACCAGUUUAUUAUUAUACGCUGAGUAUUUCCUUGUGAUGGUUUAAAUUCAUGAACUACUUGAAUUCGAAUGAUGAACUAUAAGCCCUUUGUGUGAUGUCGCUCAGAUGUCCGACUGUGGCAUUCUUGUUAUUUACUUUCGAUAUAAGCCCUUUACGUGAUGUCACUCAGACGUCCGACUGUGGCACUCUUGCUAUUUACUUUCGAUAUAGGCCCUUUAUGUGAUGUCGCUCAGACGUCCGACUGUGGCACUCUUGCUAUUUACUUUCAAUAUAAGCCCUUUAUGUGAUGUCGCUCAGGUGUCCGACUAUGGCACUCUUGCUAUUUACUUUCGAUAUAAGCCCCUUAGGUGAUGUCGCUCAGACGUCCGACUCUGGCAUCCUUGUUAUUUACUUUCAUUAUAAGCCCUUUUCGAGAUGUCGCUUAGACGUUCGACUUUGGCCCGCACUGUUAUUUACUUUUUCAUAUAAGCCCUUUUCUGUGGUGUCGCCCCGACGCCUGACUGUGGCAUGUUAAUUUAUUUUUGUAUUACCUUUUGAGGCAUCGCUCCAGACACCCGAUCGGUCUUCAGUUAUUAAGUUGGGAUUUCGGGAGGACUACCGCCUGACUUCCUUUUAUUUAUCAUGCAGUGCAAAUUUAUUAUCAGAAUAUGCAUUACCAAUCUGCUCAUGGGCAUCAUGUUUGCAUUUGUUAUAUCUUAUGUCCAAACUGUCUUGUGAGUACAUUCAAAGUACUCACUUGGCUUGUUGAUUUGGCCAGAUGUUGAUGAAGGCGAUCUUAUGGAUGAAGAGUUCGAUAGCGAGUCCGACGCCUAGAGGAGUCCCAGUCAGUCCCAUGCGAUCCUGGAGUUGAUCACUUGUAUUAUAUACGCUUCCGCUACCCAAAUAAAAUCAUCGAGCCUCACUCCGACUUUUGAUGAGCUAUAAGAUUUAGGAGUCAUGUCACCCAAUCACUGUGACAUACCCACCACCACUUUUAUUACGAGUCAGUAGUUAUGCCACCAUACCGUUGUGUCAUAUCCGCCUUUAUGUGUAAUAUCGGUGCACUUGUAAUAAAUUGUUGAGCAGCCUCAGCUCAAUCUUGUAUAAUAUUUAGUACUUCUGGAUUUCUGUAUCAAGGAUUUGUCUACCGGUAAGAAGGAUUCUUCUGUACUAGUCAAUGCAGGGAUCGGCUUUUCAAUAAAUGUUUUGUUGGAAAACUGGUCGUGACAAACUUGGUAUCAGAGCCAGGCUGACUGUAGGAGGCCACUAGGUGCGUUCGCUAAUCGGUUAUUAGCGUAUUAAGUGCUAUUUUAGCGUUUUGCAAAUGUAGCAAUUUUUUUGUUAGUCAUCAUAAAUUUAUGAUCUGACUAUUCGGAAUUUUUGCCUACCUUUGUAGAUGGCUGGCAACGACUGUGAGUCACAGGUGUUCGCCAAUGUUCCUGAGGGGUUCAUCAAGCUUCUCGUCUCCAUCACCAAGGUCACGAUCGGGCAAUCGGCUCGUCCGGAGUUCACACUCUACCAGCACAAGAUCAACGACAGCGUGUCUAUGUACCAGGCCGCGGUGCAAUUCAAGGGAGGACGUUCUGAGUCACGCCGCCUCCGAUUUUUGGGAAGGGCCUUUCCUACGGAGAGGUAUGUCAUGCAGAUGGCUGCCCGUGAGGCGAUAGCUCGUCUCCGGGAUGUGCUCCCUUCGAUGAAGACUCGUCGCUACCGCUACCUCCCAUGCCACGUGCCGUACACUUGUCACUAUGCAUUCGCUUGCGCUAGGGGAGAGAGAGAUGAGGCUAUUGAGAUGCUUGUUGAGUAUAUCAAGGCUCUUGAGGCAGCUUUUGAUAACCUCAUGGACGACCUUGUGGCUGCUCGUAUGGACUUCGUUCAAGGCUGUUCCGCCAACAGGAGGGAGCUCCUCCAUACAGCACCACCGCUGAAUUAUGUCUCGUCCUCAGCAUCCUAUACACCUGCCAUCUUAGCCACCGCUCGCCGCCUGCCUACUACUGAGGAGUUUGACCAGGUCAUUGCUCCUACUCCAGUCAGAGCUGCACCACCUACCGCGCCUGCACUAGUCCCUCAAACCAGUAUUUCACGCCUGGAGCCUAUUAGUGAGGAGGAGGUUGAGUCUCCAGCACCACUGGGUCUUACCCUCGGCGGGCCGAAGGAAGUUUUCACCAUCUACGACUGAGUACGCAUAGCAGCCAUGCGAUGUGUCAGCUUGUAUGAUAUGUUUAUAUGUACAUAGCUUUGGUGAGAAGUAGUUUGUGUGCGCAUCAUGUAGGAACUUGGAGAAGUGCACUAGCCUAAAUAACAUGUCAGGAAUGUGUAUGCACAUCCUGAGUGAUGUACUGUAUAAUUACGGCUUGCGUGUAAGAUAUGUACUGAGCGGUCCUUCUCCAUGCGCAAUCAAGUAUUUUCUUGAAAAAUGUUGGAAUGCUUAAAAUUUCCGCCUUUACAAAAUUAUUUAUUUUUGCCACUCAGUUUUUAUCAUGAGUUUUUGCAAAAAAUACCCCAGAGUGGAAUAUGCCUCAUCCCUGGACUCGUUCCAUGCCAAGUCCGCCGGAACAAAAUUAUGGUACCAAGACAAGUAACAAUUUCACACAGGGGCAGUCAAGUCAGCAAGGCAGUGAAACAGCAUUUUCUCAAGUAUGCCGCCUUUAUGAGCAAAGCCAGCAGCAGCAUCAAGAAAUGAUGAACCAUGUUAUCAAUAUGGGAAAUCACCGUGAACCAUAUCAGCAACAUUCCAAAUUAUCUGAGCUACAAAAGACACGUCCCCCAAUGUUCUCUCACACUAAUAUACCUCUUGAGGCCGAUGAUUGGCUUCGAGACAUUGAAAGGAAGUUAAUUAUCGCACAAUGUUCAGACCGUGAGAUGGUACUUUAUGCACCUCACUACCUCACAGGAGCAGCCGCAUCAUGGUGGGAGAAUUUCCUACACAUGCACCCCAAUGAAAAUAAUAUCACUUGGGAAGAAUUUAAAGAAGGUUUUCGUGGGGCGAACAUCCCCAGAAGCAUUAUGAAGAUCAAGAAAAGAUAAUUUGAUGACCUCAAACAGAGGAGCAUGACAAUAACUGAGUAUAAUAGUCAGUUUACUAUAUUAUCUCGUUAUGCCAACAAGGAGCAUAUGACUGAAUCAAAAAGAUGGAAAAAUUUCUGGACGGUCUGGCACCAGCACUUAAAUGCCAGCUGGUCGUACACACCUUUUCGGAUUUCAAAACUCUUGUGGAUAAGGCCAUUACAUCGGAAAAUGAGCGCCGCAGCUUGGAGGAUUUUCGCAAGCGGAAAAGGGACAAGACUACUCAUGCUCGCAACAACCGGAACAAUACUGACCUUCAGAAGAUUGGAGCGAACAAACCCACAACCAAUGUUCCACGCCCAAACAAAAAAUUUCAUGCAAGGGACAAGGAUUUUACAUAUCGCCCAGGUGUUACUUGCUACGCUUGUGGAGAAGGACAUUAUGCCAAACAGUGCCCAAAGCCAUGAAACUCGACCCCAAAACCGAACAACAAUGGAAACAAUUCAACACCCAAGCGCAACAACUUCAACCCCAAUAACAAUCACAAGAAGGGUCACUUGAACCAUGCGACCAAGGAGGAAGCACAAAAUGCCCCGGAUAUCAUACUCGGUACGUUCCCUAUCAACACAAUACCUGCCACGGUUUUGUUUGAUUCUGGUGCUUCUCGCUCGUUCAUUUCAAAGAGUUUUGCUUUGCAACAUGAUUUUUUGAUGCUUCCUUUGGAAAAAUCCAUGAUCAUCAAGUCCCCCGGGAAUAAGCAAAUCACUCAGAGUUACUGCCAAGGUGUGGUUACUAAGUUUGAAGGACUAAAGUUUUAGGCAAACCUCAUUGUGUUGGAAAAUAAGGACUGGAUGUUAUCCUAGGAAUGGAUUGGUUAACCACCAACAAAGGAUUUAUCGAUUGCUUCAACCGGACUAUAAUUCUCUGUCACACCCUAGCUAGUUCAUGCAUUAGAGUGUUGCAUCAUGUCUAUUUUUCAUCAGAAACCUGAAAUGGGGAUGACAGAACCCCCAGCCCCCUCUGAAACCAACUAGGGUUUACUAAAAACUUUUUCAAUGAACCUGAAAUGCCCUUCUAAAAUGCACAUCAUUUUUGUCCUGGUUCAAAACCUCUGCCAAAAGUGAUGCACAUUUUCCUAGGUCAUCUUAGGGUCUUUGAAUUAAAUCAUAAAUAUUUGAAUUUGGGCAUUUAAAAUUAUAUAAAAUAUUCAAAUGCUCAAAUAUCUCCAAACUAAAAUGUUUCAUGUUGGAAAUAAUCCAACUAUGGACCAGGAGUAGUUUGGUGAUUUUAGGAGUUGCCUAAGUAUUUUUAAUAAUUCAACAAAGUUGCAGAAGUAUUAAAAAACAGAAAAUAGGGAGUAACAGGGAAACUUACCUGGCGCCCAGCACCCGGCCCACUUGCCGGCCCAGCCCAGCACCGCUCCAGCGAGCUGCUUGCCGGCCAGGCAGGCAGGCAGGUGCCCGACGGCGGCCGCAGCGUGCGCCACGCAGCUGGCCGUCGCCCUGCUUCAACUCCUCGCCUCGUGGCUGGAUGGAUGAACCCCACGCCGCGCCGUGAACCUCCAGGACACCUCCAUUCUCCCCCAACCCCUCUCUCUCGCGCUCCCCCGCCAUGGCCGACGCCAUCGCCGCCACCCCCUCGCCGUAGCCACGCCCUCCGUCAACCCCACGCCGUGCCGCCGUGUCCAGGAGCUCCGCCAUCCUCCUAUCCUUCGAGCAAGCCGAGCCCCGAGCGCUCGCAAGGCCCGAGCCCACCGCAUCGACCUCGACGAAACCGCUGUCGCCGGAGAUCCCCUUCAACGCCGACGUCGCUACGGCCCGUCCCCGGCCGCACCAAGUGCUUCGUCGAACUCCUCGUGAGCUUAGCCAUCUUCCCCUCCCUUCUUUUCUUGCUCCCGAGCUGUGUAGUGACCUCCCGGAGCUCAACUGCACCCACCGCCGCGGAGCUCGUCGCCGACGUGCUCCCGGUCACCCUCCGGCCACAAACUGGUGUCCAUCAUGCUCACCACGUCACGUAGCACCUAACCAGCUACUCCCCACACCUCACCGACCCCUCUAGCGUCAAGUUUGCCUUCGGCCGAACUCCGGUGGCCGCCAAAGUCGUCGCUGGUGCCAACUCCGGCCACCCCGACCCCAACGGACUCCACCAAGAGCUGCGGCUCCACCCUAGCUCCACUCCGAUGGCCUCCGUGACUCGUUUGGUUGUCGGAACGACCAAAACCACUUCCGCCGCCGCGUCGGGCUCGCCGGCGGCUAAACGCCGGUGCAGCCGACCUGGGUUUGACCGUGGGUGGGCCCUGGUUGACUCCGAUGAGUCAAUGACAGGUGGGGCCCAGCCCUGUUAAUUAAAUAGGUUUAGUUUUAAUUAAACUUUAACUAAACUAAUCACACUGACACGCGGGACCCACUGUCAGGUUUGACCGGACCGUGUCCCGUUGAACCGCUGAUGUCACACUGACGUCAGGCUGACGCAGUAAUUGAUUUCUGGAUUUAUUCUAAUAUAGGAAAUUCCAGAAUAUAGUUUAAACUUCAAAAAUUCAUAACUUUUAAUCUGUAACUCCAAAUCAGACAAGUUAUAUAUGAAAAAUGAUCAGAAAAAUCCAAUCUAUCCAUCUGUACUAUUUUCAUGCAUGAUUAAACAAGUUAACUUGAUGAUUAUUGCAGAACAAGAUAAAACACUUUAAAGGGCCAUGUAUGAGCUUGAAAUUUGAAUCUUUGGUUCAAAUUGGUUCAAACCCUUCUGGUUUUAGUUGCAUUAGCCCAACACACUCAUAUUGCCAUGUUUCAUGCAUGCAUCAUAUUGUCGCACAUUGUUUGGUGAUUGUUGUGUAUCGGUGUUCUUUGCAGCAGGUUCUGCCUCCGAGGAGUACCGUGAUUACCCUAGCGAAGAGCCAUAUCAGUGCAUCGAACCAUCAGGCAAGCAACCAACUAUUUGAUCAUAUCAAUACAAUCCCAUGUUCUCGCUCCUGCUCUCUUUUACUGCAUUAAGACAAUGUGUUUCAAACUGCUGUGUGCUACGGUAGUUGAACCCACUUCCUCUGCAUGAACUGUCAUUGCCACAGUAACUAGAUGAAACCCACUAGCAUGUGUAGGAGUUGAUUGAGCCAUAUGUAUGUGUUGUUCCUACCUUGCUAUGCCUGCUAUGCUUAGAGUCGUGUCAGGUCUGGUUCAUCUGGGUGAUGGGCUAGAGUGAAAUGAUUAUGUCGGUAAUGAGAGUGGUGUGGUGAACACGAUUUGGUAAAGGUAUCGAUGAGAGGCCAUGUAGGAGUACAUGGUGGGUUGUUUCAUUGAAGCCGACCUUAAGCACUGAGAUCUGUAUGUGUGAUUUAAGAUACAGCUACUACCAUGCAUUGGGCCCUGAAAUAUGACCCCGCUCGACUUCUUAUCCACCCUAGUUCUCUGUCCAGGAGUUGCAAGUAGUUUCUGGUGUUUGUAGCCUACUGGAGGCCGUGGACAGCGCUGACCGUAGGGCUGGGCUGUGAUGCGGUAGGUACGUGGCACGGUGUACCGAAUACCCGUUAGGUAUCUCGGGAACCCUGUUCACAUCGUUUGGGGCUGUGAGCGAAACCUCGGCCGGAUCUCCUCAUGGAUGGAACCCGAAUAGGCGAUAAACCUGGACUAGAGACUUAGGUGUUUAGGUAGGUCGUGGUCUACACCCACGUCGGCUUUCGCUUGAAGUCUGCCGAGCACAUGUCAUGUGCAGACGCUAAGUGGUGGAAACAUGUAUGAAGAAGUACACCCCUGCAGGGUUAUCAUAAUCUAUUCGAAUAGCCGCGUCCGCGGUAAAGGACUACUUGGUUGCCUAUACAGUUCAUAGACAAGUAAAUGGAAACUACUAAAAGCCUCAAGAUAAGUGUGAGUGCCGAGGAUGGCUCUUCCGCAGGAAGACGGAGGUGAAUCCUCGGUGGUGUAUUGAAGUGGUGAGUAGUGGACUCGUGUGCGCAAAACCAUUUCAAGUUGGAGUCUCGUAGGAUAGCCUAGCCAAGAGUCAAAGCUGGCUUGCUGCAACAACUCCACCAACCCUUCUUGAUAAUGUGCAUGUAUGUAGGAUCUGAUGUAAGUCUUGCUGAGUACCUUUGUACUCAUGUUGCUAUAAUUUACAUUUUUACAGAAGACGCUGCAACCCCUUCUGAUGGGUUCUUCGUAGACGUUGACAUCAAUGAGUAGGCUAAGGCCCAGGUGGUGAUCCUGAGCUUGUGAAGGACCACGUAGUAUAGCUAGGCUUUCCAAGCCUCUUUUAUUUUACUAGUUGUCUGUACUCAGACAAGUUACUUCCGCUGCUGGUUUGUAUGACUGUAUGACUUGAAUGCUGGGUCGUGUGACCCGUACCUAUGUGUAUGUCAUGUAUGGCUCUCUGAGCCUUAAAUAAAGUACUUGUGUCGUAGAGUCAUGUUGUGAUGCCUUGUUGUAUUUGCACAUAUCGAGCAUAUUGUGUGUAUGAUUGAAAUGCUUGGUAUGUGUGGGAUCUGACUAUCUAGUUGUUUAUCUUUAGUAGCCUCUCUUACCGGGAAAUGUCUCCUAGUGUUACCACUGAGCCAUGGUAGCUUGCUACUGCUCUGGAACACUUAGGCUGGCCGGCAUGUGUCCUUCUUCGUUCCUGUGUCUGUCCCUUCGGGGAAAUGUCACGCAUUGAGUACCAGAGUCCUGUUAGCCCGCUACAGCCCGGUUUACCGGAGUCCUGCUAGCCCAGUGCUACAGCCCGGACCCACUUGCUGAUGACCGACACGUUCGAAGCUGGGUCAUGGAUGCCUGUCCCUGUAAGUGUGUGCCACUUUGGGUUUACGACUAGUCAUGUCAGCCCGGGCUCCUUAUCAUAUGGAUGCUAGCGACACUAUCAUAUACGUGAGCCAAAAGGCGCAAACGGUCCCGGCAAAGGUAAGGCGACACCCAUGGGGAUACCGUGCGUGAGGCCGCAAAGUGAUAUGAGGUGUUACAGGCUAGAUCGAUGUCACAUCGAGUCGGGGUCCUGACAGCGUUGGCAUCAGAGCCGGACUGCCUGUAGGUUCUCCAAGCCAAACUGGUCGAUGUUGAGUCUAGAAAUUCUUUAGUUAUAUGUAGGGGAAUUGUUUGUGGGUUGGAACGUAAGGCUCUUUUUACUCCUUUAUCUUAUGACAUUCUGAUCUGAGUCAGUCUAUUCUUCCACCGGGGGUUAAGGAAUUAGGAUCUUUUCUCUCUAUCAGGUUCACGUGUUACUAAUCAGUAGUACCUUAUAGGUUUGAUGGAUACAAGCCUAGUUCAGUUCUACUACCACAUUAUGUUGCUGGGAUGGACUCAGAACUUUGAUAUGAUGUUGUUGAGUGUGUAUGAAAUACUUUGUCAAAUGUCUCAAAUCCUUUUUGAGCAUUUACAGCUGUUAUGCUGUCGAAAUUUUGCUAGAAAUUCUAAUGCCUUUGCAUUAUGGUUGUGCUUUCAGAUGGCCACUCGCGACCUCAAUCAAGUGGUUCGCCUGACUCGAUGCCUAGAUGUACCCGGCCAUACUGCCAUGUUGGUCAGGGUAAUGACUGAGGCUGGAUACCGUUGGUAUCCUGAGUACACGGUGGAAGAGCAAUUUCGAGACUUUAACCAAAGCCAGUAUCUUUGCACUGUCAGGAUAUUUCCAUCUUAUCCUGGAUCCACCGAGCCCCUUCACUGCUCCUAUGGACUCGGGGUUACUAUUGAGAUGGCUGUGCAGGAUGCCGCCUACUCUAUGAUGACCAUCAUGCGAGUCAGGACUGGCCUAUUUCGGGACUCUGAUUUCCGGUAUAUGCCAGCAUCACUUCGGAGAGCACAAGGGUAUCUCCAGGCUAUCUAUGCUGACCCCACUCAGGAGGAUUCACGGACUCGCACCACUGCUGAGAUGCUCGAGGAUAAGGACCGUGAAAAUCGGGCCUUGAGGCUAGAGCUUUUCAAUACCCGUGCUGACCAUUGGGCCACACUGACUCGGUUUGCACCGGCGGUGCAAGCUGGAUAUUCGGAUAUGCGCGAUCUCUAUCCUGUGAGAUCUGCUCUGCCAGACGUGAUGGGUUGGCGUGAUGUAGGAGGCAUCACCCCACCUCGCGGUCCCCGCAGGCCACCGUCUGUUGGUCCAAGACCUCAUCCUAGCCCCUAUGGUCCACAAGCUCCGGGAGAUCGUCUGUUCCCGGAUGAUCAUGUUGACCUUCCAGGCUAUGGAGGUGACUUCUACGAGGACUACUACGGAUCGGUCUGAGUUAGUGGUAGUAUCACUAGUUCGUACUAGCUGUGUCGUCUAUCGUCCUGCGUGACUCGUGGGAUAUGACCUAGUUUGUACCGCUUCCGGAGAUGUAGAAAAAUAAUGUAUAGGAGCUUGGGAUGCCUCCGAUGUGAUGUAAUCUUCCUUUCACCAUAAUAGUACCUUGUUUGGUCUUGUACUAAACUUUGUAUGGUGUGUAUGACGAUGGAAUAAAAGAAGCAGUUUCUGUAUCUACCAUGUCAUACGGAUGAUCAUCUUGCAUUCCGAGUUAUUCCUUACAUUCUGUAUCCUAUGCCGGAAUCUUAUCAUUCUGACUAAAUCAUUGUCUUUUUUACCUAGGAUGGUCAACACGCGCAAUAACCCUGCUCCUCAAGAGCAGGCCGAAGGCAGUGAAGUCAGGAAUGCAAAUCUGCCUCAUCCUCCUUCCCUAGCCGAGGUUAUGCUGGAAGCCGAGAGAAACAAGCGGGAGACCAACCGUUUGUUGGAGCGUAUUGAACAGAACACAGCACACCAUCAGAGAAAUUACUUGGUGUCACUCAGUGAUUUCAUCAAGUUACAUCCACCCACGUUCCACCACUCCGUCGAGCCUCUCGACGCUGAUGACUGGCUUCGCAAUAUUUCUCACAAACUGCGUUCCGCGCUAGUAGCUGAGGCUGACAAGGUCACCUUUGCUGCAUAUCAUCUUGAAGGCCCCGCCAGUCUAUGGUGGGAUAAUUAUGGAGCUAUGCGCCCAGCGGGCCAUGUCACUACUUGGGCUGAAUUCAGUGAGGCUUUCCGUGAACAUCACAUUCUGAGGGUCUCAUGGACCGUAAACGUGAGGAAUUUUGCAGUUUCACUCAAGGCCGACUCUCUGUGGAUGCUUACAGCAGGGAGUUCGGUAACCUCGCACGAUAUGCAACUGAGGAAGUUUCUACUGAUGCCAAGAAGCAAGCAAGGUUCCGUAAGGGACUUAGUCCUGAGCUUCGCCGCGACCUCCGUCUGCAUGAGUGCACAUCUUUUCAGAAGCUCGUUAACAAGGCCAUCAGUGCUGAGACUGGUCAGACUGAUUAUGAUGCAACACGCAAGCAUGGCCGUGACGUGGGUUCCUCAUCCGGUGCUGGCCCUCAGAAGCGCCACGUGUGGGUGCCUAACACUGCCCUGCCACCCAGGUUCACACCGAGGCCAUCCUUCCAGGCGCCUCGCCCUGUUCAACAGUUUGCACCAGCCAAGCCCUAUGGUGGUCCAACCAACAAUGCUCCUCCACGCGCCAGUUCCGUGACUUGCUUUAAGUGUGGGGAAUCAGGCCACUAUAUGCGCGAGUGUCCCCAAACCAACCCCAACCAAUCUGCUAAAGUUGUUAGCCGUGGCAAGCCGACAGGGAAAGUGUUCCACGCCAAGCCGGCCACCGCUGCACGUGGCCAUGUCAACUGUAUCUCUGCCGAAGAAGCUCAAGAGGAUCCCAACGUCGUUCUCAGUACUCUCCUUGUUAAUUGCCACCCGGCAUCUGUUCUUUUCGAUACAGGAGCAUCUCAUUCAUUUAUAUCCGAGAGCUAUGCUCGUCUGCAUAACACCACAUUCUGUGAGAUGCCCACCUCUAUGGUAAUUCAAACUCCGGGAUCCAAAUGGAAAACCUCUAGGGUAAGUCAUGGAAAUGAAAUCCAAGUCGACAGACUUGUUUUCCUUGCAUCUUUGAUAGCUCUUAAAUCUUCAGAUAUUAAUAUCAUCUUGGGUAUGGACUGGAUGUCAGCCCAUCAUGCCAAAAUUGAUUGCUUCUCUAGGACUGUUCAACUCACCCAUCCUUCGGGGAAGAUAGUCAAUGUCUUGACCCGAAUAGCCAAGCGACAGUUAUGUUCUCUGAACGCCAGCCCUUUGCCAGAUCUUGAGGACGUUCCGGUAGUCCGUGACUUUCCGGAUGUCUUCCCAGAGGAAUUGCCAGGUGUUCCACCUGACAGGGAUGUUGAGUUCGUAAUAGACCUCAUUCCAGGAACCGUCCCGAUUGCUAGAAGACCCUAUAAGAUGGCACCACUAGAACUAGCCGAGCUUAAGAAACAACUCGAUGAGUCCUUGAAAAAGGGUUUCAUCCGACCUAGUUCAUCUCCGUGGGCUUGCCCCGUCCUCUUCGUCAAGAAGAAGGAUGGUACGGACCGGAUGGUUGUAGAUUAUCGACCUGUCAAUUUGGUCACAAUCAAGAACAAAUAUCCGCUUCCCAUGAUCAACGACCUUUAUGAUCAGCUCGCUGGAUCCUCAGUCUUCUCCAAAAUGGAUUUGAGGUUGGGCUACCAUCAAAUCAAAAUCAGGAACAGGGACAUUCCUAAAACGGCCUUUGUUACUCGUUAUGGCCAAUACGAGUACACCGUCAUGUCCUUCGGUUUAACCAACGCUCCACCCACUUUUUCUCGGUUGAUGAACUCAAUCUUCAUGGAGUAUUUGGAUAAAUUCGUCGUGGUUUACCUCGAUGAUAUACUCAUCUACUCCAAGAACGAGGAAGAACAUGCCGAACAUCUAAGGCUAGUGUUGAAGAAACUUCGAGAGCAUCGCCUUUAUGCCAAAUUUUCUAAAUGUGAAUUUUGGUUGUCAGAAGUGACCUAUCUGGGUCAUGUAAUAUUUGGUAAAGGUAUUGCUGUUAACCCUGAGCGAGUUCAAGCCGUCCUUGAUUGGACUCCACCUGAAUCGGUCAAGAAAGUUCGGAGUUUUCUGGGCUUAGCAAGCUAUUGCCGUUGCUUUGUCGAAAAAUUCUCCAAAGUUGCUAAACCUCUAACCGAACUCCUCAAGAAAGAUAAAAAGUUCGAGUGGACUCCACAAUGUGAGCACAGCUUUCAGGAACUGAAAAGACGCCUGACCUCUGCUCCCGUACUGGUACCGCCAGACUUCUCUAAGGACUUUGUUAUCUACUGCGACGCCUCGCGACAAGGACUAGGUUGCAUUCUCAUGCAAGAUCGACACGUAAUUGCUUACGCUUCACGGCAAUUGCACCCACAUGAGGAGAAUUAUCCUACUCAUGAUCUAGAGCUUGCAGCUGUAGUCUAUGCACUUAAAACCUGGCGACAUUACCUCCUCGGUAAUCGUUGCGAAAUAUUCACUGAUCACCAAAGUCUGAAGUACAUCUUCACCCAACCGGAUUUGAAUCUCAGGCAAAGACGUUGGGUCGAGUUGAUCACAGAUUUCGACUUAGGAAUAACUUACACCCCAGGGAAAGCCAACGUCAUGGCUGAUGCGCUAAGUCGUAAAUCUUAUUGUAACAACCUGAUGUUACAACAAAGUCAACCGCUUCUCCAUGAGGAAUUUCGGAAGCUUAACCUUCACAUUGUUCCUCAAGGAUUUCUUUCCACCUUGGUGGCGAAACCUACUCUUACGGAUCAAAUUAUCGCCGCCCAAAAGCGAGAUAAGGGAAUAUCUAAAAUCAAGGAGAACAUUGCUAGCGGAGGUGCUAGUUGUUUCUCCACAAAUGAUCAUGGUGCUGUGUACUUUGAGAACCGUUUAGUGGUUCCCAAGAACCAGCAUCUACGACAGUUGAUCCUUAAGGAGGCUCAUGAAUCUCCUCUCACCAUUCAUCCCGGUAGUACCAAGAUGUAUCAGGACCUACGCCAGAGGUUCUGGUGGACUAGGAUGAAGAGAGAAAUUGCUCAGUAUAUUGCUAAUUGCGACGUCUGCCGUCGUGUAAAAGCAGAGCAUCAACGGCCUGCUGGCACCCUUCAACCCCUAGCUAUUCCUGAAUGGAAAUGGGAUAAAAUUGGUAUGGAUUUCAUUACCGGUUUUCCCAGGACCAAGAGAGGGAAUAAUGCUAUCUUCGUCGUGGUCGAUCGUCUUUCCAAGGUAGCCCAUUUCUUACCUGUUCGUGAGAGUACAACUGCUAGUUAGUUAGCAGACCUGUACAUCUCCUGAAUAGUGUCUCUCCAUGGUGUUCCUUUGGAAAUUAACUCGGAUCGAGGAAGUCUUUUCACCUCUCGAUUUUGGGAAAGUUUCCAAAAUGCUAUGGGAACCCGCCUUUCCUUUAGCACCGCUUUUCACCCUCAAUCGAGUGGUCAGGUAGAACGUGUCAACCAGAUCCUAGAAGACAUGCUUCGAGCCUCUGUUAUCUCAUUCGGAAUGGAGUGGGAGAAAUGCCUUCCAUUUGCCGAAUUUGCUUAUAACAACAACUAUCAAUCUAGCUUGGGUAAAGCCCCUUUUGAAGUUCUCUAUGGACGACGGUGUCGAACACCCCUUAAUUGGUCAGAAACCGGGGAAAGACAAUUCUUUGGAACGGAUAUGAUCCAGGAAGCAGAAGAGCAAGUUCGCAUCGUUCGUGAAAAGUUGAAAACAACCCAAUCUCGUCAAAAGAGUCAAUAUGACCGAAAACAUAAGGCUAUGACUUUCGAGGUUGACGAGAAGGCUUACCUUCGGGUUACUCCUCUAAAGGGAACCCAUCGUUUCGGUAUCAAAGGCAAAUUGGCUCCUCGUUACAUUGGACCUUUUCGCAUUCUCGCUAAACGAGGAGAAGUUGCCUACCAGUUGGAGCUACCUCCGCAUCUCUCCAGAGUCCACGAUGUCUUCCACGUUUCUCAACUCAGGCGUUGCUUCUCGGAUCCUAUCCGUGGAGUGGACCACGAAACGCUUGAUCUCCAAGAUAAUCUCACGUAUUGAGAGUACCCCAUUCGUAUCCUCGAUCAGGCUGAGCGUACCACUCGACGUCAUAAUAUCAAGUUUCUCAAAGUUCAAUGGUCGCACCAUUCUGAGGAUGAAGCAACUUGGGAAAUGGAGGAUCGUCUUCGACUCGAGUACCCCGCCUUCUUCCCGGAGGAACCCAAAUCUCAGGACGAGAUUCUUUUGAGUGGGGGUGAGUUGUCACACCCUAGCUAGUUCAUGCAUUAGAGUGUUGCAUCAUGUCUAUUUUUUUCAUCAGAAACCUGAAAUGGGGAUGACAGAACCCCCAGCCCCCUCUGAAACCAACUAGGGUUUACUAAAAACUUUUUCAAUAAACCUGAAAUGCCCUUCUAAAAUGCCCAUCAUUUUUGUCCUAGUUCAGAACCUCUGCCAAAAGUGAUGCACAUUUUCCUAGGUCAUCUUAGGGUCUUUGAAUUAAAUCAUAAAUAUUUGAAUUUGGGCAUUUAAAAUUAUAUAAAAUAUUCAAAUGCUCAAAUAUCUCCAAACUAAAAUGUUUCAUGUUGGAAAUAAUCCAACUAUGGACCAGGAGUAGUUUGGUGAUUUUAGGAGUUGCCUAAGUAUUUUUAAUAAUUCAACAAAGUUGCAGAAGUAUUAAAAAACAGAAAACAGGGAGUAACAGGGAAACUUACCUGGCGCCCAGCACCCGGCCCACCUGCCGGCCCAGCCCAGCACCGCUCCAGCGAGCUGCUUGCCGGCCAGAUAGGCAGGCAGGUACCCGACGGCGGCCGCAGCAUGCGCCACGCAGCUGGCCGUCGCCCUGCUUCACCUACUCGCCUCGUGGCUGGAUGGAUGAACCCCACGCCGCGCCGUGAACCUCCAGGACACCUCCAUUCUCCCCCAACCCCUCUCUCUCUCGCGCUCCCCCGCCAUGGCCGACGCCAUCGCCGCCACCCCCUCACCGUAGCCACGCCCUCCGUCAACCCCACGCCGUGCCGCCGUGUCCAGGAGCUCCGCCAUCCUCCUCUCCUUCGAGCAAGCCGAGCCCCGAGCGCUCGCAAGGCCCGAGCCCACCGCAUCGACCUCGACCAAACCGCCGUCGCCGGAGAUCCCCUUCAACGCCGACGUCGCUCCGGCCCGUCCCCGGCCGCACCAAGUGCUUCGUCGAACUCCCCGUGAGCUUAGCCAUCUUCCCCUCCCUUCUUUUCUUGCUCCCGAGCUGUGUAGUGACCUCCCGGAGCUCAACCGCACCCACCGCCACGGAGCUCGUCGCCGACGUGCUCCCGGUCACCCUCCGGCCACAAACUGGUGUCCAUCAUGCUCACCACGUCACGUAGCACCUAACCAGCUACUCCCCGCACCUCACCGACCCCUCUAGCAUCAAGUUCGCCUUCGGCCGAACUCCGGUGGCCGCCAAAGUCGUCGCCGGCGCCAACUCCGGCCACCCCGACCCCAACGGACUCCACCAAGAGCUGCAGCUCCUCUCCAGCUCCACUUUGAUGGCCUCCGCGACUCGUUUGGUUGCCGGAACGGCCAAAACCACUUCCGCCGCCGCGUCGGGCUCGCCGGCGGCUAAACGCCGGUGCAGCCGACCUGGGUUUGACCACGGGUGGGCCCUGGUUGACUCCGAUGAGUCAAUGACAGGUGGGGCCCAGCCCUGUUAAUUAAAUAGGUUUAGUUUUAAUUAAACUUUAACUAAACUAAUCACACUGACACGCGGGACCCACUGUCAGGUUUGACCGGACCGUGUCCCGUUGAACCGCUGAUGUCACACUGACGUCAGGCUGACGCAGUAAUUGAUUUCUGGAUUUAUUCUAAUAUAGGAAAUUCCAGAAUAUAGUUUAAACUUCAAAAAUUCAUAAUUUUUAAUCUGUAACUCCAAAUCAAACAAGUUAUAUAUGAAAAAUGAUCAGAAAAAUCCAAUCUAUCCAUCUGUACUAUUUUCAUGCAUGAUUAAACAAGUUAACUUGAUGAUUAUUGCAGAACAAGAUAAAACACUUUAAAGGGCCAUGUAUGAGUUUGAAAUUUGAAUCUUUGGUUCAAAUUGGUUCAAACCCUUCUGGUUUUAGUUGCAUUAGCCCAACACACUCAUAUUGCCAUGUUUCAUGCAUGCAUCAUAUUGUCGCACAUUGUUUGGUGAUUGUUGUGUAUCGGUGUUCUUUGCGGCAGGUUCUGCCUCCGAGGAGUACCGUGAUUACCCUAGCGAAGAGCCAUAUCAGUGCAUCGAACCAUCAGGCAAGCAACCAACUAUUUGAUCAUAUCGAUACAAUCCCAUGUUCUCGCUCCUGCUCUCUUUUACUGCAUUAAGACAACGCGUUUCAAACUGCUGUGUGCUACGGUAGUUGAACCCACUUCCUCUGCAUGACCUGUCAUUGCCACAGUAACUAGAUGAAACCCACUAGCAUGUGUAGGAGUUGAUUGAGCCAUAUGUAUGUGUUGUUCCUACCUUGCUAUGCCUGCUAUGCUUAGAGUCGUGUCAGGUCUGGUUCAUCUGGGUGAUGGGCUAGAGUGAAAUGUUUAUGUCGGUAAUGAGAGUGGUGUGGUGAACACGUUUUGGUAAAGGUAUCGAUGAGAGGCCAUGUAGGAGUACAUGGUGGGUUGUUUCAUUGAAGCCGACCUUAAGCACUGAGAUCUGUAUGUGUGAUUUAAGAAUCAGCUACUACCAUGCAUUGGGCCCGAAACCAAUGGACCCUCUCGGCUUCUUAUUCACCCUAGUUCUCCGUCCAGGAGUUGCAAGUAGUUUCUGGUGUUUGUAGCCUACUGGAGGCCGUGGACAGCGCUGACCGUAGGGGUGGGCUGUGAUGCGGUAGGUACGUGGCACGGUGUACCGAAUACCCGUUAGGUAUCUCGGGAACCCUGUUCACAUCGUUCGGGGCCGUAUGGGAAACCUCGGCCGGACUCCCUGCGGAUGGAACCUGAAUAGGCGAUAAACCUGGACUGGAGGCUUAGGUGAUUAGGUAGGUCGUGGCCGACACCCACGUUGGGCUUCCGCUUGAAGGUUGCCGAGUACAUGUCGUGUAAGCGACGGUAAGUGGUGAGAGCGUGUAAGCGAUGGUGUGCUCGGUUGGGCGCUACGGCGACCGUGGCCACGACGGCGACAUCGCCGGCGGCGUGGAGCUCUCGGUCGAGGUGGAGCUAGGGCCUAGAGGUCGGGAGAGACCAGGGAAGAAGGGGGAAACGCUCCGGGGGCUCACCGCGGUUGCAGUGGGCGUCGAAGCGGGCUCGGGGACGCGCCGGAGACGACGAAUUUGACGGCGACGGUGGUCGGAGUCCGAAGAGGGGAACGGCGACGUGGCGGCGAUGCAGGGCUUCCGGAGACCCGUGGAGCGGUGGGGAGGAAGAGGGAGUUGUGGCGGAGCUUCUGAGCUAGUCGGGGGAGCGAGGGGUGGUCGGAGACGACCGCUACGGCGAACGGUGGCGACGGUGGUGUUCGGCCGUGUGAGAGAGAGAGCGAGGGAGAGGAAGGAGAGCUCCACGCCGCCGGCGAUGUCGCCGUCGUGGCCACGGUCGCCGUAGCGCCCAACCGAGCACACCAUCGUGCUCCACACAUCACCAGGAGCACGUAGAACGCACCAACACCUCCCCAAACCCCCUGCAACACUGAUCCCGACCGCACCCGAACUCCGGCCGCCGCAGCCGAGCUCGCCGCCGUCAACUCCGGCCACCCCGAGCCCAACCACCACCACCAAUAGACGCGGCUCAACCUCAGCAACACGUAGAUGCCUUCCGCCGUCCAUUUGGUCGCCGGAAUGGCAAAAAGCACUCUCGCCGCCGUCUCGGAUCUCGCCGGCGUCAUGUCGCCGGUGGGGUUUGACUUGACCGACCUGGGGUUUGACCCCCCAGGGUCACUGACGCGUGGGCCCUGUCGGCCAGAUGGUUAGGUUAGCGCUAACUACUGUUAGUCAACCCCCCUGACACUGACAGUGGGCCCCAGCGCCACUAAUUAGUAAUUAGAAUUAAUUUAAAUCUGUUUAACCCCCCCUGUCACUGACGUGUGGCCCCCACACGUCAGGUUUGACUUCAGCCAGCCGCAGUUGACCUACUGACGUCACACUGACGUCAGGCUGACGCAGUAAUUGAAUUUCUGGAUUUAAAUUAAAUCAGGAAAUUCCAGAAUAUUAAUUAAACUUCAAAAAUUCAUAACUUUUAUUCUGUAACUCCAAAUUGGACAAAUUAUAUAUGAAAAAUGAUCAGAAAAAUCCAAUCUAUCCAUCUGUACCAUUUCCAUGCAUGAUCAAACAAGUUAAGUUGAUGUUUUAAUCAGAACAAGAAAAGGCACUUUAAAAGGCCAUAUUUGAAUUUGAAAUUUGAAUCCUUGAUUCAAAUUUGUUCAAACCCUUCUGGUUUUAGUUGCAUUAGCCCAACACACUCAUAUUGCCAUGUUUCAUGCAUGCAUCAUAUUGUUGCAUAUUGUUUGGUGAUGUUUGUGUAUCGAUGUCCUUUGCGACAGGAUCUGUCCCCGAGGAGUACCGUGAUCACCCUAACGAAGAACCAUAUCAGUGCAUCGAACCAUCAGGCAAGCAACCAACCAUUUGAUCAUAUCGAUACAAUCCCAUGUUCCCGCUCCUGCUCUCUUCUACUGCAUUAAGACAACGCGAUUCAAACUGCUGUGUGUUACGGUAGUUGAACCCAUUUCCUCUGCAUGACCUGUCAUUGCCACAGUAACUAGAUGAAACCCACUAGCAUGUGUAGGAGUUGAUUGAGCCAUAUGUAUGUGUUGUUCCUACCUUGCUAUGCCUGCUAUGCUUAGAGUCGUGUCAGGUCUGGUUCAUCUGGGUGAUGGGCUAGAGUGAAAUGAUUAUGUCGGUAAUGAGAGUGGUGUGGUGAACACGAUUUGGUAAAGGUAUCGAUGAGAGGCCAUGUAGGAGUACAUGGUGGGUUGUUUCAUUGAAGCCGACCUUAAGCACUGAGAUCUGUAUGUGUGAUUUAAGAUACAGCUACUACCAUGCAUUGGGCCCUGAAAUAUGACCCCGCUCGACUUCUUAUCCACCCUAGUUCUCUGUCCAGGAGUUGCAAGUAGUUUCUGGUGUUUGUAGCCUACUGGAGGCCGUGGACAGCGCUGACCGUAGGGCUGGGCUGUGAUGCGGUAGGUACGUGGCACGGUGUACCGAAUACCCGUUAGGUAUCUCGGGAACCCUGUUCACAUCGUUUGGGGCUGUGAGCGAAACCUCGGCCGGAUCUCCUCAUGGAUGGAACCCGAAUAGGCGAUAAACCUGGACUAGAGACUUAGGUGUUUAGGUAGGUCGUGGUCUACACCCACGUCGGCUUUCGCUUGAAGUCUGCCGAGCACAUGUCGUGUGCAGACGCUAAGUGGUGGAAACAUGUAUGAAGAAGUACACCCCUGCAGGGUUAUCAUAAUCUAUUCGAAUAGCCGCGUCCGCGGUAAAGGACUACUUGGUUGCCUAUACAGUUCAUAGACAAGUAAAUGGAAACUACUAAAAGCCUCAAGAUAAGUGUGAGUGCCGAGGAUGGCUCUUCCGUAGGAAGACGGAGGUGAAUCCUCGGUGGUGUAUUGAAGUGGUGAGUAGUGGACUCGUGUGCGUAAAACCAUUUCAAGUUGGAGUCUCGUAGGAUAGCCUAGCCAAGAGUCAAAGCGGGCUUGCUGCAACAACUCCACCAACCCUUCUUGAUAAUGUGCAUGUAUGUAGGAUCUGAUGUAAGUCUUGCUGAGUACCUUUGUACUCAUGUUGCUAUAAUUUACAUUUUUACAGAAGACGCUGCAAACCCUUCUGAUGUGUUCUUCGUAGACGUUGACAUCAAUGAGUAGGCUAAGGCCCAGGUGGUGAUCCUGAGCUUGUGAAGGACCACAUAGUAUAGCUAGGCUUUCCAAGCCUCUUUUAUUUUACUAGUUGUCUGUACUCAGACAAGUUACUUCCGCUGCUGGUUUGUAUGACUGUAUGACUUGAAUGCUGGGUCGUGUGACCCGUACCUAUGUGUAUGUCAUGUAUGGCUCUCUGAGCCUUAAAUAAAGUACUUGUGUCGUAGAGUCAUGUUGUGAUGCCUUGUUGUAUUUGCACAUAUCGAGCAUAUUGUGUGUAUGAUUGAAAUGCUUGGUAUGUGUGGGAUCUGACUAUCUAGUUGUUUAUCUUUAGUAGCCUCUCUUACCGGGAAAUGUCUCCUAGUGUUACCACUGAGCCAUGGUAGCUUGCUACUGCUCUGGAACACUUAGGCUGGCCGGCAUGUGUCCUUCUUCGUUCCUGUGUCUGUCCCUUCGGGGAAAUGUCACGCAUUGAGUACCGGAGUCCUGUUAGCCCGCUACAGCCCGGUUUACCGGAGUCCUGCUAGCCCAGUGCUACAGCCCGGACCCACUUGCUGAUGACCGACACGUUCGAAGCUGGGUCAUGGAUGCCUGUCCCUGUAAGUCUGUGCCACUUUGGGUUUACGACUAGUCAUGUCAGCCCGGGCUCCUUAUCAUAUGGAUGCUAGCGACACUAUCAUAUACGUGAGCCAAAAGGCGCAAACGGUCCCGGCAAAGGUAAGGCGACACCCGUGGGGAUACCGUGUGUGAGGCCGCAAAGUGAUAUGAGGUGUUACAGGCUAGAUCGACGUGACAUCGAGUCGGGGUCCUGACAUUCUCACUCACCACCACGGGAAGACAAUAAAAGGCGCAGCUCAAGAAAGACCAAGAUCACGACAACCAAAGUUGAACAAAGUGGACAUUUUAGAGCUAAGGAAAGUUGCAGUGGUAUGUGAGUUCCCUGACAUAUUUCCGGAAGAACUACCAGGCAUGCCGCCAGAUUGGGAAAUAGAGUUCAGCAUUGAACUAGCUCCUGGAACCACCCCCAUUUACAAGAAACCCUAUAGGAUGGCACCCUCCAAGUUGGUAGAAUUAAAGAAGCAAAUAAAAGAAUUAUUGGACAAAGGAUUUGUAUGAGCCAGCUCCUCACCUUGGGGUUCACGAGUAUUAUUUGCCAAGAAAAAGGAUGGGACACUGAGAUUAUGCAUAGACUAUCGAGCACUCAACAUGGUCACCAUCAAAAAUAAAUAUCCGAUGCCACAGAUAAAUGAUUUAUUUGACCAGCUUGCACAAGCCAAAGUUUUCUAUAAAAUUGAUUUAAGGUCAGGAUAUCCGCAAUUAAAAGUACGGACAGAAGAUAUCCCUAAGACAACAUUCACCUCCAGAUACGGAUUAUAUGAGUUUACAGUAGUGCCGUUUGGACUAACAAACGCCCCCGCAUAUUUUGUCCAUCUCAUGAACAAAGUGUUUAUGAAAUUUAUGGACAAAUUUGUUGUGGUGUUCAUUGAUGAUAUUCUAGUAUACUCUAAGACACCAAAAGAGCAUGCAGAACAUCUCAAGAUUGUACUGGGAGAAUUGAGGAAACACCAAUUAUAUGCCAAAUUCAGCAAAUGUGAAUUUUGGUUAAGACAUGUUGGUUUUCUAGGCCACGUAUUGACCCAAGAAGGUGUUGCCGUGGGCCCAGAAAAAGUCAAGGCCGUACUUGGCUGGAGGCCACCAGCCAACGUAACAGAUGUCCGAAGCUUUCUGGGAAUGGCUGGAUACUACCGAAGGUUUAUUGAGGGGUUCUCCACCAUAGCAAAAACAAUGACAAAGUUACUCAAGAAGGAUAAGAAAUUUGUAUGGACUGAAGCUUGCGAGAAAAGUUUCCAAGAACUCAAGAAGAAAUUAACAACAGCACCAGUAUUGGUUAUACCAGACAUACACAAAAGUUUUGAAGUGUAUUGUGACGCAUCCCAAAAAGGCCUCGGAUGCGUGCUAAUGCAAGAAGGCAAAGUAGUCGCAUACGCUUCCAAACAACUUCGAAAGCAUGAAGAAAAUUAUCCCACUCAUGACUUAGAAUUGGCAGCAGUCAUUCAUGCACUCAAAGAGUGGAGACACUUUUUGCUUGGAAAUCGUUGUGAAAUAUAUAUGGACCACAAAAGUCUCAAAUAUAUUUUCACACAGCCAGAGCUCAAUUUACGGCAACGGCGCUGGUUGGAAUUAGUGAAAGAUUAUGAUGUUGGCAUCCACUACCAUCCAGGAAAAGCGAAUGUAGUGGCAGAUGCUCUUAGUCGAAACCCCAGCUCAGGCAACGACAGUCCACAUAACUUGUGACCUGAAUUUCAACAUGAGUUCGCCAAACUCAACUUGGUGAUGGUCACGAAAGGCACUGUGUCAAAUUUGCAAAUACAACCCACCCUUGUGGAGCAGAUUAAGAAAGCUUAGCAUGGACAUCCCAGGACUGAAGGCAUAAAAAGAAAAGUAAGCAUGGGCAAGGCCUCCGAAUUCGUCGUAGACGAAGAGGGAAUAUUAUGGUACGGAGAUAGGCUCUGCGUGCCAAAUAUAGAGGACCUCAAACAGCAAAUUCUAGCUGAAGGCCACGCCACCCCAUAUUCAAUCCACCCUGGAGGAACCAAAAUGGAUAAGGACAUUCAGGAAAGAUUUUGGUGGCACGGUAUGAAGAGGGAUAUAGCCACCUUCAUUGCAUGUUGCGAUUCUUGUCAACCCAUUAAAGCCGAGCAUCAAAAACCAGCAGGACUAUUACAACCAAACAGGAUAUCUGAGUGGAAAUGGGACGAAAUUGGGAUGGAUUUUAUUGUUGGACUACCUCGGUCACAACACGGAAAUGAUGCCAUAUGGGUCAUCAUAGAUAGAUUAACCAAGGUGGCACAUUUCAUCCCAGUAAAGACAACCCACACCACUCAGAAGCUUGCCAAGCUUUAUCUCUCCCGUAUAGUUUGUCUCCAUGGAGUUCCAAAGACUAUAAUAUCCGACGGAGGCACUCAAUUCGUCUCGAAAUUCUAGGAUCAUUUACAACAGGCUCUGGGAACUCAACUAGCAUUCAGUACAGCAUACCACCCCCAGACUGAUGGACAAACUGAACGCGUGAACCAAAUUCUAGAGGACAUGCUGAGAGCAUGUGUCCUCACCUGUGGAACUAGUUGGGAAGAAAGCUUGCCAUAUGCCGAGUUCGCAUACAACAACAGCUACCAAUCCAGUCUACAAAUGGCACCUUUUGAAGCCUUGUACGGGCGAAGAUGUCGUACCCCAUUAAACUGGUCAGAAAUAGGAGACAGUCAUAUCUUCGGCUCAGACAUGCUCAAGGGGGCUGAAGAGAAAGUUAGAAAAAUCAGGGACCGGCUCAAGACAGCUCAAAGUCGACAAAAGAGUUAUUACGAUCGAAAACAUCGUGAAGUCAGCUUUGAACCCGGUGAUUAUGUGUAUUUACGAGUAUCUCCUAUGAGGGGCCUGCAACGGUCCAAAGUUAAAGGAAAGCUAGCACCAAGAUUUAUUGGACCCUUCUGUGUGGUUGUACGGAGAGGUACAGUAGCCUACCAGCUAGACCUACCCAAAGAGCUGUCAGACGUCUACGACGUGUUCCACAUCUCACAGUUAAGGAAAUGCGUAAGCAACCCAAAGAAGCAAGUGUCACAUGAGAGCAUUGACGUGCAACCAGACCUCACCUACAGGGAACGUCCAAUAAAAAUAUUAGAAGAGUCUGAAAGGAGGACCAGUCAGAAAACAAUUAAGUUUUUCAAGGUUCAGUGGAGCAAUCACACCGAGGAUGAAGCGACAUGGGAAAGAGAGGACUCUCUCCGGGAAGAGUACCCACACCUAUUUGAGGAUAAGCUGAAAUCUCAGGGACGAGAUUUUUCCUAAGUGGGUAGGUGUUGUAACACUCCAAAAAUUUUGCCUUGGUUUUACCAAAUUCUCUAUUAUUUUUGAAAGGGGUUAUUUAAAAUUUUUCUAAAGGACUCUCCCUUUCGAAAACUUUUAUUUUAUGACAAGUAUUUUUGUUUGGAUUCAUCCCAAAUCUUGAUCUUUGGCCUUGAGGGUUUUUCAUCUUAUGUUGGCUGAACACAAAUAACAUUGGAAGGUUUUUGCAAUAUUUUCCAUUUAAAAAGAAUUCCAUUAAAACUCUUGGGUUUAUUCUUCCUCUUUCAAAAAAAUAUCCUCUUGCCAUGGCCUAUGAAGAAAUUUUUCUUCCAAAACUAUCUACUCACUUUGAGUCAAGCCAAGAAUCCUAUUCCAGCAAGUCUCAACCUCUUUAAAAUUUUAUUUCUAUUUAUUUUGCCCUCAAAAGCAAUUUUUGUCAUUUACUUUGACCUUGGUGGUUUACAAAGGAACUACCAAUUUUCCUUUGAAUCUUGAUCCCAAAUAAAUUUCUCUGGAUAGUCCUUAGCACCCUCAACCAAGAUCCACUGGCCCACAGUUCAAAAUUUUCAAAAUUUGCCCACUGCAAGUUUGGACCAGAUUUGCCAUUUUUGGUGAAAUUCAUACUUUUGCUUCUCCUAAAAAUCUGAGAUAAUUCAUGCAGCCUCCAGAUACAUCAAGAGACCACCUCACCAAAGAUCAGCUCUAGAAAAAUUUCCCACAUGCCAAAAUCAUUUCAUCGAACAGUUGGCAUCCACUGUUGCUGUUCAAAUGCAGUAAAGUUUCAGAGUUCAGUGUCUACUUUCUGUUGACAGUAUCAUUUCUUCAGAGCACAGCGUCAAUCUCGCCAGCGCCCGCGUUGGCACCUUGCGCACUGCUUCUCCUUCUUAUCCAGUGCGCCGCUCGAUCACUUGGACGGGCAUGAGCGUCGGUGGUGAGCUAGAAGGAGUGUAUCGCCCCCGUGAGCGGCGACAGCAGCGCCCGCUGCGGCCGUCAAAAGGGCUUGGCGUGGAACGGCGCCGUCCAGCACUGCCCAAGCCACCCGAGGCCUUCGCGUGGCCGUCCCCUCCCCUGUGCACGCUGCAGCAUGGUCGCUGUGGCCUGAGAGGCGCAGAGCACGCUCUCUGCCGCCGGCGUGCCCGUGAGCCGUUCUGUCGAGAACGUGGAGUGACGCCCAUGAUUUUCCAAGUUCAACCUCUCGAUGGAACCAGUAGACCAUCACGUUGAUGCCCAAUCGCCUAAAACCCCCGUUCGGCCACUGCCUCGCCGUAAUCACCACCAGAGUUAUCCCGUUCAUGGCAACCGCCUCGGAUCAGCUAUAAAAGGAGCCCUCGAGCUCACCUUCGACGCUGCACCACACCUCCACCUCACCAGAGCCCCGCCUAGAUACUAGGAAGACCUUGGGGAGGCCUUCUUCCCCGACUCCGGCCGCCCCGAUCCGCUUCGGGCUCCAGCAAGAUUAGCUCGAGUGCGUGCACCCCCGCCUCCCAAGUUGUACCAGUGGCAUCCUAGUGCACCCACUCCACUAACCCACGCCCCAAUAUGAAGCUUGCAGCCCUCCCCGGCGAGAUCCACUGACGCCCGAGCCGCCGUCCGUCGGAGUGAAGGCCGUCAUCGACGUGGGGCUCGCCGACGUCCAACUCCACCACCCACAGACGCGGGAGAGCACCGUGAGUCCGUAGGUACCAGCCCCUCCCCCUACCUCGCCGUGGAUCGUCGCCGGCGACCACCGCAAGCUUCGGGCGCCGGCGUGCUCUGCUUUUCCUUUUCAAACAUUUAAACCUAACAGGUGGGACCCCCUCGUCAGCCUCUCUUUUCUAAUCAAACCGUUUCUCUGGAAAGCGCCUUCGGGCAGAGUACAUUUUCCCUGUUGGGUGAUGUAUUUCUUAACGAAACAUUUUCAGUUUUUAUAAACUAAACCCUGGAUACUUUCUAUUUCAUUACAGAUAAGUCCCUGGGCUAAAACCUUUAUAACUUUUUAACAGAAGAUGAUUUUGAAUUGAUUCUUUUCUGUCAUCUUUAUUUUUCUGUCUAGUUUUGUAUCAUAUUUAUUUGAAAAAAAUUGGGACAAUUUUUAUAGACACACGGUAUUUACGUUAGUGUGCGAUUUCUUUAUACCGUAGAUACCGGAGGAGGUGACGGAACCGCGAACUUCGCCGAGCUAGACUCCGACUACUCCGAAGCAGGCAAGCUUGUUUGAACCUUUGAUAUGAUGAGUGUUUUGCAUGUUUGCUUGAGUAGUUUUCUCAUGGCAUGUUUAUAUAAGCAUAUUGUGAAUGUUAUAUUGCAUGCAAGGCAAACUACAGGUGGGCUUCGAAGUUCAUAUGUUCAUAUGAUGAUAAGAUAACCUGAUCAUGUGGUGGCAUGAUAGGUUGUAAGCUGGUAUUGUUGAAGCAUGCCAGUCUUACAUCAACUGCGUAACUCUAGUGUUAACGUGGAACAAGUUCUGUUCUUGUUCGUCCCCGUCCGUGCCACCACAUGAUUUCUGCAAAGAAUGCGGUUUAGUAAGUUGCAAACCUCUCUCCUAAUACACACCAAAUAGAGGGGCCGUGAUGAGGGUUCCAUGGCCCUGGACUAAAGCCCGUCAUCUAGUCAGGGGGCAUGGGUGUUUCCGGUUGGGACCGAGAGGGGGGCACCCCUUAGAGCGCGCGAAUAUAAAUUUGAUCCCAUGCUAUUCGAGGUUGUAGCCUCCCCAUCCCAAAGUUUUUCUUGAACGUUGCCUAGGGUGACCCCUGGCAGCAGAAUGUGGAAUGGGUGUGUACUGGUCAGAUGUGUUUCUUCUAAAAUACCGUAAACGGAACUAGUACUUCGUGACUACUGAAAUCCAUUGGCUGUGGAAUAAUAGUGCAAACUUUGCAGAGUCAUAACCAUCCGAGUAACUGUGACAGCCUCAAUUCAAUCGUACACUAAUCAUACACACAAAUGUGUACGAUCAAGAUCAAGGACUCACGGGAAAUAUAUCACAACACAACUCUAGACACAAAUUGAAAUAAGACAAGCUUUAUAUUACAAGCCAGGGCCUCGAGGGCUCGAAUACAUAAGCUCGAAUACACAAGAGUCAGCGGAAGCAACAAUAUAUGAGUACAAACAUAAGUUAGACAAGAAUGCCUUAAGAAGGCUAGCACAAAAGCAACAACGAUCGAAAAGAGCAAGGUCUCCUGCCUGGGAGCCUCCUAACUACUCCAAGUCGUCAGCGGUCUUCACGUAGUAGUAGGCAUCCUUCGGGUAGUAGUAGUCAUCAGUGGCGUCGUCUGGCUCCUGGGAUCCGUCAUCUGGUCGCAACAAUCGGGUACGGGCGAAAAGAAGUAGCAAAGCAACCGUGAGUACUCAUCCAAAGUACUCACAAGACUUACAUAAAAUUUAAACUAAGUAUGCAUCUAUAUCAAAGGAAUGGGUUGUAUCUGUGGACUAAACUGCAGAAUGCCAGAAGGGAAGGGGAAAGCCUAGCCUAUCGAAGACUAGCAUCUUCUGGAAACCACCAUCUUGCAGCAACAGGAGGGAGUAGAGUAGCAUAAAUUAAAGUAGCAGUAAUGUUAUCAACCUCGGCCGAAGAUCCUUUCUCGACUCCCUGCGAGAAAGCCAUCCCAGAGCUAUACUAUCCAGUUCUCAUCUCCAUUUCUCAUAUCCAUUUCUCAUCACAGUCCAUUCUCAUCUCAGGUAUCCAGUUCUAGUUGUAUCGAUCGGGAUACAACUCCAAGUGUCCCUUACCGUAGGACAGGCUAUCGAUAGAUGUUUUCUUCCCUACAGGGGUGCACCAACUUACCCACCACGCUCGAUUAACUCUGGUCGGACACACUUUCCUGGGUCAUGCCCAGCCUUGGCCAAACAAUACGCCGCAACCCGACAUAGGCUUAAUAGAGAGGGCAACAAGUCAGACUAAACCUAUGCCCCAGGGGUCAUGGGCCAUCUCACCGGGAACUCCUGCACGUUGCGUACGCGGCCGAUGAGCAGACCUAGCUACCACCUUAAACAAGGUAGGUGCUUUCCAGUCCAACCCGGUGCGCGCCGCUCAGUCGCUGACGUCUAUUAAGCUUCGGCUGAUGUAUACGACGCAGAACGCCCAUACUAUGCCCACGUGAUGGUUAGUGCUAUCAGGCCAGAGGCCCCUCAGAUCAAAUAUCCAAAUCAUAGUAGAUUAGGAAAGCGUGGUAACGAGCAGAGACUCAUGAUCGGUGUGACCCCGUCGCCCCAUCUCGAGUACUUGCGGCAAGGGCUAAGAAUGCCCGGGCACGCCUCGUAAGUAUCUCGCGGGCACCUUCCAGGUCAACCCGACUCCACAUCACUCGCAAUUAAGAUCGCGUGGGUACCCCUCAGGGUUGACCCGUCUUUAGUAACAUGGCUCAGUGUAAAGUCAUACUAACCAUAGUAGCUGUGUGUCUAACACAAAGGGGAAAACCCGAGGAAUCACCCCCGAUGAAUUCCACUCGAUGUAAUCAUCAAGGUGAACGUAAGAGGAUCCACCCUCGAGGUUCACACUUGAGGGGUUGCACGAUAGAGCGGUAACGGAAGUGGUUAAGGAGGAAAUCACCCUCGAUGACCUCGACCGUAUAGCUACACUAUAAAGAUCUCAUCAGGAGUGAUGUAUGAGGUUCACUCUCGGCAAUCGAUAGUAACUCUAUAGUGUCGUACAACUAAGGGGGUGAUGUGCGGUGUUGGGGCCUGGACGUCGAUCACGUUGAUCGAGUCAUCGAACAUAAAGCGAGGCAACUGGGACAAGGUGGGGGUCACUGAUGGAUCACUAACCAACCUAUACUAAGCAGUUUAGGAUAAGCAUGUAAGGUAUGAAAUCAGGUGACAACAAUAGGCUAUGCAUCAGAGUAGGAUCAUACAGAAAGCAGUAGCAGUUCCAAUGCAAGCAUGAGAGGGAAAGAAAUGGGCGAUAUCGGAAUGCUCAAGGGGGGUUUGCUUGCUUGGUUUCUCUGGCAAGGAGGGGUCAUCGUCGACAUAGUCGAUCACAGGGGCGACAUCGGUCUCGGGGUCUACCGGAGAGAAGUGGGGGAAGAAACAGUAAAUAUAAAGCAACAUAGCACCACAAAGCAUGGCAAUAAGAUGUGUCGGUUGUGACCUAACGUAUGGCUACGCGAUAAAGGUGAAGGGGGAAAACAACCGGGAAUGUUUUCCCGGUUCCGGACCUGUGUCAGACAUAUGACCGGAGGGGUAAUGUUCCAUGUACAGAUAGUUAGAGGCAUCUGACAGGUAAACAGACCACGUAUUUGGAUUCGUUGGAUUUUUCUGAGCAACUUUCAUAUAGAAAACAUUUUCAUCGGAGUUACGGUUUAAUUACUAUGAAUUUCUAAAGGUUUAAACAUUUUAGGGAAUUAAAUAAAUUAACAGAAAUGGAAUAUGACAUCAGCAUGGCGUAUGAGUGAUGUCAGCAGCCAACAGUUCGGUUGACUGGUCAAAUUGACAUGGGGGACCCACCUGUCAUAGAUAGUGGGUUAAACAGGGUUCAAACUAAUCUAAAUUUAGUUAGUAAUACUACUGGGCCCACCUAUCACUGUAUAAUUUAGGUUAACUAAACUAAUUUAAUUAAUUCCUGUUAAUUAGGGGGGAGGGCCCCACUGGUUAGUGGCUGGGGAUUGCCCAGUCAGUAGGGUUGACUGGUCAAACCAGUCAACUAGUGUCCUUGGGCCCCACUGGUAGUGACACAAAGGCGGGGCCCACUGCGCCACAUCUGUGUCGGCGCCGGAGACAACUCCAGCGACCAAAAACACGGCGGAGCAGCUCGGGACUUCGCCGGAAACAGGCUACGGGGCACCGUUUGGUCCGCGCGAUAGCGCAUUCGAAAGCGGAAGCGAAGCCGCGUCGUUUUGGGGCUACGGCACGGCCGGAGCGGGGGUGCAACGACGGCGGCGACCUCAACGGCGGAGGUCGAAGCUCGGGCACGGGUGGAAUCGGGCUAGGAGCACGGGCGGAGGCGCGGCGAGGUGCGCUGGGCUGCUUGAAACGUGCUGGGCACGGUGCCGUGCUCGACAGAGGUCGACGGCGAGCAUGGCCACGGCGGCUAUGGAGCGGGGCUUCGGCGAGCUACGACGGUAGCGGCAAGCAAGCUAGAGAGUGAGGCGGCUUACUCGAGAGAGGGGAGAAGGGAAAGGAAGAGGAGCUCACAUCGCUCCUGCAAAUGUGCGAAGUGGGCUCGGGGGAGGCUCGGAGUUGCCGGAGUUCGAAGGCGAGGGCGGCAGUGCCCGAGGUGGAAGACGACGGGGAUCCAGGGCUGCAGCGCAUAACAUCUCACGCUACUGGCCGUAGUCAACGCAGGUGAUGAUGGCGGUACUCCUCGACGUCUUCGCGUAACUCGGAGAGGUCGUCGGCCAUGACCACGGCGAGGCGACAGUGGUGGUCACGUCGGGUGCGGUGAAUCUGAGAGGAGGAGAGGCAAACGAGGGAAAUGGAAAGCUAGGGUUGGCAGGGGGAGCGGUGAGUGGAGGGGAGGGCUCGAGGCGUCGAGGGGACGUCGCCCUUAUCCCUUCCCCGACGAGGACGGCGACAGGGUUCGGUGGCGACCGGCGAGCGCGGUCGCUGGGUCGGCUGAACAGAGAAGAGGGAGGCGACCGGGGGAGGUGGGCUGCCCGGGUUGGGCAGCCCAGAUGACUAAGGCCCAGGGGGGUCAGGGGGUUUUCUUUUUCUUUUACUUUUUCUCUUUUAUUUUUACAGAAAAAGCAUGGUAAUAUUUGGGCUGCCAAAAGCAUUUUGUAAAAUGUGGGACUUGGCCACAUAAUUAUAUUGCAGUAGUUAGCACUGCCACAAAAAGGUUGUGAGGCUUUUGAAAUAGUUCGCAAUUUUUAUAAAUAAAAAAGCCAUUUAACCUAUUCUUUUAGCCACUACUUUAAUUGGUUUAGGCCAUUAAAACACCUUGAAAAAAUGUUGGUUUACCACCAAUAUUAACAAAUGAUUAUUUGCUAUAUGAUGAACAUUUUAGUUUUCAUGUCUGACAAAUAUGAAUUUUGGACUUCAGAUUGGAUUUGAAUUAGAAUUGGUUUUGAAUCAAGGUGAGAUUAGCAACAGUAACAAUGAUGACAACGCAUCAUUAGAAGGGGAUUACUACAGCAUGAUUCUCGGGGUGUUACAGUAACCGUGUCCAUGGUCAAGGACUUUGAUCAACAUAUCAGUGUCAGUCUCCGUGUCUGUCUCAGUAUCCGGCUCAGUGAUAGUCUUCGGAGAAUAAGCAUGGAACUGAGAGUGGUAAACUCGGCUGAACAUUAUUCCUGUGAACGGACUAACCAGUUUAUUAUUAUACAUUGAGUAUUUCCUUGUGAUGGUUUAAAUUCAUGAACUACUUGAAUUCGAAUGAUGAACUAUAAGCCGUUUAUGUGGUGUUGCUCAGAUGUCCAACUGUGGCAUUCUUGUUAUUUCCUUUCGAUAUAAGCCCUUUACGUGAUGUCGCUCAGACGUCCGACUGUGGCACUCUUGCUAUUUACUUUCGAUAUAAGCACUUUAUGUGAUGUCUCUCAGACGUCCGACUGUGGCACUCUUGCUAUUUACUUUCAAUAUAAGCCCUUUAUGUGAUCUCGCUCAGACGUCCGACUAUGGCACUCUUGCUAUUUACUUUCGAUAUAAGCCCCUUAGGUGUUGUCCCUUAGACGUCUGACUAUGGCAUCCUUGUUAUUUACUUUCAUUAUAAGCCCUUUUCGAGAUGUCGCUUAGACGUCCGACUGUGGCCGCAUUGUUAUUUACUUUUCCAUAUAAGCCCUUUUUUGUGGUGUCGCCCCGACGCCCGACUACGGCAUGUUAAUUUAUUUUUUUGUUACCGUUCGAGGCGUCACUUCAGACACCCGAUCGGUCUUCAGUUAUUUCGUUGGGAUUUCAGGAGGACUACCACCUGACUUCCAUUUAUUUAUCGUGCAGUGCAAAUUUAUUAUCAGAAUGUGCAUUACCAAUCUGCUCAUGUGCAUCAUGUUUGCAUUUGUUAUAUCUUAUGUCCAAACUUUCUUGCGACUACAUUCAAAGUACUGACCUGGCUUGUUGAUUUGGCCAAAUGUUGACGAAGGCGAUCUUAUGGAUGAAGAGUUCGAUAGUGAGUCCGACGCCUAGAGGAGUCCCAGUCAGUCCCGUGCGAUCCUGGAGUUGAUCACUUGUAUUAUAUAUGCUUCCGCUACCCAAAUAAAAUCAUCGAGCCUCACUCCGAUGCUUGAUGAGCUAUAAGAUUUAGGAGUCAUGUCACCCACUUCACUGUGACAUACCCACCACCACUUUUAUUACGAGUCAGUAGUUAUGCCACCAUACCGUUGUGUCAUAUCCGCCUUUAUGUGUAAUAUCGGUGCACUUGUAAUAAAUUGUUGAGCAGCCUCAGCUCCAUCUUGUAUAAUAUUUAGUACUUCUGGAUUUCUGUAUCAAGGAUUUGUCUACCGGUAAGAAAGAUUCUUCUGUACUGGUCAAUGUAGGGAUCGGCUUUUCAAUAAAUGUUUUGUUGGAAAACCAGUCGUGACAUUCAUCAUAAAGCCUUUGUAGCUUGGUGGCAGUGAUUAAAGAACUCUCUCAAUAACACUAUCAUCUGGAAGAUUAACUCCCAGCUCAGUCAAGUGAUUAUGAUACCUAGAUAUUUUGAAUAUGUGUUCACUGACAGAACUGUUCUCCUCCAUCUUGCAGCUAUAGAACUUGUUGGAGACUUCUUAUCUCUUAACUCGGGCAUUUGCUUGAAUUAUUAACUUCAACUGCUGGAACAUAUCAUAUGCUCCAUGGCGUUCAAAACGUCUUUGAAGUCCCGAUUCUAAGCCGUAAAGCAUGGCACACUAAACUAUUGAGUAGUCAUCACAUCGAGCUUGCUAGACGUUCAAAACAUCAGCAGGCCUUUCACCUAGCAAUGCAUCAAGGACAUAAUUCUUAUGUGCAGUAAUGAGGAUAAUCCUCAAGUUACGGACCCAACCCGUGUAGUUUCUACCAUCAUCUUUCAACUUAGCUUUCUCUUGGAACGCAUUAAAAUUCAGGGGAAUGGUAGCACGGGCCAUUGAUCUACAACAUAGAUAUGCAAAUACUAUCCGGACUAAGUUCAUGAUAAAUUAAGUUCAAUUAAUCAAAGUACUUAAGAACUCUCACUUAGAUAGACAUCCCUCAAGUCAUCUAAAUGAUACUUGAUCCAAAUCAACUAAUCGAUGUCCGAUCAUCACGUCAGAUGGAGUAGUCAUCAAUGUUGAACAUCUCUAUGUUGAUCAUAUCUACUAUAUGAUUCAUGUUUGACCUUUCGAUCUCUAGUGUUCCGAGGACAUGUCUUUACAUGCUAGGCUCGUCAUGUUUAACCCAAGUAUUCUGCAUGUGCAAAACUGUCUUGCACCCGUUGUAUGUGAACGUAGAGUCUAUCACACCCGAUCAUCACGUGGUGUCUCAACACGACGAACUGUAGCAAUGGUGCAUACUUAGGGAGAACAUUUUUACCUUGAAAUUUAGUGAAGGGAUCAUCUUAUAAUGCUACCGUCAUACUAAGCCAAAUAAGAUGCAUAAAAAGAUAAACAUCACAUGCAAUCACAAUAUGUGACAUGAUAUGGCCAUCAUCAUCUUGUGCUUUUGAUCUCCAUCUCCAAAGCAUCGUCAUGAUCUCCAUCAUCACCGGCUCGACACCUUGACCUCUAUCGUUGCGUCGUGGUCGUCUCGGCAACUAUUGCUUCGACAACUAUCGCUAACGCAUAGUGAUAAAGUAAAGCAAUUAUGUGGUGUUUGCAUUUCAUACAAUAAAGAGACAGGAAUAAGGCUCCUGUCGCUUGUUAGAUAUCUUAAAAAACAUGCAUCUCAUACAAUAACAUCUAUCACAUCAUGUCUUGACCAUAUCACACCACAACAUGCCCAGCAAAAACAAGUUAGACGUGCUCUACUUUGUUGUUGCAAGUUUUACGUGGCUGCUACGGGCUUCUAGCAUGAACCAUUCUUACCUACGCGUAAAACCACAAUGGUGUUUCGUCAAGUUUGUUGUUUUAACCUUCUUCAAGGACCGGCCGUAGUCAAAUUCGAUUCAACUAAAGUAGGAGAAACAGACACCCGCCAGUAACCUUUAUGCAAAACUAGUUGCAUGUCUGUCGGUGGAACCGGUCUCAUGUUCGUGGACAUGUAAGGUUGGUCUGGGACGCUUCAUCCCACAAUACCGCCUGGAAAACGAGAGGCAAAUGACAAAUAAUGUAAAUUGAGAGGAGAUGAGAUUUGUGAUUAGGAACCUGGUAUAUGUUGAAGAUCCUCCCCGGCAACGGCGCCAGAAAUUCCUUUUGAUGUAGCUUGAAGCUACGUCGGUGUUUCCCCAAAGGGGAAGGGAUGAUGCUGCACAGUGGCAGUAGUUAUUUCCCUCAGUUAUGAGACCAAGGUUAUUGAACUAGUAGGAUAACCAAGCGACACAACGUAAACAUCCCUUGCACAUAAAUAACAAAUACUCACAACCCGACGUGUAAAAGGGUUGUCAAUCCCUUUCGGGUAGUGGCGCCCCAAGAUAGGCAAACGGACGUGAGAUAAAUUGUAUAGAUCCAACACUAAAUAAAAUAAAUAAGAAUAAAUUGCAGCAAGGUAUUUUUGUAUUUUUGCUUUAAUAGAUCUGAAAAUGAAAGCAAAGGAAAAGUAGAUCGCAAAGGCAAAUAAUAUGGGAAAGAGACCCGGGGCCGUAGGUUUCACUAGUGGCUUCUCUCAAGUAAAAUAGCAAACAGUGGGUAAACAAAUUACUGUUGGGAAGUAGAUAGAAAUUCAAAUAAUCAUGACGAUAUCCAGGCAAUGAUCAUUAUAUAGGCAUGACGUCCAAGAUUAGUAGAUCCACUCCUACCUGCAUCUACUACUAUUACUCCACACGUCGAUCGCUUUCCAGCAUGCAUCUAGUGUAUUAAGUUCAUGGGGAAACGGAGUAAUGCAAUAAGAAUGAUGACAUGAUGUAGACAAGAUCUAUCUAUGUAGAGAUAGACCCCCAUUGUUUUAUCCUUAGUAGCAACGAUACAUACAUGUCGGUUCCCUUUCUGUCACCGGGAUCAAGCAGCGUAAGAUCGAACCCACUACAAAGCACCUCUUCCCAUUGCAAGAUAAAUAGAUCAAGUUGGCCAAACAAAACCCAAAUAUCGAAGAAGAAAUACGUGGCUAUAAGGAAUCAUGCAUAUAAGAGAUCAAAGAAACUCAAAUAACUUUCAUGGAUAUAAAAAUAUAGAUCUGAUCAUAAACUCAAAGUUCAUCUGAUCCCAACAAACACACCGUAAAAAGAGUUACAUCAUAUGGAUCUCCAAGAGACCAUUGUAUUGAGAAUCAGAUGAGAGAGAGGAAGCCAUCUAGCUACUAACUACGGACCCGAAGCUCUACAAAGGACUAUUCACGCAUCAUUGGAGAGGCACCAAUGGAAGUGGUGAACCCCUUCGUGAUUGUGUCUAGAUUGGAUCUGGUGGUUCUGGACUCUGCGGUGACUGGAAUUAAUUUUCAUCAACUCCCCUAGGGUUUCUAAAACAUUGGGUAGUUAUAGAGCAAAGAGGCGGUCCGGGGGGCACCCGAGGUGGGCACAACCCACUAGGGCAUGCCUGGGCCUCCUGGCGCGCCCUAGUGGGUUGUGCUCCCCUCGGAGCACCCCAGGCGCUGCCUUGGCCCAUUGGGUGUCUUCUGUUCCAUAAAAAAUCUCCAUGAUGUUUCGUUGCAUUUGGACUCCGAUUGGUAUUGAUUUCCUGCAAUGUAAAAAACAUGCAGAAAACAACAACUCGCACUUGGCACUAUGUCAAUAGGUUAGUACCAAAAACUGAUAUACAAUGACUAUAAAAUGAUUAUAAAACAUCCAAGAUUGAUAAUAUAACAGCAUGGAACAAUCAAAAAGUAUAGAUACAUUGGAGACAUAUCAGCGUCCCCAAGCUCAAUUCCUGCUCGUCCUCGAGUAGGUAAGUGAUAAAAAUGGAAUUUUUUAUGUGGAAUGUUGCCUAACAUGCCAUAUCAUAUUAUUUUCUUUAUAUUGUCGGUGUCAAAACCGGCGGAUCUCGGGUAGGGGGUCCUGAACUGUGCGUUUAAGGCAGAUGGUAAAAGGAGGCAGGGGACAUGAUGUUUACCCAGGUUCAGGCCCUAUUGAUGGAGGUAAUACCCUACGUCCUGCUUGACUGUUCUUGAUGAUAUGAGUAUUACAAGAGUUGAUCUACCACGAGAUCGUAGAGGCUAAACCAUGGAAGCUAGCCUAUUGUAUGAUUGUAUGUUGUCCUACGAACUAAAACCCUCCGGUUUAUAUAGACAACGGAGGGGGCUAGGGUUACACAAGGUCGGUUACAAUGGAGAAAAUAUACAUAUCCGUAUUGCCUAGCUUACCUUCCACGCCAAGGACAGUCCCAUCCGGACACUAGACGAAGUCUUCAAUCUUGAUUCUUCAUAGUCUAAUAGUCCGGCCGAAGGAUAUAGUCCGGCUGUCCGGAGACCCCCUAAUCCAGGACUGCCUCAGUAGCCCCUGAACCAGACUUCAAUGAUGAUGAGUACGGCGCGCAGUAUUGUCUUCGGCAUUGCAAAGCGGGUUCCUCCUCUGAAUACUCCAUGGAAGAGUUUGAACACAAGGAUAGUGUCCGGCCCUGAAAAAUAAGUUCCACAUACCAUUGUAGAGAGAAUAAUAUUUCCACAAAUCAAAUCUGCUGACAUGUUUUGACAAGAUGACAUCACGCCACGGCCCGGUCAUUAUUUGAACUGUUUUUCUCAACCAGCACUGCACAUAUCUCGAAGCGGUUUUCUUGACACGUCUUGUCAAAGCAGAGAUCGUGUUCCCCUUAUCACAGGAUUCUCAUCAAUACAGACGUGGGUAACCCAACCAUGCUUGUUGGUAUGACUCCCAGAUCUUAGGCAAGUCCCAAACGGCCACGAGGAGGACGCCUGACACUACUAGGAAAAGGGCUAAAGAUGAAAUUGACACUAAUGGCGCACUGUACAUGUGGUGCGCAAUUACUAAAUACUAAUGGCGCACCAUGUGUUGGUGCACCAUUAGUGUGCAAAUACUAAUGGCGCACCACAUCCACGGUGCACCAUUAGUAAAAAUUUUUUUUGAUUUUUUCAAAACUACCAAUGGCGCACCGUGGGAGUGGUGCGCCAUUACUAGUUGAACUAGUAAUGGCGCACCAUGCCAUGGUGCGCCAUUAGUAACUUGGCCACCACUUCCACCGAAUGCACCCCCCCUGUGGACCGCCUUUUCAGUUUAAAAAUAAAUAAAAAAAUGAUGGAAAUGUCAAAAAAAUAAAAGAAAAUAAGUUUGCCAUGUGAUAUGUGGUCUAGUUGUUGUGAAAAUUUACAAAUAUGAAUUUUGACUUUAUUUGCGAAAUCUCUCGAGAAUUUGUAAAAUGGGCAUAACUUUUUCGUACGAACUCGGAUGAAAAAAAAAAUUAUAUGAAAAAUCAUCUACACGAAAAGUUACAUCCGAAUUUAAUGGGGGGAACCCCAUUAAACAUUUUCAAAAUCCUCAAAAACCUAACAGAAAAAAAGAUACGGGGCUUUUAAGAUCUGGAGAGGCAAAAAAAUUAAAAAAAAUUCAAACUUACUAAUGGCGCACCUGCCCAUGGUGCGCCAUUACUAUCUUCCCGCCUUCUAAAUUCAAAAUAAGUCAAACAAAUAAAAAAAAGUUACUAAUGGUGCACCUGCCCAUGGUGCCCCAUUAGUAUCUUCCCGCCUUCAAAAUUCAAAAAAAAUAAAAAAAAUAAAAUAAAGCUAGUAAUGGCGCACCUGCCCGCGGUGCGCCAUUACUAUGCCGUAUAUAUGGCUGGGCAUGGUCCUCUCCUCCUUACCUCUUCAUUCUUCUCCUCCACUCCUCCUCUCCUCCAUUCCAUCUCCUCCUCUCCUCCACUCCAUCUUCCCUUCUCUCCUCCACCAUACUACCCUCCUCCUCUCCGGCGACCUCCUCCUCCUCCUCUCCGGCGACCUCCUCCUCCUCUCCGGCGACCUCNNNNNNNNNNNNNNNNNNNNNNNNNNNNNNNNNNNNNNNNNNNNNNNNNNNNNNNNNNNNNNNNNNNNNNNNNNNNNNNNNNNNNNNNNNNNNNNNNNNNNNNNNNNNNNNNNNNNNNNNNNNNNNNNNNNNNNNNNNNNNNNNNNNNNNNNNNNNNNNNNNNNNNNNNNNNNNNNNNNNNNNNNNNNNNNNNNNNNNNNNNNNNNNNNNNNNNNNNNNNNNNNNNNNNNNNNNNNNNNNNNNNNNNNNNNNNNNNNNNNNNNNNNNNNNNNNNNNNNNNNNNNNNNNNNNNNNNNNNNNNNNNNNNNNNNNNNNNNNNNNNNNNNNNNNNNNNNNNNNNNNNNNNNNNNNNNNNNNNNNNNNNNNNNNNNNNNCUCCCCUCACGGUUUCUCCUCCCUCCUCUUCGGUGAGCUCCUCCUCCCUCCUCUCCGAUGAGCUCCUCCUUCCUCCUCUCCGGUGAGCUCCUCUUCCCUCCUCUCGUCCCAUCCCCUCAUGGUUUCUCCUUCCUCCUCUCCGAUGCUCUGGUGAACUCCUCUCCGACGACCUCCUCCUCCUCUCCGGCGAUGUAGGCGAGCGCCUCUCCAGUGACCUCCUCCUCCUCCUCUCCGGCAAAAUCCUCUCCGGCAAAAGAACACGGCAAAAGAACGUACAAGAUCCAAAAAUAGGAACAAAAUUUGAAAUAAUAUCGUGCCAAAAAAUGAGAAAAAAAACAAGCAAAGAAUGGGCAAAAAAAUCACGAUCCAGAUCCAAAUUCAAAAUUCAAAAAAGCAAUGGCCCACGGUGGGGGUUAGACGGUGCGCCACAACUAUUUUCCCGCCUUCAAAAUUCAAAAAUACUAAUGGCGCACCAGUGGCCUAUACUAAUGGCGCACCGUGGCCUAUACUAAUGGCGCACCAGUGGUGCGCCAUUAGUAUACCAGAUACUAAUGGCGCACCAGUGGUGCGCCAUUAGUAAAAAAUACUAGUGGUGUGAUACUAAUGGCGCACCAAUGAUGUGCUAUUAGUAGGCAAAACUGGUGCGCCAUUAGUAGCCCUUUUCCUAGUAGUGUGAUAUUCACCCCCUUUAUAACGAGGACAGGGCCUUUUCUUUCUCCCUCUCGUGCUCAAUCGAAGCCUUCCCCCGCCUCGAGUUCUAACACCCGAAGCUCAAGUCAGGCGCUUCAGACCUUCAACUAUGUCCGGAUCCAAGCUUCAAGGUUGGUGGAUGCCCUCCUCUGUAACGGAGGAGGACAUCAAGAAGCUGAGUGAGGCCACAUAUCUGACCGCUGAAAUUUCACAUAGGCUGCCUGCCCGAGGGCAGGUCGUCCCUACUCCCAAACCCACCAAGAGUGUCGUGUUCAUCUCCCACUUCCUCUGAGGACUAGGCCUCGCUCUGGAUCCCUUUGUCAGGGGUCUUAUGUUCUAUUAUGGGAUGGAUUUCCAUGAUCUAGCCCCGGACUUCCGUCUUAACAUCUCGUCAUUUAUUGUCGUAUGUGAGGCCUUCCUCCGCAUUACCCCUCACUUCGGCCUAUGGCUCAAGACCUUCGAUGUGAAGCCGAAGAUGAUCGAGGGGCGGCACACAGAGUGCGGAGGUGCUUUAAUAAGCAAAAUCGUUGAUGCUCCAUGGCCAGAGGGUUCCUUCCCAGAGGUGUCCAGAUUGUGGCAGCGGGAGGGGUUUUACAUCACAGCUCCCCGAAGUGCCAAGUGGGUAGCCGCCCCACCUUUUGCUCGGGCCCCCACCGCAACUGAUGUCAUGGAUCAGCAGGGGGCUGAGCUGGGGUCUAGCAAAGGACGUGCCAAUACUGCAGAGCCGUAUCCGAGAUCUCUUUGAGAGAAAUUUCAGUCUGAUUAUGGUAAUGCAAGUUAUGCUAGUUCGUCGAGUCCAGCCUUGGAAACGUCGGCCCCUCCGUAUGUGGGAAUUCAACUCGGAAGGACUGCGAGCUAUUCAGCAUUUCCUUGGCAUGACGCUCGAAGAGAUGUACAAAUCGUUCUUCGGACCCCAAAUAAAGUGUCCGGACACCUCCGAGGAUGUGGGUUUGAGCUGCAACUGCCCUGCUACCCAAGUAAGUAAUCCCAUGGCCGAACCCGCCGUCCUUUUAUUUAUCAUAUCAUCAUUCUAAAGAGUCGCUCUUUGACCAGGACUAGAUAAAAAAGGCGAAGAUGAUCAGGUGUGCGGCCCCCCUUCCUGAGGGCUUGGACAAUAGAGUGCUGGAAAAGAUACUCGAGCCGGCACCUUAUCUAGUGCCCUCAAAGGAAGAUGAAGGGGAGAAUAAAGAGGGCAAAAGCGGGCCUCACUCGCUACUUAUUCCAACCGAGGGAAUGGGCACCUCUGUGAGGUAGGAUAACCAAGGGGAAGAAUCUGACAUUCUCUCUCCCCAGGGAAGGAAGAGGACUACUUCUGAAGAUCCGGAAACUAAGGUUUCCAAACGGGAGAAGAAAUCUUCGCCAGAGGGUCCUGCCUCGGAGGGUAUUCUUGCCGCACAAUGUCCGCGCGGGGAUUAGCCCUCUACCUGUCACGUCCCUAGCUUUACCUUAGCCUUGGACUAGCUUGGUUGUUGCAUCAUGUUUAAAUUCAAAUGAAAUUUGAAUUGGGGAAUUUUCAAAGCCUCAGAAUCCUUUUAAAAAUGAUCAAGAUAAAAUUGCUUCAAAUAAGUCCAAGAAAAUGUUCUUGUCAUCCUCUGGAAAUAUUAGCAAGAUGUAAAAUCCAAACCAAUAUUUUUGGUGUCUCGAAAACAUUUAUUUUGGGCAUUUGAAUUAAAUCAAUAAGUAUUUGAAUUGGAUUUAUAUCUACUAUUAAAUAAAUAUAGGUCCAAUAAUUCUGAAAUAUUUUAUGGAGCUUUGGUUUAAUUCUUUUAGCUUCUAAAAAUAUUUCCAGAAGCAACAAAAUUGAAUUGCUUUCAAAACCAAAUUCAAAACAAACCUGCAAAACCGAAAAUAGAACAGAAUUAGAAAAAAACAGAGAGAGGAAAAACCCACCUGGCUUACCUGCAGCCCACCUGGCCUGGCACUGCUGGCCCAGCCCACCAGGCCUUCCACCGUCUUCAACCUCCUGCCAGUGGGCAGGAGGGCGUGUGGCCACCGAGCGCGCCCACGCGCUCCGCGCCACCUCCUGCUUGCCGACGAGCCCCUGGACGCGUGGGCGAUUUUCUACGUGUCUUCACGAUCGCGCUGACCCCCUCUCACUCUCUCUCGAGCUCAUACCCCUCCUCUGCUCUUUCUCCCUCUCACCACCGUCGCUGCUGUUCGCCGUACCCAAGGCCACCGACCACCCCUCGCCCUGCCGCUGAGCCUAGAAGCUCCGCCGCGUCGUCCUCGACCUCCUCGCUGAGCUACGCAACGUUGAACGCUCCGGAGCCUCGCCAAUGCCGCCGUCUCCGUCCUUGGGUGCCGGAGAUUCCCGCCGACGUUUCGCCGGACCCCGUGUCUCUCUUGCCUCUCCAGCAGCACCAGAAGAACCACGAUGAGCCUCUGCACCGUUUUCCCCAUACCCCGUCGCCUAAUUCACCCUCCAGCCGCCGUUCCCACUAAAGCCGUGAGCUCUUCGCCGCCGGCGAUGGUGCAGACGAGGCCAUGCGCACUGCAGCCCGUGUCCGAGCACUCCAUCGUGCUCAGCAUGCUCCUCGUAGCACAUAUCACCCCACCGCCGUCCUCCCCGUGCACCACAACGUGAUCCCGCAUGCAACCGAACUCCGGCCGCCGCCGCGAGGUUGUUUCCGGAAAGCUCUAGUCACCCCACGACCUCCCACCUGCUCCCCUGGAUGCGGGCGAGCAAGGGCUACGCCCUGGUGCCCUUGGCACGUGCAGCCGACGCCCGUAGCGCGUUUCUGGCCUGCCUCCGCCGUGCUGGAUGGUCGCCGGCGGACUAACCCCGGCCGUGCUGACGUGGCCAGGUUAAUUAGGCAUUAACCACCUCUUAAUCAAACCCAAGAGUCACAGACAGCCGGGCCCCAUCUCAUAAUUAACCACAGGGUUAUUCCCUGCUUUAAUUAAGCUAAUGCUUUGACCCGCCACCUCAGCAUUGACCUGGCCCCACUAGUCAGCCUCUGUUCUUGCCCUGUUACACUGACGUGUGGACCCCACACAUCAGGUUUGACCUGGACCGCGCCCUGUUGACCUGCUGACGUCAUGAUGACGCAGUGCUGAUGAAGUAAAGUUUUCUGGAAUUAAAAUAAAUCAGAAAUGAUUUAUAAAUUUCAGAAAAUACCCCAAACUUCUAAAAAUCAUAGAAAAUCAACCAUAGCUCAGAAUUAAAUAAAUUAUAUAUGGAAAAUUAUCAGAAAAAUCAAGGAAUCCAUCUGUACCAUUUUCAUGCAUGUUUGAGCAAUGUUUGUCCUUUGUUUUGGACAAAACAAAUAAAAGGCAUUUAAAUAAUCAUAUAUGGAGUUGGAAUUUGAAUCAUGUAUUCAAACCAACUUCAUUUAAAUCAUAGCUAGAUGCAUUAGCUCAAAUCACAGCAUAUUGCCAUGUCAUGAUCAUGCAUCAUAUUGUGGCAUUGCAUUGAUUGUGUUCUUUCUCAUUUGCCGGUGUUUGUCCCCUCUUGAUAGACGUGGUUCCGUCGAUGUGAUCGAUGACACCGAUGAAGAACUAUACUAUCUUCAGAAGUGCCACGCAAGCAAAACCCCCUUGUUCAUUCCGAUACAGUCCCACUCUCUCGCUCCAGCUCUCUUUUACUGCAUUAGGACAACAGCGACUCAACUAUUACAUGGUGCGGUAGUUGAACCCCUUUCCUCUGCAUGACCUGUUAUUGCCACAGUAAAUAGAUGAAUCCCACAAGCAUGAGUAGGAGUUGUUUGAGCCCUGAUGUGCCUACUCAUUCAUGCUUUUUUGUCAUGCCUGCUAUUGCUUAGAGUUGAGUCAGGUAUGAUUCAUCGGGGAUGAAUUGGAAUGGUGUUGAACAUGUCCUACUGUGUAUGAGCUAAGUGUGUGAACACGAUUUGGUAAAGGUAGCGGUGAGAGGCCAUGUAGGAGUACAUGGUGGGUUGUCUCAUUGCAGCCGUCCUCAGGAACUGAGUUCUGUGUUUGUGAUCCAGGAACAGUUACUACCACACAUUGGGUUCUGGUAACUCGGCCCCUCUCGGCUUAUUAAUCAACUCGAUCUCUGUCCAGGAGUUGCAAAUAGUCUCUGGUGUUUGUAGGUAGUGUUAUUAGUCUACUAAGUGGCACCCGGUACAGGUGGGCUUGGGACAGACUAGGCACCAUGGCACGAUGUACCAAGUGGCACCCUGAUGGUGGGCUUGGGAACCCUGCUCACAUCGUUUGGGGCCGUGAGCGACACCCCGGCCGGAUCUCCUUGCGGAUGGAACCCGAAUAGGCGAUAAACCUGGACUAGAGACUUGUUGGUUAGUCACGUCGUGGACGACUCCCUCGCCCGGCUUCCGCUUGAAGGUUGCCAAGGUACAUGACGUGUACAGGGCGAUAAGUGGCGAGAGCGUGUGUGAAGAAGUACACCCCUGUAGGGUUAUCAUUAUCUAUUCGAAUAGCCGGAUUCCUCGGAUAUGGAAACUUGGACCCCUUGCAUAGUUCAUAGACAAGUGAAAGUGGAUACUCUAAAAUGCGCAAGAUAAGUGUGAGUGCUAUGGAUGGCGUUGUCGCAGGGAGAUGGGAGCGGAUCCAUAGUGGUGUAUUGGUAUGGUGAAUUUGUGGACACGUGUGCACCACCUCAAAAGAGUUACUUGCAGUCGUAGUUCAGGUUAGCCACUGAGUUAAAGCUGGCUUGCUGCAGUCAAACUCCACCACCCCUUAUUGAUACUGAUGCAUAUGUAGUUAGUUGUGAUGUAAGUCUUGCUAGGUACAUUUGUACUCACGUUUGCUUAAUUUAUGUUUUGCAAAGAGAUGUCAGUCUCGCUAGUAGUUCCACGUGGACCUCGACGUUUAGCUUGAUACCUCAGCUACGAUCUUGUUCCCUCGGCAGGAUCUUGUAGAUAGUCAGGCUUCUCAGCCUUUUCAUUUGUAGAUGCCUGUACUCAGACAUGUUAAGCUUCCGCGUGUGCUUUGACUUGUAUGCUCUGAAUGUUCGGUCAUGAGACCUAUGUUUGUAAUAUCUCGCUCCUCGGAGCCUAAUGAAUAAAUACUUGAGUCGUAGAGUUAUGUUGUGAUGCCAUGUUGUAUUUACACAUAUCAGGCAUCCGACAACCUAGUUGUUUAUCCUUGGUAGCCUCUCUUAUGGGGAAAUGUAGUCUUGUGCUUCCAUGAGCCAUAGUAGUCCGCUACAGCCUGGUCACUGGAGUCCUGCUAGCCCAGCACUACUGCUCCGGAACACUUGACUGGCCAGCAUGUGAUUCAGUUUGUUCCUGUGUCUGUCCCUUCGGGGAAAUGUCACGCGGUGACAUCCGGAGUCCCGCUAGCCUGCUACAGCUCGGGUUCCCGGAGUCCUGUUAGCCCAGUUGCUACCACCCGGAUUCACACGCUGCUGACCGACAUGCUCGAUGUUGAUUCAUGUAUGCCUGUCCCCGUAAGUUAGUGCCACUUUGGGUUCACGACUAGUCAUGUCGGCCCGGUUUCUCUGUCAUAUGGAUGCUAGCGACACUAUCAUAUACAUGAGCCAAAAGGCGCAAACUGUCCCGGGCCAUGGUAAGGCGACACCCGUGGGAAUACCGGGCGUGAGGCCCGCAAAAUGAUAUGAGGUGUUACAGGCUAGAUCGGUGUGACUUAGAAUCGGGGUCCUGACAGCUUUGGUAUUAGAGCCUGACUGCCUGUAGGUUUACCAAGCCAAACUGGUCGAAGUUGUGUCUAGAAAUGCUUUAGUUAUAUAAGGGAAUUGAUUGUGGAAGGGAACGUAAGGCUCUUUUUACUCCUUAUCCUCAUGACCUUCUGAUCUGAAUCAUCUUAUCUUUUUCUAAGGGGUUAAGGACUAGGAUUCUCUUCUAUCUCUCAGGAUGACGUCUUACUAAACCGUAGUUGCCUAGGAAUGUUGAGUUUAAGCCUCAGUUCAGUUCCUACUACUUCCGUGUGUUCAUAGCUGGCCUCAGAACCUUGAUAUUGUGAUGUUGAGUGGCUAUGCCACCAUUUUUGCAGGAUGUCUCAAAUAUUUUUGAGCAUUUACAACCGUUAUGCUGUCCGAGUCAUCCCAGGUUUCUAAAUAGUCUGAUGCAUUUGCAAAUCCCUUCUUUCUGUUCCUGAUGUUUUUUUGGGUCAGUUUAACCACACUAAUCGGUGAGUUGAGGUACUCUGUUGCCUCGACAUUAUGUUGGAGCUAUUAUUAUGACCCUAGGUGUCAUAGCAGAUCACCUGGUAAUCUAGCCAUGUUUCGUAUUCCUAGUGUUAUGAUUCUGGCCACCAUUCUCAAAAGCAUCCCGUGAUGCCACUUAGUUGGUAGGCAUUCUAUUCCUGGGUUCUUGAACCCAAGAUUCACCCCACUUACUUCAUGUUGAUAGUGUUUGCUAGUUCCUUUAGGUUAUUACUAACCUUUGCAUUAGUCCUCGAGGUCUGUGGUAUUUCCUUCUUCCGAAUACUAUGACCCAUUUAUGGUAGAAGUUUGUUGAAACCAAAAGAUCACAACAAAGUGCUCUUGAUGAGUUCUCCAUUCUUAUUGUGACUCUGCCAAUUCUACCUUCCGCAUGGGUUAUCUGGAAGAAACAUGUUGAACUUUGCUCAACAUGCUAAUCCAUGAAUCCACAACUCGGAAAGUUAUAUGUUCCUUGAGUUGUCCCUCUUUAGUUGUCUUCUGACCUUCGUCUAUCAAUUGAUAGUCAAGAGUAUGUGUGCAUUCGUUCAUCGAUGCCUAUCAUUCGUGUGGUUCGUUAAGCUAUUCUACUACAGAAUGACUAGGAGAAACAAACUCCAGCACCUCAUCCAUAUCUAGGAUUGGGUCAAAGCAAUUGUAUUCCACAGAUUAAGAAUGCUAAUCCAGCUUCUAGUCUGUUCUACCUUGGAGUGUUACCAUCUUUCUGUCAGGAGUGUCAUGAGAAUUGCACCACCUCCUAUAAAUUCUUGACGCAGUAAUACUUCUUGCCAUCAUUGUUCAUUCCUCGGUUCCGUGUUAUUGUAACCGGAAUGCCGACAAGUGUACUGCGAUGUGCGAAACCAAUACUCCUAGCAACUCCGUUGCUUGGUAGUUAAUGGACAAUACUCUCAAUCUUAGUGUGCUGGUUAUUGAAUCAUCAUCCUAAGAUUGAUCAUGCUACCUAGUCCAUAUUUCCGGGUGCACUCAUCGACCAAGGAGUUAGGAUUGUGACAAUCCCUCUCUCCUUGAUCAUAUCGUCUUGCCUGAAUAGCAAGAUUGUUCUCGAGCUUAAUAACAUAUCGGUGGUUCAUGAUUUUCCGAAUAUCUUCUCGGAAGUAUUACCAGGUUGUCACCUGACCACUAUGUUGAGUUCAUGAUCAUGUUGGUUUUCCUCCAAACCACCCAUUCUCCAAGAAUCUAUUUUGGAUACCCUGAGCUAGUUGGUUAAGCUAAACAACAACUUGAAGAGUUGGAAGAUGAAAGCUUGUCCGACUUAGUUCGUCACUAAGGGAUAUCCUUGUGUGUGUGUGUGUGUUGAAGAAAGAUGAUAUCUUCAUCGACUGAUCCCCAUGAUCAGCUGUUGAAUCUAUUAUCUUGUCCAAACCUUGAUUUGAGUGUGGGCUAUCAUCAAAUCAAAUCAGAACCAACGAUGUUCGUAAUGUUGUCUUACUUGCGGUUGUCCCUCGAGCAUACACCAUUAUAUCUUUCGGGUCUAACCAAUGCUAUCAGCUUGUUCAUAUGAUUGUGGAAUUCCAUUUAUAUGGAAACCUAGAUGAAUAGUUGUUGAGCCCAUCGACAACAUCCUUGUCUUCUCCAUGAUUUUGUUGGAUAUCAAGAUAGUGUUGGAAACUUUUGUAAGCAUUAUCUUCAUGUCCCGUUCAUGAAAUACAUGUUUGGUGUAAGAAGUGACUUUCUCCAAGUUCACGUGCAUUAGGUGCAAGUUGCCGCCGUGAAUUCAAGAAAGAUUGUUUUUGUUUCCUUUGGAAUCGUCCCAAGUAAGUCAUGUAUGUGCGAAGUAUUCUAUGGUCUGAUAGACUGAUCAUCUUCAUUCUAUAUGUAUCCCUAGCACACCAAGCCACUGAUUGAUUUUUCAAGGAGAAGAAGUCUCUUCUUAAGAGCAAGACUUAUGCAAGGACUUCGAUAUCCUUGUUGAUGGUUCCCCACCUGAACUCGGUAGUGUUUUUAUUAUAAGACUACUACGUGGUCAUGCUUGUCUGGGACAACAUGUUCACAUGUGUUAGUAGAACCAGCUCAUGUUUUGGAGCUUACUACCAUAGUCCAUUUCCCGAGAAUCUCGCAAGGUCAUCUCCUCGAUUUGUGUUGCAAACUUUCAUUUUUCUCUCUAGACUGGAUGAGUCUGCAAUAUUCUGACACCAACCAGAUAUGAAUCUCAGGCAGAUAUGAUGGUUGGAACGUUUGCCGAGAACUAUAAUAUUGGUCUCUCUGUAACCCGGUAAAGUGGAUGUCGUGGCCAAUGCACCAGCCGGAAGACCUAUUAUUGUAGUAUCUUGAUUGAGGAAGUUGGCCACCUCCCCAUAAGGAUCUCGCAGGAUUUACUUCCGUAGUUAUUCCUUAUGGAUUCCUGUGCUCUCGAAGUCUGACCUUUACUUGAUGGCCAUGUUGAUGCUUUUAAGUAUUGACCAUGGUACCUAGUACAUCAAGGAGAACAUUAGAAGCGGAGUGCUAAAUGUCUCUCGGUCGAUCAUCUAGAUUUUCUUCUUUGGCAUUACUAAGGAAAAAUCUGAGAAAGUGAUGUCCUCCUUUGCAUUUGCAUCCUCCAUCACCGUUUAUCAUGGUAGUACGAUGUGUUGCCAGGAUCCUUGGCACGGAUGCUGGUAAAACCUUGAUGAAUCUGGAAAUGCUCAAGUUCUUGAGAGCAAGCUCAGUCAUUGGUUUAUAUCCUCGGUAUCAAUUGGAAUGUGCCAUCCAUUGCCGAGUGUCCUAUAACUCUAGUUUCCUCUCCAAACUAAGUAUGCCAUUCUUUCGAAUUCAUUCAAUUGAUCAAUUGUGAUUUUCCUUAGGCUGGUAUAGAGAGUUUCAAUGAUCUCAGUAUCAAAAGUAAUUCUUUUGCCACUUAAGGGAAUAAUUCUACGAGUCACCCUCCCUGAGGUGUUCCGUUAUGGUAUCAUGGGCAACUUAACUCCUCGCUACCUUGAAACCCCCCCUAACCAUCUAUUUAACCGUCGAAUUUUUGCCUACCAACUUGAACCUUCAUCAUCUGUUUCACUCCAUCCCUCUAGAUGUAUGCUUCGUGUCUCAUCUCGAGAGAUGUUGCUAUGUCUCGUUCUGUGAGCUGAUCAUCAGUUGCUCGAUCUUUGAGGAGAUCAGUUCUGUAGAAUUUCUUUCUGUCAUCGUUGUGUUGGAUGAAGUUCUCAGAGCAUGAUGCCGAGACAAGAUCAUGAUCAGAUCAAUGUUCUUAUGAGGCGCAACCUGGAUCAUGAAGAUUCUGUUAGUUUGCAUUCCCCCUUCCAUCUUACCCUACGCUUGAAUCUCGGGACGAGAUUCUUGUUUUAGUGGGGGUGAGUUGUCACAUCCCUAGCUUUACCUUGGCCUUGGACUAGCUUGGUUGUUGCAUCAUGUUUAAAUUCAAAUGAAAUUUGAAUUCGGGAAUUUUCAAAGCCUCAGAAUCCUUUUAAAAAUGAUCAAGAUAAAAUUGCUUCAAAUAAGUCCAAGAAAAUGUUCUUGUUAUCCUCUAGAAAUAUUGGCAAGAGGUAAAAUCCAAACAAAUAUUUUUGGUGUCUCAGAAACAUUUAUUUUGGGCAUUUGAAUUAAAUCAAUAACUAUUUGAAUUGGAUUUAUAUCUACUAUUAAAUAAAUAUAGGUCCAAUAAUUCCGAAAUAUUUUAUCGAGCUUUGGUUUAAAUCUUUUAGCUUCUAAAAAUAUUUCCAGAAGCAACAAAAUUGAAUUGGUUUCAAAACCAAAUUCAAAACAGACCUGCAAAACAGAAAACAGAAGAGAAUUAGAAAAAAACAGAGAGAGGAAAACCCCACCUGGCUUACCUGCAGCCCACCUGGCCUGGCACUGCUGGCCCAGCCCACCAGGCCCUCCACCGUCUUCAACCUCCUGCCAGUGGGUAGGAGGGCGUGUGGCCGCCGUGCGCGCCCACGCGCUCCGCGCCACCUCCUGCUUGCCGACGAGCCCCUAGACGCAUGGACGAUUUUCCGCGUGUCUUCACGAUCCCGCUGACCCCCUCUCACUCUCUCUCGAGCUCAUCCCCCUCCUAUACUCUUUCUCCCUCUCCCCACCGUCGCCACCGUUCGCCGUACCCAAGGCCACCAACCACCCCUCGCCCUGCCGUUGAGCCUAGAAGCUCCGCCACGUCGUCCUCGACCUCCUCGCUGAGCUACGCAACACCGAAUGCUCCGGAGCCUCGCCAACGCCGCCGUCUCCGUCCUCGGGUACCGGAGAUCCCUGCCGAUGUUUCGCCGGACCCUGUGUCUCCCUUGCCUCUCCAGCAGCACCAGAAGAACCGCGGUGAGCCUCUACACCGUUCUCCCCAUACCCCGUCUCCUAAUUCACCCUCCAGCCGCCGUUCCCACCGAAGCCGUGAGAUCUUCGCCACCGGCGAUGGUGCAGACGAGGCCAUGUGCACUGCAGCCCGUGUUCGAGCACUCCAUUGUACUCAGCACGCUCCCCGUAGCACAUAUCACCCCACCGCCGUCCUUCCCGUGCACCACAAUGCGAUCCGCACGCAACGAACUCCGGCCGCCGCCGCGGGGUUGUUUCCGGUGAUUUCCGGUCACCCCACGAACUCCCACCCGCUCCCCUGGAUGCUGGCGAGCAAGGGCUACGCCCUGGUGCCCUCGCCACGUGCAGCCGACGCCUGUAGCGCGUUUCCGGCGUGCCUCCGCCGCGCUGGAUUGUCACCGGCUGAUUAACCACGGCCGUGCCGACGUGGCCAGGUUAAUUAGGCGUUAACGACCUCUUAAUCAAACCCAAGAGUCACAGACAGCCGGGCCCCACCUCAUAAUUAACCACAGGGUUAUUCCCAGCUCUAAUGCUUUGACCCGCCACCUCAGCGUUGACUUGGCCCCACUAGUCACCAUCUGUUCUUGCCCUGUUACACUGACAUGUGGACCCCACACGUCAGGUUUGACCUGGACCGCGCCCUAUUGACCUACUGACGUCAUGAUGACGCAGUGCUGACGCAGUAAAGUUUUCUGGAAUUAAAAUAAAUCAGAAAUGAUUUAUAAAUUUCAGAAAAUACCCCAAAUUUCUAAAACUCAUAGAAAAUCAACCGUAGCUCAGAAUUAAAUAAAUUAUAUAUGGAAAAUUAUCAGAAAAAUUCAAGGAAUCCAUCUGUACCAUUUUCGCGCAUGUUUGAACAAUGUUUGUCCUCUGUUUUGGACAAAACAAAUAAAAGGCAUUUAAAUAAUCAUAUAUGGAGUUGGAAUUUGAAUCAUGUAUUCACACCAACUUCAUUUAAAUCAUAGCUAGAUGCACUAGCUCAAAUCACAUCAUAUUGCCAUGUCAUGAUCAUGCAUCAUAUUGUGGCAUUGCAUUGAUUGUGUUCUUUCUCAGUUGCCGGUGUUUGUCCCCUCUCGAUAGACGUGGUUCCGACGAUGUGAUCGAUGACACUGAUGAAGGACUAUACUAUCUUCAGAAGUGCCAGGCAAGCAAAACCCCCUUGUUCAUUCCGAUACAAUCCCACUCUCUCACUCCUUCUCUCUUUUAGUGCAUUAGGACAAUAGCAAUUCAACUGUUACAUGCUGCGGUAGUUGAACCCCUUUCCUCUGCAUGACCUGUCAUUGCCACAGUAAAUAGAUGGAACCCACUAGCAUGAGUAGGAGUUGUUUGAGCCCUGAUGUGCCUACUCAUUCAUGCUUGUUUGUCAUGCCUGCUACUACUUAGAGUUGAGUCAGGUCUGAUUCAUCGGGGAUGAAUUGGAAUGGUGUUGAACAUGUCCUACUGUGUGUGAGCUAAGUGUGUGAACAUGAUUUGGUAAAGGUAGCGGUGAGAGGCCGUGUAGGAGUACAUGGUGGGUUGUCUCAUUGCAGCCGUCCUCAGGAACUGAGUUUUGUGUUUGUGAUCCAUGAACAGUUACUACCACACAUUGGGUUCCGGUAACUCGGCCCCUCUCGGCUUAUUAAUCAACUCGAUCUCUGUCUAGGAGUUGCAACUAGUCUCUGGUGUUUGUAGGUAUUGUUAGUAGUCUACCAAGUGGCACCCGACACAGGUGGGAUUGGCACAGACUAGGCACAGUGGCACGGUGUACCAAGUGGCACCCGGAUGGUGGGCUUGGGAACCCCGCUCACAUCAUUUGGGGCCAUGAGCGACACCCUGGCCGGAUCUCCUUGCGGAUGGAACCCGAAUAGGCGAUAAACCUGGACUAGAGACUUGUUGGUUAGUCACGUCGUGGCCAACUCCCUCGCCCGGCUUCCGCUUGAAGGUUGCCGAGGUACAUGACGUGUACAGGGCGAUAAGUGGCGAGAGCGUGAGUGAAGAAGUACACCCCUACAGGGUUAUCAUUAUCUAUUCGAAUAGCCGGAUUCCUCGGAUAUGGAAACUUGGACCCCUUCCAUAGUUCAUAGACAAGUGAAAGUGGAUACUCUAAAAUGCGCAAGAUAAGUGUGAGUGCUAUGGAUGGCGUUCUCGCAGGGAGACGGGAGCGGAUCCAUAGUGGUGUAUUGGUAUGGUGAAUUCGUGGACUCGUGUGCGCCACCUCAAAAGAGUUACUUGUAGUCGUAGUUCAGGUUAGCCACUGAGUCAAAGCUGGCUUGCUGUAGUCAAACUCCACCACCCCUUAUUGAUACUGAUGCAUAUGUAGUUAGUUGUGAUGUAAGUCUUGCUGGGUACAUUUGUACUCAUGUUUGCUUAAUUUAUGUUUUGCAGAGAGAUGUCAGUCUCGCUAGUAGUUCCACGUGGACCUCGACGUUUAGCUUGAUACCUCAGCUACGAUCUUGUGCCCUCGGAAGGAUCUUGUAGAUAGUCAGGCUUCUCAGCCUUUUUCAUUUCUAGAUGUCUAUACUCAUACAUGUUAAGCUUCCACAUGUUCUUUGACUUGUAUGCUCUGAAUGUUCGGUCAUGAGACCUAUGUUUGUAAUAUCUCACUCCUCGGAGCCUAAUGAAUAAAUACUUGAGUCGUAGAGUUAUGUUGUGAUGCCAUGUUGUAUUUACACAUAUCAAGCAUAUUGUGUGUAUGAUUGAAAUGCUUGGUAUGUGUGGGAUCCGACAACCUAGUUGUUUAUCCUUGGUAGCCUCUCUUAUGGGGAAAUGUAGUCUUGUGCUUCCAUGAGCCAUAGUAGUCCGCUACAGCUCGGUUCACCGGAGUCCUGCUAGCCCAGCACUACUGCUCCGGAACACUUGACUGGACGGCAUGUGAUUCAGUUCGUUCCUGUGUCUGUCCCUUCGGGGAAAUGUCACGCGGUGACAUCCGGAGUCCUGCUAGCUUGCUGCAGCCCGGGUUCCCGGAGUCCUGUUAGCCCAGUUGCUACCGCCCGGAUUCACACGCUGCUGACCGACAUGCUCAAUGUUGAUUCAUGUAUGCCUAUCCCCGUAAGUUAGUGCCACCUUGGGUUCACGACUAGUCAUGUCGGCCCGGUUUCUCUGUCAUAUGGAUGCUAGCGACACUAUCAUAUACGUGAGCCAAAAGGCGCAAACGGUCCCGGGCCAUGGUAAGGCGACACCCGUGGGAAUACCGUGCGUGAGCCCGCAGAGUGAUAUGAGGUGUUACAGGCUAGAUCGGUGUGACUUAGAAUGGGGGCCUGACACUACCGAGCUAUAAGUAAUCGCAAAGUACUUAAUAGUGAAAAUAUUCUACCUUACUUCCGAAGACAAUAACCGAUUCUUAUAAAUUGUAGUCUGGAUCGUAGCCCUUCUUGACAGAGUUCGUCUUCGGGGGAUCUCCUUCCGGAGAUGAUGGAGAGUGAAACGCCUCCCCCUGACACCCCGGCCCCGGAGGCGGGCGACCCUGAAGUGUCGUCGCGGAGGAUAUCUCCAGAUCCGCCAAGGCCAGAGGAUAACCCUUUGGCUACCCGAAAUCCCCAUUAUCCGGCUUCUAAGGAGAGCGGCAACGAGGGUCCAGAACCAUACAGUGUGCGGUCAGACGCGCUGAAGGAUCUUCUGGGCAAGCGGCCGUCUCGGAAGUGCAUCGUACGCUAAUGGGUAUGGUAAUUGAAAGGAUUUCAUCCGCUGAAAGCGGUUUGCACGAAGCCUUUAUGAGUCUGCUGAAGGGCUUUGAGGUUCGUGAAAUAGUGUAUGUUUUUGAUAGUACCGCACACGUUAGGUGUGCCCUAUGCAGAUAGUAGCCCUUAAGACUCUGGUUGUCGUCGAGAACGUCGGCAACCCGAGGGUCAUAUACCCGGGUAAUAACCCAACUGCCUUUAUGUGCAGGUGGCUGAGGCUACGGUGGCUAGCCAAACUGAUGGGUUUACCGAGAUAUAGCGGCAACUUGAUGCGGUUGAUGCCAAUAUCGUGCUUGUCAACCAGCGGCUUGACGAGGCACAGGGUGAGUGAUUUCUCUAGUGAUCUCACAUAAUAAGAGGAGCAUGAUGCUAGUAUCUUAAAUAUGUUGCGACUGCAGAUGGAAGUGCCGCCGUGGAGACCCUUCGGGCGGAGCUGGCCCGAGCCAAGGAGCAAGCAAGGAGUAGCAAUGCGGCCGCUCUAAAGGCGGCCGGAGAGUUAAGGGCCGAAUGGGCCGCGCAUUGCGAGAGCAAGGAAAGAAUAGCCAGAAUGGUUGUAGAAUUAAAAGAUGCCGCUGACCGUUACCAACUUCUUGAAGAAGAAAGCCGAGCAAGGGCGACAGGGCUGGAGAAGGCCCUGGUAGCUGCCAAGGAAGCCCGCUCCAAAAUUAGAGCGACGAAGGAGGAGCUGCAUCAAGCUGCAGAUAUCGUGUCUGGGAAGCCCUUCUUGUUGCGGACUAAAUUCGGAGAUCCAAAAUAUGUUCCUCUUGACCGAAUAUGGAGUUCUACGAACGCCUACGUGGAAUUGGCUGCAGGUGCUGCUGAUGCGGCCGAGUACUUCAAGGAUCAGAAAGAUCAAGAAGUGGAGAAGCUGUUCUGGUCACAGUUUCAUGCUCCAGUCCGUCCGCUGCUAUUGAAUGACCGAAUAGCCGAGUGGACCAAGCUCCGUAGGUUGUCCGGACUUGCCGUGAGGUCUGUUGUAGAUCAUCUGUGGCUGGGAGGGCCAAGGCCGAAUAGCUACUUUAGUUUAGUGCAACUGUCGGAGUAAACGACCACUGGUAGCCUAGCCGGCUCCCCCUGGCCCUUCUGAAAAAAUUACAAGCUGAUCCGGCCCUCAAGAAUCCAAGACGUGGGGCCGCCUUCCCCUUACCGGUUGUCUCCCAGGCCGACUAUCGGAAGGCGGCCCGGCUUUAGCCCUCAUGAAGAAAGCCGAGGGAGGGCCGACUCCAAGAAGCCGGCUGCGAGAAGCCGACUCCCACAAAGCGGUCAAGAUCGUACCCUCGAGGUCUGCAUCCACCUAACAGCGAUGUGGCGGGGCGUGGCUACAGUAAAGCCUGCCACCCCCGAAUCCCGGAGCACGCCUGACACAGUGCGCCGUAUGGGGUGGCCAUGACCCGUCCGGCGCGGCACUGUUGCCAUGUUGACCCUGAUGCCACCCAUGACGAGCUGUCAGCGCGGCCCACGGGCGGUGGGCCCCUUCAGGCAGAGAGACACCCGAAGGCGGCCAGGCCUCCCCCAGUCGGCCCAAGACAGGGCCGGCUCCCCACAGCCGGAUUGCUUCCUCCCUCGAAGGAGACGCCCCAUUAAGGAGAAAAGACGAGGUGAGGCUACAACGAUCGCCCACCGGCCGGCGGCACUAUAGCCACGCUUACCUCGGCGAAGCCCUCGUCACCAGGUUUGAGGCAACAGUAACCAGCCACCGACAAGGCCCUUGACAGUGGGGCCUGCCUGUCGACCAAGGAGCCGACAGCUGGCGGGACCCACCAGCCGGUCGGCUCCAGCAGCCGGCGCAGAAGCCGGCGAGCAUAGACACAGACGGCUAGGGGCCACGCCCAGCCGGAUUACCAUUGUCCCCCGGGGGGUGGGCCUAUAUAAACCCCUCGUGGCACCCAUGGAAAGGGUUGAUCUGAGCUAGUUUUAGACACCACAUAGAGAGAGAGCUAGCCGUGCCCUUCUUCUUCUUCUCGCCAAACAGCUCAAGGAGCAUCUUGUAGCCACUCGUUCAUCUAGUGAUCAUGCGGAGACCCUGCAGAGCAGUAGUAGGGGUGUUAUCUCCAUGGAGAGCCCUGAAGCUGGGUAAGAUUCGUCGGAGUGCAUGUCUUCGCCUCAUCCCGCUUCCAGGCACCGGCGAUGUCUUACUGGCUCCCACAAUGAUAAGCCACCCGUUGGCAUAUGUCGCACCUACCACCCGACAUUUGGCGCCCACCAUGGGGCCAGGUGCACCGUCAUCAGGAGACCUGUUCUGGAGGGGAACCCUCUUCCUCCCCAGCGAGCAUAGCCAGCCCAGCACGCCCGAUGGCGCUUGCCACGACGUGCUGCAAGGCAUCACCAACAUCUGCGCAGCGAGCGGCCUCGCCGAUCUCCUUGACGAGACCCUCAUCUCUGACGAGCCCGCCUCUGACGCGGGCACCGACCAACUCGUCAACCUCCUCGGCCAGCUCCACGUCUCCGGCGAGCCUGCUGUGGACUUGGAGUUUGUUGGAUCCACCGAUCCGAUGCCUGUCGACUCCGACAUGGCCUCGCUCGAUGCUUUCCCCACCGACGUCGUGAUCUACAAUGACCCGCUUCCCCGGGCCGAUGGCUACGACGGUGCCACCACCGAGGUGAUGGUCAUCGGCCACGGUGGUGCUUCUGGUGAGAAUGCCCUCGACGCCCCGCAUGCGGCGGUCCACGACUUGUCCAUCCCCCUCCCGGCCAAUGCCGACGCCGAAGCACUGGAGGCUCGCUGCCUCGCCCUCCUCCCGGAGGGCCGGAAGUUGGCUUCCAUGAGACGCCUCACUGAGGCCCACCAGCGCGAAGCCGACCGCGCCGCCUUUGGCACGCCGCCCCCAGGCGGGCCAAGCCGAGCCGGCGUUGUCAGACAGCGCGCCGCUGCCCUCGCCGACACGCUAGGAGUCGACCGCCUAGUCUACGCCACUCCACUCGAGAACCUGCGCGCCGCCCAGGCGGCCGUAGAUGAGCUAAACGGACUGGGGGCCGAAGAACUCCCCCACAUGACCAGACGCAUCCAGCAACUAAUCGAUGCAGCCGCAUAGCGGCACGAAGCCGACGCACGCGCGGAAAGCCCUCCGCUGCGCCGAGAGCACGACGCGACAUCCCGGACGCCGACUGCGGGUAAAACCCGCGCGCGACAUGAGAAAGAGCCGGCUGCCAGCCUAAGCCGAACCCGGAUCUCCAUCGAGCGAGACGCAGAAGGCCAUCCCUGGGCCAUGGAGCGGCGGGGCAACCCGCCUCCGCCUCCACCUCGUGGGGAGAGAUAUCCCACCCCACCGCCUGUCACGCAUCCGACUCUCGGCGGCCGACUAGGUCGCCGCGAAGGAGUCGGCGAGAAUGACGCCCGCCAUCAGAUCGACCGCCUAGCGCGAUCCCUGGCGCUAGAAGAAGAAGAUGAUGUCGGCCCGCCUUGCUUCGGCCCCCGCAUCCGCGAUGAGCCUUUCCCCAAAGGGUUCUCGCUCCCAAGAGACACGCCCAAGUACAACGGCUCCGUGAAGCCGGAAGAUUGGUUGAUCGACUACUCCACAGCGGUUCGCAUAACAAACGGCAACAGGCGCAUUGCCGUGAAGUACGUGCCCCUCAUGAUGCAAGGCACGACGGGGACCUGGCUCAACAGCCUCAGGCCAUACAACAUCAACAACUGGCUAGACUUACAAGCGGGCUCCCAAGCCCAGACAGCUCUCCUUGUGCGUACAAGGCCCCACCGAAUCCACUCGCGACUACCUCACGCGUUGGGCCGAGCUCCGAAACUCUUGCAAAGGGGCGCACGAGGUGCAAGUCAUAGAAUACUUCACUGCUAGGUGCCGAGAAGGCACCCUCCUCAAGCACAAGCUCCUCUGCGACAAGCCGACUACCCUCGACGAGCUUCUGGUCAUAGCGGACAAGUACGCCACCGCCGACUCCUCAAUGAAGACUGAACUCCGGGUAGACGCAUCCGGGAAGGUACUCAACCCGGCGCCCAAGACGCCGGCUGGGGACUCUGGCCGACGCCCGUACCAGAAUGGCCAUAAGCGCAAGGGCCCCGUGCCGCUCUCCACCAGUCGGCAGGUGGCCAUAGUCGAAGACGAGCAGCCCGAAGGGCGGCCCGCACACAAGAAGCAGAGGGGCGGCAGGCCGGCUUGGCAGUCGGCCUUCUCCUACGAGCAAACUCUUGACGCCCCAUGCAAGUUCCACAGUGGCGCGAAGCCGUCCAACCACACAACCUGGAAGUGCCACUGGCUCACCCGAAUCUCCAAAGGCGAAGGGCUCGCGCCGCCUCCGCCUGCUGGUCCGCCGCCUCCGGCUCCGCAGCUGACGACCGCUCGGCCAGCAGUCGGAGCUGUGCACGAUGAGUUCCCCGACGAGCAUGCCGCCUAUGUCGUCUUUACAAGCCAGCCCGAAGGCCAGCGCAGCAGACACCGAGAGCACCAGGAAGUCAACAUGGUCGCUACCAGCCCCGCCAAGCACAUGCACUGGUCAGAAAAUCCUAUCAGCUGGAGCCGGGCCGACCACCCAGAGGUGAUGCCAUCUCCCGGCUCUUAUGCGUUGGUUUUGGAUGCCACCCUUGCAAUGGACAGACACGCCGCCCGUUUCUCCUGCGUGCUGAUAGACGGCGGGAGCAGCAUCAACAUCCUGUACCGUGACACCCUAGAGAAGUUGAACGUCAAGAUGAAGAAACUCAUGCCUACUCGGACUGUGUUCCAUGGCAUUGUACCUGGCCUGUCCUGCGCCCCCAUUGGAAAGAUCAAGAUUGAUGUUCUCUUUGGGGACAAGGAUCAUUUCCGCCGGGAAGCGAUUUGGUUUGAAGUGGUGGACCUGGAGAGCCCCUACCAUGCAUUGCUUGGCCGUCCUGCCUUGGCCAGGUUCAUGGCUGUUCCCCACUAUGCUUACCUCAAGAUGAAGAUGCCGAGCGCCAAGGGCAUCAUCACCAUAGCCGGCGAUUACAAGAAAUCUUCCGAGUGUGCAGCAGCCAGCAGCCGGCUGGCCGAGUCCCUUGUGAUUGCCGAAGAAAAGAAGAUGUUGGACCGAGUCGUGGCCAUGGCCGGCAAACAGCCGGCCCUGUCCCCCGAUCCCAAGGAGUGUGAUGCCCAAGGAUCUUUCCAGCCAGCCAAGGAGACAAAGAAGAUACCUCUUGACCCCGAGCACCCAAAAAGGUUUGCCGUCAUCGGGGCAAACCUAAACAGCAAAUAGGAAGGCGAGCUCGCCGAUUUCCUCCGUGAGAAUCGGGACAUCUUUGCAUGGUCCCCUGAGGACAUGCCGGGUGUUCCGAAGGAAUUCGCCGAGCACAAGCUACACGUUUGAGAAGGCGCAAAACCAGUCAAACAACCCCUCCGCCGACUGUCGGAGGAGAAAAGAAGGAUUGUAGGAGAAGAGAUAGCCCGGUUUCUGGCAGCCGGCUUCAUUAUGGAGUUUUUCUUUCCAGAGUGGCUCGCCAACCUGGUCCUCGUGCUAAAGAAGAACAACAAGUGGCGCUGUGCAUAGACUACACGAGCCUCAAGAAGGCCUGCCCCAAAGAUCCCUUUGCCCUGCCAAGGAUUGAUCAAGUCAUAGACUCCAUGGCCGGAUGCGAGCUGUUGAGUUUCUUGGAUGCUUACUCAGGAUACCACCAGAUAAAGCUAAAUCCGGCUGACCGCCUGAAGACCGCCUUCAUCACGCCAUUCGGAGCUUUCUGCUACCUGACUAUGACAUUCGGCUUAAGAAAUGUCGGUGCCACAUUUCAGCGUUGCAUGCAGAAGUGCCUCCUCAAGCAGCUCGGCAGAAAUGCCCACGUCUACAUAGACGACAUUGUGGUGAAGACGGAGAAGCAUGACACCUUGCUGGAAGACCUCAAGGAAACAUUUGAGAACCUGCGCCUGUUCCAGAUCAAGAUCAACCCCGAGAAAUGCAUGUUCGGAGUGCCAGCCGGCCAGCUCCUAGGCUUCCUGGUCUCCGAACGCGGCAUCGAAUGCAACCCAGUAAAGAUCAAGGCCAUUGAGAGAAUGGCGAUUCCCACCAAACUUCGAGACGUCCAGAAGUUCACCGGGUGCUUGGCCUCCCUGAACCGCUUCAUCAGCCGGCUCGGAGAGAAAGCUCUCCCCCUCUACCGCCUCUUGAAGAAGACCACUCACUUCGAGUGGAACGACCAAGCCGACCAAGCUUUUCACGAGCUGAAGAAGAUGCUGGCCAUGCCGCCUGUCCUGGCGGCGUCGACUGAGAAAGAGCCCAUGCUCCUCUACAUUGCUGCAACCAGCCGGGUGGUCAGCACCGUCAUCGUAGUCCAGCGCCCAGAAGAGGGCCGAGCCCAGCCGGUCCAGAGGCCGGUGUACUAUUUGAGUGAGGUGCUAUCUACCUCAAAGCAGAACUACCCGCACUACCAGAAGAUGUGCUAUGGCGUGUACUUCACCGCCAAGAAGCUGAAGCCCUACUUCCAAGAGCACCCCAUCAUGGUCGUAUGCACCGCCCCGCUUGCCGAGAUCAUAGGCAACCAAGAUGCAUCCGGCCGGGUGGCGAAAUGGGCCAUCGAGCUGGCCCCCUACAUGAUCUUCUACCAGCCUCACACUGCCAUCAAGUCCCAAGUAUUGGCCGACUUCCUCGUCGACUGGGCCGAGACCCAGUACCAGCCGCCAGCUCCCGACUCCACCCAUUGGCGCAUGCACUUCGACGGGUCCAAGAUGCGCACUGGCUUGGGAGCCGACGUCAUCCUCACCUCUCCCAAAGGUGACAAGCUCAGAUACACGCUGCAAAUUCACGUUGCCGCCUCCAACAACGUGGCCGAGUACGAGGCGCUCAUACACGGGCUCCUGCUUGCCAAAGAGCUCGGCAUACGCCGGAUCCUAUGUUACGGCGACUCGGACUUGGUAGUCCAGCAAUCAUCCGGCGACUGGGACGCCAAGGACGCAAAUAUGGCAAGCUACCGCUUCCUCGUUCAGCAGACCAGCGGGUACUUUGAAGGAUGUGAGUUCCUCCAUGUACCGCGAGCCGACAACGAGCCAGCUGAUACCCAGGCUCGAAUAGGCUCCACUCAGCAGGCGAUACCAACCGGUGUCUCUCUGCAACGCCUCCUCAAGCCGUCUAUCAAGCCGUCUCCAGAGUCCGAUUCCAUCUUCGUGCCGCCUGACCCCGACGGAGCUAGGUCCGGCUCGAAGAACCAAGCAGGUGACCCAGGGACUUCGAUAGUCGGCCCGGGGACGUCAGUAGGCGGCUCGGGACUUCCGUAGUUACGCCCGACCCAGGGACUGCCACACCCGGCUCGGGGACUGCGGUAGUCGGCCCGGGGACUGCACCAACACAACAGGCGGCGGCCGACUCCAGCAUUUCACCACCCAGCCCGCCCGCCCUGGUCGCAGUAGCCGUGUUGGCAAUAGAAGAAGUCGCAGCUCCAUCAUGGGCCCAGUCCAUCCUCAACUUCCUAAUAAACCAAGAUCUGCCGGCUGACGAAACAAAGGCAAGACAAGUCCAAUGCCGAGCCGGAGCAUACACAAUCGUCAACAGAGAGCUCGUCAGGCGCAGUGUCAUUGGAGUCUUCCAGCGAUGCGUCGAGCAAGAGAAGGGCAUUGCAAUCCUCAGAGACAUCCACCAAGGAGAAUGCGGCCACCAUGCGGCCUCAAGAUCACUCGUCGACAAAGCUUUCCGCCAUGGGUUCUUUUGGCCGACUGCUUUGGAUGACGCCAAGGAGUUAGUUAAACAUUGCAAAGGGUGCCAAGUCUUCAGCUCCAAGCAACACAUGCCGACUUCGGCACUCAAGACCAUUCCCCUCACUUGGCCCUUCACUGUUUGGGGACUGGACAUGGUGGGCCCAUUCAAGACGGUGCGCGGCGGCGUGACACAUCUGCUUGUCGCCAUGGACAAAUUCCCCAAAUGGAUUGAGGCAAAGCCGAUCAAGAAGCUGAAUGGGCCGACUGCCGUGACAUUCAUCGCAGAUAUAACAACUCGGUACGGCGUGCCACACAGCAUCAUCACCGACAACGACACGAAUUUCGCCAAGGGAGCAUUGGCACAUUUCUGCGCGACGCAGGGCAUCCGGUUGGACUUAGCAUCCGUUGUCCACCCGCAGUCAAACGACCAAGUCGAGCGAGCCAAUGGCCUCAUCCUUUCCGGCAUCAAGCCCCGACUGGUCGUACCACUGGAACGUUCGGCCGACUGUUGGCUCGAUGAGCUGUCGGCCGUCCUCUGGAGUCUGCGCACUACCCCAAACAAGUCAACCGGCUUCACUCCUUUCUUCCUCGUGUAUGGUGCCGAGGCGGUCAUCCCAACUGACAUCGAGUUCGACUCGCCAAGGAAACACGAUAAGACGGCGUCGACCUGCUGGAAGAAGGUCGGCUGUUAGCCCUUAGCCGGUCCGCCAUCUACCAGCAGGGCUUGCGCCGCUACCACAACCGGAAGGUCAGACCAAGAUCUUUCCAAGAGGGCGACCUCGUGCUCCGGCUGAUCCAGCGAACAGCCGGCCAGCACAAGCUCUCGGCCCCUUGGGAAGGCCCCUUCGUCAUCAGCAGAGCGCUGGGAAAUGACUCCUACUACCUGAUCGACGCACAGAAGCCGAAGGUACGAAAGAGAGACGACUCCGGCAAGGAGUCGGAAUGACCAUGGAACGCCAACCUCCUCCGAAGAUUUUACAGUUGAAAUGCAGUAUGUAUCAUGCUAACUUUUGUACUAAGUACGAGACAAUAGGCCCCCCGAGGAGAGCUCGGGGACUGCCAUCUUUUAUCUAUGAAUGAAGAGUAUCAUGCUUAUGAUCAUGUCAUUACAUUCACUUUUUUCGUUCGGCACCGGGUUCGACUAGUCGGCCCGGGGACUGGCCGCCUUGAGUUAUAUUAGAAGUCCUACCCGCGGUCAGACAAGUAGUGUGCCGGAACCCAAGCCUUCUCUUGCCAAAAGUCGCAAUUCGAAGAACCGGCUGUCCGGAUGGCAAGAGUUAAAGGCAGGAAAGGACGCCCACACGAAAAACGGCUAGGGACUAACGGAAUAAUAUAACAAAAGCCGGUUUUUCUCCCACCACCGACCGACUACCAGAGUAGCCGGCCGGCUGGCUUCCAUUCACCUCGCUUCAAUCUAAUAAAGCUCGAGUACUUGCCUUCCCCAAAAAAAUAUAGCCAAGUUCUUCCCUAGCCAAAGGCUGCAGAGCAGCUGCCGGUUGGGAAGGCAGCAGCCAGGGGAAGGCGGCAAAGGAAACAGCCUAAGGAUAAAAAGCAUACAUGAAUGGAAGCCAAACACACACACGAUCAUAUUUACACAAAAGACCUUCGAAAGGCCAGCAUUCAACAUAGUUUGAAUAUACCACUAGUGGGUGGAAUUGCGCAAGUUUAAUAAAAAUUGUUCAAAGAGUAACAAGCAGGAAAAGCAAGGACGGCAGAUUAAGCUAAGGGAACGACUGGUGAGUCAGGCAGGUCUGUAGAGACGACAGUGCUGGCUGGAGGAGUGGCCGGCUGGCGAGCCUCGGCAUGAUCACCACCUCCCGCAGAGGGCGCGCUAGCACGCGCCUCGUUGCUGGAGGCACGGUCAAGCUGAGGCUCGCUGGCCGCUUCACCGGCCGGCUCGACGUCUUCGCCUUCCUCUCCUUCGUCGUCUUCACCUUCAUCGCUGGAAGCGAUCUCCUCCGCCGAGUCCUCACCCUCUGCCGGGUCCAGCCUGAACCAUUCCUCCGGCUGGGCAACGCCGUCGUCAUUUAUCUCAGGAGCAAAGGCGCUGAUGUCAAUGCACUCGGCGAUCGUCGAGGCACGCUGAGCGAUAGCCGGCCGCACCUCCUCCAUCUCCUCGUUGGCUUCCAGCCGCUAGGUGCGCAGCUGGUCCAGGUUCAGCCCAGGAUACCAGGCUGGGACGAACGCCAGUGCCCGCCUAGCUCCAACCCGGGCUGCCGAUGCCUUCCAGGCCUCAAAGCGGCCAACCGCAACCUCCAGUCAGUCGGCAGUCCGACUCGGGGUGCGAGGAAUCGCUUCGCCUGGCCAGAGGGCGGCCAACACCUGCGCCCCGGCGCGCUGGAGGCGGCGGAGCAUGCGGUGAGCUGGCUGCAGCCGGGCUUGGACCGCCAAGAGUUACUCCUCAAGCGUCUGGCUCGCAUCCGGCACGAUUUCAGCCCCUGCCUGCCGGUGCGCCUCGCGGUGGGCCUCGAUGGUCUGAGUGGCAAUGACGGAGUAGCCGGGGAAGUAGUCUGCACAAAGAACAAAAAGCAGCACAAGGCAGAACACAAAUCAGGGGGCAAGGGGCAAGCAAGGAGUGAGGAAGGCGGCUUACCAUCGAUCACUCGCAUAUUAACUACACCCAAUGCUCAAGUACGAUCAUAGUGCCUCCUAGUUGGUGCUUUAUAAGAGAAUAUGGACACUCAAAUUCAAAAAUAAAAAUUGCAUAAAGUAAAAGAAACUCCCUUCGCGGAGGGAGUAGGGAUUUGUAGAGGUGCCAGAGCUCAAAGCGAAAAAUUGAGAGACAAAAACAUUUUGAGAGGCAUACUUUUCCCACCAAUGAAAAUGACUUAGAGUUCCCAACACUUUCCAUGCUAGAGAUAUCAUAGGUAGUUCCCAAACAGAAAUUAAAGUUUAGUAUUUUUCAACCAUACUUUCACUUUCCAUGGCUAUCUAUAUCCACGGUUGCCCUCCAUACCAACACUUUCCAAGGAAUUUAUUAUUUGACAACAUAAAGUAAAUUCAUUUUUCAUUUCAGGAUUGGGCAUCCCUAAUACCUUUGCCUUACUCUCAUGCAAUGACAAGUGAAUAAACACUCACCAUAAGAAUAACACAUCUAGCAUGGAAAAUAUUAGCCACCCCUCACCGCCUUGUUAGCGGUACGAGCACAAGAAAGAGAAAUUUAUUUUGAAUAUUAGAGAUGGCACAUACAAAUUUCCUUAGAACGGCAAAAGAAUACCGCAUAUAGGUAGAUAUAGUGGACUCAUGUGGCAAAACUGGUUUAAAGGAUUUUGGAUGCACAAGUAGUAAUCAUACAAAAUGAAGGCUUGCAAAAGAUUGAGAAGCCACCAACCAAGAAACGAAUAAUCUCAUAAGCGAGCAUUAAGCAUAAUUAACACCGAAUAAUGCACCACAAGUAGGAUAUAAUUUCAUUGCAUAAUUAUUGACUUUCACGCUUUCAUAGGGAAUCACAAACCUUAACAUCAAUAUUCUUACUAAAGCAUAAUUACUCAUCAACAUGACUCACAUAUCACAUCAUCGUAUCUCAAAACUAUUUCUAAGAGUCAAGAUUAUUUUGUCCAAUGAUCUUCAUGAAAGUUUUUAUUAUAUCCUUCUUGGAUAUCUAUCACUUUGGAACUAAUUUUCAUAUGUUGCUUUUGAUAAGCUCAAACAAAUAUAAGUGAUGAUCAAGAGCAUAAUAAUUCUUUCUCUCAAAUUAAUUUAAGUGAAGCAAGAGAGAAUUUAUUGAAAAUUUUACUAACUCUCAAAUAAAUAUAAGUGAAGUAAGAGAUCAUUUCUUCAAAAAUACAAAAGCACACCAUGCUCAAAAAGAUAUAAGUGAAGCACUAGAGCAAGUCCAUAGCUCAUAAAAAUUUAAGUGAAACAUAGAGAGCAAUUCUAACAAGUCAUGCCAUAAUUUUGGCUCUCUCAAAUAGGUGUGUCCAGUAAGGAAUAAAGACUUAGGGCCUGUUCGGAAGCCCUCCAACUUCACUGGAUCCACAAAUCCCGCUUCCAUUUCCGGAUGCCAGCUUCUUUUAUGAAAACUGGAUCGAUGAAAACUGUUCGGCACCCUCGCUCCAGCUUCUUGUAGGCGCGAGCAGGCCAAACUGCCUGGACGGGCUAGAGCCCAGCCGGCUCAAUAGAUAAGGUGGCCUUAGGCCUGGUUGAACGCUGGAGGAGAGUGGCUGGGCCUGGCCCGGUUCAGAAGGAAAGGCAGCGAUGUCUCCACGUAGCCUCGUCAAGAGAAUAGAGCAUGACGUGAGAAGGGAGAGAGAAAGCAGCGAACCGGUACGCACCCUCAAAUCACUUGGCGGUGGCAUCUGCUCGUAAAUAAGGCCAACUCCAGGAUUCCCGAUUCCUGGGAUCGCCAAAACAACCGCUCCAGGUUUUUGUACGUGAACAUUGCUACGAUCCUGGAAGCCAACUUCUUGGAGCCGGGCCGGUCGGGCCAGCUUCGCUCGCUGAUUUGCGGAAUCCUGGAGCAGGCAGGCUACCGAACAGGCCCUUAAAACACAAAAUAAAACAAGCAAAGACUCAUAUCAUACAAGACGCUCCAAGCAAAACACAUAGUAUGUGACGAAAAAAAUAUAGCUUCGAGUAAAAUAUCGAUGGUCGUUAGAAGAAAGAGGGGUUGCCACUCGGGGCAUCCCCAAGCUUAGUUGCUUGCUCCCUUUUGGAUAAUAGCUUGGGAUGCCAGGACAUCCCCAAGCUUAGGCUCUUAUUACUUCUUAUUCCUUCAUCCAUCAUAAGAUAACCCAAAACUUGACAACUUCAAUCACACAAAACUCAACAAAACCUUCAUGAGAUCCGUUAGUAUAAGAAAGCAAAUCACUACUAUAAGUACUAUAGAAAACCAAUUCAUAUUUUGUUCUUGCAUUAUAUAUACUGUAUUCCAACUUUUGUAUGGCAAAAACUCAUCAAAAAAAAACCAUAGAGCCAUCAAAACAAGCACACAACACAAAGAAAACAGAAUAUGUCAAAAACAGAAUAGUUUGUCGCAAUCUGGGUAACUCAAAUACUUCUGAAACUCCAAAAAUUCUGAAACAUUUGGAAGACCUGAGAAAUUUUUAUAUUAGUCUUCUACAAAAGGAAUUUGUAUUUUAUUGCUCUCUGGUUAAAAAUGAAAAAAAAAUCACGAGCAAAAAAGUUUCUGUUUUUUCAGCAAGAUCAAACAACUAUAACCCAAGAAUAUCCUUAAGGCUUUACUUGGCACAAACACUAAUUAAAACACAAAAAACACAAUCAUAACAGUACCAUAAUUGUGCAAACACUGAAGAGCAGAAAGUAAAAAGCAAAAAUAAAUUGUAUUCAUUGGGAUGCCUCCCAACAAGCGCUAUAGUUUUACGCCCUUAGCUAGGCAUAAAGCAAGGAUCUAAGUUUUGUCAUCUUUGUUUCAAGAUCCAUAAGAUGCCCUCGUGAUUGAUUCAUAUGGUGGCCUAAUUCUUAUUCUAGGGAAGUGUUCCACAUCCUUCCUCAAAGGAAAUUGUAACUUAAUGUUGCCUUCUUUCAUAUCAAUCAUGUCACCGAUAGUGCGUAAAAAUGGUCUACCAAGAAUAAUUAGACAAGAUGGAUUGCUAUCAAUAUCAAGAACAAUAAAAUCUAUGGGCACAUAAUCCCUAUUUGCAAGAGUGAGAACAUCAUUAAUUCUUCACAUAGGCUUUUUAAUAGUAGAAUCCGCCAAGUGCAAAUUUAAAGAGCAUUCUUCAAUAUCGAUAAGACCAAGCACAACACAUAAAGAUUUCGUAAUUGUAGAAGCACUAGCACCCAUGUCACAUAAAGCAAAGCACUCAUAAUUUUUAAUCUUGACUUUGAUAGUAGUUUCCCACUCAUCAUGAAAUUUUCUAGGAAUUGAAACUUCUAAUUCCAACAAUAUGUUUAGUAAAAGCUUUUUUUGUUCAUAAGCAUGGGGUGAAUUUAUCAUGGAUUGCAAUAAAGAAAUACAAUCAAUCAAAGAGAAACUAUAAUAAUAAAAGUCUUUGUAAUCCAAAAGAGUGGGCACAUCACUAGUUAAAGUCUUGACCUCUUCAAACCCACUUUUAUCAAUUUUCUCAACAAGAUUUUCACCCUCUGAAAUAGCGGGACGCCUUCUAACUAAAGUUGACUCUUCACCAGUCCCUUUUUCAUCAAUAUUAACUUUACUAAACAAGGACUCAAUAGAAGAAACACCAAUCAUUUUAACAUCUUCAUCACUUUUGCGAAAAUAAUCACUCGAAAAUGCUUUUUCUAAAAAUUCUCUUUUAGCUCUAAGCAUAGCGGUUCUUUUGUUACUUUCAUCCAUAGAAACAUAAAGAGAUUUAAUUGAUUCCUAAACUUUAGGCACAAAAAAUUUCAUCUUGAGAUUUUCCACAUCAUGAUAAAUUCUACAAACACUUCUAGAUAACAUCAUUUAUCUUAUUCAACUUUUCUUCUUUGGUAGUGUUGAAUACUUUUUGCGUGUUGUUAAAUUAUUUAAUAUUAUUCUCAAGAUCAGAGGUGUUACUCUUAUGAUAAGAUUGAUUUCCAUAGGAAUUUCCAUAAUUGUUAGAGGAAUUACUAGGAAAAGGCCUAGGAUUAAAAUUCCUUCUAUAAGCAUUGUUAUUAUUUCGAGAGAUAAAAUUCACAUCUAUGGCAUCACUAUUUUGCUCAAUCAAAGUAGACAAAGGCAUAUCAUUGAAAUCAAUAGGAGCACUUUUACUAGCAACCAUUUUCAUAAGAGCAUCAACUUUUUCACUCAGAGAAGAAAUAUCUACAACUGAAUUAACUUUUUUACUAGUGGGAACUCUUUCCGUAUGCCAUUGUGAAUAAUUUUCCAUAAUAUUAUCAAGCAAUUUAGUGGCUUCACCCAAAGUAAUUUCCAUAAAAGUACCACCCGCAGCGGAAUCUAAAAGAUUAUGAGAAACAAAAUUCAAUCCCGCAUAAAAAAAUUGUAUGAUCAUCCAAAGAUUUAACGCAUGAGUUGGGCAAUUCCUUAGCAUCAUUUUCAUUCUUUCCCAAGAAUUUGCAACAUGCUCAUGUUCAAGUUGCUUGAAAUUCAUGAUCCGGGUUCUAAGGGAAAUAACUUUUGUGGGUGGAAAAUAUUUAGUGAUAAAAGGAUGUUUGCACUUAUUCCAAGAAUCGAUACUAUUGCGAGGCAUAGAAGAGAACCAAUUUUUUUGCAGAAUCACGCAAAGAAAACGGAAAUAAUUUCAUCUUCACAACAGCAUUGUCCACAUCUUUUUUCUUUUGCAUGUCACAUAGUUCCACGAAGGUAUUAAGAUGGGACGCGGCAUCCUCAUUAGGAGUACCGGAGAAUUGAUCUUUCAUAAUAAGAUUCAGCAAAGCAGUAUUAAUAUCACAAGACUCCGCACUAGUGGUGGGAGGAGCAACCGGAGUGCCAAUAAAAUCAUUGUUGUUGGUAUUUGAGAAAUCACACAAUUUGGUGUUCUCUUGAGUCAUGAUGACUACACAACAAGAUUGCACUCAAAAACAGAUCCGACAAGAAAACGACGAACGAAAAAGAGGGGCGAAUAAAACGGUAAAUUUUUGUGAUGCGGGGGAGGGGAAAAUGAGAGUUAAAUGGAAAAUAAUGUAAAUUGCGAGGAGAUGAGAUUUGUGAUUAGGAACCUGGUAUAUGUUGAAGAUCCUCCCCGGCAACGGCGCCAGAAAUUCCUUUUGUUGCGGCUUCAAGCUAAGUCGGUGUUUCCCAAAGAGAAAGCGAUGAUGCAGCACAUCGGCGGAAGGUAUUUACCUCAUUUAUGAGACCAAGGUUAUCGAACCAGUAGGAGAGAAGCAACACAGCGUAAACAGCCCCUGCACACAAAUAAAAAAUACUCGCAACCCAACGUGUAAAAGGGGUUGGCAAUCCCUUUCAGGUAGCGGAGCUCCAAGAUACGCAAACAGACAUGAGAUAAAUUGUAGUAGAUUGAUAGAUCGAACGCCAAAUAAAAUAAAUAAGAACAAAUUGCAGCAAGGUAUUUUUGUAUUUUUAGUUUAAUAGAUCUGAAAAUAAAAGCAAAGGAAAAGUAGUUCGCAAAGGCAAUUAAUAUGAGAAAGAGACCUGGGAGCCAUAGGUUUCACUAGUGGCUUCUCUCGAGAAAAAUAGCAAACAGUGGGUAAACAAAUUACUGUUGGACAAUUGAUAGAACUUCAAAUAAUCAUGACGAUAUCUAGGAAAUGAUCAUUAUAUAAGCAGCACAUCCAAGAUUAGUAGAUCGACUCCUACCUGCAUCUACUACUAUUACUCCACACAUCGACCGCUAUCCAGCAUGCAUCUAGUGUAUUAAGUUCAUGGGGAUACGGAGUAAUGCAAUAAGAAUGAUGACAUGAUGUAGACAAGAUCUAUCUAUGUAGAGAUAGACUCCAUCGUUUUAUCCUUAGUAGCAAUGAUACAUACGUGUCGGUUCCCUUUCUGUCACUGGGAUCAAGCACUGUAAGAUCGAACCCACUACAAAGCACCUCUUCCCAUUGCAAGAUAAAUAGAUCAAGUUGGCCAAACAAAACCCAAAUAUUGGAGCAGAAAUACAAGGCUAUAAGAAAUCAUGCGUAUAAGAUAUCAAUGAAACUCAAAUAACUUUCAUGGAUAUAAAAAGAUAUAUCUGAUCAUAAACUCAAAGUUCAUCUGAUCCCAAUAAACACACCACAAAAAGAGUUACAUCAUAUGGAUCUCCAAGAGACUAGUGUAUUGAGAAUCAAACGAGAGAGAGGAAGCCAUCUAGCUACUAACUACCACUACUAGGGAAAAGGCUAGCAGCAGCGUGGGUUUUAGGUGUAUCAGUAGCGCGGGGACCGGCGCUACUAAUAAGGCGCUACAGCUAACACGUAGCAGUAGCGCGUGCUCACCAGCGCUACUGCUACACAAGUGUAGCAGCAGCGUGCUUAAUGGAAGCUCGCUACUGCUAAUAGCUAUAGUGCGCUUCUCCUAUGCGUGCUACUUCUACUACCACGCCGCUGCUAACUUUUCUCCACUCGCUACUGCUAAUUUUAGUGGGUUUUUGUUUUUUUGAGCAUAUUUGUUUUGUAUUUGAACAGGCUUUAUAGAAGAAUCUUUAGCACAUACAAAUGUCAUCAUGAUACACAUACAAAUGCCUGCGAAACCACAAAAGUAAUCAUAGCAUAUACAUACAAACAGUCUCAUCAUAAUCAUCAUCCAACACAAAGUGGUAUCUUGUCAACAUCUCGAAAAUAGCGAUACAUGCAAGUCUCGAAUACUUGCAACUACAACGUCAUCCAUCUAAACAAAGGUAUACGCGAGAAGAGCUAUCACUAUGAGUGAGAGCGGAACUAUGCAGUACAUGAGGUGGCGGUUAUGAUUCCUCUCUCGCGCUAGCGUGAACCUCAAGUAACUAGCUUCUCCUUCUUGUCUGCUUUUGAAGCCUUUAUGGCUGGCGCUCGAGAACCCAUUCACUUACGCCUGACACUCAUGCCACUCAUUGUACACCCCCGAAACCUUCCCUUUGUACACGACAUAGCACUUCCAUCCCGCCAUCAAGAAACUAGGUACCUGUUAGAGAUGCAUGUUCAUGAAGAGGAUGUACAAUCAUAUAUAUGCAACAAAAUAUACUAGAGUAACACCGAAAAAGAAAGGGUUAGCAACUAGAUGCAACAUACAGUAUACAAAUUAAUUAACUAGAGGUACGCAGGUCAUCGUACGCAAACUAACAAAGUAGAGUUACGCAAGUUUGGCAGGGACCGUGGACAUCACAAAGUUUCAUCGCUACAAAAAGUAUACAAGUUCAACCGACACAUAUCAUCAUCAUUGGCAUCAUAAAUCACUAGAAGUUCCAUCCUUCGAUAUCAUCGAGGAUGGACCCUAGCUUCUUGAACGGAGUGAGGUCUAGACGUUGCAUGCCUAUGCGAGUUCGGAUGUCAGCUCACGAUAUAGGUCCGUGGUGGAACAUCCCCUUCUAAUCGAUGACUUCUUUCAUGAUGAUCGUCGCAAUGUCACUUUGGAUGCGAAAGAAGUCAUCUCUAAGUUUAUAAUCUGCUUCUCCAUGAGAAUCUAGCCACUUGUGGAUAUGAUCAUCAUUUCUGCUUUUCAUGAGAAGCUUUUGGUGAUUCGUGUUGAACUGAAUCAUGAGAUGGACGAUGUAGAAUCCAUCAUUCUUGCUUGGAUUUGGGACAUGGAUGCAGGAGAAGUUAGUUUUAUGCGCGAAACCAAUCUUCUUGUUCCUUUGUUUCCUGAUCUGCAUGUGGCCACCUCUAAUGCUGAAGCCUUGGAGAGCAUCAUCUAGAAUAUUCAUUAUGUGGGUGUAGUCUUUUUUCUCGUAGUCUCUGGAAGGGUCAAAAUACACAGCGUGGGAGACUUGCGGGUAAAGAACGAUAAGGACGGCGCGCCCGUUGCUGCGGGGAAAAGACACCUCAAAUUAUUCCCCAUAUGAGAGAGAAGGAAUGAUUGAAAUGUACGAAAGGGUUGUCCGGAACUGACUUACUUUGGAUGAUAAGGCACGAGGACAAUUUCCCGGUCCUUAUUCUGUACCAUGAAGUUUUGGAGGUACUCCCCAGCAGUUUCACGCUCAAAGUCACCGAGACUCAAGAAAGACUCGUGCAUGUAGUAUGGAUCUGCCACACAGAUUUGCGAGACUUCUUCACUCUUCAUGGCGGAGCUCAUAUGUAGCGCAAAAAGGCGGACGAUUGUAAAAUUGAGCCGCCUUGUCAGAAACAUCUCAAAGAUAUGGUCAAGCCGCAGGAAGAACACCUCCGCGGGCCGUGUCUGGACGUAGCACUUCCCCUCAGGCACACGAGCCACGUAUGUCGGAUAUCCUGGAUCCUUUGAGGCUAGUAGCAUUUUCUCAGUCAACAGCACAUGGUCGUGCAGUCUCCUGAGAUCCCCUAAUAAUGCCUCCAUCAGUUUCGGCGGUAGCAUCGGCUCGCUCGUGAGAUGGAACAUGGCCGCACCUUUCAUGGGUACACGCUCUUCAGAAUGCAUCGUCUGGCUGCUAUGUGCUCUGGAUUGUUUGGAGCCAGCUAUCUUCCCGAUCUCUUUCUCUCCUUUUUCUUGGGCACACCUUCUAGACCCUUCCUUAACCCAUGCCCCAGUGUUCCCGGGCUAAGUACUGUACGACCCUCGCGCCCGGCUAGUUGAGCCUGUGUUGAGGCGGCAUCUUCACGCGUGUCCCGUGAGGAUUUUCUGAAGAGAGACUUUUUGCAAUCCCUGCUACGACCUUCCUGCCCGGGAAUAUCAUCCAUAUCUUCAUUAGCAAGAUGAUAGCCCGAUUCGUCAUAUGGUUGACUCAUCAAUUCUAUGUCACAGUCAUAUGCGUUUGUAUUAAGGAAAUCCAUAGGGUCGACCUCCGUCUCUGUUAACACCUGAUUUUGGCACAAUGCAGAAUGCAAUGGAGAUGGCCUCAAAUCACAAAAUAUUCUAAAUGAGAAAUUUCACAUUGCUGAGUGGAACAACUUUGAUGUUUGGACCAUAAUCAUUCGGCAUCAUAUCAAAGACCAAAACUACACUCAGAUUGUCAUGUUUAGGUGUUUUGGGUGCUUUUUGGUCAAGUACGCCUCCAGGAGAAUCUCGAAUGAAGGAAUGCUCUACAUGAAUUGUCUUCAUCUCGUCGAAUCGGUCGAUUUUGAUAUAAAAAUCAUCUCAAUCCGAGUUCUUAUGCAAAAGUUAGAGCUAUCUGGAUGCAGCCCUGUCAAGAGGCGAAAUAUGACGCGGAAGACCAGACAUGUCUUGGCAAGUGUCUGAUGGCGUGAGUGUUUUGGCCCAGAAGAUGGCCUCGAAUCAGAAAACGUUCAAUACAAAAGUUUUUCGUCUCGUCGAAACGGUCAACUUUGCUUUUGGACACAUUUUCAUCCGAGGUCGUUUACUGCCUCAAAAACCUUGCCGGGGAAAGCUUGCCGCCGUGAACAGUAACCUUGCCGGGGAAAGCUUGCCGCCGUGAACAGUAACCUUGCCGGGGGAGAGCUUGCCGCCAUGAACAGUAACUUGCCGGGGAAAUCUUGCCACCGUGAACAGUAACCUUGUCGGGAAAGCUUGCUGCCGUGAACAGUAGAAACUGUCGAGGCCAAUCCGACCAGAUGCUGAAGAUGGGCUCAAAUACUUAUCUAGGUGGCUUCGGAUGAAGAAGUGUUCAACAUAGGAGUUGUUCGUAACGUUGAAACAGUCAACUUUGCUUUUGGAGUCAUCAUCAUCUGACGUAGUAUACGACCUGCAGAGACGCUGCAAUAGUCGGACGGUCCAGUCAGCUACAUGAACGAGUCCGACUCAAAAUUAGAGAUGACCCCGUGGAGUAUUCAAGAUGGCCUUAUUUGGAAAAGUGAUCAACAUACGGAUUGUUGGCCUCGUCAAAGCACACAUAAUUGAUAUUUGAACCGUCUCCAUCGGAAGUGAUAUGCAAAUUCCACAGCCCACGCAAGGAGCAAGACAAAAGAUUGGACCAGAUUCGGGCUGAAUCCGAGUGGGACCAGAACUAGGAUUCUAACACGUGAAUUGAUGUAAUUUUCUUGUAAGGAAAGCCUAGAUAAAUCCUUUGCUUGUACGGGAAGUCCAGCCGCCUCUUAUAUAUGUUGGGUGUGACGGCCGAUUGAACACACACAAUCGAAAAAAUCAAUAUACUACUUUUUUCAUCUACGUUUUAUCUCUCCACCGUUUUUCUAUCUCGUUCUUCGCUGUUCUUCGUGUUUGAAAGCUGCGAAUCCCGAGGCUCUAGGGGCGAGCGAGUCGACCUAGGGCAGCCCAUAGCCGCCACACUCCCUGACGGGGUCCCUCCCGGGGGUGUGGGGUUUUCGGGUCUGCAAAAGCGCCCGUCGACUGUCUUGCGUAUCGCGCUGUCGGUCGGGUCUCCUUCGACGUGAGCUGCCGUGCAUCACCCCCGGCAUCGAGGGUACACGUGACGUGUUCGUGUGUCAACACACUUUUUGGCGACUCUGCUGGGGACGAAGAUCAAUCAUCAUCAUCCACCAUGUCCGAUCUUCCCAAGCCAUCUGAGGUAGACGCUGAUAACAUCAUUAAGCCCAGUCUUGAUGAGAUAUCGGCUGAUCAUUGCCAAGUCUAUGAGGAGUACAAGAAGGCACGUGAGGAGAAGGACUUGCAGGAGUUCCUUGCAAAAUUCAAGAAAGAUCGCCAAGGCCACAUCACUCCGAUUGAAGAAAUCAAGUUCCCUCCUCUUCAAGCCGAGCAGGUUAAACCCGCUGUGAGUACUACCUUUUCUCCAGAGCAGUGGGCUGAGAUUGAGAGUCGUAUUGCUGAUGGUAACAAUCUGAUCUAUCAAACUUUCAUAGAAAAUACCAAUGCUCGGAAAAAUAUAUCUCAAUCAUCUAGUGGUAAUGAUGGUGUAGCUGCUAGUGUGCAAAACCCUAAUCUGGCUUUACCUAUCUCAUCGGCGCCUCCCAUGCCGAUGACUUAUUAUCCUACUCAAACAAAUUAGAUUGUGACUGCACCUAUUAAUCCUAUUGUGAGCAUGCCAAGUUCGGUGGCAACGCCGAACCAAACCCUACCUACAACUACAACCACUCGACCAUUACCGAACUAUAGUUCGGCAUACAUGCCACAGUUCAUACCUACUGCUAGUAGUCCUACUCCUCCUAUGCCACUGCCACAAGCGUCAUCGUCCACUAUGGAUGAUGGUCUAGCUAAUCUUAGAGAGGAGAUGGCUAAGAUGCUUCGAGAGAAUUUUGGAGUUGAGUUACCUCGGAAUCGGAUUUACCAAAAGCCGUACCCCGAGUACUUUGAUGCCAUCCAGUGCCCUCCAGGAUAUAAAAUUCCAGAUUUUGUUAAAUUUAGUGGAGAAGGCACAAAAACCACAUGGGAGCAUGUUAGUCAAUAUUUAGCACAAUUGGGUGAGGUAGGCUCAUUGAACGAAUUGAAAGUGCGUUUAUUUCCUUUAUCAUUAACUGGUACCGCAUUUUCAUGGUUUUCUUCUUUACCCCAUGGUUCCAUUCGGGUUUGGUCGCAGCUAGAGCAGAAGUUUCAUGAUCACUUUUAUAGCGGCGACAAUGAACUCAAGUUGUCACAUCUAACAUUGGUUAAGCAGAAGCAUGAUGAAUCGGUCUCCGAUUACGUCAAGAGAUUUAGAGAAACAAAAAACCGGUGUUUUAGUUUGGUGAUAACCGAGAGAGACUUGGCAGACCUAGUGCUGAGUGGUUUGAGAACUCCCAUCAGAGAAAAGCUAGAAGGCUAUGAGUUCUUAAAUAUCAACCAAGUCUUACAAAGGGCUUUGGCUCAGGAAAGCCAAAGCAAAGACCUCAAAGAAGUGCAUAGAUAAAAAGCCGAUCGUCCAAAGAUGUAUAUGAUCGAAUAUGAUAGUGAUCACUCGGACGAUGAGGGUGACGUUUUUUCUACUGAAUUUGUUUGGACAUCUAAGGCCAAACCAUUUACUUGCAAUGAUCUGAAACCUAUUCAUAAGAAUCGUGAUGAAGAGAUGAAGUUUACUUUUAACAUUGCCAAGUGUGAUAAAAUAUUUGAUUCUUUGCUGCAAGCUAAAAUUAUUAGAAUAACUCAUACUCUGCCGCCGUUUGAAGAGCUGAAACGGCGCGCUUAUUGCAAGUAUCAUAAUUCUUUUUCUCAUGCUACUAACGAUUGCAAUGUUUUUCGACGACAGAUACAAUCGGCCAUUAAUGACGGAUGAUUGAACUUUUCUGAAAUGCAAGUUGAUAAACAGCCUUUUCCAAUGAAUGCCAUGGAUUUGGAGGGGAAGAAGCUACUCAUUCGGCCGGAGGCAGCCGAAUCUGCUAAUAAAGCUAAUGUCAUUGUCAGUGAGCCCAGGAAAGACAAGGAGGACAACAAGGUCUUGGGGAGACAGGUUGUGCUUGAUAAGCAACCCGAUGGCAAGGAAGUGAUCAAAAUCACCAUCAAGAAUCCUACACUCGGGGGGCAACCGCAAGUGCAAGAAAAUACUCGUGUUAAAUUUGUCAAGCCCAAGAGUCCAGAAGUUGGCAAGUGGAAGAAGAAUGAAGCUAAAGUGCUGCGCAAGCAGAUCAAGCCAACUUUUGAUAUGUUGUUGUCCAAGUAUGCUAACCAGUCGGCUGGUUUUAGUUUCAAUCGACCGACUCAUCUGAAACGACCAAGGUCACCAUCAGCUGAUAUGUUCAGUCGGUAUACAAAACCGAGUGGACCAAAGGCGCAGUUUUCAGAAGAGCAGAAGCAAUCUGUGUGGGAUCGACUUGAUUACUCAUAUAAUGGCCGACUCAACAUCGGUGACUAUCAGUCGGCUGGUCAAAAUAUGCGACCGAGUGGAAAUUAUUCGAGUGUAAGGAUGCACCCAGGUGGAAGCUAUCCGAGUGAAAAAAUGUGGCCAAGUAGAUUCCAUCCGACUGGAUUCCAUCCGAGUGAAUUCCAUCCGACUAACAUCCAUCCGAGUGGAUUCCAUCAGAGUAAAAAGCUGCGCCCGAGUGGAAAUUUCAUGCAUCUGGAAAGUCGAAAAGAAUGGCGUGUUAAGUCACCAAGUGUUGCAGCAGUUGAGUCGGGAAAAACAAGGAGAAAAUGGAUGCCGACUCACUUAUCUUGGGCACCAAAACAUUUGCCAUACAGCAGCCAAUUGUGCAUAGUAAACCGGCUGAGCCGAUACUUUCUAUUGUGCCAGAGCACUCGGCUAAUGACCAUGAAGCAAGCGCCAGCCGAGUAAAAACGAGAGAUCCUAAAGACACUUAGCCAAAGUGGUGUCCUCCAGGGCUAACAAAGACACAGUAGAGGAAACUACAGAGGUUAAGGAGCCAAGAAAUGGCAGAACAAGAGGCUGAGAAGCAAAGGGAUAAGUUGUUCAAUGACACUCGGCCUAUGGUACCUACAAAACAAGUGUGGAGGCCCAAACAAAUACGAGAUACAAUGGCCUCUACGCCUACCACAGCAACACCUACACUACCAAAAAAGGACAACGCAAUCAUUGCAUCGUCUACGUUACCUAUUGCUUCCUCUUCACUCGGACAAAUUUCUGAAUCGGUGGAUGCACUUGAGGAGGAGGCUGAUAUGUUGGACUAUGAGUCUACACCGGUUCAUGAAGGUAUGGAUAUCAAUAUGGUGUAUUACUUGCCUGCUGAGUUUUGUGCUGUAGAUGAGGAAGGGGAGGUGGCUCGGCUGGAUUUUGGCCCUAAAAAUGCGAUAUUCGAGAAGCCAAAAGAACCAGUAACGCAUCUGAAACCAUUAUAUCUCAGAGGUCAUAUCAAUAGGUCGCCGCUCACUCGGAUGCUUGUUGAUGGUGGUGCUGUGGUAAAUCUUAUGCCCUAUUCGGUCUUCAAGAAAUUGGGUUUGCCUGAUGAAGAAUUGAUCAAGACCAAUAUGGUGCUUAACGGGUUUGAAGGCAAAGAGAAAACUGAAGCCAAAGGUGUGAUGUAUGUGGAGCUUACAGUCGGAAGCAAAACUUUGGCUACUGCAUUCUUUGUCGCUGAGGUGCAAGGUAACUACAACGUCAUACUAGGCCGUGAUUGGGUUCAUGCAAACCAGUGUGUACCAUCCAUUAUGCACCAGUUUUUGAUUCAGUGGGUUGAUGAUGAAGUGGAAGUCAUUCAUGCGGAGAACUCGGCCUGUGUUGCUUUGGCCGAUGCGUCGGUGGAUUGGCAACAUCCCAAUGCUACUUGCUUGACGGGACGUGACUUAUCAGAGUUUGAUUUUCUCAGUGCAACCAAGAAUGGUUUUAUGCCUGUCUCUUUAAAGCCGACUGAAUGCAAUCGGCUCCAAGGUAUGAUAUGUUUAAAUGGAUUCUAGCUCUGAGUGGUUACAAAAACGUCUUGUGAAAUAUCAGUCCAGCGAGAAUGAUAUGUAUGAGUCUAUAGAGGAGUUGGAUGACAUGGAUAAACUUGGACAAGGUUUUACGUCGGCCGAUCCAUUAGAAGAGGUAGAUAUUGGAGAUGGUUCAGUCACUCGACCGAAAUUUAUAAACAAAAAUGUGAAAGCCGAUUGUAAAGCUAAGUUGAUUGAGCUAUUGAAAGAAUAUGUUUGUUGCUUUGCAUGGGAAUAUCAUGAGAUGCCAGGGUUAAGCCGAGAGCUAGUGGAGCAUCGGUUGCCUAUAAAGGCCGGUUUUAGACCUUAUAAACAGUCGGCCAGAAAAUUUAAUCCGAAAACAUAUGACCGGAUCAAGGAAGAGAUCGGUCGACUGCUUGAAGCUAAUUUCAUUCGACCUUGCAGGUAUGCCGAGUGGAUUUCUAACAUUGUCCCAGUGGAGAAGAAAGGAUCCGGCAAGUUGAGGGUGUGCAUUGAUUUCAGAGAUUUGAAUAGGGCUACACCCAAAGAUGAGUAUCCUAUGCCAAUAGCCGAUAUGCUUAUUAAUGAUGCUUCUGGGCAUAAGGUUAUUAGCUUUCUAGAUGGUAAUGCCGGAUACAAUCAAAUUUUUAUGGCCGAAGAGGACAUGUACAAGACUGCUUUUCGAUGCCCUGGUUUCGUUGGUUUAUUCGAGUGGACAGUGAUGACAUUCGGAUUAAAAAAUGCUGGAGCCACAUAUCAAAGGGCUAUGAAUUUGAUUUUCCAUGAUUUACUCGGUAUCAUACUUGAAGUUUAUAUUGAUGAUAUUGUUGUCAAAUCAGAUGCUUUUGAAUCUCACUUGGCCGAUUUGCGUUUAGCUUUUGAAAGAAUGAAAAAGUAUGGACUGAAGAUGAAUCCUUUGAAGUGUGCUUUUGGCGUGUCAGCUGGUAAGUUUUUGGGUUUCAUUAUUCAUGAAGAUGGCAUAGAGAUUGAUCCCAAAAAGAUAGAGGCUAUACAGAAAGUGAAGGCUCCAACAUGCAAGAGAGAUAUGCAAAAGUUCCUUGGCAAGGUCAAGUAUUUGAGAAGGUUCAUAGCUAAUUUGUCAGGGAAAGUUGAUGCAUUUACUCCUAUCCUUCGGUUAAAGGAUGAUGCUGAUUUCACUUGGGGGGCAAAACAGCAAGAAGCAUUUGAUAUAAUCAAGAAUUAUUUGUGCACUCCUCCGGUGAUGAGAGCACCCAAGCAUAGGGAACCCUUCAGACUUUACAUUGCAGCAGAGGAAGAAGUUAUUGGUGCUGUUCUAACUCAAGAGACCGAAGGAAAAGAGCAUGCCAUCACUUAUUUGAGCCGCCGCUUAUUGGACGCAGAGACAAGGUAUACAUUUAUUGAGAAAUUAUGUCUAUGCUUAUAUUAUGCCUGCACAAAACUGAGACAUUAUUUAGUGCCGAGUGCUUGUGUUGUAGCUUGUCAAACCGAUGUCAUUAAAUACAUGUUGCAUAGGCCAAUUCUUAGUGGUAGAAUUGGCAAGUGGGCUUAUUCUUUAAUUGAAUAUGAUUUGGCUUAUGAAUCUCUAAAGUCCAUGAAAGGCCAAAUUGUUGCUAAUUUCAUUGUUGAACAUCGGAUUAAUGACAAGCAUGAUGUUGAUAUGAACCUUAUUUCAUUAGUACCAUGGAUAUUAUACUUUGAUGGGUCAGUUUGUAGCAAUGGCCAAGGUGUUGGUAUUGUUUAUAUAUCUCCUCAUGGUGCUGUUUUUGAAGCCUCAUGCCGCUUAGAAUAUUUUUGCACAAACAAUCAAGCCGAAUAUGAAGCAUUGUUAUUCGGCCUAGAGAUGUUACUUGCUAUAGGUUUUACACAUAUUGAGGCUUAUGGUGAUCCGUUACUAGUGGUACAGCAAAUAUCCAAAGUCUUUCAGUGUUUCGACGAAUCACUUAAUGUUUAUCUUGAUAAAUGUCUAGAUAUAAUCUCUACUUUGGAUUGUUUUAGCAUUGCACAUAUAUCUAGACAUGACAACUGGAAAGCAAAUGAGUUGGCACAACAAGCAUCUGGAUACCAUGUUGAUCAUGGCAUGUUUCAUAUUUCUCAAAAUCCGAUGUCUUGUCUUACCAGUAUAGAAGAGGCCAAACCAGAACCCACUGAUUCGGUCAUUAACAAAAAAUCUAGUGCAGGUGACAAUUCCGACUGGAGGAAGCCCAUUAUUGCUUACUUGCGUAAUCCGAGUGAAAGGGUGGACAGGGCUGUUCGGUGUAUGGCUUUUAAAUAUACUAUGAGGGAUGAUGAUCUUUAUCGCCGAACAGUUGAUGAUGUUCUUUUAAAGUUCUUGGAUGAGGACCAAGCAAGAGUUGCUAUGGGAGAGGUACAUGAAGGCAUUUGUGGUACUCACCAGUCGGCUCCCAAGAUGAAAUGGUUAUUACGACGUGCUAGGUUUUAUUGGCCGACCAUGAUUAAUGAUUGCUUCAGAUAUUAUAAAGGGUGCGAGGCUUGUCAAAAAUUUGGUGAUAUUCAAUUAGCUCCCGCUGCUAUGUUGCAUCCUAUUAUCAAGCCGUGGCCUUUCAGAGGAUGGGGUUUAGACUUUAUUGGGCAAAUCCAUCCGUCUUCUUCGACGGGGCAUCGGUUCAUAUUGGUGGCAACUGAUUAUUUCACUAAGUGGUCUGAAGCAGUACCUCUCAAGAACAUGACGCAUACGGAGGUAAUUAAAUUCAUAACCGAACACAUUAUUCAUAGAUUCGGUAUUCCUCUAACGUUAACUACAGAUCAAGGUUCAUCUUUUAUGUCACACCAAGUCAGAGAGUUUGCCGAAUCUUAUAACAUAAAGUUGCUCAAUUCCUCCCCAUAUUAUGCCCAAGCUAAUGGACAAGCUGAGUCUAGCAAUAAAAUUUUAAUCAAGCUCAUCAAGAAGAAGAUUGAGGAUAAUCCAAGGAGAUGGCAUGACUUGUUGUCUGAGGCAUUAUGGGCAUAUAGAAUCUCAAGGCAUGGUGCUACGAAAGUGACUCCAUAUGAGCUAGUAUAUGGUCAGGAGGCUGUUUUACCAGUGGAAGUAAAUUUGAAUGCUUUGAGAAUAGCCAAACAAAAUGAUUUAUCGGCAAUACACUUCUAUAACUUGAUGAUGGACAACAUUGAUGAGGUUGCUGAUAAACGUUUGGCUGCUUUGAAUGCCAUAGAGAGAGAUAAGUUGAGGGUGGCAAGGGCUUACAAUAAGAAAGUCAAGUUGAAGAAUUUUCAAGUUGGUGACCUCGUCUGGAAAGUGAUUCUACCGAUUGGUUCAAGAGAUAGAAAAUUCGGGAAGUGGUCUCCAAGUUGGGAAGGUCCUUUUAGGAUUACAAGAGUUGUUCCCGGAAAUUCAUAUUUGAUGGAAUCAAUACAGGGGGAAUUGUUACCUCGAGCUCUCAAUGGCAAAUAUUUGAAGAAGUACCGCCCUAGUGUGUGGCAGGAAGCCUAAGUAGGCAAUGGACGAUAUAUGAUUAUCGCCCUUAGCACAAACAUGGCCGAUACAAAAUUAUCGCCCUGAGAAGAAUAGAUGGCCGAUGGAGUGUUGACAUCGUCCUUAGAACAAACAUGGUGCAAAUUAUUUUUCGGCAUGCAAGCUUUGCCGAAAAACAGGGGGGCCUGUGUUGACACCUGAUUUUGGCACAAUGCAGAAUGCAAUGGAGAUGGCCUCAAAUGAAAAAAAUAUUCUAAAUGAUAAAUUUCACAUUGCCGAGUGGAACAACUUUGAUGUUUGGACCAUAAUCAUUCAGCAUCAUAUCAAAGACCAAAACUACACUUAGAUUGUCAUGUUUAGGUGUUUUGAGUGCUUUUUGGUCAAGUGCGCCUCCAGCAGAAUCUCGGAUGAAGGAAUGCUCUACAUGAAUUGUCUUCGUCUCGUCGAAUCGGUCGAUUUUGAUAUAAAAAUCAUCUCAAUCCGAGUUCGUAUGCAAAAGUUAGAGCUAUCUGGAUGCAGCCCUGUCAAGAGGCGAAAUAUGACGCGGAAGACCAGACAUGUCUUGGCAAGUGUCUGAUGUAAUGCGUGAGUGUUUUGGCCCAGAAGAUGGCCUCGAAUUGGAAAACGUUCAACACAAAAGUUUUUCGUCUCGUCGAAACGGUCAACUUUGCUUUUGGACACAUUUUCAUCCGAGGUCGUUUACUGCCUCAAAAACCUUGCCGGGGAAAGCUUGCCGCCGUGAACAGUAACCUUGCUGGGGAAAGCUUGCCGCCGUGAACAGUAACCUUGCCGGGGAAAGCUUGCCGCCGUGAACAGUAACCUUGCCGGGGGAGAGCUUGCCGCCGUGAACAGUAACUUGCCGGGGAAAGAUUGCCGCCGUGAACAGUAACCUUGCCGGGAAAGCUUGCUGCCGUGAACAGUAGAAACUGUCGAGGCCAAUCCACCAGAUGCUGAAGAUGGGCUCAAAUACUUAUCUAGGUGGCUUCGGAUGAAGAAGUGUUCAACAUAGGAGUUGUUCGUAACGUCGAAACGGUCAACUUUGCUUUUGGAGUCAUCAUCAUCCGACGUAGUAUACGACCUGCAGAGACGCUGCAAAAGUCGGAUGGUCCAGUCAGCUACAUGAACGAGUCCGACUCGAAAUUAGAGAUGACCCCGUGGAGUAUUCAAGAUGGCCUUAUUUGGAAAAGUGAUCAACAUACGGAUUAUUGGCCUCGUCAAAGCACACAUAAUUGAUAUUUGAACCGUCUCCAUCGGAAGUCAUAGGCAAAUUCCACAGCCCACGCAAAGAGCAAGACAAAAGAUUGGACCAGAUUCGGACUGAAUCCGAGUGGGACCAGAACUAGGAUUCUAGGACGUGAAUUGAUGUAAUUUUCUUUUAAGGAAAGCCUAGAUAAAUCCUUUGCUUGUACGGGAAGUCCAGCCGCCUCUUAUAUAUGUUGGGGGUGACGGCCGAUUGAACACACACAAUCGAGAAAAUCAAUAUACUACUUUUUUCAUCUACGUUUUAUCUCUCCACCGUUUUUCUAUCUCGUUCUUCGCUGUUCUUCGUGUUUGAAAGCUGCGAAUCCCGAGGCUCUAGGGGCGAGCGAAUCGACCUAGGGCAGCCCAUAGCCGCCGCACUCCCUGACGGGGUCCCUCCCGGGGGUGUGGGGUGUUCGGGUCUGCAAAAGCGCCCGUCGACUGUCUUGCGUAUCGCGCUGUCGGUCAGGUCUCCUUUGACGUGAGCUGCGGUGCAUCACCCCCGGCGUCGAGGGUACACGUGACGUGUUCGUGUGUCAACAGUCUCAUCAUCCAUUCUCUGUUCUACAGGACAAAUUACAUCAGCCAGUACUAUUGCACCCCCUUCAUCAUGUCGUCCGCCGCUCUCACCCGGCACUACAGGAGCUGGUAAUUGCGUAGGCGGGGUGGUGGUCUCCGCACAUGCUUGUUGAUCUGUGGUUAUUGGUGUGCUCUCGACCGACUCCAGACCAAUAAGAUUCUUCAGCCAUAGAGCACCCAACCCUUGCAGCUUCCAAUCCACGGUGGGGUCUCGUCGUCCGCUCCCACAUGCUAUACUGGAGGAGGCAAAUCCUCGUGCCCCGAUUUCACAUUGGACAAGCUAACCCUGAAGUGCCCAGCGGGGAUCGGCUGGUUGUGGAACGUGGGUUGCAAGGGGUCCAUUAUCAUCCCCUUUCCCACGUCCACCUUCUGGCCUUUGAUCAAGUAGAGUAUGGUGCACGGGGUUUCUUUCGCCUGCAAACACAUAUGUCUAUGGCGUAAAACAUCCGAAAGGCAACAAAAAUGGAAUAUUAUAUAUAUAUAUAUGUUGGUGCGACAUGUAAUUACCGUGAUGGCAUCGAGCUCAGCCAAAUACGAAGGCCCACCGAGCGCGCCAGAGACUGAGGACGGGCUGCUAUGAGCGGGAGCGGCUGUGAGAGGAAGCCCGGUUGCGUGGGCAAGUUAUGGUGCGAUGGUGUUGUUGUUCAUGGAGUUGCUCCCGACGAAACUGGGUAACGGGAAAUCAUGUACCGCCUUGUCUGGAUUUUCCUUUGUCCAGUUGAUGAUAACUAGAACCAAGUUAGUAGCGAAAUCAUUUCUCCAGGCAGUUACAGCUGCAUUGACUGCCUGCUGUAGCAACUCAUAUUUGUCCUCGGCUGCUUUUUUCGCAUCCUCAGCUGCUUUUUUCUCGACCACAAGCUUCGCCUUCGCGUCGAUGUCCGCCUGACUAAACUUCUUUUUCUGCUUCUUGGCCUCCGGACCCUCAUUGUAAAACACCUUCCACGUGGUGCCGUCUCCAGCGCUGUGCACACGACCAUAUUGUGGCCGCUGGCCCAAAGGGAGUCCCUUAAGUUCGUUCAAGGCCCGGUUGAGAGGGGUGUCCCACUUGGGCCUCACCGGAGAAGUAGGGCUUUCGGCUGCAAGCUGGUGUUGCUUCUCCAGUAGUCUAAUCAAUUUCCUCGUAAUCUGGUCCAUGUAAAAAACCUUUUUCUCCCUGUCCCACUUGUAGCGGGCCCUGAUGAAGUCACGCUCCAAGGGGUUGGUGAACUUCACGAAGGGGUCUGGGGGACCCGCGGCUUCAUGUUCCGCGUCCUCCUUAUCCCAUAUGGGCCUUUUACCGAGGUAACCACGGCUUCCGAGGUGAUGCUUCCCCGUGUUCCUUUGCUGAAGUCUCUUGAAUUUCGCAGCCUUAGCCUUGGCGUCCUCGGUAGCGCUAGUGUCCUUGAACUUUUCGAACACCUCUUCCGUAAGUGUCAGAUUUUCCUCCAGAAUCUUGGACACGGGUUCCUCAGCCUCAAUAGCUCGUUUCACCCUCCCUUUCCAGCAGGCCAAAUCAUUGCUGAACAUGCCCAUGGCGUGACUGUUAAUCUUUUUCAUCUUCGGAUCAUCCCAUGGUUGUUCUAUGUUAUCAUCCCGGCCGGGGAACUUGAAUCUCUUGUGCAACUUCGUUAAGAGCAACUGCGUCAAAUGUUCUUUACUCCUUAACUCAUCAUCGCUGAUGCUCGCGCAUUCCCGUAGGAUGCAUCCCACUUGGUUCCCAUAGCACUUGCGAGGUUCUUCCGGCUCUAACGGCUCUAACUUGCCAGGUGCCAUCUUUGUGAUCACAAGUCAUCCAAUCCCUAGUUUGUUAGGUUUUCGUAUCAUCUGCUUCUUAUGCUUCCUCUUUUCGGUAGCGGCAUUGGCGCCGGUACCUUCCCCGUGGGUAUCUUCCCCGCCGGUACCUUCCCCACCAGUCUCGGCGCCGCCAUCGGUGUCGGCGCCGUCGGUGUCGAUGUCGGCGUCAGUACCAUCAUCGAGGCGGACCUGCAAACCUUGCUUAGCAGUCAAAAAGUCGAGGUAGUCUUGUUCACCCUGAUAAUCCAUCUCGUAUGCAUCUUGGUCAGAAGGCCCAGUUUCUUUGUUGUUCGACAUGUUUCGUAUGAUUAAGUGUCCUCAUUUAUUUCUAAAAGUAUGAAUAAAUGAGAAAUGACAUAAAAAAAAAUCUAUGUGCCAGCACUCGAUAUGCCAACUAUGUAGCACAAAUCAUGCCUUUAUUCAUGGGAAAUUUCGGCAUGACCUUUGCUAAAAAUGGACAUAUCGAGCGCCUGAAAUUCACCGGAACGAAAAUGUAUCAACAUUCCGGCAUAACAUAGUCCACUCGGAUCAUUUACCAAAACAUGACAUGUCCAAAACAUGACAUAUCCACAUAUCACAUGUCCAAUUCAAAUUUGCAUAUAAAUUCAGCUAAUUUUGAAACCUAUCUAAAUUCAUAACUAAAUAGAUAACCUAAUUAACAUAACUAAAACCUAAGUAAAUUGACCGAAGAACCCUAGCUAGCAGAGAGAGAGAGAGGGGGGUGGUUUACAGAGGGUGCAGGGGCGAGGAUGCAGGCCCGACGACGGCCGAUGUUGGGAGGGGAGGAAGCAGAGGAGGGAGGCCAGGACCGACGGGUCGGGGGCGAGCGCCUGGGUCGGGGGCGAGCGCCUGGGUCGUGGGCGAGCGCUGGGCCGGGUCUGGCGCGGCGGUGCCACGGGGGGAAGAGAGUGGGGAUUUGGGGGAAAAGAGGCGGGAUGAAGCAGGGAGAGUCAGAAUUUUGGGUUAAGUGGACGUAGCAGUAGAGUGUUUAGACAAAACGCGCUACUACUAUUAAAGGCAUCUAUAGCGGUUUUAUCCAGAAACCGCUACUGCUACCUUGACUGGCUGUAGCUUUUUUUCAGUAAAGCGCUACUGCUAUAACCAGUUUCCCUUUUUCUUUCCCUUUAUUUUUCUCACUUUUCUUUUUUUUCCGAGAGCAGUGAACGAAGGGAAGGCGAUAUAUAUUGCAUCAUUUGACGGUUAAAUAUGUAUGCAAAAUAGGAACAUAUAUAUUACAUCAUUUGACCCAUGCAUAAUAAUGGCUAAGUGUGUAUACAAAAUAGGAACAUAUAUAUAUAUUACAUCAUUUGACCGAUUCCUCAGCGUUGACAUUUUCGUUUUUGAGUCAGCUUCCUUCCCUUCUUGUUCGUCAAAGAAUAAUUGAGCCCCUCAUUGUGACUUUGCCUUUUCCAUGGAGUACGAUUUUUCUUAGGUAAUGAAGUAUUGAUUCUUCUUUUGAUGUAUACUUCAUCAUCAUCGUCAUCUUCCCUCAUUGGGUUGCCGUACUGAUCAUAGUCUUCCUCGUUGGCGACUCCAUCCAUUCCAAUGAUGUUCCUUUUGCCUCUCCUCAUGACAACACGACUGGGAUUGCAUGGGUCGGUUAUGAAGAAGCAUUGUGUCACGUGCUUAGCGUGUACCCAUGGCUCAUUUUUUGCGAUAGCGUUCACGGUAGCGCUCUUGGUGUUGGGUAUAGUCAUGGUAGUGAAAAUCUGGUUUUCUCUUUCGACAUUCUUAGCCCAUCUGACACGGAACAUCAUCGUGUUGUGCAGUCCAGAGUAGUCAAGCUCCCAGGUCUCCUCGACCCUUACAUAAAAUCAUUCAAUUGCGCCGUUGUCACUGUCGGUCAUGCAUUCCAUUGUCACCCCUGAGUUCUGAUCAUCACUGUCCAUAUCUUUGGUCUCCGUGUAGAACGUGUAUCCGUUGAUAUCAUAUGCCUGAUAGGUUACGAGGUUGGGCGAGGGGCCAUGUGCUAAGGCGUAUAUGAGCAAUCCAUCCUUAGAGCCCUCCUUCGGGGGAUUAGCAAUAAUAUGCUCUUUGAACCAAUGCGGGAAAGUGGAGUUGUGCUCUCUAGUAACUUCGGCGUCUGUCUUGCAUACCCCCCGGUCAUGAUACUUCUUUGUGAUAAUUUCUUUGUGGAGUGCCACGAAAGGAUCUACCUUAUCUAGAUGUUGUAGCACCACCAAGUUUGCUCUGUCAAAGUCGCUGCGUCGAUCUUAGUAUGCCACGUGCAAUUCCCUGUGACCGUUGCAGUGACCUUCUCCUUCGAGCCUCCCAUCGUGCUUGUUAACGGGCAAACCAACACUAACACCAGGUGGCUGGUCUGCGCCAUAUAGAAAAUUCUCACAGAAAGAGGUGCACUCUUGUGUCAAAUAGCCCUGGACGAUGCUUCCAUCCUGACGGGACAUGUUAUGAACGAAUCCUUUGAUGAUCCCAUUCAUCCUCUCAAACGGCAUCAUGUUGUGCAGGAAUGACGGCCCUAGGUCUAUUAUGUCAUCCACAAUAUGGACACACAGAUGCACCAUGAUGUCAAAGAACGCGGCCGGGAAGUACAUAUCAAGCUCAUGCAGUAUCACAACGAUCUCUUCCAGUAGCCUUCGGAGCUUCUUCACACUGAUCGACUUUCGAGAGAUGACGUCGAAAAAGUUGUAGAGACCAAUAAGCGUGUCACGGACGUGCUUGUCCAUUAUCCCUCUAAGGGCAACAGGUAGUAUCUGCGUCAUUAUCACAUGUCAGUCAUGGGCUUCAUCCCGCUCAACCUUUUCUUGUCCGUGUCUAGAUAUCUGCUUAUCUUGCCACAGUAACCGGAACUAACUUUGACUCCGGUAAGGCACUUAAAGAAUUGAUGGAUCUCAGCCUGACUUAAGGUGAAGCAAGAAGGGGGGCAAUAAUCCUCUUUCUUUAUUUUCUUGCCCUUGUUCUCCCGUGCCUCUGUCUCCGUCUCUGUCUCGUCUCACAUUUUACGGGGCGGCAUGUGCAGAUCUUCCCUGAUUUUCAAAUCUUGCAUGUCUUUUCUUGCCUUCGGCCCAUCCUUGGUCUUAUUCGGCAUGUUCAUCAGUGUUGCGAGCAAGCUCUCAAGGACAUUCUUACAGAUAUGCAUUUGAUCAAGGCAAUGAGGUGCAUCGAGUUUGUGCAAGUACUCCAAGUCCCAGAACACAGACCUCGUCUUCCAUACCUUUAGCAGCGGCUCCGGCGCCUUUCUCAUCGCCUUUCCCGAUGCGGGGCACUCUUUCCAGUUUUUCAGCAGCUCAUCGAUUUCGGCACCGCUCCGCUUACGUGGAGGUCCUCGAUGCUCAGCGUGACCAUUGAAUAGAUCUCCAUGGUUUCUCCAUGGGUCGUCCUGUUCGAGCCAUCUUCGAUGCCCCAUGUACACGAUUUUCCCAGACCCUCCAUCUUUCCUUGACGUUAGCUGCCGAGACGUCGUAUCAUCCAUGCACCGCGUGCAUCCGCAAUAUCCAUGGCACACCUGGCCUGCCACAUAUCCGUAACCGAGAUAGUCCUGCACUGUCGUGAUCAACGUGGCUCUCAUGUUGAAAUUCUCGCCUUUGCUAGCGUCCCAUGUCUUGGCCGGUGUUUUCCAUAACAUGUCUAACUCCUCUUGAAGUAGCCCCAGAUACAAAUUAAUAUUAUUUCCUAGUUGUUUCGGCCCUUGAAUAAGCAUGCUCAUGUGAAUGUACUUCGAUUUCAUGCACAACCAGGGGGGAGGUUGUACAUCCAUACAAACACGGGCCAUGUGCUAUGGUUGGUGUUCUGAUUGCCAAACGGAUUCAUGCCAUCGUUACACGCGCCGAGCACGAUGUUCCUUGCAUCACAUCCAAAAUACCGAUAGAAGCUGUUCAACGCUCUCCACUGGCUUCCAUCCUUGACGUGUCUCAGCUUUGGAUCAUGUCCAUCGUCGGGCUUCUUCCUCUCCGCAUGCCAGCGCAUUAGCUUUGCUUCCUUGGGAUCUACAAAAUACCUCUGGAGACGGGGAGUGAUCGGUAAGUACCAUACCACUUUCUAGGACAUUUCUUCCCAGCCUUCUUGUAUCGAGAAGCAUUGCACACCGGACAGCUUGUUUUUCCGCGUGCUCCUUCUGAUAAAUUAUGCAAUCGUUGAUGCAUGCAUGGUAUCUAACGUGUGGCAGAUCAAGAGGGCACACGAUCUUCAUGGCCUCAUCAACACUACUAGGACAUAGAUUACCCGCGGGCAGAACAUCCUUUAGGUACUUGAGAUGCUCAACAAGGCUAGUGUCGGUCCAUUUGUUUUUAGCCUUCGUCUUCAGGAGUUGGAGCGUGAAACUCAAGUGGGUCACCUCAGGAUUGCAACCAUCAUACAAUGGAGUGUUCGAGUCUACCACCAGUUGCUCCAGCAUAGCCUCCUCUCUAGAAGCAGCUCUCUUAGUACUCGUCUCCUUGCGAAGCAAUGCUUGAACAUGAGGGUCCCGCAUGAUUGAACUUAGUACCGACAAACUCUGCUGCGUGGAGUCCAUGUCAUUCUCUCCACCGCCAUGUCCGGCCCCUUCUUUGCCGCCAUGUCCGGCCCCUUCUCCGCCGCCAUGUCCGGCCUCUUCCCGCCACCAUUAUCGACCAUCUCUUCGUCUUGCCCCAUGUCAUCAUUGCCUGCCCCGUCGGCAUCCUCAACAUCAUCAUCCUCAUCUUCAAUUAUCCAUCGAGUAUAGCCAUCCAUGAAACCAGUCAUGAGCAGGUGCGCUUCGACACGACCAUCAUCAUGGGGGUCGAGCCAAACUAUUCCUUUGCAUUUUUGACAUGGACAUAAAACCUCUGUCAGGUUAUUUUCCUUCAUGUCCUGCACCGCCGACCGCAACCACCUGUCCACCAUCGUUCCACUGACCAUCGUCAACUCUGCAUGGUAAUAAUAAACAAAUUGAUUAUAAAAAUGCAUGCAUUCAUCAAAGUCAUACAAAAAGUUGGCAUGACCUUCCUUAAAAAUAGGACAUAUAUAGAUCUAGAGUUUGCCCGGAAUUCGCCGAAACAGAAAUAAAUCGACAUUUCGGCAAAACAUAGGCAACUCAAAAGCACAAUUUGGCGUCAACUCAUGCCACGCACAAAAUUUCCAUAAACAUAUCACACACACAUAAACAUAUUUCCAUUUUGCAAAAGCAUGAAAUUUUAAUCACCUCUAUCUCGAGAUCGAGCACACGGUGGAGAUUAUGUUGUAGGGAGAUCAAAAGUGCACAAAUCUCUUCUUGACAAAGAUAGAUCUAGUUAGGGGCAAAUAGGUCACUUAACUAAAUGCUACAUCUACCUAGCUACCUAAUUUGGGAGGAGACAACUUCAACUAGUGGAGGGGGAAGGAAAAAGAGAAAGGAGAUGCAUUAAUGGAGGUGGUGUAGUUAUAGCUAGGAGUAAUGAAGAGAGAAAAAGGUAGGUAGAAGAGGGAGAGUAAUGGGGGGAGAAGUAUUGAGGAAGAAGAAGAGUGAGAGAGGGAGGAUGUGGGAUGUAGGGGAAAGGGAGGAGAGGAGAUGGGGAGGGGAAGGUGUAAAAAGGUGGUGGGUGCUACGUCUUAGCAGUAGGGCGGGAGCAAAAGUGCGCUGCUGCUAAGAGCGUAGCAGCAGCGCGCUUUCCUAUCACGCGCUACUGCUAAACGGGCCAACCCUGUGGAAAAUUUCAAAAUUAGCAGCAGCGACGUGACUAAAAAGAGUGCUACUACUAUGGCAUUAGCAGCAGCGCGCUUCCUGCUGCCGUGCUACUGGUAAACUUAGGUCGUUGUGUACUAUCGGUGGAUUUUUGUAGCAGCGCGGUUUAAACAUCACGCGCUACUACUAAAUUUGCACCAGUAACGUGAUUUCCAUAACCGCGCUGCUACUAAUUAGCAGCAGCGCCUCUUUUUAUGUCGCGCUGCUACUAAGAUUCUGUGUAUAAGGUUUUCCUUAGUAGUGUACGGACCCGAAGGUCUACAAAGGACUACUCACGCAUCAUUGGAGAGGCACCAAUGGAAGUGGUGAACCCCUCCCUGAUGGUGUCUAGAUUGGAUCUAGUGGUUCUGGACUCUACGGUGGAUGGAAUUGAUUUUCAUCGACUCUCCUAGGGUUUCUGGAAUAUUGGGGUAUUUAUAGAGCAAAGAGGCGGUCCGGAGGGGGCACCCAAGGUGGGCACAACCCACCAGGGCGCGCCUAGGCCUCCUGGCGCACCCUGGUGGGUUGUGCUCCCCUCAGAGCACCCCCCAAGCGCUUCCUUGGCCCAUUGGGUGUCUUCUGGUCCAUAAAAAAUCUCCAUGAAGUUUCGUUGCAUCUGGACUCCGUUUGGUAUUGAUUUCCUCCGAUGUAAAAAACAGGCAAAAAACAGCAACUGGCACUUGGUACUAUGUCAAUAGAUUAGUACCAAAAAAUGAUAUAAAAUGACUAUAAAAUGAUUAUAAAACAUCCAAGGUUGAUUAUAUAACAACAUGGAACAAUCAAAAAUUAUAGAUACGUUGGAGACGUAUCAGUGCAGAACGUACGGCACCUCUGACUUCUGCACACGUUCAGCUCGGUGAUGGCCCUCGCCCUCUUGAUCCAGCAAGACGUCGAGGUAGUAGAUGAGUUCCGUCAGCACGAUGGCAUGGUGACUGUGAUGGUGAAGUGAUCCUUAUAGGGCUUCACCUAAGCACUACGAAAAUAUGACCGAGGGAGUAAACGAUGGAGGGGGGCACCGCACACGGCUAAACAAUUGNNNNNNNNNNNNNNNNNNNNNNNNNNNNNNNNNNNNNNNNNNNNNNNNNNNNNNNNNNNNNNNNNNNNNNNNNNNNNNNNNNNNNNNNNNNNNNNNNNNNNNNNNNNNNNNNNNNNNNNNNNNNNNNNNNNNNNNNNNNNNNNNNNNNNNNNNNNNNNNNNNNNNNNNNNNNNNNNNNNNNNNNNNNNNNNNNNNNNNNNNNNNNNNNNNNNNNNNNNNNNNNNNNNNNNNNNNNNNNNNNNNNNNNNNNNNNNNNNNAGGCAGCAGGAAGCACCCAAGUCGACCGAAUCCUACUUGGGGUCUCCCCAUGGCCGGCGCCCCAUGCCUUAUUUGCCGGAGGGGGAAGGAAAGAGGUGGGAGCAGGGAAGGAAGGGGGAAGCCGAAUCCCCCCUUUCCUUCUCCCUUCCCCUCUUUCCUUCUUCUUUGGUUCGGCCCAUAUGGGGGGGUGCACCAGCCCCUUGUGGCUGGUGCGUUUCCCCUCUUGGCCCAUAAGGCCCAUACCUUUUGCCGAGGGUGCCCAGAACCCCUUCCGGUGACCCGAUAUGUACCCUGUACCCUCCGGAACACUUCCGGUGUCCGAAUACCAUCGUCCUAUAUAUCAAUCUUUACCUCUCGACCAUUUCGAAACUCCUCGUCAUGUCCGUGUUCUCAUCCGGGGACUCUGAAAAACAUUCUCUCACCAAAUCCCAUAACUCAUAUAAUACUAUAUCGUCAUCGAACGUUAAGCGUGCGGACCCUACGGGUUUGAGAACUAUGUGGACAUGACCAAGACACCUCUCCGGCCAAUAACCAAUAGCGAAACAUGGAUGCCCAUAUUGUCUCCUACAUAUUCUACGAAGAUCUUUAUCGGUCGAACCGUUAUGACAACAUAUGUUAUUCCCUUUGUCUAUCAGUAUGUUACUUUCCCGAGAUUCGAUCGUCGGUAUCUUCAUACCUAGUUCAAUCUCUUUACCAGAAAGUCUCUUUACUCAUUCAGUAAUACAUCACCUCGUGACCAACUGUUUAGUCAUUUUCUUGCAAGCUUAUGAUGUGUAUUACCGAGAGGGCCCAGAGGUACCUCUCCGAUACUCGAAGUGAAAAAUGUUAAUCUCGAUCUAUGCCAACUCAACAAACACCUUCAGAGAUACGUGUAGAGCAUCUUUAUAUUCACCCAGUUAUGUUGUGACGUUUGAUAGCACACAAGGCAUUCCUCUGGUAUCCAGGAGUUGCAUUAGCUCAUAGUCUAAGGAAUAUGUAUUUGACAUGAAGAAAGCAAUAGCAAUAAAACUGGACGAUCAUAAUGCUAAGCUAACGGAUGGGUCUUGUCCAUAAUCAUCCUUCUAAUGAUGUGAUCAUGUUAUCAAAUGACAACUGAUGUCCAUGGUUAGGAAACCUUAACCAUCUUUGAUCAACGAGCUAGUCUAGUAGAGGCUCACUAGGGACACGGUGUUUGUUUAUGUAUUCAUACAUGUAUCAAGAUUUCCGAUCAAUACAAUUCUAGCAUGAAUAAUAAACAUUUAUCAUGAAUAAGGAAAUAUAAAAUAACAACUUUAUUAUUGCCUCUAGGGCAUAUUUCCUCCAUAUUUAUCAUAAAGAUCAAAUAGAAUAGUAUGAUUAUUGCGCUGGGAUGUAAACUCAAAUCUUCGUACGAAUGAAUCAAUCAGGUGGUAGUACUGCCUGCACUUAUCUAACACGAAGUCCUCAAGAUUAACAUUUUGUACCUACACAUCAAAUUCCUCUUUAAAACCUGCAUGAACCAUGAAUUGAUCCAACCGCCAUUCGCAAGGACGUACUCGAGCUUCCCUUGGUGGUUCAAGAUCCGUCUCACAUAUCACGAGCCUUGGGGCUUUCUUGCUUGAGGGGCCACCUUGGUACAUCAUUCUAAACAUUGUUCUUCCUCUGGAAAAUUUCUGAAAUUUUUAGUGACUCAAAAUAAAAGUGAACCAAACUCAACAAGAUUGAUAGUAACUACUCCUACAAGUGUCUAGAAACUAUAUCAUGCAUCAAAACUACUUUGGACCAUAUAAAUUUGACAUGCAAGUUCAAGAACAAGGUCACCACAGCAGCAAAAAUUUUCAAUAUAUAAAGCACUAGAAGAAAAACUAAUUGGACCAUUGGAGGAGUCACGUAUCGAAGAACAAUCCCCCAAGACUGUUUUGCAAAUGGAACUUUGCACAAGGAGAUCGAAAAUGGCAGCAAGAUGAGCUAGAACACGAGUUUGAACAAUGGGAUGAUUUUUUUUGGAGGAAGACGAAGUGGAUGGUGAUACGUCUCCAACGUAUCUAUAAUUUUUGAUUGCUCCAUCCUAUAUUAUCUACUAUUUUGGACAUUAUUGGGCUUUAUUAUCCACUUUUACAUUAUUUUUGGGACUAACCUAUUAACCGGAGGCCCAGCCCAGAAUUGUUGUUUUUUGCCUGUUUUAGGGUUUCGAAGAAAAGGAAUAUCAAAAGGAGUCCAAACGGAAUGAAACCUUGGGAAACGUGAUUUUCUCAUCAGAUAAGAUCCAGGAGACUUGGACCCUCCGUCAAGAAAGCCACGAGGUGGUGACGAGGGUGGAGGGCGCCCCCCUAGGGCGCGCCCCCUGCCUCGUGGGCCCCUCGAAGCUCGACCGAUGUACUUCUUCCUCCUAUAUAUAUCCACGUAACCCCAAACGAUCAGAUACGGAGGCAAAACCCUAAUUCCACCGCCGCAAAUUUUUGUAUCCACGAGAUCCUAUCUUGGGGCCUGUUCCGGAGCUCCGCCGGAGGGGGCAUCAAUCACGGAGGGCUUCUAGAUCACCAUCCAAGCCUCUUCGUUGAAGUGUGAGUAGUUUACUUCAGACCUACGGGUCCAUAGCUAGUAGCUAGAUGGCUUCUUCUCUCUUUUUGGAUCUCAAUACAAUGUUCUCCCCCUCUCUCGUGGAGAUCUAUUCGAUGUAAUCUUCUUUUUGCGAUGUGUUUGUUGUGGCUGAUGAAUUGUGGGUUUAUGAUCAAGUCUAUCUAUGAAUAAUUUUUGAAUCUUAUCUGAAUUAUUUUAUUUAUGAUUGGUUAUCUUUGCAAGUCUCUUCUAAUUAUCAGUUUGGUUUGUCCUACUAGAUUGGUUUUUCUUGCCAUGGGAGAAGUGCUUAGCUUUGGGUUCGAUCUUGCGGCGUCCUUUCCCAGUGAUAGAAGGGGCAGCAAGGCACGUAUUGUAUCGUUGCCAUUGAGGAUAACAAGAUGGGUUUUUUAUCAUAUUGCGUGAAACUAUCCCUCUACAUCAUGUCAUCUUGCUUAAGGCAUUACUCUAUUUUUAACUUAAUAGUAGAUGCAUGCUGGAUAGCGGUUGAUGAGUGGAGUAAUAGUAGUAGAUGCAGAAUCAUUUCGGUCUACUUAUCUCGGACGUGAUGCCUAUAUACAUGAUCAUUCCUAGAUAUUCUCAAGAGGUAGCAAGAAGAAUUUCUGGCGCCAUUGCUGGGGAGUCUGCGCAAAAGUCAACAUACCAAGUACCCAUCACAAUCCAUAUCUCCCGCAUUACAUUAUUUGCCAUUUGCCUCUCGUUUUCCUCUCCCCCCAAUUCACCCUUGCCGUUCUAUUCGCCCUCUCUCUCUCUCUAUCCUCCCUCUCCCUCUCUAUUUGCCUCUUUUGCCCGUUUGCUUUUUGUUUGCUUGUGUAAUUAUCGUCAUGGCUAGUCUCAUAUCUUCUCCGUUGUCUCCCGAGAAUGAAGUUCUAAAUUUUAAACAAAGGGAGGGAGAAAAUCUAAAAGAUGCUUGGUAUAGAAUUUGCAAUGCUCAAAAUAGAUCUACCAGGAAGCAAUCUACUUCAGUUCUUCUAUGCAAUUUUUAUGUAGGUGCUAGUCCUUGGUAUAGAUAUAUCCUUGAUACCAUUACCGGAGGGAAUUUCUUGGGUAGCCAUACUUUUUAUUCUUAUAAUGCUAUGUUAGAUUUAUUUGGCUCACCACCUCUUUUGGCUAAUGGAACUAUGUUAACUUUGGAGCAUGUUAUGCAAAGACUGAAAAUUAUUGAAAAUAAAGUUGCUACCAUUGAAUUAAUUGAAAAUAUAGAUAAAAAGAUCCAUAAUCAAAUUACCCAAUAUGGAUCUAGGGUAGGAAUGACUUUGAAAAAUAUUAAGGAAAAGGAACCCAUAGUUAAUGAGAAAAUAAAUCUAGAUUCCACUAGAAUCGAUAAACUUGAGGGUAUAAUUACAAACUUGGGAACCGCUUUUUCUUCCGUAAAGAAUACUCCAAGUCCUCCUACUAAAAUUUCCAAGAUUAUGUAUGUUCCUAAAAAUAAGGGUGAAUCAUCUACUGAAGAAACUACGGAUCUUAAAUCUAUAAGUAUUCAUCCUAAUCUUUUUUCUAUCAUUAAGCAAUCAAUUGGUAGAAAUGAAUUUUUUUCAUCUUGUGCCUAAGAGUUUGAUAAUCACUAGAAAGAAAUAAAUUCCUAAGGGAGAUAGAUGCCUCAUUGAAGAAUUGCCUCCCAAAGAUGGCAAUACCUAGAUCUAUUCUUGCUUGUUAUGCCUAGCUAGGGGCGUUAAACGAUAGCGCUUGUUGGGAGGAAACCCAAUUUUAUUUUUAUUCCUUGAUUUUUGCUCCUGUUUAGUAAUAAAUAAAUUAUUUAGACCCUGUUUUGGUUGUGUUUUUUGUGUUUAAUUAGUGUUUGUGCCAAGUAGAACCGUUGGGAAGACUUGGGGAAAGUCUUGUUGAACUUGCUGUAAAAAAACAGAAACUUUAGCGCUCACGAGAACUGCUGUAAUUUUUAUUUGGAAAGUGAUAUUUAGUUAAUUCUUUUUGAAUAUUAUUAAUAGAUAAAUUACUCACGCCAGCAAUUUAUUUUAGAAUUUUAGGGGUUCCAUAUCUUGCGCUAGCUACAGAUUACUACAGACUAUUCUGUUUUUGACAGAUUCUUUUUUUCGUGUGUUGUUUGCUUAUUUUGAUGAAUCUAUGGCUAGUAAAAUAGUUUAUAAUACAUAGAGAAGUUGGAAUACAGUAGGUAUAAUACCCAUAUAAAUAAAGAAUGAGCUCAUUAUAGUACCUUGAAGUGGUCUUUUGUUUUCAUUCGCUAACGGAGCUCACGAGUUUUCUACUUUAAGUUUUGUGUUGUGAAGUUUUCAUGUUUUGGGUAAAGAUUUGAUGGAUUAUGGAACAAGGAGUGGCAAGAGCCUAAGCUUGUGGAUGCCCAUGGCACCCCCAAGAUAAUCUAAGGACACCUAAAAGCCAAAGCUUGGGGAUGCCCCGGAAGGCAUCCCCUCUUUCGUCUACUUCUAUCGGUAACUUUACUUGGAGCUAUAUUUUUAUUCACCACAUGAUAUGUGUUUUGCUUGGAGCGUCUUUUAUAAUUUGAAUCUUUGAUUGUUAGUCUACCACAAUCAUACUUGCUGUACACACCUUUUGAGAGAGCCAUACAUGAUUUGGAAUUUGAUAGAAUACUCUAUGUGCUUCACUUAUAUCUUUUGAGUUAUAUAAUUUUGCUCUAGUGCUUCACUUAUAUCUUUUAGAGCACGGUGGCGGAUUUGUUUUAUAUAAACUAUUGAUCUCUCAUGCUUCACUUAGAUUAUUUUGAGAGUCUUAAUAGCAUGGUAAUUUGCUUAAUAAUAAUUUGAUUGGUAUUCAAGAUUUGUAAAACUUUCUUUUGAGUGCAUUGAAUACUAAGAAGAAAUUGAUGCUCGAUAAUUGUUUUGAGAUAUGAGGAUGGUGAUAUUAGAUUCAUGCUAGUUGAGUAGUUGUGAAUUUGAGAAAUGCUUGUGUUAAAGAUUGUGAUUCCCAUAGCAUGCACGUAUGGUGAACCGUUAUGUGAUGAAGUCAGAGCAUGAUUUAUUUAUUGAUUGUCUUCCUUAUGAGUGGCGGUCGGGGACGAGCGAUGGUCUUUUCCUACAAAUCUAUCCCCCUAGGAGCAUCCGCGUAAUACUUUGCUUUGAUAACUUCUAGAUUUUUGCAAUAAGUAUAUGAGUUCUUUAUGACUAAUGUUGAGUCCAUUGAUUAUACGCACUUUCCUUCCUUCCACCAUUGCUAGCCUCUCUAAUACCGCACACUUUUCGCCGGUAUCAUACACCCACCAAAUACCUUCCUCAAAACAGCCACCAUACCUACCUAUCAUGGCAUUUCCAUAGCCAUUCCGAGAUAUAUUGCCAUGCAACUUUCCACCGUUCCGUUCAUUAUGACACGCUCCAUCAUUGUCAUAUUGCUAGCAUGAUCAUGUAGUUGACAUUGUAUUUGUGGCAAAGCCACCGUUCAUAAUUCUUUCAUACAUGUCACUCUUGAUUCAUUGCAUAUCCCGGUACACCGCCGGAGGCAUUCAUAUAGAGUCAUAUUUUGUUCUAAGUAUCGAGUUGUAAUUGUUGAGUUGUAAGAAAAAUAGAAGUGUGAUGAUCAUAAUUUUGAGAGCAUUGUCCCAAGUGAGGAAAGGAUGAUGGAGACUAUGAUUUCCCCACAAGUCGGGAUGAGACUCCGGACAAAAAAAAGAGGCCAUAAAAAAGUGAAGGCUCACAUAAAAAAAUGAGAGAAAAAGAGAGAAGGGACAAUGUUACUAUCCUUUUACCACACUUGUGCUUCAAAGUAGCACCAUGAUCUUCAUGAUAGAGAGUCUCUCAUUAUGUCACUUUCAUAUACUAGUGGGAAUUUUUCAUUAUAGAACUUGGCUUGUAUAUUCCAAUGAUGGGCUUCCUCAAAAUGCCCUAGGUCUUCGUGAGCAAGUGAGUUGGAUGCACACCCACUUAGUUUCUUUUUGUUGAGCUUUCAUAUACUUAUAGCUCUAGCGCAUCCGUUGCAUGGCAAUCCUACUCACUCACAUUGAUAUCUAUCAAUGGGCAUCUCCAUAGCCCGUUGAUACACCUAGUUCAUGUGAGACUAUCUUCACCCUUUUUGUCUUCUCCACAACCACCAUUCUAUUCCACCUAUAGUGCUAUAUCCAUGGCUCACGCUCAUGUAUUGCGUGAAGAUUGUAAAAGUUUUGAAAAUGUCAAAAGUAUGAAACAAUAGCUUGGCUUGUCAUCGAGGUUGUGCAUGAUUUAAAUAGUUUGUGUGGUGAAGAUAGAGCAUAGCCAGACUAUAUGAUUUUGUAGGGAUAGCUUUCUUCGGCCAUGUUAUUUUGAGAAGACAUAAUUGCUUUGUUAGUAUGCUCGAAGUAUUAUUAUUUUUAUGUCAACAUGAACUUUUGUCUUGAAUCUUUUGAAACUGAAUAUUCAUACCACAAUUAAGAAGAUUUACAUUGAAAUUAUGCCAAGUAGCACUCCGCAUCAAAAAUUCUGUUUUUAUCAUUUACCUACUCGAGGACGAGCAGGAAUUAAGCUUGGGGAUGCUUGAUACGUCUCCAACGUAUCUAUAAUUUUUGAUUGCUCCAUGCUAUAUUAUCUACUGUUUUGGACAUUAUUGGGCUUUAUUAUCCACUUUUAUAUUAUUUUUGGGACUAACCUAUUAACCGAAGGCCCAACCUAGUAGUUCUGUUUUUUUGCCUAUUUUAGGGUUUCGAAGAAAAGGAAUAUCAAACGGAGUCCAAACGGAAUGAAACCUUCGGAAACGUGAUUUUUUCAUCAGAUAAGAUCCAGGAGACUUGGACCCUCCGUCAAGAAAUCCACGAGGCGGUCACGAGGGUGGAGGGCGCCCCCCUGCCUCAUGGGCCCCUCGAAGCUCCACCGACGUACUUAUUCCUCCUAUAUAUAUCCACGUACCCCCAAACGAUCAGAUACGGAGCCAAAAACCUAAUUCCACUGCCGCAACUUUCUGUAUCUACGAGAUCCCAUCUUGGGGCCUGUUCCGGAGCUCCGCCGGAGGGGGCAUCAAUCACGGAGGGCUUCUACAUCAUCAUCCAAGCCUAUCCGAUGAAGUGUGAGUAGUUUACUUCAGACCUACGGGUCCAUAGCUAGUAGCUAGAUGGCUUCUUCUCUCUUCUUGGAUCUCAAUACAAUGUUCUCCCCCUUUCUCGUGGAGAUCUAUUCGAUGUAAUCUUCUUUUUACGGUGUGUUUGUUGAGACUGAUGAAUUGUUGGUUUAUGAUCACGUCUAUCUACGAAUAAUAUUUGAAUCUUCUCUGAAUUCUUUUAUGUAUGAUUGGUUAUCCUUGCAAGUCUUUUGGAAUUAUCAGUUUGGUUUGGCCUACUAGAUUGGUUGUUCUUGCCAUGGGAGAAGUGCUUAGUUUUGGGUUCGAUCUUGUGGUGUCCUUUCCCAGUGACAGAAGGGGCAUAGGCAUGUAUUGUAUUGUUGCCAUCGAGGAUAACAAGAUGGGGUUUUUAUCAUAUUGCAUGAAACUAUCCCUCUACAUCAUGUCAUCUUUCUUAAGGCAUUACUCUAUUUUUAACUUAAUACUCUAGAUGCAUGCUGGAUACGGUCGAUGAGUGGAGUAAUAGUAGUAGAUGCAGAAUCGUUUCGGUCUACUUGUCUCGGACGUGAUGCCUAUAUACAUGAUCAUACCAAGAUAUUCUCAUAACUAUGCUCAAUUCUGUCAAUUGCUCAACAGUAAUUUGUUCACCCACCGUAGAAUACUUAUGCUCAUGAGAGAAGCCACUAGUGAAACCUAUGGCCCCCGGGUCUCUUUCUCAUCAUAUCAAUCUCCAUCACGUUAUUAUUGCUUUGCUUUUACUUUUUACUUUGCAUAUUUAUACCAAAAUAUUAUUUAUCAUCUCUAUUAGAUCUUACUUUCGUAAGUGACCGUGAAGGGAUAGACAACCCCUAAGCGUGUUGGUUGCGUUGAGCUAUUGUUUUUGUGUAGGUACGAGGGAUUCGAGCGUAGCGUUCUACUGGAUUGAUACCUUGGUUCUCAAAAACUGAGGGAAAUACUUACGCUACUUUGCUGCAUCAUCCCUUCCUCUUCGGGGAAAUCCAACGCAGUGCUCAAGAGGUAGCAGAUGGGUGCUGGAAUAAGUGAGGGGGACCCAUGUGGGACCCACAAGGUAGGGGGCGCGCCCAGGGGGGUAGGGCGCGCCCUCCACCCUUGUGGCCUAGUAGUGCAGCCCCCUAGUGUGUUCUCAGUGCCAGAAAUUUUCAAAUAUUCUAUAAAAAAUCAUACUAAAUUUUCAGGGCAUUUGGAGAACUUCUAUUUUAGGAACAUUUUUUAUUGCACGGAUAAUUCAGAAAACAGAUGGAUAAUCCUAUUUUUGCUUUAUUUAUUCUAAAUAAUAGAAAGUAAAAAGUGGGUACAGAAAGUUGUUCCCUCUAAAUUCAUCCAUCUCAUGCCCAUCAAAAGGAAUCCAUUAACAAGGCUGAGCUAGUCUUAUUAACAAACUUCUUCCGAAUGACAUGAAACCGGAGAACUUUCGAAUAACACUAGGUUUCCUCAACGGGGAUAUGCUUGUCCCCAACAAAAAGAAUAUCAUAUUUCUUUUUAAUAGUAGGAUGUAGCGACCCGACCCGAAUGGAUCAAGCGCUCUGUGCUCAGGUGUCAUCCCUGGAUCAGUAAUGCUGACACCACACAGUACAUCGAAGGAUUUAUAACAAAGUGGCAAUCACACACUUAUUACAUCGUUGUCUCAAAGAGAACUCAUUACAUUAAAUAUGGCUUAAGGCCAUCUAGUGUCGAUAACAGCGGAAGACUCAGAAGAUAAAUGGGUCCAUCAACUCCAACGGCAUCACUGAGUAUAGAACCACGACCUAAAAACUCCUUACUCGUCGUCUAAAAAGUCUGCAACAUGAGAAGUUGCAGCCCGAAAACGGGUCACCACAUGGAAUAUGCUGGCAAUGUAACACAUAGAGAGUAAUGGAAUGAAACAGCUAUACUAUAUGCAUAUAUGGCUAAUGGAAAGCUCUAUGGUUACAGUUUUGCGUAAAGCCAAUUUUUCCCUACUGCAAAGGAAUAAAUUUAUUUAACUAUCAUGGUGGUUGUUGAACAUCGAGAAUGGAUGACAGCAUUCCGAUCCCAAUUAAGUGAACAAUUAAAACCCAACAACAUUAAUUAGAAGUAACAUGUUGAGAUUCACAUGAUAUUCAAGUACUAGAUACUCAAGAUUGUCCAUAACCGGGGACACAGCUAAUCAUGAUUAGUUUGUACACUCUGCAGAGGUUUGCGCACUUUUCCCCACAAGACUCGAUCGCCUCCAUUUGGUUUCUCGCACUACAAGGUGUUUGAGAAGACGGAUGACCGAGACGAAGUCUUUCAGAAGCACCAGCACCUUACAUGUGGGUAGACCGGUACACCUACUUUCCCCUACAUCUGCUAGUCUACCCGUAAGAGUUCACACGACUUAAUCAACUAUGCCAGAGCCCAUAAUGGCUUGUGGCUGCACACGGAAGUUUCUAUCAUGAAAGAUCCUUUGAUCCCUUUGAGCCUGGGUGGCGGUCCAAAAUAAAACAGGCAAGUCCUGAUAGACAUCAGGUGCCUCAAUCCACCCAGAUGUGUGUUUAAGUUGCCACCUUAGAUAAACCAUUAAAAUUAUCAACUCACAUCUGUCAUGGAUAUCACUCACCCAAUCCACGUCUACUAGCAUAGCAUGGCAUAAUAAGCAAACGUAGAAGUAACUCCCAAAGGUUUCAUAAUAAUACAGGUGAUAGUUACUACCUCAUCUACUUCCCAUCCCACAGUUUAAUUAGAUCCUAAUCAUGCAAUGUGAGAGGAUUGAUCUAAUGCAAUAAAACAUGGGUUGUAGAAAAGGUAUGAUCAAAGUGUUACUUGCCUUGCUGAUGAUCCGCGAGACCUAUGGUUUCGAAGAAACAAGCGGCGCAAUCCGGGUGAUCUAUCACAGACAAACAACAAGCAUACAAUAAGUAAUCAUCUAAUGCAUAGGUAAAACUUGAACAAGACAACGAACCAGAAAAUUCAACUUAAGAACUCCGGUUGCAAAGAAAGAACAAACCGAACAAAGAAACAGAAAACAAACGGCGGAAGAAAACAACUCGGUUCUAGCAAGUUGAAACUAGGUCAAAUUUUACCAGGGAAAAAACUUGUUUGAGUUGAUUAGACGGAACGGCGGUUUCGAAACGAAACUCCAGGCGCUUGAAUCACCUGAUUCCGAUAAACGAGCGAGAAGAAAGACUAGAACGAAGAUCGGAUCUGAGAUCGCGAUCGCGGAAUAAAUCCGACGAAAAGAAAGAGACGAACGGUUAAACGAACGGGCGUCGUUAACCGGGAAAAAUCGGUGAUCAUGUUCGUUGAGAUGAACGGUCCGAAAGAAGAACGAAAACCGAUCUAGGGGAUCCGGAAGAAAACCGAAACAGAAACCGGAAGAAAAAGAAAAGAAUCAGAGAGAAAACGGAACGGUUCUUUUAGAAAAAAACUGGACCGGGGAAGAAAAAGAGAGGCGCGGCUACCUCGGGAGGCGGGCUCCGGGCGGCUGCGGCUUAGGCGCGGGGCGGCGCGGCUAAGGCGGCGGCUUGGGCUGCGCCCUGCUGCUUGCUGCGGCUUAGGAUGGAAAGGGGCUUGGGGUUUUGAUGUGAGGAGAGGGGGGGUGUUGGUAUUUAUAUAGGUGAGGGGAGGGGGUUUCUUGGGGUAGGGGACAAGAAAUAGAGUAGGAAUAGGAAAGAAAAAGAGGAAACAGAGUAGGACUAAAGUCCUACUAGGACUCCAAAAGGGGCGGUGGCGGCGGCCUCCUGGCGCCUGGCGCGCGCGGCGCGGGCGAUGGCCUGGCCGGCCGGCUGCUGGCUGGGCCUUGGCCCAGGGCGCUGCAAAAAAAUUUUUAAUCGGUUUCGCGGGCAAAAAAACAAAAGAAAAACUAUCUAAACGAACUCCGAAAUUACUAAAGUAAAUUUUCUCCGACUCCUAAAAAUGAGCCGAACAAAAUGAACUUUACUCCGGACCUAGAAUGCAAUUUUCGAAAACGCGCAUUUUUCCCUAUCCAAAUAAAAGCAAACGAAACUCCGGCAAAACGAAAUUUGAUCUAUUUAUUAAAUCUUCAUUUUUCCUCAAUUUUGAGAAAGUCAUAUUAUUCCCUCUCUUAUAUUUUUGAUAUCGGAAAAAUUAUUGAAGAUGAAAUAAAUAAAUCAAAUGAUCCUCUUUUCAAAUUCGAGAAAACUCUCAAAUAUGAAAAUAACGAAAUCUCCAACUCUCUCCGAAGGUCCUUGAGUUGCGUGAAAUUUCUAGGAUCAACCAAAAUGCAAGAAAAUAUGCUAUGCAUGAUGAUCUAGUGUAUAACAUUCCAAAUUGAAAAUUUGGGAUGUUACAUAGGAAGAAGGAAUUCAAAACCUCCAAUAGCAAUAGUUAAAACUUUUCCAAUAGAAUUGAUGAUAUUCACUUGAGGUUGUUUCUUCGAAAAGUGUACUAUAUGCUCAUUACCAUUAACAUGAAAAGUGACAUUUCCCUUGUUGCAAUCGAUAACAGCCCCUGCAGUGUUCAAAAAGGGUCUACCAACGAUGAUCGACAUACUGUCAUCCUCAGGAAUAUCAAGAAUAACAAAGUCCAUUAAGAUAGUAAUGUUUGCAACCACAACAGGCACAUCGUCACAAAUACCGAUGGUUAUAGGAGUUGAUUUAUCAGCCAUUUGCAAAGAGAUUUUAGUAGGUGUCAACUUAUUCAAUUCAAGUCUACGAUACAAAGAGAAAGGCAUAACACUAACACUGGCUCCCAAAUCACAUAAAGCAGUUUUAACAUAGUUUCUUUUAAUAGAGCAUGGUAUAGUUGGUAUUCCUGGAUCUCCAAGUUUCUUUGGUAUUCCACCCUUAAGAGUAUAAUUAGCAAGCAUGGUGGAAAUUUCAGCUUUCGGUGUCUUUCUUUUAUUUGUAACAAUAUCUUUCAUGUACUUGGCAUAAGGAGACAUUUUCAGAAUAACAGUCAAACGCAUAUGCAAAAAGACAGGUCUAAGCAUUUCAACAAAGCACUCAAAAUCCUCAUCAUCCAUUUUCUUGGAUGAUUGACGGGGAAAUGGCAUGAGCUUCUGACCCCAAGGUUAACUUUCUUUACCAUGAUUCCUAGCAACGAAGUCUCUCUUAUCAUAGCAUUGAUUCUUAGAUUGUGGAUUAUCAAGAACAACAACAGGUUCAGUCUCCACAUCAUUAUCAUUACUAGGUUGAGCAUCAACAUGAACAUUGAUACAUCUCCGACAUAUCUACAAUUUAUGAAGUAUUCAUGCCAUGUUUACAAUGAUUCCAUAUGGUUUUGGUAUGAUUUGAUUAGAACUAACCCGGUCUGACGUUGUUUUCAGCAGAACUAACAUGGUGUUGUUUUUCUGCAGAAAUAAAAGUCCUCGGAACAAGCUGAAAAUUAAUGAAGAAUUUUUCUAUAAAAUAUGAAAAAUACUGGAAGAAAAAGAUACGGAAGAGGAGUCCCGGGCCGCCACAAGGGUCCCCCCUGGGGCGCGCCCCUCGACCUUGUGAUCGCCUCGUGGGGCCCCCUGACGUGAAACUGACGCCAACUCCUUUUAUAAAUCCAAAAAAAUCAUAACAGAAGAGAGAUCGGGAGUUCCGCCUCUGUAAGCCUCUGUAGCCAUGAAAAACCAAUCUAGGCCCUCUCUCGCACCCUGCCAAAGGGGGCCAACAUCACCGUAGGCCAUGGAGGAGGAAGCCGGAGGGCUCACCAUCGUCAUGGAGGCCAAGGACCAGAGGGGGAAUCUUUCCCCAUCUAAGGGGGAGGCCAUGGAGGAGGAAGCACAAAGGGGAUAAUCGCUCCCCCUCUCUCUUGAUGGCGCCGGAGUGCCAUUGGGGAAACAAUUGCCACGGUGAUCAUCUUCAUCAACAUCACCAUCCUCAUCUCUUUUACGCGGUCCACUCUCCCGCACCCCACUGUAAUCCCCUACUUGAACAUGGUGCUUUAUGCCACAUAUUAUGAUCCAAUGAUGUGUUGCCAUCCUAUGAUGUUUUGAGUAGAUUUCUUUUGUCUUUUCAGUUGAUUGAUGAUAUAGAUUGGUUUGAGUUGUAUGUCUUAUUUUGGUGCCGUCCUACGGUGCCUUCCAUGCCGCACACACGUGAAGGAUUCCCGCUGUAGGGUGUUGCAAUACGUUCAUGAUUCCCUUAUAGUGGGUUGCUAGAGUGAAAGAAGCUUAAACCCAAGUAAGGGGGUUGUUGCGUAUGGGAUAAAGGGGACUUGAUAUGUUAAUGUUAUGGUUGGGUUUUACCUUGAUGAUCUUUAGUAGUUGUGGAUGCUUGCUAGAGUUCCGAUCAUAAGUGCAUAUGAUCGAAGAAGAGAAAGUAUGUUAGCUUAUGCCUCUCCCUCAUAUGAAAUUGCAAUAAUGAUUACCGAUCUUGUUAACAAUCACCUAGGAUAAUUCCGCACACCGACCAAUCAUUAUUCCGCACUCGCUAUUUAUAAUACAUAGUAAUAUAUUCUAACUUUAUGAUAACAACACCUACUUUUAUAUUUUAGUUCUCCGAUAUCAUGCAAAGUUAUCCUCUUCAUACCCACAACAUAGUUUUAUUUCUCGUUUCUAGUUGGAAGCAAACGUUCGGUGUACGUAGAGUUGUAUCAGUGGAAGAUAGGACUUGAGAGAAUAUUGAUCUUACCUUUAGCUCCUUGUGGGUUCGACACUCCAUACUUAUCACUUCCACCUUUGGAAAGUCCUAUGAUGAUUCCUUGCACUUGAGGAUUAUCAAGCUCUUUUUUGGCACCGUUGCCGGUGAGCAAUAGCGUGGGGUUGAUAUUUUCGCGUAUGCUUGUUUGCUUUAUUCAUUAAGUAGAUUUUGUUUUCCCUUUAUUUUAGUUGUGGGUGAAACAAACAAAAAAAUACAAAAUGGAAAUACCAGAAAAAAAAUAUUUGCCUCCUAUGCCUAAAAACUUUUUGAAAAAGAUAAGUGAUUGGAAGGUUAUGCAUUGGAGAAGUGAGGGUCGACCUUGAACACUUGUGUUCAUGAUCAUGGAAACAAUGUAGACUUUUUCAUGGAAGUUUCUCAAAAAUAAGUAUCCCCUUGUAUAUAUUCAUUGUAUUAUAAAAUUAAGGUGCCAAGGUUUGGUUUUAGAAUGUUUAAAUUGCUUGUUUGGUGUGUGCAGCAGAAAAACAGAAACAUUGCGUGUAGUGUUUGAAUUCUUUUUUUUACUGGAGCAUGAUAAAAUCUUGAAAUUUCUACAUGACUGCCCAACAAAUUGCUUAGAUUGUCCUAUUCUUUUAGAAUUUUUGAAGUUACAGAAGUAUAUGAAAGAUCCAUAUUGCUACAGACUAUCAUGUUCUUAACAAAUUUUGUUUUCUAUGUGUUGUUCGCUUUGAUGAAUCUAUGGGUUGUAUCGGGGGGUAUGACCCAUGGUGAAGUUGGAAUACAGUAGGUAUAAUGCUAAUAUGAAAUUGGACUGGGUUUACAAUAGUACCUAGAGGUAGUGAUUUGCUUUAUUAUACUAACGAAUCUCACAAAGUUUUUUGUUGUGUUUUGUGUGGAUGAAGUGUUCGAAGAACGAGGAGUUACCGAUAUGAGAAGAAUAAGGAGAGGCAAGGGUCCAAGAUUGGAGAUGCCCAAGGCACCCCAAGUAAAUAUUUAAAUGAUACUCAAGCAUCUAAGCUUGGGGAUGCCCCAGUUGGCAUCCCAUCUUUCUUCUUCAACAAUUAUGGGUAUACCUCGUGAAAGUGCGUUAUAUCGACUAGAGGGGGGUGAAUAGGCAAUUUUUAUGAAAUUCUUCACUGAGGAAUUUGCCGGUGAGGAAAUUCCUUAGCGAAGACCUACUAGCAGCGGAAUAAGUACUCAAAAGUAAACAUGACAGAAUACAAGCAUGGUCGUCAUGAUGAAAUGAAGACAGGCACAGAGUACAGGUAGCGUGAGCACAGGAUAACACAGGAUGAAGACAAACAGACUAAAGAAAUUGAACUGAGGAAAUUGAGAAAGUCUUCAGUCAAAGUCUUCAAACACAGAUAUGAAGGAAAUGAAAGAUUUGAGGAAAUAGAACCAGUAAGCUUGGUGAAGACAAUGAUUUGGUAGACCAGUUCCAACUGCUGUCUCAGUUGUACGUCUGGUUGGAGCGGAUGAGUAUUUAAACUCGAGGACACACAGUCACGGACACCCAGUCCUGAGCACGCAGCUCAGGACACCCAGUCCUCGCCGUAUUCUCCUUGAACUAAGGUCACACAGACCUCAUCCAAUCACUCGUGGUAAGUCUUCAGGCGACUACCAAACCUUCACAAACUUGGUCACUCGGCAAUCCACAGUUCCUCUUGGAUGCUCUAGACCAUGACGCCUAACCGUCUGUAAGAAGCACAAUCUUCAAAGGUAACAAGCGUCGGAUCCACGCAAGAUCAAUCUCUUCAGUGAUGCUCAAUCACUUGGGGUUUGUAGGUGUUUGGGUUUGGGUUUUUGGUUUUUCCUCACUUGAUGAUUUUCGCUCAAAGUCCUUGGAGGAUGGGUUGCUCUCAAAUGACAAGUGUCAGUUUCUCUCGGGGCAGCCAACCAGCUAGUGGUUGUAGGGGGCGGCUAUUUAUAGCCUAGAGAGCAGCCCGACAUGAUAAGACAUAAAUAACCUUCAAUGAUAUGACCGUUAGGUGGGUAGAUAUUUCGGGACAGUUGGCGCAUAGCGCAGCAACGGUCAGAAUUUUGAGUAGCAAAAUCCUCAGGCCUAUCAUGUUCCUCAUUGUGUAGGCAAUCCGCACUGGCAAAUUCCUAACUCCUCAGUCAGGACAAAUUCCUCAGAGACCAGAAGAACUUCGACUCUGUCACUGAAGAAAUUGACUGAACUGUAUGAGAUUUCCAAUGGCUUCACUCGAAGGGAUUCGUAAGUGUAGGAUUUUGAGUUGAGCAUCACAUGGAAAUUUUUCCUUAGUAUUUCCUCGACCCCCUUUAACAGUACGGUGUUUCCUAUGACUCAAGAAAGGGAAAAUCAAACUAUGAAAACAAAAGUCUUCACGCUUCAUGUUCCUCGAAUGAAUACCAAGUCUUCACGGUCACACCAAUUUCUUCACUUUCAAAGUCUUCAGAAAGUCUUCAGAGAUUUAAAGUCUUCAGUCGAAGAACUUCAUUUUUAGGGGUCGACUUUCUCUGUAAAUAUCAAACUCCUCAUAGACUUAUACACCUGUGUAUACUCACAAACGCAUUAGUUCCUUAACCUAUAAGUCUUCAAUACACCAAAAUCACUAAGGGGCACUAGAUGCACUUACAAUCUCCCCCUUUUUGGUGAUUGAUGACAAUAUAGGUUAAGUUUUCAACGGGGAUAAACAUAUGAAGUGUAAAUACUGAUAUUGAGGAAUUUGAUUGCAAGAUAUAGAAGAACUCCCCCUGAAGAUGUACAUAGUGAGGAAUUUGCUUUUGAAGCAAUGCACACUUGAAGAGUUGAAUCAUGGAGAUCUCCCCCUAUAUCUUAUAAUUCAUACACGCAUUUGACAUAUCACAAUGAAGAAUUUGAAAUGCAUGAUGAAAUAUGGUGACUGAUGUAAUUCAACAUGUGUGCAUUAGCAUAUAUGAGGAAUAAGCAUGCAGGAAAACAUAUCAAAAUAUCAGAGCACCAUCGGGUUUAAGUUUACAACUCGAUCCAAUAAAGUGUCAGAAGAACGAGAGUUGUAACUUAACAAAAAAAUGCCCAUAUAGAAAGACCCGCUUGAAGACUAACUCAAAAUUCUCCCCCUUUGUCAUCAAAUGACCAAAAGGAUCGAAUAUGAGGACUAACGCCCCUGAAUAAUAUUAAGUUGAUGAAGGAGCGCCAACGUUGUUGGGGUCGUUUGUUGUAGUAGGGUCUGCCGCAGUGUCGUCCAAGUCUUCAUUUUCAUCGGUGUCGCGCGAUGAAGAUAAUGAGCUGGCCACCAGAGAAGGAACCUUGACCUUCUUGAAUUUCUUCGGUGGAGGUGCAGACCAGUCAAAAUCUUCUUUGAGACCCAUUUUCUUCAGAUCUUCUUCACCAUACAGAUGUGAUAGGAUGGCCCAGGUGCGACCGAAGACUUCAUGGAGGUAGUAAUGGUUUUUCUUCACUGCAUUGUGUGUAGCAGUCAUGUUGUGAAGAAAUGAACCAAACUGACGCUUAACCCAUUUAUGAUUUCGAUCCACCUUCUGGUGAAGACUAAGCAGAAGUUCACGGUCAGUCAUCAAUGGCGGAGCAGUGGCUUGAGGAGUGGACUUGGGUGCAUUGGCAGAGUCAUGUGUGGCAGAGUCAUCAUUGGUGGAAUAAGAAGCAGCUUUGUGAAAUUGACCAUCCAAUGGACGAAUGCCUUCAUCUAUUACAGCUGGUGCCUUGCCCUUUCCAUCAACUUAGGAAUAGGUCUGCUUGAGGACUUCAAUUGGGGGCAAGUAGCUGAGGUGAUUCUGAAAAUCAGCUUUGUAGUUGAGUGAAGACCUUGUCCUGAGGAAUCUCAUAAUCCAAGGUGCAUAAGGCUUCAGGUCAAACGGAGACAGUGCAAAAUUUGCCAGAGUCCUCAUGAAGAAAUCGUGAUAAUUGACAGGAAUGCCAUGAACGAUGUUGAAUACCAGAUUCUUCAUGAUGCCAACAAUUUCCUCAUCAGAUGAGUCAUGGCCUUUGAUAGGACUCAUUGUCCUCGUAAGAAUACGAUAGACAGUUCUGGGCACAUAAAGCAAUUCCUUCACGAGGAAUUUGGUUCUUGGGGCCUGUCCUGGCUUCAAAGAUUUCAUCAGCACUUGCAUGUAAUGAUUUGUAAGCUCAGGUUCACUAUAGAUGCAACGAGCUUCUUCAAGGGGAGGACUGAGUGGUAAGGCACGAAGCAAUUCAGAAGCUGGUGCAGUGUAGUGAGUGUUUUCAGACAUCCAGUCCAGCACCCAUGAAUUCACAUCUUCAGAAUCUCCUGUGAUGUGCAGCGAUGCCUAGAAUUGAAGAAUCAGUUCUUCAUUCCAAUCGCAGAUGUCAGAGCAAAAGUAUAGCAGUCCAGCAUUGUGAAGAACACUAAGGACUAGUGCGAAGCAUGGCAGAGAUUCCAUAUCCACGUGAGGAAUGUGCUCAUGGUAGAAGAUUUUCUCUUUGUUGAAUAGCACUAAGGAAUAGAAACUGGCUUGACUAGCAGUCCAGAAACGCCUCUUCCUAAUGUGAGCAGAGUUAUAGGGGUUGUAGUCUUUGGAGAAUACAUGCUCGCCGAAGAAAUCAUCAGCCUUGAACUUUUGCUUGCGUGAGAAUGGAUCCUUUGGCUUGGGCAGAGGAGUUUCAGUGAGUUGCAUCACGACCUCAGGAAUCUUAAUCGCAGGUUCUUGAGGCUGAGGAAUUUCUGGUUCCUCUGCAGUGCCAGUCUGUGUCUUCAGUUGUUUAGCAGUAGCAGUUUCUUUAGCACUAGUGGCAGGAAUUUCCUCAUGGACAGAUGCAGUGGGAUGAGUUUCUUCAGUGCCCAUUUGAACAGUUUGUGCGGGGGACUGAGAAAUUUGCUGUAGAGGGGUGAAGAGUGGAGAAUUGGGGUGCUGACUUUCCCAAAUGUCAUCAGUCAUCACUGGUGUGGAGCAGCCAACAUCCACAUCUUCAUCUUCCAUUUCUUCAACGCCAUCCUCUUCAGCUGUGAACUGAGGCAUGUGCGAGGAGAUGACAGGUGUUGAAGGGAUCGCAUCCACUUCAAUUUCUUCAUCCAACUGCUCAGACGAAGCAGCAGAAGGAGUUUCUUCAUCAGAUCCGCUGGGGAUCACAUAUUCUUCAUCAAAAGGAACAAGGUCCUUUGAUGGUCUGGUUGAGAUGGGAAUAGCAUCAAUGGGAUUAGUAAAUGAACUUGUCAUAGGCUUCAUCUUCUUCGGAGCUGAAGAAUCUAAAACAACUGAUGCUUUCCUUUUCUUCACUGCAGCACACUCUUGAGCCUUGGUCUUCUUCACAUCUGAUGCAGAUGGAAGGACUGGAGUUGAAGUAGGCGCAGGAGCAGCUGAGGAAUCUGGUUGAUUUUCUUCAUUUUCUUCAGGCGCCCCACUAGUGGGUGCCCUGGCAAUUUCUUCAGCGGCUGGAAUGCAGUCAUCAGCCUUGGAACUCACAUUUUCUUCAGCAGCCUGAUUGUCAUCAGCGGUGCUGGCAUGUUCUUCAGUAGGCUAAGCAGAUGCUUUAGCCUGAGGAACUUCCUGUUGCGUUGGGGCUGCAACAUUUGAGGUGAAGUUAUUGGCAAGUUUCACAAAACGAACCUUGGCUCCAAGCCAAUCAGCGCGAUGUGGGUCAAAGUCAUCACUGAGUUUCAUGAUCUCAGUUUGAAUAGUGACAAGUUUUUAGUUAUCAUAGAGAAAAUGUUUUUCUUCAUAUAGCGGUCUUUCUUGUACUGCGCUUUCUUGAUCUGCCUGGCCUUCUCAAAUUUCCACUUUUCUUCUUGCAUGAAGUGGGCCAGCAUGUGACUUUGGCCAGGAGUCAGUUUGAAAUCGGGCAUGGGAGUGUUGGGGUCCUUGUGCCAAACAUCAAUGUAUUCAAGGAUCAACUUGGAAUCCAAAAGCAGUGGCACCUCUGUUCCCUUGGCUCUAGCGGCCCUGACUUGCCUGUCUCUGAUGAUUUCUGCAAGUUCAUCAUCAUCAGCUUCAUCUUCUUCAGACGAUACUUGGAAAGCGACCUGCUUCUUCUGAGGACUUGGUCGAGGACCGUGUCCAGCAGUUGACUUUGUCUUCAGUAGUGAGGGGCCAGCUGAGGAACUUGGUGCAGCUGAGGAACUAGCUGAGACGCCUGAUGCAAUGGAGAUGCCUGCAGUCCUUUGGCACGAGGCGAGAUGCACAGGUGCUGAGGAUUUAGUCGGAACAGCUGAGGGCUUUGGUGGAGGAGCUAAGGACUUGGGAGGAGCGGGAGGAGCAUGAGGAAUUGGCCAUGAGGGCUUUGAGGAUUCUGGCCGUGAGGGCAUUGUUGAGGAACUUGGCCUUGAGGGCACUAUUGGUGAAGCACUUGCCUUGCACGCAGGCUUCUUUGCCAUAGCCUUCUUCGGCUUGAUAGCAGAGGCCUCAGCAGAGGCAGCAGCAGCAGCAGAGUCUUCAUUGAAUUUCCUCACUGCUUCUCUGGCUUGCUUAGCCAACUUGGCUUGGCGCUUGGCCCAUUCAUCAGGGUAGUCCUCACCGCGCUUGAGGCUGGUGGGAUCAGCUAUUUGGCCAGGUGCCAAUGGAGGUCUUGGUCAUGGAGGAUUGAGUGCGAAUUUCUUCAUAUACUUGGGAGUGACAUAUCUGUACUCCCUCCACUCUCUAGCCCAUCUCCUCUCUAUCUUCUGAAUGUGCACCUUGCGCUCAUUCUUGGUUUCCUCAGUAGGUGUGCAGUACCCAGCAUAUAUUUCAUCAGGGAUCUCCAACGCUGUAUUGACCUCAGGCCUCUUUCCUCCUUUCUGUGGCUUCUUACCAUCGGCCAUUUUCUUCAGUUGAGGAAUUUGAACAAUCGAAUUCUUUGAAGAAGUAUGCAACUUUUCUUCGAGGAACGCUGCAAAUGAGUUAAGUUGAUGAGAACCUAGUGAUUCAGCAGCGGACAUGAGUACCUGUGAACAGAGUAUAGUUGCGAGGAAUUCGGAGAGGUCAUAUGCAUUCUCAGAAGGUUUUUUCAAAAAGAACAAGUUUGAGGAAUUUGAACAUAUGAGUCUUGAAGAAUUUAACUAAGCGUUCUUUGUCUUAGGUUCCAGAGUUGUAUAGAUCGAAGAUCCACAAAAUUGAGGAAUCUUGAAGAACAAUGAUGCUUAGAGAAACGAAUCAAGAACAGAUGACUUGUGAGGUGUUUAGUAUGUGAAGAUAUGAAGAAAAACACCUUUGAAUAUUUUGUAGAUAAUCAUUCGAAUCAAUGAGGGUAGUAAAAGUAACUUUUAAUUACCCUUAACGAAGAACACAACGAACUGGAGUGAGGAUAUGUGAAGUUCCUCUGUGCAGAUCUUCCACGCCCUAACUUGGCGGAGGAAGACGGCUACGGCGGCGGCGGAGUGAAGAUUUCCGCGGUCGGCGCGAGUACGUUGGCGACGAGGUCGAGGCAGUGAAGCUCUUCCUCACCGGCGACGAUGAAGUAGCGGCGGCGCUAGGGUUUGAUAAGCUCGAGCUAGAGAGAGAUCGAGCAGAGUAAAAGAAGUGAGGAAGGGAAGGAGGGGUAUUUAUAGCCACGGUGUAAAACUGCUCGCCCAAAGAAAUUGGACAAACGUGCCCCUGACCCUUCUCAUUCGCACGACAUGUGUCACCCAUGUACUGAGAGGUGGAGAUCAUGUGCGAUCGUGGGUGAGUGGAUAAGUAUAUCAUGGGAUGUGGAACGGUUUGAGCGGCAAAGUCGAAAAUUUAGAUAAGAUAGGUUUUAAAGUUCCGUUCGCAAUUUCUUCAGCUAACAAGGACACAGUGAAGAUUUUGAACGAGUUUCAAAUAGAACACACCUGAAGAAUUUGUGAAUAGAUUGGGUUGAGUAUAGCAUAGAGGGGAAGGGUCCGAUCACAUUCACUUAGUAGAAAACCAACUUGAAGAAUUAGUAAUAAGUGAAUGUUGUAGAGGACAUAAACUCAUAUAUAUAUAUAGCCAAUGAAUAAAAAUGACGGAAACAGUGAAGACAAUGCGAAGUUGAAGAAUAUGAACAAUUGAGGAAUUUCAACUUUUGGUGGUGGCCUGACCCACCGUAUAAGAAUGAUGAUUUCAGACACCGCAUACAAUUAUGGUAGGGUUCUGAGAAUCAAUUCUUCGUUAAUUUCUUCACACUUAGAGUGUUAUUCUUCAUUGAUUGAAGAAAAACGUUUCUUCAUGUGUUGCACAUCUAAGUCAUCAAUUUUGCAUAAGUGUUAGGAUGAGUGUCCUUUUCAAAGAACAUUCGAAGAUUCUGGGAUAUUUAGCUCACACCGCAAAUUGCUAAAUAUCUUCUCAUCCAAGGGCUUUGUGAAGAUAUCGGCUAGCUGUUCUUUAGUCUUCACAUGCUCAAUAGAAAUGUCGCCCUUCAACACAUGAUCACGAAGAAAUGAUGAUGAAUCUGAAUGUGUGAGGGAGUCCUGGAUUAGGGGGUGUUCGGGUAGCCGGACUAUACCUUCAGCCGGACUCCAGGACUAUGAAGAUACAAGAUUGAAGACUUCGUCCCGUGUCCGGAUGGGACUUUCCUUGGCAUGGAAGGCAAGCUUGGCGAUGCGGAUAUUAAAGAUCUCCUACCAUUGUAACCGACUCUAUGUAACCCUAACCCUAUCCGGUGUCUAUAUAAACCGGAGGGUUGUAGUCCGUAGGCAAUCAACUCCAUACACAACAAUCAUACCAUAGGCUAGCUUCUAGGGUUUAGCCUCCUUGAUCUCGUGGUAGAUCUACUCUUGUACUACCCAUAUCAUCAAUAUUAGUCAAGCAGGACGUAGUGUUUUACCUCCAUCAAGAGGGCCCGAACCUGGGUAAAACAUCGUGUUCCCUGCCUCCUGUUACCAUCCGGCCUAGACGCACAGUUCGGGACCCCCUACCCGACAUCCGCCGGUUUUGACACCGACAUUGGUGCUUUCAUUGAGAGUUCCUCUGUGCCGUCACAAUCAGGAAGGAUGCCUCCUCACGUCUUUAAAGACAGCGUCGUUGCUAAGGGAGCCUUGGCUGUCGGCCAAAUCCUCCGGCUAGGUGGUUUCCUCAUGACCGCCUGUUCGGCUGUUGCACCGACGGUGACCUCUCGGGUCAUCAAAAGCAACCUACACGUCAGCUCGGAGCUCGUCGAGCAGCUAGAUCCAAUGGAGCUCUCUUCCGUAAACGAGCUCUUGGAUCACAUCGCCGCCCUGGGGGUCGCUACGGAUUACGACCAAGUUGGGCUUAAACCUGAUCUAAGAGAAAUUAACUCUCCCCAAGUCACCCACCAUGUUGCCGUGGUAGAGGCGCAGUGCGGCGACCCUUCAUCUAUUUUAAGGACUAGCUACGUCCGAAUUCCCGACUCCUCCAAGCCGGAUACCCACGGAGAGGAGGAUGUAACUCAAGACCUGAGCUUAGGAUCAGGCAACGGGCUAGAUUCGUUGGACAACAUCCAAGAAUCCGAACUUCAGAGUUCGGAAACUCUUCGGCCUCCGAAUCUUGGAUUGGGUGAGGUUUCAGAUUCAACGACACCCGCCCACCCGAACAUAAGCGAUCUCUCCCAAAUCAGGUAGAAGCCUGAGGAAACAGUACAUCACUACUGGGCCAGAUUCCUCCUGGUUAUGAACAGGAUAAAGGAUUGCCGCGAGGGAGACGCAAUCUCAAUUUUCUGCAGUAAUUGCACGGACGAGGGAAUCCUUAACGCCGUAAGUCGUCGUGAUAUUACACGCUUCGCUGACUUGGCGUCCAUAGUACAAAAAUAUUGUGCGAUGGAAAGCACCUGGAGAACUGAAAUAAAAUUUUGGGAUAAUCCGGCCUUGAAUAGUAAUCCCGUCCAAACUAAGAGGGUGCAUCAUCAUAGGACACCCGGGAUAAACACCAAAAAGCCAAAACCCUCUACAGGGCAUGGAACCGUACUGGAAAGGUGGCUUGAUGGACCCUGUAGAAUUCACAGUACAGAGGACGCCACACCAACUCACAGCCUUAGAGCAUGUUGGAUACUCCGGUAGGUGGCCAAAAUUGGCAAGGACCUCUUAAUUCUGGAGGCCGCAGAAAGCCAGCCCGAGGACACCAGUACCGCUCUCACAGUCUUCGAGACUUUCGCAUCAAACAAUGUGCGAAAAAGAACACUCUGCAGCCUUGCCGAAGUCUAUCAAGUUGCAACAAUAAAUCCAUGGAGCGACACUGCCAUUACCUUCAACGCAAGUGAUGAACCUAGAUUCCGAACAGCCCGAGCACCAGCCGCAUUGGUCCUCAGUCCCAUAGUGGACGGCUUUUGCCUCACCAAGGUUCUCAUGGAUGGAGGCAGCGGACUGAACCUCAUUUAUGAGGAAACCCUUCAAAAAAUGGAAAUAGACUGGCACCGCAUCGGGCGAAGCAGCACAACCUUUAGAGGAAUAAUCCCCAGCCGGGAAGUGCGCUGCACAGGAAAAAUCACACUAGAUGUGGUGUUCGGCACGCCAGAUAAUUACAGAUCCGAAGAAGUCACGUUUCAGGUGGCCCUGUUUAAGAGCGGAUAUCACGCUUUACUAGGGAGGGAAGCAUUCACAAUCUUCCAAGCAAUACCCCAUUACGGGUACAUGAAGCUUAAGAUGCCUGGGCCGAAUGGAAUUAUCACUCUAGCUAGUGAUCCGGACAUAGCACUCCGCGCCGAAAACAAGACAGACGCAUUAGCCCUUGAGGCGCUAUCCGAAGCCUUAGCGGCCGAGGAACUGACUGCGCUAUGCUCCACGGUUAACAGGGAUGAUGUGAUACUCGAUAAGAGAUCCAAAUCCACAUCCUUCAAGCCAGCCGACGAAAUAGUCAAAUUCCAGGUCCAUCCAACGGACCCCAAUAAAACAGCUUCAAUCAGGGCACGACUGAACCCUGAAGCAGACGCCGCACAGCGAGAGUUCCUACGAGAGAACUAGGACAUCUUCGCCUGGCACCCUUCAGACAUGCCAGGGAUCCCAUGCAGGCUGGCUGAACACAGCUUAAAUAUCCUAAAAGGAUUUAAACCUGUCAAACAAGCCCUUCAGCGUUUUUCUGAACCCAAGAGACAGGCUAUGGGAGAGGAGCUAGCCAAGCUAUUGGAGGCCGGAUUCAUCAGAGACAUAAAACAUCCGGACUGGCUAGCAAACCUGGUGAUGGUACCAAAGAAGGACAAAUCCUGGCGCCUGUGUGUCAAUUUUAAAGACCUUAACAAGGCUUGCCCAAAGGAUCCCUUCCCCCUCCCCCACAUCGAUCAAAUUAUUGAUGCCACCGCAGGACACGAUUUGUUGUGUUUCCUUGACGCAUACUCCGGUUACCAUAAAAUUAAGAUGGCAGAAUCAGACCAAGCUGCAACAGCAUUCAUCACAACAUACGACCCAUUCUGCUUCAACACAAUGCCCUUCGGGCUGAAAAACGCCGGCGCAACAUAUUAGCGCAUGAUCCAGACAUGUCUGGCAAAUCAGAUCGGCAAAACAGUGGAGGCGUAUGUGGAUGAUGUGGUCGUCAAAUCAAGACAUGUCGAAUCUCUAGUAGACGACUUGAGGCUUACAUUCGAUAACCUCCGAAAAUAUGACAUCAAGCUCAACCCGGAAAAAUGCGUCUUCGGCGUUCCAGCCGGAAAGCUCUUGGGCUUCAUUGUAUCCGGUAGAGGAAUUGAAGCAAAUCCAGCCAAGAUCUAAGCUUUGUCACAAUUGGAUAUACCAAAGGACCUCAAACAAAUACAAAAAUUAACCGGAUGUGUGGCGGCUUUAAGCUGCUUCAUCUCCCGCUUGGGAGAAAAGGCACUACCCUUCUAUCACCUCCUUCGGCGCACUGAACACUUCGAGUGGACGGAGGCCGCCACGGCCGGACUUGAUGAAAUAAAAGCCAUAUUGGCAACAAACCCAGUCCUGGCCGCGCCAAACACCGGCGAACCAAUGUUAUUGUACAUUGCAGCAACACAUCAAGUUGUCAGCGCAGUGCUCGUUGUCGAGCGGGAAACGGAUGGACACAAAUUCCCCCUUCAAAGGCCAGUCUACUACGUAUCCACUGUCCUCACUCCAUGCAAAUCACGGUUCCCGCAUUAUCAAAAGAUUGCAUACGCGGUAUUCAUGGCAUCCCGGAAGCUACGACACUACUUUCAAGAGUGUUCCAUAACAGUAGCCUCUGAAGUACCACUCAACGAUAUUAUUAACAACCGCGACGCAACGGGCCGGAUUGCAAAAUGGGCCAUCGAGCUUCUCCCGUUUAAUAUAACCUAUAAGCCACGGCGAGCUAUUAAAUCGCAAGUUUUGGCCGACUUCGUCGCAGAAUGGACGGAGGCCGAGCUCCCUAAAGAGUACGGCACAUAUUCAAACUAGAUUAUGCAUUUCGACGGCUCCAAAAUGUUGGCCGGACUGGGGGCUGGCGUCGUCCUGACGUCCCCCACAGGAGACAUAGUCCAAUAUGUGCUCCAGAUCAUGUACACGGAUUCCAACAAUGCAGCCGAAUAUGAGGCCCUCCUACAUGGUCUCCGGAUAGCAGUAUCCAUGGUUAUCCAGCGCCUAGAGGUACGCGGGGAUUCAAACCUCGCGAUAUCCCAAAUAAAUGGAGACUUUGAUGCCAAGGACCCAAAAAUGUCAGCUUACCGCAACGCCGUCCUAAAAAUGUCAGCUCGGUUCGAAGGGCUGGAGUUUCACCAUAUAGCCCGAGAAAACAAUCAAGCAACGGACGUCCUGGCACGCAUCGGAGCAAAACGUGAUGCAGCCCCCCCCCCAACAUCUUUUUGGAAAGAUUGUUCAAGCCAUCCGUAGCAUGGGAGGGGGAACCCGCAAAUAACAGCCCGGACCCAGCCGCACCACUCGACGCCGAACAAUCUGACACAAUUGGAGGCUCUGCAAAUGAAAUUACACCUUCAGCCCACGUAAUAAUCGCGGUCAUUGCCCCGUGGACAAAACCAUUCCUAGCCUACCUUACUAGGCAGGAACUCCCGGAGGACCAAAAUGAGGCCCGCUGCAUAGUGCGGCGAUCUAAAGCCUAUAGAGUCUAUGAGGGAGAGCUUUAUAAGAAAAGCACUACCGGAGUCCUUCAAAGGUGCAUCUCCGAAGAGGAAGGGCGGAACCUUCUGGCUGAAAUUCAUGCCGGACUCGGUGGUCACCAUGCCGCUGCUUGGUCCCUUGUUAGCAAGGCUUUCCAUACAUGCUUUUAUUGGCCGACGGCCCGGACGGACGCUCAGGACCUAGUCCAAUGAUGCGCUGGUUGCCAACUUUUUGCCAACCAAAGCCAUAUGCCACCCACCGCACUCCAAACUAUACCCAUCACCUGGCCUUUUGCGGUCUGGGGGCUUGACAUGGUCGGACCCCUUAAAGGUGGGACCGAUAGGAAACAAUACUUACUGGUCAUGGUGGAUAAAUUCACCAAAUGGAUAGAAGCCAAGCCUGUUAAAACGGCCGAAUCCGGACCUGUGAUAGACUUCAUAUCCGGGGUUGUAAACCGUUAUGGCGUCCCCCACAGCAUCAUAACCGAUAACGGUACAAACUUUACCACCGACGAGGUAAAACUCUGGUGCAAAAACAUGGGCAUCAAGCUCGAUUAUGCUUCCGUCUAUCACCUAGAAACCAACGGCCAGGUUGAAUGUGCAAAUGGUCUUAUCAUGAGCGGCAUUAAACCCAGACCGGUGCGGUCCCUCAAGGAAUCUAACACGCACUGGGUAGAGGAGCUCGACUAUGUGCUAUGGGGGUUGCGGACCACGCCAAAUCGCACCACCGGAUACACACCAUUUUUUAUGGUGUAUGGUGCAGAGGAAGUUCUGCCCUGCGACAUAAUUCAUGACUCACCUAGAGUGCGUAUGUACGAAGAAAGAGAAGCCGAGCUCGAUCGGCAGGACAACUUGGACGCCCUGGAGGAGGAGCAUGACGUGGCAAAAGCCCAUUCCGCAUUUUAUCAACAGCAGGCCCGAAGAUAUCAAAGCAGAGAAGUACGGGCCAAAAGUUACAAUGUUGGCGAACUAGUUCUACGCCUGCCGGAUAAGAAAAAGGACAAACUCAAGCCCAAGUGGGAAGGUCCAUUCAUAAUCGACCAAGUCCUGACUGGCGGGGAAUACCUCCGGCGAGAUGCAUCGGAUAACCAACUCGAGCCGAACCCGUGGAACGCCACCCGUCUCCGAAGAUUCUAUGCCUAGCGCCGGACUCUGUGUUCGUCUCCUUCCUCUGUCCAUUUUUUGCAUUUUUCUGUCUUACAUUUCUCUCCUUCCCCUCUUUUCUUUUAUAGCCCUUAAAGGCUCAUCUAGUGACGCGCCACUCGCGCUCAUUAAACCUGGGGGCUUCUUUAACAGAAGCUUAUUUAUACGGGCUUCACGCCCAACACAUGCGUCAAACUUCCGCAUGUACCUUUUUCUUCACCAUUAUAUGCAUCGAUAUGACUUGUUUUGGCCAAGCUGGGUUGCCUGGCUCCUGUGCUUACCCUACGUUCCCGAUUGUUUGGCUAGGCGGUAAAGGGAGCACCUCUGCGAUUGUUACUGCCGGGUCAGCCGGAUGUGUACCUCAGAUUGGGUGAAGCCGAAAGCUAGCAUUCUUAAGGGAAUAUUUGGUCGGUGAGAUAAAAGAUGAUCUUUUUACUCAUUUUAUGCGCCCCCAGAUGCUUUUUUCUGCGUCUUUUACGCAGUCCGGACAUGCACUUUAGGGCAUGCCUCCCAGCGAAAGGAACCCCUAACAGAACUAUUCUCUCUGGAAGAUGUUUCUUACUAACCAUGUAAUAUAACAUAACUAGUUGGGCACUUGUCUGAUAAAGCACUAAUGACCCCUACGCCUGGUCUCCACGCAUACCACGGUUCUUAUAUAACCGCUAUGGUAUUCGGACACACUCCGGACCGUCAGGUCCCGAGGUUGAAGUGAAAAGGUCGGCAAUGACAAACGAUCUACAAUCCAGCUAGAAGGCAUUAAACAUGUCAAUUCAAAAUUACAUAGUCAUUCUGACUGAUUGUAUUCCUCUUCUAUACCAUCUAACAGGCUUUCUAAUUUACAGUCCUGCUGGGAAUACUUCGCGGCUAACUCUACUUGGCUGUAUACUAAGCUCACAGGGAUCUCCUUCCCGUCAGGCCCCACUGGUCCGACCUCGGCAGGCUUCCCUAGCGCCUUGUCGGCAGGCCGAUAUCUUCCACAAUAGGAAGCGCCGCCGAGCUCCCUUCAGCUUCUCCGCAAGCUCUCCAAGGCCCGCGGGCAUGGAGUGGGCAGGCCAUAAGGCUUGGGCAACACCUCGCAUUGCCUGCCGAAUUCGCUCGUGCAGUUGCAUGAGUUCGGGAAGAAGGUCACCCGUAGAACCGGGCAUCUCCUCUGUAGGACGACCUGUGAGCAUACCUACAGACAUUACUCUAUUAGUCGACUUCCUCGCCGAACUCUUUUUUUCAAAAGUUCGUUCAAGCACUUACUAAAAAUGCCGCAUCGAAGCCGCUGAUUCUCCUUCGUGGAGUCCGACAGCUGGCCACGAACAUCUUUAAGUUCGACGUCCAGCUUGGUGUUGGCAUCCUGAAGAUCAUUCUUCUCUCGCCUCACCUUUGUCAACGUACUCUCACCGGCCUUUAGCCGGCGUAAGAGUUGCUGCUUUUCCGGAUCGAGUCCGGCGCCAUCUGCAACAUGAUUUGUCAGAUUUGCACCCACACCGCACAAUACUAAUCUUUUGAAGUGUAUCUUACCUGAGGGGGUCUCUUUGGGCUCCCCUGCUGCGGCUAGUGCAGCCUCUAGUUGGGCCUUGCACUUUUCCAGCUCCUGGGACAGUACAGUAUUCUUAUCUGUAAGAACCUGCAUAUUAAAUGAUCCUUAAAUCAGUUGCUCUAACUGUUUCAAGUCUCGGGGGCUACUGGUAUAUAUAUAUUUGACCAAAAUUUUCUUACCCGUAUGUCUUUUACAUACUGCUCCGUGGCUCUGGCUAAACCAUUUUGAGCGGCAUGGAGGUACGCAUCUCCCGAAUUAAAGGCAUCUAAAGCCUCUUGGGAGAAACAAGCGUCGCGUAGAACUGUCCGGCGAUGCCUGUGGUUCAUGGCACUCUCCACUUCAGAAUUUGUGGCAGACAGCCUGUCUACAUCCUUUGUCGGAGGAAUGUCCGGUGCGUGCCUUGUGCUCGCCUCCGCUUCCUGGCCAGACGUUGGAGCCUGGCUGGUGGAGGCGCGAUUGGCAACCUCUGCGGAUGUAGUCCAGCGAGGUCUCUUCGUUCUGAAGAUAGCACGAACGUUAAUAUGCCCUGACAGAAUAACACCAGGGAAACAGAGGGUGCGCUAUACCUUUGCGUCGGCAUCUCAGUUCGGACUACAUUCCUUUUUGCCCCAUGGGGCCCUGCGGCCCCUCGUUGGCUAGCCGCCGCAGGUUCAGCCUCCUGCCUCGGAAAUCUCCCCUGCAAAACACGGUUGUCGUCAGAAACACCGGAAUAAGUGAGAGUGGAAUCUCUCUCAAGGGAAUGAGACUCCGGUUUUCUGUCACCUGGGAGGCCGGGAUUAACCCUGGGUAAUCAGCUGUGAUGGCUACCAAGGUAUUGUCCUUGCUUAGUUGAUGGAACACCCCGUCGAUAAGCUCCAGCGAUAUGUCCGGAUCCUCUUUGGAGUCCGGAUCGAGGGACCGUUCUGGGUCCUCGGGCUGUGGAGGGCGGCUGUUUAUAUCCUGUACCACCUGUCGCAGUUCCUGCAUUGAAGUCGUUAGACUACAUAUCUAACCGUGGGAGUAUAAAACAAACGGGCAAGCGCAGUUGUUCACUUACCCAACUUGGAGGAUCGUACAUAGUAAAUCCGGCCUGCGGGUUGAUGCGGAGGAAUUCCUCCUUUUCUCCCUUGUACAAAGAGGAUAAGAUAUUUACUAGAGCGGCAGCUGAGGCCAGCCCCUUACGACCGUAAUGGGUGGCGUCAUCCUCCCCGUUGAAAUCCCACAUGGGGUGGCCUCUGUAUUGAAGUGGCUGCACCCCCCGCAUAAUGCAUCCAGCCAUGACUCCAAUCAUGGUUAGUCCGGAAUGAGCCAACAGUCUUCUCCGGCCCAUCAGGUAAAGGACGUCUCUGUCGCUUUCUCUCUGAGAGCUCCGCGGAUGCCAGCUCAAGCGUUUCUUCAAUGGAGCACUAUUGAACACAGGGAGACCGACCCGGAUAGGGUCCGGUAGUGGGACGUCAUCUAUAUAAAACCAUUCCGAAGGCCAAUCCUCGGACGACUUCUUUGGGGUUCCGGAUAGGUAUCCGGUCCCGGCGAUGCGCCAUACUUCGGCUCCGCCCACUUGGUAUAUAGACCCCUUUUGAGAACGGGGCACCAGGCAGAAUAACCUCUUCCACAGCGCGAAAUGAGCCUCAACGCCUAAAAAUAGCUCGUAAAGGGCGACGAAACCCGCAAUAUAUAUGCAACACGGAGGCGGGCGUGAGAUUGUGCAGCUAGAGGCCGUAGAACUCCAGAAGCCCGUGGAGAAAUGGAUGAAUUGGAAAUCCCAGUCCCCUUAUUAGAUAGGGGACGAGGCACACCCGCUCUCCUUUAGAAGGAUUGGGGGUGCUCUCCGCUUGUUUUCCGCCGUUGUAGGUGGCGAGACCGGCUCGAACCGGGACCAUGUAUGCCUGAGGGAGAAAUCCCUUGGCCUGAAGUGACGCUAACUCGCUAUGCGGGAUGGUGCAACUCUCCCAGUCCCCGGGUUUGGGACUGGAGGGGCGAGGGGAGGAGCUGCGACGGCUGGUCAUGUUGGAAUGGACCUUUGCUAGAAGCGCUCUGAUGAUAACUCGCAGAAAGGAGAAGAUGUGGUUUGGACCUAAAUACCCAUCCCGUUAAAUAGGCGGCUCGUUUAUACGGCUAGGGGCGUGGAUGUAAAAACACCCUGGCUUUUCGCAUUCGUUUGACACAUGGAAGACGACCAUUAUUGGGCGUGGAAGCCGAGGAACACUACAUUACAAAAAUCGGACAUUAUUCCUACAGGUACAUAAGAUUUGGAGAAGAACCCGCCUUGCAAUGCCGAACAAUCUGCGCGCCAGACUCUUCGUCAUUGAAGCCUGGUUCGGGGGCUACUGAGGGAGUCCUGGAUUAGGGGGUGUUCGGGUAGCCGGACUAUACCUUCAGCCGGACUCCAGGACUAUGAAGAUACAAGAUUGAAGACUUUGUCCCGUGUCCGGAUGGGACUUUCCUUAGCGUGGAAGGCAAGCUUGGCGAUGCGGAUAUUCAAGAUCUCCUACCAUUGUAACCAACUCUAUGUAACCCUAACCCUAUCCGGUGUCUAUAUAAACCGGAGGGUUGUAGUCCAUAGGCAAUCAACUCCAUACAUAACAAUCAUACCAAAGGCUAGCUUCAGGGUUUAGCCUCCUUGAUCUCGUGGUAGAUCUACUCUUGUACUACCUAUAUCAUCAAUAUUAAUCAAGCAGGACGUAGGGUUUUACCUCCAUCAAGAGGGCCCGAACCUGGGUAAAACAUCGUGUUCCCUGCCUCCUGUUACCAUCCGGCCUAGACGCACAGUUCGGGACCCCCUACCCGACAUCCGCCGGUUUUGACACCGAAAAUGUGCUUUGUCUUCGAGUGCUGAACUGGGUUGUGAGCAAUCUUGAUAGCACUCUCAUUGUCACAGUAGAGAGGCACAUUCUUCAUGUUGAAGCCGUAGUCCUUGAGAGUUUGCUUCAUCCAUAGCAAUUGAUCAUAGCAAGAACCAGCGGCAAUGUACUCAGCUUCAGCAGUAGAUAGUGAUACGCAAUUCUGUUUCUUCGAGGACCAACAUACCAAAGAUCGUCCGAGGAAAUGACAUGUACCAGAUGUUGACUUGCGGUCCACACGAUCACCAGCAUAGUCAGAGUCAGAAUAUCCAAUGAGAUCAAAAGCCGAGCCCUUGGGGUACCAUAAUCCAAGUGUUGGUGUGUGAGCUAGAUAUCGAAGAAUGUGCUUCACAGCCUUAUGGUGUGAUUCCUUCGGUGUAGCUUGAAAUUGGGCACACAUGCAAACACUAAGCAUUAUGUCUGGCCUAGAUGCACACAGGUACAAUAAAGAGCCAAUCAUGGAGCGGUAUACCUUAUGAUCGAAGCCGAUACCAUUUUCAUCAGUGCAUAGAUGGACAUUUGUGGGCAUAGGAAUUUUGAUGCCUUUGCAAUCUUGCAUGCCGAAUUUCCUCAGUACAUCCUUGAGGUAUUUCUCCUGAGAUAUGAAUAUGUCAUUGCGUUGUUGACGAAUUUGAAGACCUAAGAAGAAUUUCAACUCUCCCAUCAUAGACAUUUGAUAUUCUUCACUCAUCAUAUAGGCAAAUUCAUCACUAUAACGUUGGUCAGUACAACCAAAGAUAAUAUCAUCAACAUAUAUUUGGCACACAAACAAUUCACCACCAUAAGAUUUAGUGAAAAGAGUAGGGUCUGGUGAACCAGGUUUGAAGCCUUUCUUCAUGAGGAAUUACUUCAAGGUAUUAUACCACGCCCGUGGGGCCUGCUUGAGGCCAUAGAGGGCCUUGUUUAGUCUGAAGACUUUGUCAGGAUUCUUUGGAUCUUCAAAACCUGGGGGUUGAGCAACAUAUACUUCUUCCUCAAGCUUACAAUUAUGCACUUUUCACAUCCAUUUGAUAUAAAGUGAUAUCAUGAUGGUUAGCAUAAGCAAGUAAUAUGCGAAUAGCCUCAAGUCUAGCAACGGGUGCAAAAGUAUCAUCAAAAUCAAUUCCUUCAACCUGUGUGUAGCCUUGAGCUACAAGUCGUGCCUUAUUCCUCACCACAAGGCCAUUUUCAUCUUGCUUGUUGCGGUAGAUCCACUUUGUGCCGAUGAUAUUAUGCUUGCGAGGAUCUGGACGUUUGACCAGUUCCCAGACAUUGUUGAGCUCGAACUGAUGUAAUUCUUCUUGCAUGGCCUGAAUCCACUCAGGCUCCAGAAAUGCUUCAUCUACCUUAGUGGGCUCUGUAAUAGAGACAAAAGCAUAGUGCCCACAAAAGUUAGAUAAAUGUGAAGCUUUUGAGCGUGUGAGAGGACCUGGCGCUUUGAUGUCAUUGAUGAUCUUUUCAACUUGCACUUCUUUUGCAAUACGAGGAUGAGCUGGUUGCCAUUGAAGAAUUUGAUCAGCAUUCUCUUCAGCACCAUUUUCUUCAGUAUUUUCUUCAGGUGCAUUAGCUCGACGUUCUUCAUGUUCUGGAAUGAAUUCUUCAGCAGAUUUUUAAGUAGGAAUGACAUCCUCGGUACCCUUGAACUUGAAAGUUUCCUCAGGUGCUAGUUCAUCUAUCACAGUAGGUAGGUGCUCUCUUUGCGAGCCAUUAGUUUCAUUGAACCGCACAUCUAUAGUUUCAACAACCUUGUGAAGAACGUUGUUGAAGACUCUGUAGGUGUGUGAGUCCUUUCCGUAACCAAGCAUAAAACCUUCAUGUGCUUUCGGUGCAAAUUUUGAGUUGUGAUGAGGAUCUCUAAUCCAACAUUUAGCACUGAAGACUUUGAAAUAACUUACAUUGGGUUUCUUAUUAGUGAGGAGUUCAUAGGUUGUCUUCUUUAAGAAUUUGUGAAGAUAUACUCUAUUGAUGAUGUGGCACGUAGUGUCAAUUGCCUCAAUCCAGAAUCGACGUGGCGUUUUGUAUUCAUCAAGCAUAGUGCGAGCCAUCUCAGCAAGAGUCAUGUUCUUGCACUCCACGACGCCAUUCUGCUGAGGACUGUAAGGAGCAGAUAACCCAUGAGUAAUACCAAGUUCAUCAAGAUAGUCAUCAAGACCAGAAUUCUUGAACUCAGUGCCAUUGUCACUUCUGAUGUGCUUGAUCUUCACUCCAAAGUUGGUUGAAGCCCUCGAGGAAAAUCGUUUGAAGACUUCCUACACUUCAUGUUUGUAAGUAACAAUGUGUACCCAUGUGUAUCGAGAGUAAUCAUCAACAAUAACAAAGCCAUAUUGAGAUGCUUCAUUUGAAACAGCAGAAUAAUGAUUAGGACCAAAGAGAUCCAUGUGAAGCAAUUCAAAUGGACGAGUAGUGGUCAUGGUAGUCUUCGCUGGAUGCUUGGCCUUGGUCAUCUUUCCAGCUUCACAGGCUCCGCAUAGGUGAUCCUUGAGGAAUUUGACAUUCUCGCUGCCAAUGACAUGCUUCUUCUUUGCAAGCAUGCGCAAAUUCCUCAUGCCUGCAUGACCAAGUCGUCGAUGCCAGAGCCAGCCUUCUGAAGCUUUUGCAUGUGAGCACACGGCUGGUUGUGGUCCUUUGGAGAAAUCAACAAUAUACAAGUCUCCUCUCCUAAAGCCUUCGAAGAGUUUGGAAUUGUCAGCUUCCAUAACCACAACACAAUGGUACUUGCCAAAGACAACAACCAUAUCAAGAUCACAAAGCAUUGAGAUAGACAUAAGGUUGUAUCCUAAGGACUCAACAAGCAUGACUUUGUCCAUGUGUCGAUCCUUUGUGAUCACAACCUUACCUAGACCCAAUACCUGACUUUUGCCUUUGUUAUCAAAGAUGAUCUGCUUCAUAUGCGACGGAGGUAAUGGAGCAUCCAUCAAUAGAUUCUUGUCACCAGUCAUGUGAUUUGUACAUCCACUAUCGAGGACCCACUCUGUGGCUUUGGGUUGAUCAUCCUACAGAUGAAUUAGUGCAGCUUACAAACUCAUAUACUUCAUCAGUGAAGAAUAUGACAUCAACUCAUCAGAUCAAUUUCAUCAAGCAAAAGAACAGAUAAAGCAAUAUGAGGACGUGGGAAAUGAAAGUUCAUUUCUUCAUGAUUAGCCUGCGUCCUAUCAGGCAUACUCAGCUCUCCAGCAAAUUCUUCAAACGAUUACGUAUGUUUGGAGACCUAACCCUGCAGAAGAGAUUAGUUCUGUUUCUUCACCACCCACAUCUGAAGGGGUGGCAAAGAGUUCAUCAUUCUGCGAGCUCCAUACGAGAAGGAUGGCAUAGAAGCCAGUCCAUUUCAUUUCACAUAAGAGGGGUUAGAGUAAGCAUAAGAGUAUGCAGAGAAAUUCUUCGAGGACUUAUGGAAAUAAUGAUUUGAAGAAUAAUGCACAUAUUCAUAAUCCUUAGAUCUUCCCUGCGAAACAGACAGGUUAGCACGAUGAUGUUCAUAUGAGGACUUUGAUCCUUUUGAGGAAUAUGAUCCAUGUGAGGAAUUUGGUCCAUAUGAAGAAUUUCAUCUGGGGUUCCUAUUCUUCACAGGUGGCGUCAUGAUGACAUUCACUUGAAGAUUUUCAAGGCAUCUUUUGGGAACCCAGAUUUUCUUAAUAGGGGGGCCGUUCCUGUAGUUAGUGCCAACAUAUCUAGCAAAUACUUCACCAUUCUGAUUUUUAACAGUUUAUAGUCAGAAUGAGGAGAUUCACAUGCAAAUCCAGAUAAGUUGGAUGGAUCAACUGGAGGUCCUUUUGCAGCAACCCAUGUAGUUUUGGGGUACUGCUCAGGCUUCCAAUAUGUACCAUCAGCAUUGAGUUUCCUCUCAAAGGCAAUACCCUCUCUCCUAGGGUUCCUAUUGAGGAUCUGAUUUUUAAGCACAUCACAAAGAGCCUGAUGCCCUUUGAGGCUUUUGUACAUGCCUGUCAUGUACAAUUCCUUCAGCCCUGCAUCAUUAGUGAUACUAGCAAUGUCCUCAGAUGAGGAAUUAGUGAUAGCAGAGGCAUGUGAAGAAUUUGAAGCAUUAGCAGCAUUUGAACAUUCAGGUGAAGAAUUAGCAGAUUCACGUUCAAUGCAUUUCAAACAUGGAGGAACAAAUUCUUCCUGAGAAGCGCUGAUUUGUUGAGCAAGUAAUGAAUCGCGCUCCUUCUGAAGAUCUUCAUAACUCACUCUUAGCUUUUCAAGAUCUUGCUUUCUUUGAAGAAAUUCAUAAGAAAGCUUCUCAUGAUCAGAUAAGAGAGUGUUAUGUUGAUCUUGAAGGGUGUAAUACUUAGUAUGAAGUCUUUGAAGACUUUCAGCCAAAGCUUUUGACUGAUCCAUUUCUUCACCCAACAUAUCAUCGCUCUUAUUUAGCAUAUAGUGAACUUUUUCCAAAGCUCUUUUUGUUUAGUGGCAAGGGAAGCAAGUUUGACAUAGCUGGGUCCAAAUUCAUCACCAGAUUCAUCAUCACUAGACUCGGAUAGGUAGCAUUCAGUUACCUCGGCAUCUUUUGCCAUAAGGCAUGAUGCAGAAGAUGAUGAUUCUGGUUCGAAUGUCAUCUCUUUGAGAGAUUCCUUGAAGUCCUCAAACCAAGGAUCAUGACAGGUUCGAUGACCUUCAUAGACCUCAGAGAGACGGUCCCAGAUGAGCUUCGCAUGAUCGAGAUGCAUGAUAUUCCUGAACUGAUUUUGAGACAGACAUGAGCAGAUGACAUCCUUCGCCGUGAGGUUGAGAAGAGUGUACUUGCGAAUGUCAUCAUCUUAUGCCAUCUUGCACAGAUCGGUCAGACCAAUCUCAGUGACGGUCCACAGCACGAUGUUCAUCGCCAUGAGGCGCUUCUUCAUCAUGGCCUUCCACUUGGGAUACUCGUGACCGUCAAAGAUGGGGCAUGUCACUUUCUUCAUACAUGCGGUCGACAUAACUAAACUCUAGGCGGUUAAACCAAAAUCACACUGAACAAGGGAGUACCUUGCUCUGAUACCAAUUGAAAGUGCGUUAUAUCGACUAGAGGGGGUGAAUAGGCGAUUUUUAUGAAAUUCUUCACUGAGGAAUUUGUCGGUGAGGAAAUUCCUUAGCGAAGAACUACUAGCAGCGGAAUAAGUACUCAAAAGUAAACAUGACAGAAUACAAGCAUGGUCAUCAUGAUGAAAUGAAGACAGGCACAGAGUACAGGUAGCGUGAGCACAGGAUAACACAGGAUGAAGACAAACAGACUGAAGAAAUUGAACUGAGGAAAUUGAGAAAGUCUUCAGUCAAAGUCUUCAAACAUAGAUAUGAAGGAAAUGAAAGAGUUGAGGAAAUAGAAACAGUAAGCUUGGUGAAGACAAUGAUUUGAUAGACCAGUUCCAACUGCUAUCUCAGUUGUACGUCUGGUUGGAGCGGCUGAGUAUUUAAACUCGAGGACACACAGUCCCGGACACCCAGUCCUGAGAACGCAGCUCAGGACACCCAGUCCUCACCGUAUUCUCCUUGAACUAAGGUCACACAGACCUCACCCAAUCACUCGUGGUAAGUCUUCAGGCGACUUCCAAACCUUCACAAACUUGGUCACUCUGCUAUCCACAAUUCCUCUUGGAUGGUCUAGACCAUGACGCCUAACCGUCUGGAAGAAGCGCAGUCUUCAAAGGUAACAAGCGUCGGAUCCACACAGGAUCAAUCUCUUAAGUGAUGCUCAAUCACUUGGGGUUUGUAGGUGUUUGGGUUUGGGUUUUUGGUUUUUCCUCACAUGAUGAUUUUCGCUCAAAGUCCUCAGAGGAUGGGUUGCUCUCAAAUGACAAGUGUCAGUUUCUCUCAGAGCAGCCAACCAGCUAGUGGUUGUAGGGGGCGGCUAUUUAUAGCCUAGGGAGCAGCCCGACAUGAUAAGACAUAAAUGCCCUUCAAUGAUAUGACAGUUAGGUGGGUAAAUAUUUUGGGACAGCUAGUGCAUAGCACAGCAACGGUCGGAAUUUUGAGUAGAAAAAUCCUCAGGGCUAUCAUGUUCCUCACUGUGUAGGCAAUCCGCACUGGCGAAUUCCUAACUCCUCAGUCAGGACAAAUUCCUCAGAGACCACAAGAACUUCAUCUCUGUCACUGAAGAAAUUGACUGAACUGUAUGAGAUUUCCAAUGGCUUCACUCGAAGGGAUUUGUAAGUGUAGGAUUUUGAGUUGAGCAUCACAUGGAAAUUUUUCCUUAGUAUUUCCUCGACCCCCUUUAACAGUACGAUGUUUCCCAUGACUCAAGGAAGGGAAAAUGAAACUACAAAAACAAAAGUCUUCACGCUUCAUGUUCCUCGAAUGAAUACCAAGUCUUCAUGGUCACACCAAUUUCUUCACUUUCAAAGUCUUCAGAAAGUCUUCAGGAUUUAAAGUCUUCAGUCGAAGAACUUCAUUUUUAGGGGUCGACUUUCUCUGUAAAUAUCAAACUCCUCAUAGACUUAUAGACCUGUGCAUACUCACAAACGCAUUAGUUCCAUAACCUAUAAGUCUUCAAUACUCCAAAAUCACUAAGGGGCACUAGAUGCACUUACACCUUGGCUUUUGUUUUGUUCACAUGAUAUGUGUCUUUUGAGUUUAUUUUUCCUUUCGUUUCCUUUAUGCACCAUGCUAGUAUGAGAUAGUCCUUCAUUGAUUUAUAGAAUGCUUCAUGUGCUUCACUUAAAUCUUUUGAGUAUGGCUUUAUAGAAUGCUUCGUGUGCUUCACUUAUAUAUUUUGAUCUUGGAUAUUGAAAAAUUUAUAUUAUUUAUAGAAUGCUCUAUGAACUUCACUUAUAUCUUUUAGAGUAUGAAUAAAAUUAUCAUUGAAAGUGGGUUUGGAAGAGUGUUAACUCUAGAUAAUUAUCCCACUAUUGUGGAGGAUGUUGAAUUUUAUUAUGAUAAAAGUGGAUUUGGAGAGGUCAUGACUUUAUUUAGUAAUUAUUCCACUCUCUUGGAAGAGGUUUCAAUUGAUUUUGAUGAGAAUAAAGUUGCCAUAUAUGAUGAUUAUUAUGAUGACAUGUAUGUGUAGGGGAAUGUAGCAUGAAAUUUCAAAAAAAAUCCUACGGUCACGCAAGAUCUAUCUAGGAGAUGCAUAGUAAUGAGAGGGGGAGAGUGUGUCCACGUACCCUCGUAGACUGAAAGCGGAAGCGUUAGUUUAACGUGGUUGAUGUAGUCGAACGUCUUCUCAAUUCAACCGAUCAAGUACCGAACGUACGGCACCUCCGAGUUCUGCACAUGUUCAACUCGAUGACGUCCCUUGAACUCUUGAUCCAGCAAAGUGUUUAGGGAGAGUUUCGUCAGCACGAUGGCGUGGUGACAGUGAUGGUGAUGUGAUCCGCGCAGGGCUUCGCCUAAGCACCACGACAAUAUGACCGGAGGAGUAAACAGUGGAGGGGGCGCCGCACACGGCUUGGAACAAUUGUGUGUCUACGAGGUGCCCCCUCCCACGUAUAUAAAGGAGUGAGGUGAGAGGAGGCCGGCUAAGGCGCGCUCCCAAGGGGAGGAGUCCUACUAGGACUCCAAGUCCAAUUCGGACCCCCCUUCCUUUUACCGGAGAGGAAAAAGGGGGAAGGAGAAGGAAAGGUGGUGCCGCCCCCUUCUGCACUCCAAUUCAGACCCUUCCAAGUGGGGGUGCGCCAGCCCCUUGAGGGCUGGGGUGCCUCCCUCCCAAGGCCCAUGUGGCCCAUUACUUCCCCCGGGGGGUUCCGGUAACAUCCCGGUACUUCGAUAAAUACCCGAAACACUUCAGAACCAUUCCGGUGUCCAAAUACUAUCGUCCAAUAUAUCAAUCUUUACCUCUCAACCAUUUUGAGACUCCUUGUCAUGUCUGUGAUCUCAUCCGGGACUCCGAACAAUCUUCGGUCACCAAAACACAUAACUCAUAAUAUAAAUCAACAUCGAACGUUAAGCGUGCGGACCCUACGGGUUCAAUAACUAUGUAGACAUGACCGAGACACAUCUCCGGUCAAUAACCAACAGCAGAACCUGGAUGCUCAUAUUUGUUCCUACAUAUUCUACGAAUAUCUUUAUCGGUCAAACCACAAUGACAACAUAUGUCAUUCCCUUUGUCAUUGUUAUGUUAGUUUCCCGAGAUUCGAUCGUCGAUAUCUUCAUACCUAGUUCAAUCUCGUUACCGGCAAGUCCGUUUACUCGUUCCGUAAUACAUCAUCUCGUAACUAACUCAUUAGUCACAUUGCUUGCAAGGCUUAUCAUGAUGUGCAUUACCGAGAGGCCCCAUAGAUACCUCUCCGAUACUCGGAGUGACAAAUCCUAUUCUUGAUCUAUGCCAACCAAACAAACACCUUCGGAGAUACCUGUAGAGCAUCUUUAUGAUCACCCAGUUAUGUUGUGAUGUUUGAUAGCACACAAGGCAUUCCUCCGGUAUUCGGGAUUUGCAUAAUCUCAUAGUCAAAGGAAUAUGUAUAAGUCAUGAAGAAAGCAAUAGCAAUAAAACUUAACGAUCAUUAUGCUAAGCUAACGGAUGGGUCUUGUCCAUCACAUCAUUCUUCUAAGGAUGUGAUCCCAUUCAUCAAAUGACAACACAUAUCUAUGGUUAGGAAACUUAACCAUCUUUUAUUAAUGAUCUAGUCUAGUAGAGGCAUACUAGGGACACUUUGUUUUGUCUAUGUAUUCACACAUGUAUCAAGUUUCUGGUUAAUACAAUUCUAGCAUGAAUAAUAAACAUUUAUCAUGAUAUAAGGACAUAUAAAUAACAAUUUUAUUAUUGCCUCUAGGGCAUGUUUCCUUCAGUAUGCCAUAAAGAGUAAUGAUAACCAUGAAACUUGUCAUCUUGAUUUUAAUUUUCAAACCCGUAAUAGUUAUUUUGUUGAGUUUGCUCCCACUAUUAUGAAUGAGAUGAAUUUUGCUUAUGUGGAGAGUAAUAAAUUUUCUAUGCUUGUGGAUCAUGAAAAUAAUGCUUUAUGUGAUGGUUAUAUUGUUGAAAUCAUUCACGAUGCUACUGAAAAUUAUUAUGAGGGAGGAAAAUAUGCUUGUAGGAAUUGCAAUAAUAUCAAGUUUCCUCUCUAUGUGCUUAAAGUUUUGAAGUUGCACUUAUUUUGCCUUCCUAUGCUAGUUGAUUCUUGUACCCAUAAGUUGUUUGCUCACAAAAUACCUAUUCAUAGGAAUCAGGUUAGACUUAAAUGCGCUUGCCACAUAUGUUUCAUGAUGUUCUCUUUGCGUUUCAAUUCUUUACUUUUAUGCGAACAUCAUUGAAAUCAUCAUGCCUAGCUAGAAAGGCAUUAAAGAAAAGCGCUGGUUGGGAGACAACCCAACAUUUACCCCUACUGUUUUUGUGUGUUAGCAUGAUUAUGCUACUGUAGUAAUCAUGUUUUAUAGUUUUUGUUUCACUAAAGUGCCAAGUAAAGCCUUUGGGGUAGUGUGGAUGAUAGUUGACUUGAUUUUGUGCAAAAACAUAAACUUUUGCGCCCAGUCACCGAAUUCUUUAAAAUUACUGGAGCAUUGAAAAAUUCUGAUUUUUUACAGAUGAUUGAUAUACAAAUUCUCUACACUGUCCUAAUUUUUAAGAUUUUUUGGAGUUACAUAAGUCUGCAUGGUUGUUAUUCAGAUCAUUACAGACUGUUCUGUUUUUGACAUAUUAUGUUUUCAAUGCAUUGUUUGCUUGUUUUCUAGUUUCUAUGGCUUAUAUUGCUCAACCAAAAUUGUAAAAAGGAUAUGGUACAGUAGGCAUUGUGAGAGAACAAUUAUGAAUCUUGUCUUGACAGUACCAAAGUGAAUGAUUUGUCUUUCUCAUACUAACCCAUCUCACAAAGUUCCGUUAAGUUUUGUGUGAUUAAUGUUUUGAAGUUUUGGGUGAGAUAUCGAUACGAGGAGAAUAAGGAGUGGAAAGAUCCUAAGCUUGGGGAUGCCCAAGGCACCCCCAAGGUAAUAUUCAAGGAAGACUCAAGUGCCUAAGCUUGGGGAUGCCCUGGAAGGCAUCCCCUCUUUCGUCUUCAAAACCAUCGGUAUACCUUACUCGGAGCUAUAUUUUUAUUCGUCACAUGAUAUGUGUUUUACUUGGAGGGUAUUUUCAUUUUACUUGUUGAUUGAAUAAAAUCAUUGGAUCUGAAAUCUUGAAUGAGAGAGAGUCAUCCCAUGGCUAGUUAAUUAUUUGACUACUCAUUGUCCUUCACUUAUAUCUUUUUGGAGUAGUUUGUCAUUUACUCACAUGCUUCACUUAUAUCCUAUGAGAAAAUGGUUGAAUGAAUUGAAUAUCAUAGAUCUGAAGUUAUAUAUGCUUCAUAUGCUUAUCCCAUGGGGAGCAAUGACUUCACUUAUAAGAAGUAUAGGUGGCAAAAUUUAUUGGAAGUUAGCAAACUCAACAUUUGUCACUUGAACAAUUCAUGAAAGAAUAUUGAAGGAAGAGAGAUUUCACAUAUAAAUAUACUAUCUUGGACAUCUUUUGUAAUUGUGAACACUCAUUAAAAUAUGACAUGCUAAAAAGUUGAUGUUGGACAAGGAAGACAACAUAAUGGGUUAUGCCUUCUUAUAUCCGAAUAGAAGUUAUGUGACGCCCCCGAUUCAAUCAUACACUAAUCAUGCACGCAAAUGUGUACGAUCAAGAUCAGGGACUCACGGGAAGAUAUCACAACACAACUCUACAAAUAAAAUAAGUCAUACAAGCAUCAUAAUACAAGCCAGGGGCCUCGAGGGCUCGAAUACAAGUGCUCGAUCAUAGACGAGUCAGCGGAAGCAACAAUAUCUGAGUACAGACAUAAGUUAAACAAGUUGCCAUAAGAUGGCUAGCACAAACUGGGAUACAGAUCGAAAGAGGCGCAGGCCUCCUGCCUGGGAUCCUCCUAACUACUCCUGGUCGUCGUCAGCGGGCUGCACGUAGUAGUAGGCACCUCCGGUGUAGUAGGGGUCGUCGUCGACGGUGGCGUCUGGCUCCUGGACUCCAGCAUCUGGUUGCGACAACCAGAAAGAAAGGAAAGGGGAAAAAGGGGGGAGAAAGCAACCGUGAGUACUCAUCCAAAGUACUCGCAAGCAAGGAACUACACUACAUAUGCAUGGGUAUAUGUGUAAGGAGGCCAUAUCGGUGGACUGAACUGCAGAAUGCCAGAAUAAAAGGGGGAUAGCUAGUCCUAUCGGAGACUACGCUUCUGGCAGCCUCUGACUCGCAGCACGUAGAAGAGAGUAGAUUGAAGUCCUCCAAGUAGCAUCUUCAAGUAGCAUCUCCAAGUAUCAUCGCAUAGCAUAAUCCUACCCGGCGAUCCUCCCCUCGUAUCCCUGAGGGAGAGCGACCACCGGUUGUAUCUGGCACUUGGAAGGGUGUGUUUUAUUAAGUAUCCGGUUCUAGUUGUCAUAAGGUCAAGGUACAACUCCAAGUCGUCCUGUUACCGAAGAUCACGGCUAUUCGAAUAGAUUUACUUCCCUGCAGGGGUGCACCAACUUACCCAGCACGCUUGAUCCCAUUUGGCCGGACACACUUUCCUGGGUCAUGCCCAGCCGCGGAAGAUCAACACGUCGCAGCCCCACCUAGGCAAAACAGAGAGGCCAGCACGCCGGUCUAAACCUAAGCGCACAGGGGUCUGGGCCCAUCGCCCAUAGCACACCUGCACGUUGCGAGGGCGGCCGAAAGCAGACCUAGCCUAGUGGCGUUCCAGUCCAAUUCGGCGCGCGCCGCUCUGUCGCUGACGUCUGAAGUGCUUCGGCUGAUACCACGACGUCGGGAUACCCAUAACUACUCCCGCGUAGAUGGUUAGUGCGUAUAAGCUCGUAGCCAACUCAGAUCAAAUACCAAGAUCUCGUUAAGCGUGUUAAGUAUCCACGAACGCCGAACAGGGCCAGGCCCACCUGUCUCCUAGGUGGUCUCAACCUGCCCUGCCGCUCCGCCACAAAGUAACAGUCGGGGGCCGUCGGGAACCCAGGCCCACCUCUACCGGGAUGGAUCCACCUGCCCCUUCAGCCCCCGUCUCCGAUCAGUAUCACAGGUAAUGUAACUGUGUAAAGUAUAUAGUAUAUGCCCGUGAUCACCUCCCGAAGUGAUCACAGCCCAGUAGUAUAGCAUGGCAGACGGACAAGAGUGUAGGGCCACUGAUGGAACGCUAGCAUCAUAUACUAAGCAGUAGGAUAGCAGGUAAAGGUAACAACAGUAGUAGCAAGGACAGGCUAUGCAGCAGUAUAGGAUUAACUGAAAGCAGUAACAUGCUACACUACUCUAAUGCAAGCAGUAUAGAGAAGAGUAGGCGAUAUCUGGUGAUCAAAGGGGGGGCUUGCCUGGUUGCUCUGGCAAGAGAGAGGGGUCGUCAACUCCGUAAUCGAACUGGGCAGCAGCAGCGUCGGUCUCGUAGUCUACCGGAGAGAAGAGGGGGAAGAAACAAUGAAUACCAUGUAAACAGAUGCAUAUCGAUGCAUGACAUGACAAGUAACGACGCUAGGCGUGCCCUAAUGUGGUAUGAGGUGAUGCCGGUUAAGGGGGGAAACAUCCGGGAAAAUAUCCCCGGGGUUUCGUGUUUUCGGGCAGCGGAGCCGGAGGGGGAAAGUUGCGAGUUCGAUAGGUUAGGGGUGUGUGGCGGACGAACGGACUGCGUAUCCGGGUUCGUCUCGUCGUUCUGAGCAACUUUCAUGUACAACGUAUUUUCGUCCGAGCUACGGUUUAUUUUAUAUUAAUUUUAAAAGGAUUUUAUCAUUUUCUAGAAUUAACAGAAUUAAUUUAAUCCUCUAAUGCAUUUAUGACGUCAUCAUGACGUCAGCGGUCAACUCUGGCUGUUGACCUGGUCAACCUGACAUGUGGGUCCCGCAUGUCAUACUCUGUUAACUGAUUAUCUUAGUUAAGUUUAAUUAAUAGUAGUUAAUUAGGUUAAUUAGUCAUUAGGUUUAAUUUAUCAAGAUUAAUUAAAUUAAUUAUUUACUUAAUUAAUUAAUUAAUUAAUUAAUUUUAUUCAUUAUUAAUUUUAUUAAUUAUAUUUAUCUAAAUUCCUUUCCCUUUCUUUUAUUUUAAAAACGUCCUGGGGGGUGGGGCCCCCAUGUCAUAGGCAGGGGGGGUGGACCGGUCAGCCCAGCUGACCGAGACAAUCAGGGCGGCGGGGGGGGCCCUGUGCCCACCAGUCAGUGGCCCAGGCGNNNNNNNNNNNNNNNNNNNNNNNNNNNNNNNNNNNNNNNNNNNNNNNNNNNNNNNNNNNNNNNNNNNNNNNNNNNNNNNNNNNNNNNNNNNNNNNNNNNNNNNNNNNNNNNNNNNNNNNNNNNNNNNNNNNNNNNNNNNNNNNNNNNNNNNNNNNNNNNNNNNNNNNNNNNNNNNNNNNNNNNNNNNNNNNNNNNNNNNNNNNNNNNNNNNNNNNNNNNNNNNNNNNNNNNNNNNNNNNNNNNNNNNNNNNNNNNNNNNNNNNNNNNNNNNNNNNNNNNNNNNNNNNNNNNNNNNNNNNNNNNNNNNNNNNNNNNNNNNNNNNNNNNNNNNNNNNNNNNNNNNNNNNNNNNNNNNNNNNNNNNNNNNNNNNNNNNNNNNNNNNNNNNNNNNNNNNNNNNNNNNNNNNNNNNNNNNNNNNNNNNNNNNNNNNNNNNNNNNNNNNNNNNNNNNNNNNNNNNNNNNNNNNNNNNNNNNNNNNNNNNNNNNNNNNNNNNNNNNNNNNNNNNNNNNNNNNNNNNNNNNNNNNNNNNNNNNNNNNNNNNNNNNNNNNNNNNNNNNNNNNNNNNNNNNNNNNNNNNNNNNNNNNNNNNNNNNNNNNNNNNNNNNNNNNNNNNNNNNNNNNNNNNNNNNNNNNNNNNNNNNNNNNNNNNNNNNNNNNNNNNNNNNNNNNNNNNNNNNNNNNNNNNNNNNNNNNNNNNNNNNNNNNNNNNNNNNNNNNNNNNNNNNNNNNNNNNNNNNNNNNNNNNNNNNNNNNNNNNNNNNNNNNNNNNNNNNNNNNNNNNNNNNNNNNNNNNNNNNNNNNNNNNNNNNNNNNNNNNNNNNNNNNNNNNNNNNNNNNNNNNNNNNNNNNNNNNNNNNNNNNNNNNNNNNNNNNNNNNNNNNNNNNNNNNNNNNNNNNNNNNNNNNNNNNNNNNNNNNNNNNNNNNNNNNNNNNNNNNNNNNNNNNNNNNNNNNNNNNNNNNNNNNNNNNNNNNNNNNNNNNNNNNNNNNNNNNNNNNNNNNNNNNNNNNNNNNNNNNNNNNNNNNNNNNNNNNNNNNNNNNNNNNNNNNNNNNNNNNNNNNNNNNNNNNNNNNNNNNNNNNNNNNNNNNNNNNNNNNNNNNNNNNNNNNNNNNNNNNNNNNNNNNNNNNNNNNNNNNNNNNNNNNNNNNNNNGGAUCGGGCGGAGCCGAUCCAGAUCGGCGCGGGGAGGGAGGAGGAGGGGAUCGGGGGGAAUGGGGUGGUCGGCUAGGGUUUGCCGACCGGGGGAGGGGGGAUAUGGGAGUGAGGGGGUGGGCCGGGCCAGGGGGCUGGCCGGCUGGGCCAGGUGGGCUUGGCCCAGUUGGGCCAGGGGGGGUUCCCCUUUUCUCCUUUUGUUUUAUUUUUCUUUUCUUAUUUUUCCUUUUCUGUUUUAAUUCAUUUAAUAAUAUCCAGACACUUUACAAAAAUGUGUGCACCCCACCAUAAUUAACUUUGUAAUAUUAGACAACCCCCGAACAUUUUAGUUUUAAUUCCUGAAAACUUUUAUUGUCAUUAUAAUCUUGAAUUUUAAUUUCGAAACCGUUUCGAUCUAACCCGUGGUUAACUACAGUGACAGAGGUGACGUGGCACCAUCACGUGAGAUUACUGUAGCAUGAUUAUCCGGGUGUUACAAAUCUCCUCCACUACAAGAAAUCUCGUCCCGAGAUUUAGGAGGGGAGUAAGGGGGGAAGGUCUGGUAACGAAUAUAGCGGGUCUUCUCAUCCUGGCUUGCUCUUCUCGAAGAAGUUGAUUCAUUACAUUGAUGUCUUCAGUCCUCUGCUUCAGUUCAUCAUGAUGAAGUUUGUCGUCCUUCCUUCGGUAACUCCAUCGUACCUACGUAAAAAUUAAGGGGGUAUUCCGGGAGAACGAACCUCUACCAGGUUGACUAUCUGGUCGAUAUCAUCGAGGAAGGUGGCAGAAAGUAACUCUCGAAUUGAAACUUAAGGAAAUAUCGAGAGCAAAGUAAUGAGGUUUCAUGGGAAGUUUCGAGCGAGCAGGAAAUCGUUCGAUGCCUGAAACAAGGCGUGAAAGGGGCUCAAAGCAAUCGGGAAUAAGUAUUGCGUCCGGCAACAGAUUUGAUGAUCCCUCGGAAAAUGGCUCGUGAAUUACAUACGAGGUCACAUGCGAGGAACAACCUUGGGAACAAGGGGUGUAGGAGAGUCAGGUUUCGAUCCAGUGGACCUAUGGGUUACGGGCCCACCAUGUGGGUUAAGAGUAGGAAGGGCGUUGACAUCUUACAUGGUCAUGACAGUAAGGCAUGUCAGAGGGUAGCCUGUCAAUUAUAUGUCAGCAACAAUGUCGGUACCAAGGGCGAGGGACGAAGAGAACCACCUUCCUGCUCGUUGAACGAGGCGGACCAAUAGGCAAAGUUCUCGUCCAUCGGCGGUUACCGGAAGUCAUCAACAGUAGAAAUAGGGUUACACCAGACAGGAAGGUACACCGAGGUGUUUACCUAAGCAGGGGAUUACCACUGCUCGGUUAAGUAGUUUACAAGAAAGUUUGAACAAAACAACGGGAAGGAAAAUGUGUUUAAACACAUAUUUCAGGGGUAUAUCCUUCCCAAGGGCAAGCAAAGCAUGAUAUCCAUGACGGGAUAUAACGUAGCAAACCCCUUUAGAAAGGGGAAGAGAAUUCCAUGCCAUUAUCCAUACAACGGUGUUCAGAUAAUUGAGCAAGAAACAUUUAGCAUUGGGCUUCAAAUGCUCUUGUUGAAAAUCAGAGUACCAUUGACAUGCUUCGAGAUAGCAUUGACAUGGUCUUCAGGUGAAGAUCAGACUUUGGAAACACGAAGGAUCCAUCAGGAAUAACUUGUAGAAUAAGUCUUACAAUUUCCUCAUGGAUGAAUGGAUAACCUUGCUGAAAAGGAAUCUAUAAUGAUAGGUCCUCCAGCCGGGGGGGGGGGGUGCUAGGCAUGACAUCAUGUUAGCGGGUCAUCAAAGGAUCAACAUCAUAACUCUUGGAAAGGUGUCCCAACCAUCAUAUCUGACCGAGAUUCAGAUCCGAUUGGUGUCAGGAUACCUCAGACUUAGGAUACCUGAGAAGAAAAGGUGCAACGCAAAUUGACGAGAUGACAUUGUAAGAUUCUCGGGGAAAUGAACUAUGAAGUGUUUUCCGUUAUCAAGAGUCCAUCAUUAACCCAAGCAGAGGACAAGGAGGUGUCUGGUGAACUCAACGGCAAUUCACCGAGAUUCCCAAAAGAUGGAUUUCCACAAUUGAGUGAACAAGGAGAUAACAUUGGUCAGAUCAAAUGAUAUAAGGAAGUAUGCUCGAGGAAAACAUACACAAUUAAACAUUGGUUGAAAGGUGCGCCCGAAAUAUGGGUUGGGUUGCACGACCAAUGUCAGAAUGGUGAUUCAAUAGUCAAUAGCCUAAGAAUGAACUUUCGACCAUUAACUUCAAAAAAAUAGGGUUGCUAGAAGGAAAGAAUCCAAACAACACCGUUCACUUGUUGGAAUUAACACGGGGACCAAUAAAGAAUGCUGAUGGUGAGAAGUAUUUCUAUGCCAAGAAUUCUCAAGAGGUGGAAAAAAUCUCAGAACAUUCUUGACAUAAAGGAUAGUAAUACUUCAAGGUAAAGAAGAACAAUUGCUGGAUAGCAAGGAACUCAAGGUAUAACACCAAACAUGAACAAGCUUGUGUUGGUGGGAAGGCAAUAAAGUGGUCGACGAUAAUACAAUUCAUCGAGGGCAAGGUUGUUAUUUCUCAUCAUGAAUUCAAUUGGUAUCCUGGAUGAGCUCAGAAUGUUGAUGAUCACGACACCUUUGUCGCGAGAGUUCAUGAACAUGUAAUCGAUCGGUAACGACAUCAAGUCAAGUAAUGAUGAAGUGAAAGGUUAUUGGAACCAAGGGUACGACACAAACUCGAAACCAAGCUUGUUGUUCAAGGCGAAAUGAUAUGACGAUGAGGAUCGACAUAAGGUUAGUUCAUCGUCGAAAAUUGGUGCACCGAGAAUAAGGACCAGGUAGCACAGUUAGAAUCGUCACGACAAUGAUAUAGCCAAACAGGCUAGGAAUGGCGUGAUCGGGUACAAACUCGUACUUAUAGAAGCUUACUGAAGAGUUGUUGAACCGAAGAGCGGACUCGGUUCAGUUAUCGGUGUCUUUGAGUGUUCAAUAACUCAGAGCCCGCGAAAAAUUGGAAUCAGUGGGAAGGUAGCACUUGAUGAAGAACUCAUAAGGAGUUAUGCAGUUCCAUGAUAAUCUCGAGAUACCAGGGGGGUAAUACUCGACACAAGAUCAACGUAAAGGUGGGACUGGUGUAUUGAUCCAUAGAAGACAAUUGUUUUAACUUGUCCGAGAAAUGAGAUCAAAGAAGAACAAUCAUGGUCGGAACCACGGUUGCAAAAGGCCAGAUCCUAGAUAUAAGAUGAACUUAAACCAAAGGAAUAAUUUAUUUAAAAGAAGCUUUAAUGAUAAGAUCUACAUCGUGUCCAUGGGCAUGAACACAAGUUCAAGGUCGACUCCCACUUCUCCAAUGCAUAACCUUUCAUUCACUUCUCACGUUCGAUGAAGUUGCAGUGUUGAAAGUUUAUCUGGUGAAGCACCAGAAGAGUAUGACUCGUGAAAACUUUUGGGUUCACACAGUUUAGAGAAGGCAUAUGUUCAACCCACAGGGGCUCCUUAGAAACGUAUACCACAAGUUUCAAGAGUAAAUAACACAAGCUCGAAAGUAGAGAAAGGUUAAGAAAGUAGAUGAUACAAUUACCAAGGGCAUUAUGUAUCCAAGGGAAGGCUCACAAGGUUAUUGAAUAUGAAGGAUGCUGACGGAUAAAAUCCAACAAUGGGCCUGAUGGUCCACAAGGGAUCUGACGUGAGCAUCGGUACUCAACUAGAGGAAGAAGAGUGCAAGGAGAUCAAAUUAUAGAAACAACUGACUAACUCAAUUGUCAAAUGCAAAGGAAUUAUGAUUUCCAAAUCAAGGGAUCAGAAGCAAUGCUCUGAUUAGGGAUGGAUAAGUUGAAUAGCCUUAGGGUACAAUCAACGACAAUUGGAUUGGUCGAGAACCAAUUCCAGUUAAAAGAAUGGCAGCUCAGCCGGAAAGGUAAUUUAUAAGGAUCAAUGAUGUUUGCGGGUAUUCGCAAACAUAUUGAGUCAACAGACUCAAAAUGAUAAUGACAAGGAAUGUCAUUAAGACUACGAGACUUAUGGGAUUAACCAUAAUGCAAGCAAGCAAGAAUUUCAAGAGCCAAAGGCUCCAGAGGAUUUUCAGAAGAUCGAAUAUUAUUUUGAAGACUUUUGUGAAACACAUGAACAACUGGGGAUGAGCGGAUACUCGACAAGUGCGAGAAUUAUCCAUAGGGGUAUUCAGGUGACAAGGAAUUGCAAGACAGCAGGCACAAGAUAUUCUCGGAUCAAUAGAGAGAAUUUCGGGGUAUCUUGUAAUAACAAGAUCAUCUGGGAAUAAAAGUAAGAACGUCAAGUGUAUGUAUUUAUCCAUAGGGAUAUUUCGAUGGUAGGGAAUUGCAAAAGCAACGGACACAAAGUCUCAAAAGAGUUUCGGCGAGUAACUUCGAAAUCUUCUGGUGCAGUCGGCGAUCACCUGGACUGAAGGGGCUCUCCGGGAGAAAGUAUUUUCGAGAACCUAAAGUCAGAUUUUAGUAGAAAUCGUUUAACCCGAGUAGAAGAGAGUUCAGAGUCCCAGAGUAAAGGUCGAGGAGUAAAAGAUCCUACUACCACCCAAUGGCGACGUGGGCCCAUGGGCCGCACAGCCAUGUUAGUAAAAGUUUUGUAAAGUCUAGACUCGACUUCGGCCAAGGAGUUGGAAGGGGGAUUCCUACAGGCAGUCGGCUCUGAUACCAACUUGUGACGCCCCCGAUUCAAUCGUACACUAAUCAUGCACGCAAAUGUGUACGAUCAAGAUCAGGGACUCACGGGAAGAUAUCACAACACAACUCUACAAAUAAAAUAAGUCAUACAAGCAUCAUAAUACAUGCCAGGGGCCUCGAGGGCUCGAAUACAAGUGCUCGAUCAUAGACGAGUCAGCGGAAGCAACAAUAUCUGAGUACAGACAUAAGUUAAACAAGUUGCCAUAAGAUGGCUAGCACAAACUGGGAUACAGAUCGAAAGAGGCGCAGGCCUCCUGCCUGGGAUCCUCCUAACUACUCCUGGUCGUCGUCAGCGGGCUGCACGUAGUAGUAGGCACCUCCGGUGUAGUAGGGGUCGUCGUCGACGGUGGCGUCUGGCUCCUGGACUCCAGCAUCUGGUUGCGACAACCAGAAAGAAAGGAAAGGGGAAAAGGGGGGGAGAAAGCAACCGUGAGUACUCAUCCAAAGUACUCGCAAGCAAGGAACUACACUACAUAUGCAUGGGUAUAUGUGUAAGGAGGCCAUAUCGGUGGACUGAACUGCAGAAUGCUAGAAUAAAAGGGGGAUAGCUAGUCCUAUCGAAGACUACGCUUCUGGCAGCCUCCGACUCGCAGCACGUAGAAGAGAGUAGAUUGAAGUCCUCCAAGUAGCAUCUUCAAGUAGCAUCUCCAAGUAUCAUCGCAUAGCAUAAUCCUACCCGGCGAUCCUCCCCUCGUAUCCCUGAGGGAGAGCGACCACCGGUUGUAUCUGGCACUUGGAAGGGUGUGUUUUAUUAUGUAUCCGGUUCUAGUUAUCAUAAGGUCAAGGUACAACUCCAAGUCGUCCUGUUACCGAAGAUCAUGGCUAUUCGAAUAGAUUUACUUCCCUGCAGGGGUGCACCAACUUACCCAGCACGCUUGAUCCCAUUUGGCCGGACACACUUUCCUGGGUCAUGCCCGGCCGCGGAAGAUCAACACGUCGCAGCCCCACCUAGGCAAAACAGAGAGGCCAGCACGCCGGUCUAAACCUAAGCGCACAGGGGUCUGGGCCCAUCGCCCAUAGCACACCUGCACGUUGCGAGGGCGGCCGAAAGCAGACCUAGCCUAGUGGCGUUCCAGUCCAAUUCGGUGCGCGCCGCUCCGUCGCUGACGUCUGAAGUGCUUCGGCUGAUACCACGACGUCGGGAUACCCAUAACUACUCCCGCGUAGAUGGUUAGUGCGUAUAAGCUCGUAGCCAACUCAGAUCAAAUACCAAGAUCUCGUUAAGCGUGUUAAGUAUCCGCGAACGCCGAACAGGGCCAGGCCCACCUGUCUCCUAGGUGGUCUCAACCUGCCCUGCCGCUCCGCCACAAAGUAACAGUCGGGGGCCGUCGGGAACCCAGGCCCACCUCUACCGGGAUGGAGCCACCUGCCCCUUCAGCCCCCGUCUCCGAUCAGUAUCAUAGGUAAUGUAACUGUGUAAAGUAUAUAGUAUAUGCCCGUGAUCACCUCCCGAAGUGAUCACAGCCCAGUAGUAUAGCAUGGCAGACGGACAAGAGUGUAGGGCCACUGAUGGAACGCUAGCAUCAUAUACUAAGCAGUAGGAUAGCAGGUAAAGGUAACAACAGUAGUAGCAAGGACAGGCUAUGCAGCAGUAUAGGAUUAACUGAAAGCAGUAACAUGCUACACUACUCUAAUGCAAGCAGUAUAGAGAAGAGUAGGCGAUAUCUGGUGAUCAAAGGGGGGGCUUGCCUGGUUGCUCUGGCAAGAGAGAGGGGUCGUCAACUCCGUCGUCGAACUGGGCAGCAGCAGCGUCGGUCUCGUAGUCUACCGGAGAGAAAAGGGGGAAGAAACAAUGAAUACCAUGUAAACAGAUACAUAUCGAUGCAUGACAUGACAAGUAACGAUGCUAGGCGUGCCCCAAUGUGGUAUGAGGUGAUGCCGGUUAAGGGGGGAAACAUCCGGGAAAAUAUCCCCAGGGUUUCGUGUUUUCGGGCAGCGGAGCCGGAGGGGGAAAGUUGCGAGUUCGAUAGGUUAGGGGUGUGUGGCGGACGAACGGACUGCGUAUCCGGGUUCGUCUCGUCGUUCUGAGCAACUUUCAUGUACAACGUAUUUUCGUCCGAGCUAUGGUUUAUUUUAUAUUAAUUUUAAAAGGAUUUUAUCAUUUUCUAGAAUUAACAGAAUUAAUUUAAUCCUCUAAUGCAUUUAUGACGUCAUCAUGACGUCAGCGGUCAACUCGGGCUGUUGACCUGGUCAACCUGACAUGUGGGUCCCGCAUGUCAUACUCUGUUAACUGAUUAUCUUAGUUAAGUUUAAUUAAUAGUAGUUAAUUAGGUUAAUUAGUCAUUAGGUUUAAUUUAUCAAGAUUAAUUAAAUUAAUUAAUUAAUUAAUUAAUUAAUUUUAUUCAUUAUUAAUUUUAUUAAUUAUAUUUAUCUAAAUUCCUUUCCCUUUCNNNNNNNNNNGCGUAUCCGGAUUCGUCUCGUCGCUCUGAGCAACUUUCACGUUGAAAAUAUUUUAAUCCGAGUUACGGAUUAAAAGAUAUGAUUUUUUUAAAGAUUUUAUUAAUUUCUGGAAUUUAAUCAAUUAAUUAUUUAAUUCGAAAAAUGGAAUUAUGACGUCAGCAUGAUGCCAUGCUGACGUCAGCAGUCAACAGGGUUGACUAGGUCAACCCUGACAUGUGGGUCCCGUUCGUCAUACUCUGUUAACUAAUUAUCUUAGUUAAGUUUAAUUAAUAGUAGUUAAUUAGGUUAAUUAGUCAUUAGGUUUAAUUUAUCAGGAUUAAUUAAAUUAAUUAUUUACUUAAUUAAUUAAUUAAUUAAUUAAUUUUAUUCAUUAUUAUUUUUAUUCAUUAUAUUUAUCUAAAUUCCUUUCCCUUUCUUUUAUUUUAAAAACGUCCUCGGGGGUGGGGCCCCCAUGUCAUAGGCAGGGGGGUGGACCGGUCAGCCCAGCUGACCGAGCCAAUCAGGGCGGCGGCGGGGGGGCCCUGUGCCCACCAGUUAGUGGCCCAGGCGGUGGCCCCGGGCGGCCACGUCGGCAGCCGGCGUUGGGGGCUCCGGUAGGCGUCCGCGGCGGAGGGGGCACCGGACUUCGCCGGAAUCGUCGCCCGGCGGCCAAAAGGGGCCGCGGGUGGGUGCGUUCGAAUGGGGAGAGGACGCCGCGUCCAUUGGUGGCAAGGCCACGGCCGGACNNNNNNNNNNNNNNNNNNNNNNNNNNNNNNNNNNNNNNNNNNNNNNNNNNNNNNNNNNNNNNNNNNNNNNNNNNNNNNNNNNNGGAUCGGGCGGAGCCGAUCCAGAUCGGCGCGGGGAGGGAGGAGGAGGGGAUCGGGGGGAAUGGGGUGGUCGGCUAGGGUUUGCCGACCGGGGGAGGGGGGAUAUGGGAGUGAGGGGGUGGGCCGGGCCAGGGGGCUGGCCGGCUGGGCCAGGUGGGCUUGGCCCAGUUGGGCCAGGGGGGGUUCCCCUUUUCUCCUUUUGUUUUAUUUUUCUUUUCUUAUUUUUCCUUUUCUGUUUUAAUUCAUUUAAUAAUAUCCAGACACUUUACAAAAAUGUGUGCACCCCACCAUAAUUAACUUUGUAAUAUUAGACAACCCCCGAACAUUUUAGUUUUAAUUCCUGAAAACUUUUAUUGUCAUUAUAAUCUUGAAUUUUAAUUUCGAAACCGUUUCGAUCUAACCAGUGGUUAACUACAGUGACAGAGGUGACGUGGCACCAUCACGUGAGAUUACUGUAGCAUGAUUAUCCGGGUGUUACAAGUUAUAUUGUCAUGGAUCAUCCAACAUGUUGAGCUUGCCUUUCCCUCUCAUGCUAUCCAAAUUCUUUGCACCAAGUAGAAAUACUACUUGUGCUUCCAAGCAUCCCUAAACCCAGUUUUGCCAUGAGAGUCCACCGUACCUACCUAUGGAUUGAGUAAGAUCCUUCAAGUAAGUUGUCAUCGGUGCAAGCAAUAAAAAUUGCUCUCUAAAUAUGUGGGAACCUGGAAUUAACUUCCAGAUCCUCCUGUGUAUAUUUUUCAACAUCAGUGAAAAUCAUCAGAGUAGAAUUGACGUGGGGGUAACCAUCAUCGUCCUCUACCUCAUCCUCAACUUUGUUCGCUUCCUUCUCCUUUUCCUUGGGAUGUAUCUCUGGGAAUUGCUGGAUUACGAGUCGACACUAUCGAGUGGUAUGCUUCAGGUAAAUGAAAUUACCCUCUUCAUCUUUCUUGGUGUGAAUGUGGCAUGGUAAAUCUAGCACAUGAUUUCCAUCUUGAUCUUUUACUUUCUAGGAGUUCCACGGUCCUUUGAGUUUCCCUUUGAACUUUCCUUGAGUCACGGCUAAGGCUUCUCCAGGAGCAGCUGGCUCGGCUUUGCGCUUCUGCUUCCGACUGGAGUUCUGUGACACCCCAAAAAUUUGGCCUUGUUUUAAUGAAUUAAAAAAAAUUCCAGGAAUUAAAACUUUGGAUAUCUGAGCUCCAUUUUGAUUUUUUUAAAUCAUUUCCUUCCCUGUUAUGAUGAGUUUUUCCCAAAGAGAAAACUUUUCAAAUAUGCCAUUGGACAUAUUUAAUCUCUCAAGAGAAACUUUCCCUUAUUUAAUAUAACUAAUUAAAUAAUUAAGUUGUUUGAUCUUUACUUUCUUGAAAAUGGUUUUUCAAGGUUAAAUGGCCAUAUUUGAACUACAACCAUUUGAUAGAUUCACUUAAAAUUCCCACAAAAAUUUGGAGAUGUCAUGUGAUGUUUUUAAAUCACUUUUAUGCAAAAAUAUAUUUUAUUCAUGAAAUAUUUUGAGCUCUACACUCAAUUUUUCUUCUCUGGUCCAGAGUGCAUUUUGCACUACAACCCAUUUAAAUAUUUCUUUCUGGCCUCCACCAAAAUUAUGGGAUAUUGUUAGUAGCAUAUGAUUCAACUUUAUGCAAAAACCUAGUGCUGUUCUUUGAAAACAUUGAGUGAAUCAACCUCUUUUUCAUUCUGGUCCAGCCUUGCGAUUUCUACUGCAACCCUAUUUAUUUUUGCUCCAAUGAUCUUGUGCUUUCUCCUACUUGUAGAUAGCCCUACAAAACCCCUAAAUCCAGGAGCAUGUACCCAUUGGAUUAAUUUUGUUCAUGAAAUAAUGUCAUUUAUUUCCUAUCCAGAAUUGUAGUUUUGCAAAACUUGCACUAACAAGUUUCUGCUUUUGGCAAACUAACCUCACCACCCUCUUGUACAUCUAAAGAGACCACCAUCUGGAGUUUUUGGCCACUCCAAGACCUGCCUAAGUGCCCUUAGCAUUUUGUCAAACACCUUACGGGCAUGAUCUGUUUUGACAUGAAUUGUGGCAUUGCACUGUGAACUUGCACCUCUGAUCAAACAAGCAUGUCCACUAGACUCCCCGUUACUCCUAACCUAGAUCUGCUAAAUGCCAGCCUCACCCAAGCUCUGUAGCAUGCUCUGGCAUUACGUCGAGCACAUCCCUUGCACGCCCAGGGCGCGAGCAGAGCGUGCGUUUGGCACGCACGUGCGCCGAGCCGACACGCUGGCCCCCACGGUUUUGGCCCGCUCUGCAGCACCACGCCACGCGCUCCCCUUCUCACCGCAACACGCCAAGCCGCCCCUCGCCAUGCCCCGGCAGGCCAAGAGCUAGCCGCCACAGCCGCCGACAGCCCCUGCUCCGUUCAGCGCCGCCCAAGCCUCUCCCGCUCGCCACCUGGCCCCUGGAACAGCGCGUGCUCAUCCGCGAGUGUGUCCACUAGCGCUUGUCGUCGCCACGACGCCCUAGCUACAGAAUGGCGGUCGUCGGCAACCUUAUCCGCAGCCGCCGCGGAACCAACCUCGACGAGCUAUAAAAGGAGGCCCCCGAGCUUCCCCGAGCGUGCAGGCAACCUCAGGCCACCCCAAUGGCACUCCCCUAGCUCGCAUUCGACCCGGGGAGGCCUCCUUCCUCAUCUCCGGCAACUCCUGCUGCCGCCACCGCCCCGGCCAAUCCGGCACCUCCAAUACCUCCCCCUCUCCGUUCUCUUCGCUAGGAACCUCCUCAUCCUCCCGUGAACCCGUCCCCCUACUCAAUUUUGAUCGGGAACCCCAGUAUCCCCAAACACACUUUGCUCCCGAGGCCACCUCCGCCGAGAAGCUCGCCGCCAGCAGCUCCCUCCGUCCCCACCUACCUGGCGACCACCGGGGGGACCGCCCUGGAGUGGCGGAUCCAUCCCCGCCCUCUGAGCCCCGCGGGGAGCCGCCGUUCGCCGGCGACGAUCGUCGUUGCCUCACCUCCGUUCGGGCAGAGGAAGAGGAGGGAGGGAUAGACUGGUCAAACCUGACCAGUGGGGCCUCUGGACCCACUGUCAGCGACCCCGUGCCUUUCCACGUGGGAUUAAGUGAAGGCGUAAUCCCCCAGUAUGUUUCCCCCGCUCCAAAAGCGUAUUCCCCUCCGAAACGUUUUCUUUUCUGUUUUAUUUAAAUAACAGAUUUGACCAAAACUUUGACUGGUUAUAACUUUUUAAAUACAACUCCAAAUGAAAUGAUUCUUUUUCCUACCUCUCUCAAAUUUCACCUAGUUUAUUUUUAGAUUUAUUUGAAAAAAAAUUCAGAACAAAUUUUGGUGCCGUUUUUAUUUUGUGUGUUAAUUCUUUUAUAUUGCUAAAAUAGGAUUUUUGAAGAGAGGAGAAAUGUUUCAAGUUUUGGAGUGCACCCUGCCUUUCCACACAUUGAAGGCAAGCAUUCUGAACCCCGGCAUAAUAUUUUUGUGUGUUCGAUGACAAGUUCAUAACAUCACCUCACUUUGGAGAAACUUGUUAUUUCAUGUGAUAUGAUCAUAUGCAUGGGUGAAUGUUAUUGAUUUCCAUGCUGUUGGAAAUGGACACACUUGUGAUGAUAAUCACCCUCAUGUGCCUUGCAUGCAUACCGGCAGGAACCCGAGAAAACCUCUGCCUUGGGUAGGCAUGAGUUUGUCGCCGGUCUCCGUCGGGACGGUUAUGUCUGGUAUGGCAUGGCAAGGUGAUAUGAGUGGUGACUCUGUUGGAUGAAAUAUAUUCGUUAUACUAAUCAUGCAGGGAAUACUUAAACCUCCUGAGUCGACCGUAGAUCGAGUCUUGUGCCAGUAACCCCCAUACUUGUUUCGUACUACCACUCGUCUCAACAGCAAGUAGAGUACGGUUCAGUAAGUUGUCAACCUCUUUCUAGCACACACCAUACAGAGAGGCCAUGGUGGAAGAUACCGGUUGUAGCUGGUAGGCAGGCCACCUGGUCCGGGGGCAUGGGUGUUUCCGGUUGGGACCGAGAGGGGAGGCCACCCCUUAGAGCGUGGGAUAUAAAUUUGAUCCCAUGCUACGCGAGGUUGUAGCCUCCCCACUUAGAGUUUGCUUAACAGGUGUCGUGGGUGAUUCCAGACACGUGUGAGUUAAGCUGGUGUGUGCAAGUUAGGUGUGUUUUCAACAAAAAAGACCGUAGAUGGAAUUAGUCCCGAUGGACUAAAGAAAUCCAUUACUCGUGGGUAAAGAGUACACCCUCUGCAGAGAUUAAACCUAUUCGAAUAGCCGUGUCCAUGGUUAAGGAUUACAGUCUGGGAUGGGUCAAGUGUCGGUCUUAGUGUCGGUCUUCGGAGGUGAAACUGUUAACCAGAACUGGAACUACUACCUGUGACUUGUGAUAAUUAUGAUUAUUAUUAUUGUUGAAUAACCCGUGAUAUUAUUGUUAUUAUCGAGUAUCUCUGGGAUGGUUCUACCUCCGGGAUAUUCACUAUGAUUGUUCAUUUUAAAGCCCUUUUUGUGGUGUCGCUCAGACGCCCGACUGUGGCAUUUCUUUUAAAGCCCUUUAUGUGCUGUCGCUCAGACGCCCGACUGUGGCAUUUCUUUUAAAGCCCUUUAUGUGGUGUCGCUCAGACGCCCGACUGUGGCAUUUCUUUUAAAGCCCUUUAUGUGGUGUCGCUCAGACGCCCGACUGUGGCUUUGCUUGUUAUUUAUUUCAUAAAUUUUAAUACUACUAUGUUAUUGCAAUUUUAUAAAUAACUUGCUUGCACGCAUCAGAGAUUUUAUUAUCUUUUGUGACUGACGUCAUGAGCAUAAAAUAUUUUCAGCACAUCAUUGUUAUAUUAUACCUGUGUUCAUAAUGUUUGCGAGUACAUUCAAAGUACUCACUGGCUUGUCCCUGGCUAUUGUCUUGGCCAGAUUUCUUGCGCGGAAGAGGAGCGACGCGAUGACAGCCCCGCCACCUAAGUAAUGGAGAUAACAGCCUCGCGAAGAUAGGAGUUAACCUGGUCAGCUGUUCCCGUGGGAAAUGGAGUCCCAUAGACACUGAUGUUUCACAACCCGCUUCCGCCAUCAACCACUAGAAACCAUUUGUUGUACUCACAGGCCAGAAUGGCUUUGUGCUACAUAUUUUGUUUUCUGCUUGGAAUUUCUGUAUCAAGUUGGAGCCUCAUCAGCUAACAGUAAUCCUGGGGCUGAUGAGCACGACGGUCUUUUCUGGAAAUUUAUUACCCGGAAAACCGGUCGUGACAGACUUGGUAUCAGAGCCAGGCUGACCAUUGGCUAAUCCUAUCUUAGCCAGGUCGAAAACCAUAGGCAAACCAACCCACUAGACCUUAACCAAACCCCAGCCAAGCUUCUCGUGCAAGAUAGCCACACAGUGACCCAACACCUUUUUGGCAGUCGGUGCCCAACCUAUCAACCUAACCUAUCACUCAUGCGCCAGUGACCGGCCCCUAAAUAGUCCUUUCUCGCAAGCGUGCGAAGGAAGACUCCGUCCCCUUUUUCCUAUAAAAAAGGGCACGCUAGCCCCAACACAGCACAGCACAGCCUCUACCCCCAAACCAAGCUACAAUGCCUGGCCCUGUCGUGCACAACGAGACCACAACAACCAACCUUGGAGGUUUUGUGACCAUCCUCGCAAACCUCACCCGUCGUGCCUAUGUGUUAGAGGAGCCACCAGAAUAUGUUGUGUACCAAGGACCCAUGAGCGGUGAAGACCAUCAAUUCUGGGUCACUGUGCACAUCUACGGUAGGGGUCUAGCACCCGAGCGCCCCUAGAGGUUCACCAGAAGGACAACUUCCUUUGAGCCACAAGCCAUCCAGCUAGCCGCUCGAGAAGCUAUAGUUCAUCUCAGGCACCUGUCGCCCAGAGUUAACUGUCGCUCGUUCCACUACUACCCCAGACGUGAAGGGUAUGGUAGACCACCCCAAGUUGCCAACGAAGAUCACGAGACAGAUCCUGCAUUGUUGCACCUAGUGCGCUAUGUAAGUGCACUAGAGGAACUAUGCGAUCAAAUCACUAUUGAUCUAAUCGCAGCUCGUGGAGAGCUGGUUCGUCGAGCCCCGGCGAGAGAAGAGAAUGAGCCCAACGCCGACAACCCAGUCGUGCUGUUUGGACAUCCGAUCGAGCCCCUAAGGUCUGCCCCAGCCAUCGGCCAAGGUGCUGCGAUAACCCCAGAGGUGCUUCGUCGCAUAUUGGGAGCACACUCCAACGGGGUUGUGGCCAACAAUCCCCGCGAUGGUCAUCAUCACUACCCCGACCCUGCAGUUCCUCCACCAUCUCCGACUAAUCCCGGCAGUGAGACACGUGGAGAAGCCUCGACAUCCACCAGGCGCGCCCGUUUAGACAUAAACGAGGUAGACUAAGCCGUAUGAGUAGCACCGAGUUUCAGUGUAUCCUCGCGUUGUAAUCAUGCGACCGUGUAUAUUAGCGCAGCCUGUCGUUGUGCCUCUGUUUUAAUAGUGGCCUUGCAUUUUUGGUCAGCGCAUAGUUGCAUAUUUUUCCGGGCACAACUACCAAAACCAACCCGAUGACAACCACAGUAAUGCGUCUCUUUAUGAGAUAUGUGUAUCUCUGACACUGACCUGACCUUUGGAGCUAAGCUGGCAAAUUUAUUACCUUUCACCAUGGUAAAACGAAUCCGGCUCCAUUGCUAUAUAAAGGCCACCUUGUGGCCUUACCCAGCAACCCUCACUUUGUGCACCACACUCACAACUUUUUCCUGUCAUGCCGAACCCCAGCAUUCAUCUGAGAACCCCAGAUGCAACCCCAGGUAGCUUUGUCAAAAUAUUGUGGGAUUUUACCCGCAAUACCAUGGGUUCUACCCAGCCACCUCAGUACGAGCUGUUCAAAUCAAGGAUCACCCCUUCCACCUCGGAAUAUUGGGCAGCAGUACACAUUCCUCCUGUAGACCCCAACCAAGAUCCAACAGAAGUUUCCUUCGUGGGAAAAUCUAUGCCAACCCCACACUUGGCCAUAGAAGCUGCUGCGAAAGAAGCGAUUGCUCGCCUUCGAUCUGCAGUACCCUAUGCCCGCGAUCGAGGAUAUUAUUACUUUCCGAGCCGUGCAGCACGCGGAGAACUUACAUCUUUUCCUGGUGGACGGAUUGAGAAAGACCCAGUACUAGCCAACCUUAUCCAGUACAUCAUCGCUCAAGAGCAUUUGAACCAGCGAGUAAUGGAUUAUCUCCAGGGUCUCGCUGAUUUAAAUCCUCAUAUUGCCAUCGGCAGAUCACUGAGACCCGACCCGGAGAGACGCAUACAUCGACUGGUCAAUCCACUUCCUCCGGUAGAAGAGGAGUGUAUCCCUUUACCAGAGACAUUUUAUCAGGACCCCACCCAGUUACCGUUUUCAUUUUAGACGUCACUACUGUAUUUGUUUUUACAACAUUUAUUUAUGUGUGUGACUUAUGCGUGAUACCCUAAGUUUGUACGACGAGUCAAUUAUUUGGUUUCUACUAAUGUGUGUAGUUUUUGUUGUGGUUUAUACUCCUUUAAAUUAACUGUUUUUCCCUCGCAAGAUCCUAGUAUGAGUUUUCUUUUUACUGAAUUGCUGCAUCAUUUAUCCCCUCACUACGUGGAUUAUUUUUAUUUUUAUUCACACAGCACCACGCAGCAGACUCACAACCAUAAUCAUUCGGACACAUACACUGUUUUCAAAACUUUGCAACGGUGUUGCAUCCAGCUAAUCACCCCCCUAACAACAGUUAGCACCCGGCACACCCCAUCUACUCCUCAUGAUCACCACCACUGCGGAGAGCCAACACCCGAGCAGCAGCGUCGCGACGAUCAUCGAGGAUCAUCGCGCACAGGAGCACAGAGAACCCCAGCAGUGUCGCCAGCCCUCCGCAUAUCAGGAUCGCAAACCAGUCCGGCAUCGCCUCCGCCAUUAGAGCCUAACCUGAGCUUUUGUAAGCAGUAAUGGAGGGAGGAGGAGGAGAAGUGAGGCCAGGUGUGAGGAAGAAGAGAGAGGCACCCCGGCCAUUUUAUAGCUCGAGCUCGGUGUAUGGUGGGCGAAGUCCACCAACGCCGCUCGUCGCCGAUCACCGGUGUUCGGAGUCGAAUCCGCGAGCAGUGCCGACAGCGCGCUGGCCCGCGAGGUGAGUGCACGCUGCACCAGCAGCUAGCACGCCGCGCACUACCGCGGUACGGCCUAGAUACCCUACGCGCUAAACGUCGCCGAUGGAGAAAGCGCGGGGAAGCGCGCGAGAGAGAGGAAGAAGAGAGAACCAGAGGGAGAAGAAGAGACUGACAAUGGGCCCCAGGUCCACCUGUCGGCCAGAGAGAGCACUGUGCUCUCGGGUACGACCAGCGUAUAUUUAAAUUUAGAAGUUAUUCUAAAUUUUUAUCCAGCGUAGAAAUCUCAUGUUUUUGUCCCAAACCGUAGACUUUUCCACGCAGCACCAGUUUUCACACUGUGGUUUUUCACCACUUAUUGCCCUCUCACUAAAGCCACAUCUUUAUUGUGUAGUAUUUUCUUAACACAGCUUUUAACAAAUCUCGGGGACAAGAUUUUUCUUAAGGGGGGUAGUCUUGUGACACCCCAAAAAUUUGGCCUUGUUUUAAUGAAUUAAAAAAAUUUCCAGGAAUUAAAACUUUGGAUAUCUGAGCUCCAUUUUGAUUUUUUUUAAAUCAUUUCCUUCCCUGUUAUGAUGAGUUUUUCCCAAAGAGAAAACUUUUCAAAUAUGCCAUUGGACAUAUUUAAUCUCUCAAGAGAAACUUUCCCUUAUUUAAUAUAACUAAUUAAAUAAUUAAGUUGCUUGAUCUUUACUUUCUUGAAAAUGGUUUUUCAAGGUUAAAUGGCCAUAUUUGAACUACAACCAUUUGAUAGAUUCACUUAAAAUUCCCACAAAAAUUUGGAGAUGUCAUGUGAUGUUUUUAAAUCACUUUUAUGCAAAAAUAUAUUUUACUCAUGAAAUAUUUUGAGCUCUACACUCAAUUUUUCUUCUCUGGUCCAGAGUGCAUUUUGCACUACAACCCAUUUAAAUAUUUCUUUCUGGCCUCCACCAAAAUUAUGGGAUAUUGUUAGUAGCAUAUGAUUCAACUUUAUGCAAAAACCUAGUGUUGUUCUUUGAAAAUAUUGAGUGAAUCAACCUCUUUUUCAUUCUGGUCCAGCCUUGUGAUUUCUACUACAACCCUAUUUAUUUUUGCUCCAAUGAUCUUGUGCUUUCUCCUACUUGUAGAUAGCCCUACAAAACCCCUAAAUCCAGGAGCAUGUACCCAUUGGAUUAAUUUUGGUUCAUGAAAUAAUGUCAUUUAUUUCCUAUCCAGAAUUGUAGUUUUGCAAAACUUGCACUAACAAGUUUCUGCUUUUGGCAAACUAACCUCACCACCCUCUUGUACAUCUAAAGAGACCACUAUCUGGAGUUUUUGGCCACUCCAAGACCUGCCUAAGUGCCCUUAGCAUUUUGUCAAACACCUUACGGGCAUGAUCUGUUUUGACAUGAAUUGUGGCACUGCACUGUGAACUUGCACCUCUGAUCAAACAAGCAUGUCCACUAGACUCCCCGUUACUCCUAACCUAGAUCUGCUAAAUGCCAGCCUCACCCAAGCUCUGUAGCAUGCUCUGGCAUUACGUCGAGCACAUCCCGUGCAUGCCCAGGGCGCGAGCAGAGCGUGCGUUUGGCACGCACGUGCGCCGAGCCGACACGCUGGCCUCCACGGUUUUGGCCCGCUCUGCAGCACCACGCCACGCGCUCCCCUUCUCACCGCAACACGCCAAGCCGCCCCUCGCCAUGCCCCGGCAGGCCAAGAGCUAGCCGCCACGGUCGCCGACAGCCCCUGCUCCGUUCAGCGCCGCCCAAGCCUCUCCUGCUCGCCACCUGGCCCCUGGAACAGCGCGUGCUCAUCCGUGAGUGUGUCCACUAGCGCUCGUCGCCGCCACGACGCCCUAGCUACAGAAUGGCGGUCGCCGGCAACCUUAUCCGCAGCCGCCGCGGAACCGACCUCGACGAGCUAUAAAAGGAGGCCCCCGAGCUUCCCCGAGCACGCAUGCAACCUCAGGCCACCCCAAUGGCACUCCCCUAGCUCGCAUUCGACCCGGGGAGGCCUCCUUCCUCAUCUCCGGCAACUCCUGCCGCCGCCACCGCCCCGGCCAAUCCGGCACCUCCAGUAGCUCCCCCUCUCCGUUCUCUUCGCCAGGAACCUCCUCAUCCUCCCGUGAACCCGUCCCCCUACUCAAUUUUGAUCGGGAACCCCAGUAUCCCCAAACACACUUUGCUCCCGAGGCCACCUCCGCCGAGAAGCUCGCCACCGGCAGCUCCCUCCGUCCCCACCUACCUGGCGACCACCGGGAGGACCGCCCUGGAGUGGCGGAUCCAUCCCAGCCCACUGAGCCCCGCGGGGAGCCGCCAUUCACCGGCGACGAUCGCCGUUGCCUCGCCUCCGUUCGGGCAGAGGAAGAGGAGGGAGGGAUAGACUGGUCAAACCUGACCAGUGGGGCCUCUGGACCCACUGUCAGCGACCCCGUGCCUGUCCACGUGGGAUUAAGUGAAGGCGCAAUCCCCCAGUACGUUUCCCCCGCUCCGAAAGCGUAUUCCCCUCCGAAACGUUUUCUUUUCUGUUUUAUUUAAAUAACAGAUUUGACCAAAACUUUGACUGGUUAUAACUUUUUAAAUACAACUCCAAAUGAAAUGAUUCUUUUUCCUACCUCUCUCAAAUUUCACCUAGUUUAUUUUAAGAUUUAUUUGAAAAAAAAUUCAGAACAACUUUUGGUGCCGUUUUUAUUUUGUGUGUUAAUUCUUUUAUAUUGCUAAAAUAGGAUUUUUGAAGAGAGGAGAAAUGUUUCAAGUUUUGGAGUGCACCCUGCCUUUCCACACAUUGAAGGCAAGCAUUCUGAACCCCGGCAUAAUAUUUUUGUGUGUUUGAUGACACGUCCAUAACAUCACCUCACUUUGGAGAAACUUGUUAUUUCAUGUGAUAUGAUCAUAUGCAUGGGUGCAUGUUAUUGAUUUCCAUGCUGUUGGAAAUGGACACACUUGUGAUGAUAAUCACCCUCAUGUGCCUUGCAUGCAUACCGGCAGGAACCCGGGAAAACCUCUGCCUUGGGUAGGCAUGAGUUUGUCGCCGGUCUCCGUCGGGACGGUUAUGUCUGGUAUGGCAUGGCAAGGUGAUAUGAGUGGUGACUCUGUUGGAUGAAAUAUAUUCGUUAUACUAAUCAUGCAGGGAAUACUUAAACCUCCUGAGUCGACCGUAGAUCGAGUCUUGUGCCAGUAACCCCCAUACUUGUUUCGUACUACCACUCGUCUCAACAGCAAGUAGAGUACGGUUCAGUAAGUUGUCAACCUCUUUCUAGCACACACCGUACAGAGAGGCCAUGGUGGAAGAUACCGGUUGUAGCUGGUAGGCAGGCCACCUGGUCCGGGGGCAUGGGUGUUUCCGGUUGGGACCGAGAGGGGAGGCCACCCCUUAGAGCGCGCGAUAUAAAUUUGAUCCCAUGCUACGCGAGGUUGUAGCCUCCCCACUUAGAGUUUGCUUAACAGGUGUCGUGGGUGAUUCCAGACACGUGUGAGUUAAGCUGGUGUGUGCAAGUUAGGUGUGUUUUCAACAAAAAAGACCGUAGACGGAAUUAGUCCCGAUGGACUAAAGAAAUCCAUUACUCGUGGGUAAAGAGUACACCCUCUGCAGAGAUUAAACCUAUUCGAAUAGCCGUGUCCAUGGUUAAGGAUUACAGUCUGGGAUGGGUCAAGUGUCGGUCUUAGUGUCGGUCUUCGGAGGUGAAACUGUUAACCAGAACUGGAACUACUACCUGUGACUUGUGAUAAUUAUGAUUAUUAUUAUUGUUGACUAACCCGUGAUAUUAUUGUUAUUAUCGAGUAUCUCUGGGAUGGUUCUACCUCCGGGAUAUUCACUAUGAUUGUUCAUUUUAAAGCCCUUUUGUGGUUUCGCUCAGACGCCCGACUGUGGCAUUUCUUUUAAAGCCCUUUAUGCGGUGUCGCUCAGACGCCCGACUGUGGCAUUUCUUUUAAAGCCCUUUAUGUGGUGUCGCUCAGACGCCCGACUGUGGCAUUUCUUUUAAAGCCCUUUAUGUGGUGUCGCUCAGACGCCCGACUGUGGCAUUUCUUUUAAAGCCCUUUAUGUGGUGUCGCUCAGACGCCCGACUGUGGCAUUUCUUUUAAAGCCCUUUAUGUGGUGUCGCUCAGACGCCCGACUGUGGCAUUUCUUUUAAAGCCCUUUAUGUGGUGUCGCUCAGACGCCCGACUGUGGCUUUGCUUGUUAUUUAUUUCAUAAAUUUUAAUACUACUAUGUUAUUGCAAUUUUAUAAAUAACUUGCUUGCACGCAUCAGAGAUUUAUUUAUCUUUUGUGACUGACGUCAUGAGCAUAAAAUAUUUUCAGCACAUCAUUGUUAUAUUAUACCUGUGUUCAUAAUGUUUGCGAGUACAUUCAAAGUACUCACUGGCUUGUCCCUGGCUAUUGUCUUGGCCAGAUUUCUUGCGCGGAAGAGGAGCGACGCGAUGACAGCCCCGCCACCUAAGUAAUGGAGAUAGCAGCCUCGCCAAGAUAGGAGUUAACCUGGUCAGCUGUUCCCGUGGGAAAUGGAGUCCCAUAGACACUGAUGUUUCACAACCCGCUUCCGCCAUCAACCACUAGAAACCAUUUGUUGUACUCACAGGCCAGAAUGGCUUUGUGCUACAUAUUUUGUUUUCUGCUUGGAAUUGCUGUAUCAAGUUGGAGCCUCAUCAGCUAACAGUAAUCCUGGGGCUGAUGAGCACGACGGUCUUUUCUGGAAAUUUAUUACCCGAAAAACCGGUCGUGACAAGUUCCCUCCUCCAAUUUCAUGGGCGACUGUUUUGUGCUUGCCACUCCGGAGUCGGUCUUCCUCUUCACCAUUGGCGUAUUUGGUGGCAAUCUCCAUCAUCCGAGUCAGAGUCAUAUCUCUUGUCCGACCGAAUUUUAGAUUCAAUUCCCGAUACUUAACGCCUUCUUUGAAGGCACAAAUUGCUUGGUGAUCUGACACAUUCUCCAUUGUAUGGUGUAAUGUGAUCCAUCUCUGGAUAUAAUCUCUUAGAGUUUCAUACGGGUUAUGAACGCAACACUGUAAUUCUGUCAACCCUGCUGACCGUUUGCAAGUACCUCCAAAUGUUCUGACAAAUACUCGGGCAAGAUCUUCCCAAGUAUAAAUACUACCAGGCACUAACUGAUUCAGCCACGCUCUGGCCGAGCCCUCUAACAUCAAAGGGAGAUGCUUCAUGGCAACUUCAUCGUUGCCACCACCAAUCUGUACAGCCACUCGGUAAUCCUCAAGCCAAGUCUCAGGCUUGGACUCACCGGUGAACUUACUGACUCCAGUCGCCAACCUGAAGUUGGGAGGAUCACCGCAGCCCUGAUGGCUCUGCUGAAGCACUCUGGACCUGAGACAUGCACUCUGCUGCUGGUUGGAAAAUCUCUGUCGUGGCCUUCUCUCUGAGCUCUGUUUCUGUCGACCAGACCCUGAACGAGAAUAGAUAUCGCAUCAAAGCCAGGUUCCCUCGGGUCGACUGGAAUCCUUCACCCACCACUGUGAGGACGUCUGUCAUCAUGCUACUGGGGCAUGUAUGACCCACUCCUUGGUGGAGGCGUGGGCACUCGACUACGAUCAUCGUGAUCGAGUCGGUGAUCAUACUGCUCGCGGUUUCUGUACUGAUCUCUCCGGUCCCCAAGUCCCUCACGCCUCGGGGGCGAUCUCAGGCUGUGAGCCAACUGGAUUGUGUCUGCAACCGCGGAUCUGCUAUGGAUCCUAUUCCGCGACUGAGAUACUGCUGCAUUCUGCUUUCCCGUUGCUCGAAGCAAAGCCCGGAUCCGCACCAAACCUCGACCAGCUUCUGACUGGGAAGGUUGAAUUGACUCCACUAUUCAGGCCGCAGCUGCGAGAUUCUGGAUCGGAGUUCGAUAUACCUGAGUUGGAGGCGGAAAACGUUGGCGUCGACUAGACUUGGGGAUAGACUGCCGAGCACGCUUGUCGAGUGCACGCUGGAGGUUCUCCAGUCGACUGCGCUCAGCCAAGUUGGCCAGGCGCGCCUCCUCCAAGGCCUGGGCCUCAGGGGUUUCUCCAAUGAUAAGAGUGUGAAGCGCAUCCAUGUUCUGGCGGCGAAGUUCUUCCCUCUACUGCGAAGAGAGGGGUUCGGGGCGAUACUCUUCGUGAACACGCGACGGAACACCGCCCCCAUCGCCUCCGUCUUCACGGGUGAAGCCAGGAGGACUACAUGGUUCAUUGACCAUCAAAACCUCCACCGCGGGGUCGUUGUUGUCGCACUCGGAUGCAGUAUGUAUGGAGCCAGUCGAACAGACCGUAAAGAGUUUCGUCGGGAUCGAUUGCCGCGACUUGGGGGGUGGCCGACUGGCGAGCCACAGCAUGCCUCACCCACCGCUGAAGCCUCGAUCGACCGGAACGUUUGCUCCGGGGGGCUGCAGGGAGGGAGGUCAACACAGGAGCCGACCGAUACUGAGUUGACGGUUGCCGUAGGAGGACGCCACGGACGGACGGGGAGCGCCUCGACGUCAAGUGGCGCUUCUUGGAGCCAAGCAGAGUCGUCGGCAACGAAUACGAGCGCGUCGAGACAGAUCUUGCGACCCUCAGCCAAACCUCCGCCUGAAACCAUGUUGAUGGGGAUUGCAAAAAUCGCAACUUCUCCAACAAGUCGCUAAGACACCUGCCCCACGGUGGGCGCCAACUGUCGUGGAUCUAAGUCUGACAGUAGAAUGGGGCAUAGGAAUGUAGAGGCAAGAUCCUAGCUAUGGAGGAGUUGUACACGCGAGUUUUACGAGUUCAUGCCCUUCUCAGAGGAAGUAAUAGCCCUAUGUCUCGGAGCCCGGAGGCGGUCGACUGGACUAUAUGUGUGUGAGUUACAAGGGGUGCGAACCCUUUUCCCAGAGGAGGGGGUGUUGGAAAUAUGCCCUAGAGGCAAUAAUAAAAUGGUUAUUAUUAUAUUUCCUUGUUCAUGAUAAUUGUCUAUUGUUCAUGUUAUAAUUCUGUUAUUCGGAAAUCGUAAUACAUGUGUGAAUACAUAGACCACAACAUGUCCCUAGUGAGCCUCUAGUUGACUAGCUCGUUGAUCAAUAGAUGGUUACGGUUUCCUGACCAUGGACAUUGGAUGUCAUUGAUAACGGGAUCACAACAUUAGGAGAAUGAUGUGAUGGACAAGACCCAAUCCUAAGCAUAGCACAAGAUCGUGUAGUUCGUCUGCAAGAGCUUUUCUGAAUGUCAAGUAUCAUUUCCUUAGACCAUGAAAUUGUGCAACUCCCGGAUACCGUAGGAGUGCUUUGGGUGUACCAAACUUCACAACGUAACUAGGUGACUAUAAAGGUGCACUACAGGUAUCUUCGAAAGUGUCUGUUGGGUUGGCAUGAAUCGAGACUGGGAUUUUUCACUCCGUAUGACGGAGAGGUAUCUCUGGGCCCACUCGGUAAUGCAUCGUCAUAAUGAGCUCAGUGUGACUAAGUAGUUGGUCACGGGAUCAUGCAUUACGGAACGAGUAAAGUGACUUGCCGGUAACGAGGUUGAACGAGGUAUUGGGAUACCGACGAUCGAAUCUCGGGAAAGUGACGAACCGAUUGACAUAGGGAAUUGUAUACGGGAUUGCUUGAAUCCUCGACAUCGUGGUUCAUCCGAUGAGAUCAUCGUGGAACAUGUGGGAGCCAACAUGGGUAUCCAGAUCCCGCUGUUGGUUAUUGGCAGGAGAGUUGUCUCGGUCAUGUCUGCAUGGUUCCCGAACCCGUAGGGUCUACACACUUAAGGUUCGAUGACGCUAGGGUUAUUAGGAAGACUUGUAUGUGAUUAACGAAUGUUGUUCGGAGUCCCGGAUGAGAUCCCGGACAUCAUGAGGAGUUCCGAAAUGGUCCGGAGGUGAAGAUUUAUAUCUAGGAAGUUGUCAUACGGUCACCGGAAAGGUUCGGGGGCAUAUCGGUAUUGUACCGGGGCCACCGGAGGGGUUCCGGGGGUCCACCGGGAGGGGCCACCUCUCUCCGAGGGCCUAAUGGGCUGUAGAGGAAAGGGAACCAGCCCUACAUGGGCUGGGCGCAUCCCCCCAUGGGUCCAUGCGCCUAGGGUUGGAGGGGGAACCCUAAGGGGGGCGCCCCCCUUGCUUGGGGGGCAAGCCCCCUCCCCUUGGCCGCCGCCGCCCCUCUUUAUCUUAUCUAGAGGGGGCCGGCCCCCUUCCUCCUUCCCCUAUAUAUAGAGGGGCAAGGGGAGGGCUGCACACACCAUCCAAGGCGCAGCCCCUCCUCUCCCCAACACCUCUCCUCCGCAACAGCUUGGCGAAGCCCUGCCGGAGUACUGCAGCUCCACCACCACCACGCCGUCGUGCUGCUGUUGGAGCCCUCUUCAUCAACCUCUCCCUCCUCCUUGCUGGAUCAAGGCGCGGGAGACGUCGUCGCUCCGUACGUGUGUUGAACGCGGAGGUGCCGUCCGUUCGGCGCUUGGAUCUUCGGUGAUUUGGAUCACGACGAGUACGACUCCAUCAACCCCGUUCUCUUGAAUGCUUCCGCUCGCGAUCUACAAGGGUAUGUAGAUGCACUCCUCUCACCUCAUUGCUAGAUGACUCCAUAGAUUGAUCUUGGUGAUGCGUACAAAAUUUUAAAUUUCUGCUACGUUCCCCAACAGGGGGGUGGCUUAUAUAGAGUGCGCCAGGACCCCAGCUCCCCUCCGUUACACGGGGUUCAAUGUCCAUAAAGAGAGAGCAUUACAGGUAACGUCUGUAAUAAAGUGCUAUGAAUGAUCAUUAAAUAUAUGAGUAAAUGCCCGACCGUUGCUGUGCAGAACGGCUUUAGGUCUUCUUGUACGUCGAGUGGUCUUUUACAUGGUCGAGUGGUUGAAUAGUCGAGUGACUUAAAGAAGAAGUAGUCUUCGAGUGAAUGGUAGGUCGAGUGGAUUGCACUCGACGCCUUUAUUGGGUCCACCUUGUUUACUCUUGAACUUCUUUGCUUCUAGGGCAAGGACCUGGGGUAGGACGUAUAGGUCAGGCCUAUUACCUUACCCCAGGUCUAUGUCCUCAUCACCGAGCGUCGCGACCGUCGGGCGGAAGGAGUGGCGCGCCUCCAAUAACUCCGGCGGGGGAUCAAGGCUUGGAUGAAGCCCACCCCAUCGUAGACCUCGCCAGGGAAGACGUUUAGGCCAGCCGCAGCCACCGGAGAAGCUUCGAUUCGGGUUCGGCCGAAAGUGAAUCGGUGGCUUUAGGCGGCGGGCCGGCGAGGCAGGCAGUGGGGGACGGGGGUGGGGGGAGUCGUGGCGGGCCUGGUGGCCGUCGGGGGGCGUCGAUUUGGUGCGGAUUUGGCCGGCGGCGGAGACAAGCGGGUGGAGGCUGGUCGCGUGGAAGGGAAAGGAACUGGCAGUUGGGCGGCUGGCGGGUGGUCGCGUUUUUAUAUCUUCUGUAGGUGGAGAUACAAAUUUGCACCAUGAGGUGUUGUAGUUUACAUCUCCGGAAGCGAAGAUGUAUUAUUAUUAUUAUUAUUAUUAUUAUUAUUGCAUCUACAUCAUUUGUUGGAGAGGUGUUUUCAGUCCUCGAAGAAGCAAAAGUUAGGUAUUUUCGCAUCUAUAUCUUCUAUUCGAGAUGCUCUUACGUUUUUCCAAGGGAGGGAGUAGAAGUAUAAGGAUUAUAAUUUUUUACCACUCCCGUUGUUCGCCUCAUAUGUAUGCACAUUGGCACCGCUACCCUUUCUUCUACUUUCUCCACGCUAUUUAAAUAAGGUUCUAGAGACGCCGGUGAGCUCCCCUACUUCUCGUCCGUCUUCCACCUCACCUCACCGCUUCUUCUUCUUCCUCAUCGUCUUGCACAACCGUCUAUGUUGUAAGAUAAGACUGAUGUGUGAACGAACGACCGUCUUUAUAUUCGUGAAACAACAAAACUACAUCAUGAUGAGCAACAUUAACGGUCAUGAGCGCAAGAAAACAAAAUCACAUGGUGACCAGGAAUGAAAUACCACAACCAAACACCAAUAGUACAGUACAGCAACAAUCAUGCCAAGUUCACAAUAACCUCUCACUGAUAUUCCCAUCCCAUCGAUAGCCAGCAGGAAGAGCAGGGGUACGCUAAUUCAUUCGUCGUCAAACGCAGGUGGCAUGCUAGAGCUGCUUGCCAGCGCAACUCCGGAGAACGCAUCGCGGACACGCUUCUGUGGAGGUGGCUGACACAAUGCAAAGCCGAACAGCCGUGGUGCUGCUGGUUCCAUCUCCCCCGUCGCCACCGUCACAGUGGCCGCCGACGCCUGACCUUGCACCGUGACACCGUCCGGCCGCGAUACACCUAACAUAAAGACGGACGGCUGUGGUGCCAUCUCCUCCGUUGCCGUCGUCACUGCGGCCGCCGGCAACUGACCUUGCACCGUGAUGCCGGCCGGCGGUGGACCCAACGUGGUGUCGGACGGCUGUGGCGCCAUCUGCCCCAUCGCAGCCUGCCGCUGCGUGGUGGCUCGCUUGUUGCCGCGUCCCACUCCCACGUAGCCCGUAACCUCACGGUGCCGGCGGAGCUGCUCAGUGAGAGGCUCGACGUAGUUGCUGUAGCCGAGGGUGUCGAAAGCUUUGAUCACGUGGAGGCCAGUCAUUUUCUUCUUGCCGUCCUUUCCGCACUCCGCUUCGGCCUGGAUGGUGACCAUGUUGAUGAACUCCUUGACACAGUGGUCCACGAGGGCUAUGGCGUCUGGGUGGAUCCUGGCGCGCGGGUCAUGAUGUUUUCUAGGUCGUUGGGCCAGAAGGCCCGCGCCUUUCUCGACUUGCCUACAUUGUCUAAAUACACAUUUUCAAAAGUUGAAAAUUUUCGAACAAAAAUCCUGCAUGUAUAUCCGGACAUUUUAUGUGCGUGCACAAAGUUUUUGGUGAAAAACGAGAUUUUUUAUGGCUUGUGUAAAAAAGAGGAUCUUUCUUUUUACUUUCCCGUCCCUCGUGUCGCCCCUAGGGCGACUCGGGGGAGUCUAUGGUUAUCCCCCGCCGCCAUCCCCCCCCCCCACCCACCCACCUCGCCGCCACCGGAGACGACCGCCGGGAAAGCCCGCGCGGGCGCCGGGGAAGGUGGCGGCAGGGUCUUCGGCGCUCCUGUCUNNNNNNNNNNNNNNNNNNNNNNNNNNNNNNNNNNNNNNNNNNNNNNNNNNNNNNNNNNNNNNNNNNNNNNNNNNNNNNNNNNNNNNNNNNNNNNNNNNNNNNNNNNNNNNNNNNNNNNNNNNNNNNNNNNNNNNNNNNNNNNNNNNNNNNNNNNNNNNNNNNNNNNNNNNNNNNNNNNNNNNNNNNNNNNNNNNNNNNNNNNNNNNNNNNNNNNNNNNNNNNNNNNNNNNNNNNNNNNNNNNNNNNNNNNNNNNNNNNNNNNNNNNNNNNNGAGGGUUCGGCCGUGAGGACGGCGAGCCGCAGGUGGUGGGCGAGCGCGGCGCGGGUCUUCCCGUGCCAGAUCUGGAGGUUUUGCCCCCCUCCCUUCCAUGCAUCCCUUCCCAAUCCGCGGUUCAGCUUUGGAUCUUGCCGGAUCCACCUCUGGUGUGUUCUGGUGGAGCAGAACGGUGUCCGAGGGAAAUCUUGACCGCCUUGGCUGGCCGGCAGCGGCGACGCUGCCUUUUGGCACCGCUUUCCUCCUUGGGGGCGUUGCUGAGGACACCAUCUCUCCACUCCGCCACAUGUCCGGGUGAAAGCCCAAGAUCCGAUGCGGGUCAGGCGUCGGCGGUGCCCCGUGCACCAUAACCUUCCUGGAGGCGGCGCCAAGGACAUUGGGAUCGGAUGGGAUGGUCUGCAGGUGAGGGGUGGGGGUGUGCUGCCUCCUUUUCGGUGGAGCGGUGUUUCUUUCUACAUAUUCUUGGCGACGGCUUUGGCGGCAUGGAGCGGCGGAGGCUUGGCGUCAGAUGUGUGGUGACGGACAUGCGCAGGAGGUCGACGUUGUCUGGCGUCAUGGUGGCGUCGGCGGCAGCGAGACCGGGCAAGGCCGAUGCAGGAGUACAGCUCUGGAGAUGGAAAUGUGGCAGGUGGCUGUGGUGGCCUCAUACCCGGCAGGCGUCCUGGUUGAGGAGCACGCCAGACUGGUGGGUGCCCAUACCCAGCAGGCGUCCUGAUUGGGACCUCAGGUCUUAGAUGUUAGGUUUGGCUAUGAGGUCCGUUUAAUAUUAGGCACAGACCAUCAGCGCCCCUUCAUCAGCUAGAUAGGAGUAGCGACAAAGGUUGCUCAGAUAGUGGCUUUGGUCUUACUGUUGUACGACUUUGUAAGGUCUUGGGUAAAUAAUUAAUAAAUUAGUCGUAUGCAUUGUCCAGAUACAGAGGCCGGGGGUAUUCCUCCUUUUCUAAAAAAAAUGUAAAAAAGACAAUUUCUGAUGCUUCAUUACAACUAUUCAUUUUGCAUUUCUUUUUUUUUUACACAAGCCACAAAAAACGUCGUUUUUUACCGAAACUUUGUGCAUGCACAUAGAAUGUCCGGAUAUACCCGCGGGAUUUUUGUUCCGAAUUUUUCAACUUUUCAAAAUGUGUAUUUAGACAAUGGGUACAUAUGCACCUAGGAGCUAAAACACUGCGUCCACCGGAAACCAUAUAUAUAUAGGAAUACACGAGUCUUCUCUUACAAAAAGAGCCAUAUAACAAAAAGCAUUGUAGAUCAAAAUCUUAAGGCCUUGUUCGGUUGUAUUGGGUUUGAGAGGGAUCAAAGGGGAUUGUGAGGGAUUAAAUUUCCUGUCUGUCAAAAUCCUCCCCAACCACUUCAAACCUCUCCAAUCUCCAUGAGAAAGGGAUUAAACAAGCAAGCCCUAAAGGAGAUUUUUAUCUCCAGAAUCGUUGUGCAACUUCUUUUUAGAACUUCCAUUCAUAUAACGAAAAUUAUUGUAGAUUAAAAUCAUAAAAAGAAUUAUAUGAAACAAAUUGGUUCUGAAAUUAUGCGGGAACCAACAGAGGAUGAGGCGAUAUUUUAAAUAACUUGUUCAUGGACAUUCAUGGAUUAGUAAUAUAUUUGAACAACACACAAUUACAAAAACCAAAUACUUCACACAGAUGAUCUGAAGAAGAAUCAACUAAUUUUAUCUACUUUUACCUUCUCCUGCUUUGUUGACACGGUCAUUGCCUUGCCUUUCUUCCAUCGCUUCUCGUCUCACUAGUGUUACUAGAUCUAUGUUGUCCUUACGGUUGUUAUACAACAUCCAUUCCACGAUUUAUAAGAAAAGACUAGCAUGUGGGUGGCCUCAACCAGGAGCCAGCUGGUGCUAUCUGAUGCUAUCUGGUGCUGGCCUCAACGAGAAACAUAAGGACAUUAGUAGAAGAAAUUAAUUGAUACUAUAUAAAUAUAUGCAUGCAAUUAAUGCUUGCACAUCCAAAUGUAUACGAAACAAAAUGAGCUAAUCUAUAUUCUAAAAUGUGUCUAUAUACAUUUGUAUGUAGUCCGUAUUGAAAUUUCUAGAAGGUCUUAUAUUUAGAAACGGAGGGUGUAAUAUAAAAGAUAUGGAAGCAAAUUAAUGCUUGCACAUCCAAACGUAUGCAAGCCAACGACAAAUCAUGUAUAAAUGUGAUUAUAGCCGUGAGUGCUACUAGUACAAAUGUCGUAGUUGUUUUUUCUUUCCUCACGCUGUGUAUACAGGUCAUUUCAAAACUGAAAUGGUACAUUAUACACAAGGCAACAAAGCUAUAACAUAAUGACUACCCCAACUUUUACAGAUGUGUAUUCCUUUCUUUUUUGCGGAAAUUUAGAGAUGUGCAUUCAGAAGCAGAAAAUCAAAUAUAGUGUUCAGAAUAGCAAAAGUCAAUAAAGAAGAGGACCGGGCACUUUUUUUGACAUCAACAGGACCGGGCACUAUGCUGUGAGCCUAGUGCAAAGAUUAGCUCUAUUUCCCAUUGUGCCGAGUUGCGGUCCGGUGCACUUUACAAAGUUAAACGAUAUCAAGUUUAUUUUGUCAGGCAACAUGUACCUGAGCCCCACCCCAACUGCUCGUCGCCCCCGGCGGCGGUGGGGCCUUGGUCUCCCCUCAUGCGAGGCAGGGUCAUCGCGGGGCGGCCCCCUCGUGCAGUGGCGUGGCGGUUGUUAGACUGUAUAUACGUAGUCUUGUAUAGGCCUUGUAUUGUAUCUUUUGGUACAUCUAUAUAAUGAGAUAGCCACACCCUAUUUUAGGGUGUCGAGCCAGUUUCCCAAACCCUAUGUUUUACAUGGUAUCAGAUUAGGUUACGAUGUCUUUCGCUGCACCACCUCCCGCCGCCGCCGCGCCGAUCUCGACCGCCGCCGCCGCGCCGGCCCUCGCCCCAAUGUUGCCCUUCAUGGCCUCCCGCCCCCUCGCGACGACGUACGGUGCCGUGCCGCCGCCGCCCACUUCCCCGCAGGCUUCGGGGUCUCCGGACGCUCCAAUCGUCCCGACCGAGCCCGCGGCGCUGCCGGCCCCUGGCGGCCCUCCUCCGCCGAGUCCGCACCCGUGGUGCGGUGCUCCCGCGCCAUCCUAUGGUGCACCCCUGCCGCCGUCAUCCUUCUGGCCGGGGUCGGCCUAUGCUGCGUCGCCGCCGCAACCCUACACGGCGGUGCCGCAUCCGCCGCCACCGCACCACUACUACCAGGCGCCGCCGCCGUCCUAUGGGGGCGCGGCCUCCUCGCCGUACGAUGCCCCUGCAGCGCCUGACCAAGGUGCUUCGGCUGCUGCGGUUGCUGGCCCCUACGCCACGCCGGGCACCUACGGUCCUCCUGCAGCGCCCGGGCACGGCGCUUUGGCUGCCGCCUCUGCCGGGUCCUACUCCUCCCCUGGCGCCUAUGCGAUGGUCCCUCGUCCAGAGAUGGCCCUGUCCAUGGAUCCCUAUGCCCCACUGGCGCGGGCGUACACUGCUCAAACCGCGGCACCGCCGCCGUUUUAUUUCUCGCACCUGCUGCCGGUGAAGCUCGCGCCGGACAACUACCUGCCAUGGCGUGCUCAGGUCUUACCUCUACUCCGCAACCGCUACUUGGAGGGCUACGUCGACGGAUCCAUCCCGUGUCCACCCUCUCACCAUCCGGCAUAUCACACGUGGGUGGCGCAGGAUCAGGCUAUUCUCUCCGCUAACCAGUCUUCGCUCACGCCGAGUGUUUCGUCGAUGGUCAUCUUCGCCGCUACGUCCAGGGAGGCGUGGGCGGCCCUCCACACUAGUUUCGCCUCUCAGUCUCAGGCGCAUGCGCACUCUAUACGCACCGAGCUGGGUGAGACCAACUUGGCGAUCUCAGCAUCACGGAGUACUUCAACAAGAUGACGAGCCUCGCCGACACCUUGGCCUCUGUUGGUCAGCCGCUUCAGGACGAGGACUUCACCACUUUUGUGCUUAACGGGCUUGAUGAUGAUUAUGACAAUCUCAUUGAGAACGUCCAUGGUCGAGAGGAUACGCUCUCACGUCGUGAGCUCUAUGCGCGCCUCCUUGGGCGUGAGCAGCGCAUCAAGGCGCGCCAUGUUUCCCCCAGCUUCGCCUCCGCCAACGCCGCCACACACGGCAAACCUUAGAAGCCGGCCGCAUCAGGUGGUAAACCACCGGCUUCCUCAUCGCAGGCCUCGCGGGGCAACGCGCCAACCAUCACUGGAGGGAGUCGCCCAGUUGCUUGUUGUUCUAGUUGCGGUGCUCCUCAGGCUUGUCAGCUUUGUGGCAUCGAUCAUCACCUCGCCUCUCGCUGCCACAUACGCUACAAGCAAGACUUCCUUGGCCUUGGUAACAAUGGAAAAGGGAAUGAUAAGCAGGCUGCAGCUGCUGUGACGGGGCACGAGCACGGGCGCACCUAGUCCUACUCUCUUGAUCCGACGUGGUAUAUGGAUACAGGAGCGACGAGUCAUCUCACCAGCGAGAUGGGCAGGCUCUCCACUCAGUAACCAUAUCGUGGACAUGAUCAGGUGCACACCGCCAAUGGAGCAGGUAUGCGCAUCUCCCAUGUUGGUCAGGCAUCACUUAUUGCACACAAUUUUCGCAAACUGCAUCUUUCCAAUGUCCUUCGAGUUCCCUCUGCUACGCGUAGUUUGUUGUCUAUUCCUCAACUUACUCGUGAUAACAAUGUCCUUGCUGAGUUUCACCCUUUUCGUUUCUUUAUCAAGGAUCAAGACACGAGGGCCGUUCUGCUUAGUGGUCGUCUUCACCAUGGCUUAUAUGCACUUGACGCACCACCUGCAUCUCCUAAGCCGUCUUCUCCUCAGGUGUUCAGUGGUGUUCGUGUGUCGCCUACGCACUGGCAUGCACGCCUUGGUCACCCUGCUGCUCCUAUAGUUAGUCAUGUGCUGCAUCGCCAUGAACUACCAGUUGUAUCCAAUAAAAGUGCUGAAACUAUCUGUGAUGCCUGUCAGCAGGGCAAGAGUCACUAACUACCUUUUUAAGAGUCUAGUCGUGUUGUGAAACAUCCUCUUGAGCUUGUGUUUUCUGAUGUAUGGGGUCAUGCCCAAACGUCUGUUAGUGGUCACAACUAUUAUGUCGGUUUCAUUGAUGCUUACAGUCGGUUUACUUGGCUAUAUCUUAUCAAGCGUAAAUCUGAUGUGUUUGAUGUUUUUAUUCAGUUCCAAGCACAUGUUGAGCGUCUCCUUAAGCACAAAAUUAUUCAUGUUCAAUCCGACUGGGGGGUGAAUAUCACAACCUCAACUCGUUUUUCAACAAGCUUGGGAUCUCGCAUCGCGUAUCUUGUCCUCAUACACAUCAGCAAAAUGGCACCGCUGAACGUAAGCAUCGUCAUCUUGUAGAGACUGGACUUACUUUACUAGCUCAUGCCUCCAUCCCGUUUCGGUUCUGGAGUGAUGCUUUUUCCACCGCCUGUUUCUUGAUAAAUAGGCUUCCCUCACGACUACUGAAAAUGAAAACCCCUCUUGAACUCUUGCUCAAUGAUAUUCCAGACUACACAUUCCUCAAAGUGUUUGGGUGCGCGUGUUGGCCGCACUUGCGGCCGUACAACAAGCAUAAGUUAGAGUUUCGGUCUAAGAAGUGUGUCUUUCUUGGGUACAGUUCUCUCCAUAAAGGGUACAAGUGCCUUCGCCAAUCGUGUCUACAUUUCUCGUGACGUUGUGUUUGAUGAGAAUGUGUUCCCGUUUCAUGCUCUUCCGAACCACUCUACCAUUAGUUUACCACCUGUGCACUCUGCUACACCUUUGCCUGAUCAAUUUGUGGAUGUUGCAAAUGCUCUUGUGUUGCUUCCUAACCAUGUUGCAGGUAUUGGACGUGGUGCCCGUCUUGAACUCCUGGAUGAUGAGGCUAUGAACAACACUCAUGAUGGUCAUGAUGAUCCGGUGCAUCCGCCUCGCCCGCGCCGCCGCCAGGCUCGCCCGCCUCGUCGCCCGGCUCACCUGGCUUGCCCGCCACGUCGCAGGCGUCGCCCUUGCAUUGCCCAGCGGCAGGUGGCCCAACAACCGCUGGCCUAGCGGCCACGACAGCUACACCGGCCAGCCCCGCCUCGGCCACCUCGGAUCCUCGCGAGCCGGCCUUGUCGUCGGCUAGGCUCGGUAGCCCCGUCUCAGCCACGUCAUCCGGUGCUGAGUCUGAUGACUCUAGCUCCUCCAGCCCCGAAUCGGUCUCACCUUCGUCUCCUGUGGCAAGCCCCGUGUUGCCGGCGCCGCCUGCUGUGGUCUCUCAUCGACCACACACACGCAGUCGGUCUGGUGUUUUUUGCCCCAAGGAACGCACAGACAGGACUGUGGCGUGGCUUGCCGCAUGUGUUGCUCAUGCUGCUGCGGAUCCGACGGCUGAGCCGCGUCAUUUUCAGGCCGCAUUGGGUAUCCCUCACUGGCGUGCUGCCAUGGAGCAGGAAUUUCAGGCUUUGCUGAAAAAUGGCACUUGGCAACUUGUUCCUCCGGUUUCUGGUCUCAACAUCAUUGACUCCAAGUGGGUGUUUAAAGUAAAACGACAUGCAGAUGGUUCGAUUGAGCGCUAUAAGGCACGAAUGGUUGCCAAGGGUUUCAAGCAGAGGUAUGGUCUUGAUUAUGAAGACACGUUCAGUCCAGUUAUCAAGCCUACUACUAUUCGUAUACUGUUGUCUCUUGCUGUUACUCAUGGUUGGUCUCUUUGUCAGCUUGACGUACAAAAUGCCUUCCUCCAUGGAGUUCUUGAGGAAGAGGUUUAUAUGCGUCAACCACCAGGCUUUGUUGAUCCUACACGUUCGCAUCAUCUCUGUCGUCUGGUCAAGGCAUUGUAUGGACUUAAACAGGCGCCUCGUGCGUGGCAUGCACGCCUUGGUUCUGUUCUCCGGGCUCUUGGGUUUAUUCCCUCCACUGCUGACACAUCACUGUUCCUCCUUCAGCAUCCUGAGGUGACGAUGUAUCUAUUGGUUUAUGUUGAUGAUAUCAUCCUUGUCAGUUCUUCUGAUGCUGCUGCUGAUCGCCUUGUGUCCGCAUUCAGUGAGGAGUUUGCUGUCAAGGACUUGGGUGCUCUUCAUUAAUUCCUUGGUUUGGAGGUAUCACGGUCCUCUACUGGGUUGACUCUGACUCAGGAAAAGUAUUCUAUGGAUUUGUUGCGCCAUGCUGGGAUGCUCAAAUGCACACAUGCUAUCACUCCGAUGUCUGUGACUGAUCGGUUGUCUGCCCUUGAUGGAGAUCUUCUUUCUGCUGAUGACGCCACUGAGUAUCGUAGUCUUGUUGGUGGUCUGCAAUAUCUCACUAUCACCAGGCCUGAUGUCUCUUAUGCAGUCAACCGUGUGUGCCAGUACCUUCAUGCACCUCGUACCACUCAUCUCUCGGCAGUUAAGCGCAUCUUGCGAUAUGUCUCUUCCACUGCUUCGGAUGGUCUGCUUCUUCAGUCUGCACCGUCUUGUGAACUUUCGGCUUUCUCUGAUAUGGAUUGUGCUGGAAGUCCUGAUGAUCGGCAAUCCACGGGGGGAUAUGCAGUGUUCUUUGGUCCUAACUUGAUUGCCUAGAAUGCUCGCAAGCAAGCCACCGUGUCUCAUAGCAGUACUGAAGCUGAGUAUAAAACAGUUGCUGAUGCUACCGCUGAGAUCAUAUGGGUACAGUCCUUAUUGCGGGAGUUGAGAAUCUCUCCAGGUCAUCCUCCAGUUCUGUGGUGUGAUAACAUUGGUGCUACAUAUCUUUCAUCUAAUCUGGCGUUUCAUGCUAGGACGAAACACAUUGAGGUUGACUAUCAUUUUGUUCGGGAACGUGUUGCACAGAGACUACUUUGUAUCAAGUUCAUCUCCUCAAAGGAUCAACUUGCUGACAUCUUCACGAAGCCUCUUCCACAACCACAGUUUGUAGGCUGUAGGCGCAAUCUUAACUUACUUUGUACUUCAGGCUAUAGUUAAGAUUGAGGGAGGGUGUUAGAUUGUAUAUACGUAGUCUUGUAUAGGCCUUGUAUUGUACCUCUUGGUACAUCUAUAUAAUUAGAUAGCUACACCCUGUUUUAGGGUGUCGAGCCAGUUUCCCAAACCCUAUGUUUUACAGCGGUGCGGCGUCGGCAGCCUCUUCGGCUACUUGGGAGGCUUGCGGAGGCGGCGUGGAGGGCUGUUGGGCGAAGUGGGGGCUGGCGUGCUCUACGGGCGCUGCUUCUAUGGAGGUGAUGUGGGGGCGGAUCUGAGCUCCCAUCGGGGUGGCUGCGGGCUGCGGCCCGGUGGGGUCGUGGCUAUCGCCAUGGACCUCGGUGGCACGUCGCAGCUACAGCAGGAAGCGGUGUUGCCAGCCAGAUCAGCUCGGAUCUGGCCCAUGGCCACCGGCGGGUGGCACGAAGCUGUUCAUCGGGGUCCCGACAUGGAUGUGUGCUGCCACGGCGUGGUGGUGGCUCAUGGCGAUGGUCUGGGUCGUUUCACGGCGGCGGCUAGACAUCUCCGAUGCCGGCCUAUCGUUGAGCAGCCUGUAUCGGCCUUUGAUCCCCCUCCUCGUCAUCCAGGCGCUUGUUGGGGAACGUAGUAAUUUCAAAAAAAAAUCCUAUGCACAUGCAAGAUCAUGGUGAUUCAUAGCAACGAGAGGGGAGAGUGUUGUCUACAUACCCUCGUAGACCGUUCGCGGAAGCAUUAUAUCAACGCGGUUGAUGUAGUCGUACGUCUUCACGUCCGACCGAUCCAAGUACCGAAAGCACGGCACCUCCGAGUUCUACACACGUUCGGCUCGGUGACGUCCUCGCCUUCUCGAUCCAGCAAGAGGGGCGAAGUAGUAGAUGAGUUUCGGCAGCACGACGGCGUGGUGACGGUAUUGGUGAAGAACAAUCUCCGCAGGGCUUCGCCUAAGCACUACGAAAACUAUGUCGGAGGAUAGACUAGAGGGGACGGGGUUGCCGGCACACAGCUUGGUGUUUCUUGAUGUUUCUUUGGUGCUAGCCCUACCCCUCUAUUUAAAUGUUGAGCCCUGGGGUCGAAACUUAGAGUAAAAGCCUCCUCAAAGUUGGUUUCACCCGAAAGGCAAGAGUCCUUCUCGAACUCCAGGGCUAGACACCAGGGUUCCCGGCGUCUACCCCCUAGACGCCAGGGUUCUUGGCGUCUAGCCUCUAGUCUCCGCAAAACUUCCUUUUGCACUUUCCAAAAGCCACGUGGGCUUUCCCCUUUGGCCCAGAUAAAGUGUUCUCGUGCCCAAACAUUUCGGGAAACAUCUGGAACCCCUUCCGGUGAAUUCCGGAACCCUUCCGAAGAUCAAACACUACUAUCCACAUAUCAACCUUUACUUCCGGACCAUUCCGGAGUUCCUUGUCAUAUCUGUGAAUUCAUCCAAAACUCCGAACAACAUUCGGUCACCAACAUACAUAACUCAUAGUACUAUAUCGUCAAUCGAACGUUAAGCGUGCGGACCCUACGGGUUCGAGAACUAUGUAGACAUGACCGAGACACCUCUCUUGUCAAUAACCAAUAGCGGGACCUGGAUGCCCAUAUUGGCUCCUACAUAUUCUACGAAGAUCUUUAUCAGUCAGACCGCAUAACAACAUACGCUGUUCCCUUUGUCAUCGGUAUGUUACUUGCCCGAGAUUCGAUCGUCGGUAUCUCAAUACCUAGUUCAAUCUCGUUACCGGCAAGUCUCUUUACUCAUUCCGUAAUACAUCAUCCCGCAACUAACUCAUUAGUUGCAAUGAUUGCAAGGCUUAUAGUGAUGUGCAUUAGCGAGUGGGCCCAGACAUACCCACUAGUAGAAAAAGAGUCAAAUGUGAAGCACAUUAGUGCCGGUUUGAAUUUGAGCCGGCACUAAUGUGUACAUUAGUGUCGGUUCCAACAGCUAGCCGGGCCGCUCUCGUUAGUACCGGUUCGUGGCGAACCUUUAGCACCGGUUCGUGCCACGAACCGGUACUAAAGUGAGUGGUGGCAGGGUGUUGUCAGUCCGGGGCCCCUCCAGCACCUUUAGUAUCGGGUCGUAUCACGAACCGGUACUAAAGGUCGUCCUACAUAGACCCUUCGUCCACCCGAGCUCGCUCUGUUCUUCCCCUUUCCCCUCUCCUCUCUGUUCUUUUCCCUCUUCCUCUCAAGCUCAUCACACAUUUUUCCCAAAAUUUGUCAAGAUUUGAAGGCCCCCAUCCAUUCAAAUGAUCACAAAGGUUAGCAACUUUGUCCUUUCAUCUCUCAUUGCUAGAUUAGCUCGUGCAAUGCUUUAUAUAGUGAUUGAUUUUUGAGUUUACUAAUUUGGGAGGAAUUAUAUAUAUGUGCUAGUAUUUGAUUUAUAUGCAAUCUGAGGUCAAAAAUAACACUUAGUUUGCAUAUGUAGGUGUGGUUUACUUAGUGCCUUCUAAAUCUCCGUCGUAACCACCGUCGAUCGCCCGCAAUGUCCCGUCACCGGCACCACCUUGUGGUGAGCCUCUUGUUCAUGAAUGUUUUAUAUAAAAAAAUUGAUAUUUGUGUGAUUUGGAUAUAUAGUUACUCGUAUAAUUAUCUUACCCAUACGUUGUUUGUUAUACAUAGUGCCAUGGUUUUGAUAUCCGUCCCCGUCAGCCCUCGUCCAGGUUAUGAUUCGGAUGUGGUAUAUUCUCUUUUAAAACUAUUCAUUGCAUUUCGUGUUUAUGACAAAUUAUGCCCAUCAAGUUGACAUAGAUAUUUGUAUGUAGGAGGUAGUUGAACCGGAAAUUCCAACCGACCCUAUUGUCGAGAGGUUAAAUUUAGUUGAAAGAGAAAAUGAGGAUUUGAAGGAAAAAUUGAAAAGAAUUGAGGGGGAGAAGAUGGAAUUGGAGUUGCAUGUUGCCGAUGUCGUCGAUGAUCACAAGAUUAAGAUGGAGAAAAUGUGCUUGAAGAUUAGAAAGAUUAGAAAAUAUGCCAUUCAUAGUGAGGCUUGGUAUCAUUAUGCUGUUGGAUCAAUUGUUACCUUAGUUGCGAUCUUGAUCGCAUUUGUUGUUGCAUUUAAAUUCUUUAGCUAGAGAGUUAUUUGUUUGUUGCAUUUAAGUGUUGUAUGAUUUUUAUGUAUUGUAUUAAUUUGAUGUUUUCGGUGCUGUGUAUUGAAGAUGAGCCGGCAAUGGAUGUACGAUGACCGAUGCUCUCCUGAGUUCAUUAAUGGCGUGCGCACUUUUCUGCUUGCGGCUGAGGCAAACAAGCGAGCGGAUGGUUUUAUGCCUUGUCCAUGUGCUAGCUGUAAGAAUGGUCACAAUUACUCUACAUCAAGAACCAUUCACGUCCACCUGUUUGAGUCCGGUUUCAUGCCCCACUAUAAUGUUUGGACCAAGCAUGGAGAAAGAGGGGUUAUGAUGGAAGACAAUGAAGAAGAAGAGGACGGCGACAACUAUCCUGGCCAUGGGUUCCCUGAAUACGAUGAUACAACAAUGAGGGAAGAAGCUGAGUCGGUAAUGCGGGAAGAAGCUGAGCCAGCAAUGCGGGAAGAAGCUGAAGAAGAGGCAUCGGAUGAGCCCGUUGAUGAUCUAGGUCGGGCCAUUGCCGAUGCAAAGAGAAACUGCGCAAGUGAUUUGGAGAAGAAGAAGUUGCAGCGCAUGUUAGAGGAUCACAAAAAAUUGUUGUACCCGAAUUGCGUAGGUGACAAGAAAAAGCUGGGCACCACACUGGAAUUGCUGCAAUGGAAGGCAGAGAAUGGUGUAUCUGACAAGGGAUUUGGAAAGUUGCUGGUAAUGAUAAAGGAUAUGCUUCCAAAGGACAACGAAUUGCCCGAGAGUACGUACGAAGCAAAGAAGGUUGACUGCCCUCUAGGGUUAGAGGUGCAGAAGAUACAUGCAUGCCCUAAUGAUUGCAUCCUCUACCGCGGUGAGUACGAGGAUUUGAACGCUUGCCCGGUAUGCGGUGCAUUGCGCUAUAAGAUCAGCCGUGAUGACCCUGGUGAUGUCGAGGGCGAGCGCCCCAGAAAGAAGAUUCCUGCCAAGGUGAUGUGGUAUGCUCCUAUAAUACCAAGGUUGAAAUGUUUGUUCCAAAACAAAGAGCAUGCCAAGGCGAUGCGAUGGCACAGAGAAGACCGUAAGAAAGACGGAAAGUUGAGAGUACCCACUGACGGGUCGCAGUGGAGAAAAAUCGAAAGAAAGUACGGGAAGGAGUUUGCAGAUGACGCAAGGAACGUAUGGUUUGGUCUAAGCGCAGAUGGCAUUAAUCCUUUUGGGGAGCAGAGCAGCAAACAUAGCACCUGGCCUGUGACUCUAUGUUUGUAUAACCUUUCUCCUUGGUUGUGCAUGAAGCGGAAGUUCAUUAUGAUGCCAGUGCUCAUCCAAGGCCCUAAGCAACCCGGCAACGACAUUGAUGUGUACCUAAGGCCAUUAGUUGAAGAACUCUUAAAACUGUGGAAUGGAACAGGUGUACGUGCGUGGGAUGAGCACAUGGGGGAAGAAUUUGACCUAAAGGUGUUGUUGUUCAUGACCAUCAAUGAUUCGCCUGCUCUCAGUAACCUUUCAGGACAGACAAACAAGGGAUACCACGCAUGCACGCACUGUUUGGACGAUACCGACAGUAUAUAUUUGGCUAAUUGUAAGAAGAAUGUGUACCUGGGACAUCAUCGAUUUCUUCCGAGCAAGCAUCCCGUAAGAAAGAAAGGCAAGCAUUUCAAAGGUGAGGUGGAUCACCGGACGAAGCCUCGCCACCGUACUGGUGCUGAUGUACAUGAUAUGGUCAACGAUUUGAAGGUGGUCUUUGGAAAGGGUCCUGGUGGACAACCUGUUCCGAAUGACGCUGACGGACGCGCACCCAUGUGGAAGAAGAAAUCUAUAUUUUGGGACCUACCCUAUUGGAAAGACCUAGAGGUCCGCUCCGCAAUCGACGUGAUGCACGUGAUGAAGAAUCUUUGUGUGACCCUGCUUGGCUUCUUGGGCGUGUAUGGGAAGACAAAAGAUACACCUGAGGCACGGGAGGACCAGCAACGUAUGCACGGAAAAGACGGCAUACAUCAGGGUCAUGCAAGCUACGCUCUUACCAAAGAAGAGAAGGAAAUCUUCUUUGAAUGCCUACUCAGUAUUAAGGUACCGUCUGGCUUCUCGUCGAAUAUAAAGGGAAUAAUAUAACAUGGCAGAGAAAAAGUUCCAGAACCUAAAGUCUCAUGACUGCCACGUGAUUAUGACGCAACUGCUUCCGGUUGCAUUGAGGGGGCUUCUACUGGAAAACGUUCGAUUAGCCAUUGUGAAGCUAUGUGCAUUUCUCAAUGCAAUCUCUAAGAAGGUAAUCGAUCCAGAAAUCAUACCAAGGUUAGAGAAUGAUUUGGUGCAAUGUCUUGUCAGUUUCGAGUUGGUGUUCCCACCAUCCUUCUUCAACAUCAUGACGCACGUCCUAGUUCACCUAUGCGAAGAGAUUAACAUUUUGGGUCCUGUAUUUCUACACAAUAUGUUCCCCUUUGAGAGGUUCAUGGGAGUCUUAAAGAAAUAUGUUCAUAACCGUGCUAGGCCAGAAGGAAGCAUCUCCAAGGGCCAUGAAAAUGAGGAGGUCAUUGAGUUUUGUAUUGACUUUAUUCCUGACCUUAAGCCGGUUGGUGUUCCUGAAUUGCGGCAUAAGGGCAGACUGGAUGGAAAAGGUACGCUAGGAGGGGAACAAAUAAUAUGUAUGGACGGACAUUCUCUCACUGAAGCACACUACACAGUUCUACAGAAUUCCGCCUUGGUGGCUCCGUAUAUGGAUGAACACAAGAAUUUGCUACGCUCCAAACACCCGGAGCGGUCUGAUGACUGGAUUACACACGAACAAACCAGGAGUUUCGCCAGCUGGUUGCAGACACGUACCAUGCAUGACACCUCUAUUGAAGAUGACCUAUACUUGCUGUCCCAGUUACCAUCUUUGAAUAUAAUAACUUUCAAAGGGUACGAGAUAAAUGGUAAUACAUUUUACACAAUCGCCCAAGAUAAGAAGAGCACCAACCAAAACAGUGUUGUCCGCUUUGAUGCAGAAACCAAGACGGGAAAGGAAACAUAUUAUGGUUAUAUAUAGGACAUAUGGGAACUUGACUAUCGACGUGGUUUGAAGGUCCCUUUGUUUCGGUGCAAAUGGGUAAAUAUGACACGAGGCGGGGUAACGGAAGACUCACAGUAUGGAAUGACAACAGUGGAUCUCAACAAUCUUGCGUAUGCAGACGAACCAUUCGUCCUAGCCAAUGAUGUGGCACAGGUUUUCUAUGUGAAGGACAUGUCUACCAAGCCAAGAAAAAGAAAAGAUAAGGAAGCGAAUGCAUCGUACGAUGAGCCAAAGCGGCACAUAGUUCUUUCUGGGAAGACAAACAUCGUGGGAGUGGAUGACAAGACAGACAUGUCAGAAGAUUAUGAAAAGUUUGAUGAAAUUGCUCCAUUCACAGUGAAUAUUGACCCGAGCAUCCCGUUAAAUGAUGAAGAUUUUCCAUGGUUACGGCGCAAAGGGACACAUGCAAAGAAAAAGUUUCACACCCAAAGAUCUGGGAUGUGAUCGGCUUCACUAUCAUCACUUUCUUCUGUGUUUCCCACCCAGGAGGGAAUCUCUGUAAUAGUUAGGGUAGUUAUGUGUUUUGGCAUUUGAAACGCGAAGAAAUUUUAUGUCCAAACAAAUUCUUUCAUGCCUUUACUGAUUUUUAAAGUUAAGUUAUUCACAAACUAGUGAUUCACACUAAUUUCAAAUAAUUCAAAAUUUAAACUAUUCAAAUUUGAAAACUACGGGCACUAACAGAAAGUUUGUAAUUUUUUGUACCUAAAGCAAAAAUAUUCACAAAGAAACUCUAAAUACAUAAAAAACAACUCAAAAAUAAAUAAAGCAAAAAAAUAAAAAAAGCCCGCCUACUGGGCCAGAGCGGCCUGCAUACGACUAGAAACCCAACCUGUUGUUUGGCCAGGAUGCAGGCCCGCAAAGGCCCAGUAGGCCCACAGGGCAGCACAGAACAUGUAGGCCCAGUAGGCCAGCUUUGGAGAGGAGCUCGAGAGAGCUACCGCACGGGGGGUUAUAAACCAGUGCGGACGCUCCUCGGCUAGCGAGGUGGAACUAAACUUGCCGCACCGCACCUGCGCCAGCGCACCCCCUUUAGUACCGGGUGGUGGCACCAACCGGUACUAAAGGGGGGGCCUUUAGUACCAGUUGGAGCCACCACCCGGUACUAAAGGGGGUGCGCUUCCCGCCGCUUGGCCUGGCCAAAACAGGCCUUUAGUACCGGUUGAUGGCUCCAAACGGUACUAAAGGUCCAUCCUAUAUAACUAAACACUUCAAAAAUUUCAGUUUCUCAUCUGCUUCUUCUCCUCUGCCUCGUCGCCCGCCGCCCCCGUCUCCAUAUCCCUCGUCGCCGCCCCUGUCGCCGCCCCGUCCCCGUUGUCGUCGCCCCGUCGUCCCCAUCCCCGUCAUCCUCGUCAUCACCGCCGCCCCGUCCCGGCCUGUCUUGUGUCGUCCCCGUCCCCAUCAUCGCCGCCCCGGCCCGUACGUCCCCGUCCCCGUCGUCGCCGCCCCGUCCCUGUCCCCGUCGUCGCCAUCCCCGUCGUCGCCGCGCCCGUCGCUGUCCCCGUCACCGCCCCCCAUCGCCUNNNNNNNNNNNNNNNNNNNNNNNNNNNNNNNNNNNNNNNNNNNNNNNNNNNNNNNNNNNNNNNNNNNNNNNNNNNNNNNNNNNNNNNNNNNNNNNNNNNNNNNNNNNNNNNNNNNNNNNNNNNNNNNNNNNNNNNNNNNNNNNNNNNNNNNNNNNNNNNNNNNNNNNNNNNNNNNNNNNNNNNNNNNNNNNNNNNNNNNNNNNNNNNNNNNNNNNNNNNNNNNNNNNNNNNNNNNNNNNNNNNNNNNNNNNNNNNNNNNNNNNNNNNNNNNNNNNNNNNNNNNNNNNNNNNNNNNNNNNNNNNNNNNNNNNNNNNNNNNNNNGAAUUGUUAGAAAUUUUUUUGUUUUUUAGUUAUAGAAAUAGUUAUUAAAAAGUUAGAAUUGUUACAAAUUUUUCUGUUUUUUAGUUAUAGAAAUAGUUAUAAAAAAGUUAGAAAUUUUUCUUUUUUUUAGUUAUAGAAAUAUUAGAAAUGUUAUACAAAUGUUAGUUAUAUAUAUAGAAAUGUUAUAAUUUUUUUCUUUUUUUAGUUAUAGAAAUAUUAGAAAUGUUAGUUAUAUAGCAUUGUUAGAAAUGUUAUAGGAAUGUUAGUUAUAAAGAAAUGUUAGAAAUUUUAGUUAUCAAAAUCCAAUCAUUAAAAAAAUGUUACUUUUGCGGGCAUAUAGCUAGUAUUUGUUCUCGAUGAUGCCCGGCCCGCAUCCUCGCCGUCGACCCGUCCGCGACGACGUCUGGCUGACCCAUGUCUGGGACUGGGCUCCGCCGGGCUGGCACUGGGAGGUGCUGCCUGGAGGGGGGCGCCGCUUGAUGAGGAACCCGGCCUUGGGUCCCGUCGUCGACCCUGAUCUCGUUUGGUGGCGUUCGCGUGGGCCAGUUUCGGUGCGGAGGGAGCCGGCCCCGCCGAAGGUGGUACGUCGUCGUGUCAGGGAGGAGGACGAGCACGUCCAUCGGUACAUGGUUGCGUUAGAGGGUGGCAGGUUCUCCAAUACCUGGCAGUUUCUUCAGGGAUCUCACUUCAGCUAUGAUCCUGUGAGGGUUCCUUCUCGUUGGGUGUCCACCACCCGCGCCGCAUGAACCGCGAGUGUCCUAGAUUCUUCUGUAGUAUUCGAUCUUUAUUAGUUACCUAGCCAGUGAUGUAUUCGAUAUAUAAUAUUCGAGACGAUGUAUUCGAGCUUAUAUAUUAUUCGAGACGAUAUAUUCGAGAUUAUAUCUAUUAUUCGAGACGAUGUAUUCGAGAUUAUAUCUAUUAUUCGAGACGAUGUAUUCGAGAUUAUAUCUAUUAUUCGAGACGAUGUAUUCGAGAUUAUAUCUAUUAUUCGAGACGACGUAUUUGAGAUUAUAUUCGAUGAUGCUUAUUAUGUACUAUGAUUGAUUCAGUUUUUCCUUAUUAAUUGAUUGCAUCCAUGCAUUGUAAUUUGAAUAUAUUUCUUUUGGAUUAGUUAAACAAAACCUAUGGCGGACAAUACCGGCAGAGAGGGAGAAGAGGCCCUAUUCAAUAUCAUACGCAAUCCUCGCAGGCCAGAUGAUGAUUUGAAUGAAGAAUAUUAUGACGGCUCCGAAUAUCUAAACAACACCGGGGAGGGUGAUAUGAUAUUCGAUCGCGACAACCGAAUUGAUGAAGUCAUGAACUAUGAACAUGACGAAGAAAAUGUUGAUCUUGAAACAACAAAGACCGACGAGGUAUAUAUAUUUAUAUAAGCAGGCAUCUGGUGAUCAUCACAUGUUUUAAAUGACUUGAAGAUAUAUUAACGAAUCGAUCUUUCUUCUUUCAGCCAUCCGAAUCGAGCAAAUCUUCAGGCAACAGGCCGAAACGAGGCCCGAACAAAAAGUUGAAGGAGGGCGUAAAGUACAAUAUCGAGGCAAUCAGACCUAAUGGCGAACCAUUAGCGCCUAAGAAGAUUGCGGACAAGUUCGUUCGUCAGUGCGGAGUUCUUGUGAAGGACCAACUCCCGGUCUCCCUUCAAGAAUGGAGAGAGCCAGCAAAGCCACGUCCAGGAGUUACUUUUGUCGACGACAGACAAAAACAUUUGCUUUGGGAAACGCUCAUGGAACAUUUCACCCUACCAAAUCAUUUCACAGAUGCAGAUGUGGAGAAAGUCAAGGACGCUGCUCUUAGGAAGAUGGCGGUUGCAUUCCAGAACCACAAGAUUCGUGAAUGGUCCAAGUACGUCAACGGAGGAAGGAAGACUCCAAUAUUCGAGGGAACACUAGAGAACCAAAGUGCUCAUUGGGACGAUUUCGUGAAAUUCAAGGAUUCGGAAUUAUCUAAGGAACGGUCGAGAAUAAACAAGGCCAAUGCCGCAAAAAAGGAUAAGUUCCAUAAGCUGGGGCCAGGUGGCUAUGCGGUGGGAAUGCCUUAGUGGGAUAAGUCUGAGAAAGAGAUGCUGGAUGCAAGUGUCACUCCAGAAACAUUGAGCUGGCCCCCCAGGUGCAGGACUUGGUUCUAUGCGCAUGGAGGGGGAGUUGGACCCGAAGACAGGCAAAGUUUCGAAGAAGGCAUGUCUGGACGGAGCCGAAGAUAAGCUACUUGUUGCAAUAGAAGAGGCUUGAUCGGGGUUGUUCGAGCCCAACAGAGAGAACGACGAGCUUACGCGUGCCCUGGGAAAUCCUGAACACCCAGGAAGAACACGGGGCAUGGGUGCUAUUCCAUGGUAUGAGGGGUUUUCGGACUGGAACGCCGACUACAGAACCCGUGCGAGAAAGAAGAUUAUGGAGGAGAAGAAGAGGAAUAGGAGGAGGAGCAUAGGAAGCUAGACUAUGAAUGCCUUCAAGGCCUAGAAUCAGCGCACGCGGACUUGGCAGUCAAAUUCCAGCGGCAGCAGGAGCAGAUCGACUCACUUAGCCAGCAAAGGGGGUCUCAGCAGCUAGCGGAUGAUCCACCAUUGGAUAGCACCGUCCCAUCCAUGCCGAGAAGCAGUGUGGGUUCCACCCCGGGCGACGCAUUGCUGGAUAGCUACCUAGUGGAUGACAUCAUGGAGAACACUAACUGCGAGCUACACUUCAAAAUGAAGAACAUAUCCAUGAAGGUGGCGGACACCCUUGCUUUUACAAAUCCCCCCGAUGCAACCUUCCAUUGCAACCCGAUUCCAGCGGGCUAUGCUCGUGUCUUGGUUGAUGAGGUGGUGGACCAAUAUUCGGGGCUAGAGCUUGACAUUCCUGGAGGUGAUGAUGAGCACACACUAGGAGAGGCCAACCAUCGUAUCAUCCUAUGGAGAAAGGAUUGCAUCAUCUUUCGAAGGCCACCAACACCGUGUCAUCCAACUCCUCGUCGCAGUCCGCCACCGAGUCAGCAGACUUCUGCUCCUCCAAGUCCACCAACGCGUCAGACCACUCCUCCUCCAUGUCUGGCACAGCUUCAGGCCACUACUCCUCCUCCAAGUCCGGCAAAGCGUCAGGCCACUCCUCCUCCAAAUCCCGCACAGCUUCAGGCCACUCCUCCUCCAAGUACGGCACAGCUUCAGGCCACUCCUCCUCCUCCAACUCAGCCACGUCAGCCGUCUUCGCCGCCUCAGCAAUCACGGAAGAGAGCCGCCUCAGCUAUGGUGCAUAGUGGUACAAGUCGAGGUAGUACUGGAGGUACAGGCGGAGGCAAGCGAUUUCAAUAUGGUCCAAGCCUCGUGCCUCUUCCGCAGAGGCCUUACAACAAGUCCGAGGAGGAAAAUGUAGCCGUAUCGAAGGCCGAGGUGGAAGCCCAUUUUGCACAGAAACCGCCACCGCCGCCAAGGGAGAAAGUGCCUGUGGAAAAGAUUGACCACUUCAUUCGUAUGGCUAGAGCACCAGCUCCCAAGCCUGUUGACACAGACUAUGAGCGCCACAUCAAGAAGUUAAAUCGAGCACGUCUACAAAAAGAGGCGAGCUCGAGCUUGAGCAAAUCAGCUGGCAAAAGGAGCGGUAAAACUGUUCCCCAGCUGGGAGAACAGGCGGCGCAAUCAAUCCCCCCGCUUGUUGUGCCAACAACACAUGAGAGUAGGCGCGCCCAAUAUUAUUGUGGGCAAACCGUUAACGUUCCCGGGGUGGGCGAUGUGGUAAUAACCAAGGAGCAUAUUGCGCAGGCUGAAUCGAUCGGGAUCACUGUUGGACAACUCCUCGAUAUCGAGCACAUGUCUCCGACUAGAGAGGAGGAAAUAAAACGGAAAUAUGCCCGGGGCCAACCUUUGGUCGAGCCAGAGGAGGUCAAUAAGCUCCCAACGAGAAUGUAUGAAUUGCAUCAAUGGUACAUGGACAUUACCAAGAUUUCCAAUCGAGAGUCCCUCAUGGUGAAUGUCAACAAGGAGCAUUACUACCAUGAGAAAGCUGUGACCGUUGAGUAUUCAGAACUAUUUCAGCUAUACAAUAAAGACACACUCGACAAAUCUAUCGUCAGUUGCUAUUGUCUGUAAGUGAUUUCUUUCUGUAAUUUAAGUCUCAAGCUAGCUGUAGUGAUCAUUUUGAUCAAUCAUUACCUGUAAUUAUCCUCACUAUAUUCUUUUUUGUGGUAUUAUGAAGGAUGAAGAUUUAUGAAAUGAAAAAAGGUGGACGCUAUGGCAUUGGGUUCGUUGACCCAAAUACCAUUAAUGAAUACACAUGGAAAAUAGAUCCAUAUCACGCAAAAAUUGUAGAGGAAAGCAUGCUACAGUUUGUCAAGGAACUCAAAUACAUUGAAGAUAUACUACUCCCUUACAACUUCCAGUGAGUCACACUGUCUUGUACUACAAAUUCUGUUUUUCCCUACUAACUAGCUACAUGUUUUUGCUUACAUAUGCCCGCUUAAUUAAGAAAUGCAAACGUGUGUGCAUGCAGAUUUCUCUGGAUCUUGUUAAUCAUUAAAGUUGAUGAAGGAACAGUUGAAGUACUAGACUCACUACUUAAGAAAGCAAGUGACUACACCAUCGUGAAGGGGAUAGUCAACAGGUAAUUUCAAUCAUUAUUAACUAUAUCUCGGCCUAUUUAAUUAGUUCGUCAUUUCCUGAUAACAACUAUUUAAUAACACAUUUAUUGAUUUUCUUUGUCAGCGGACAGGGCUUGGGCAAAGUUCAUUAGGGCCACUACAGGCCCAUGGAAACAAAAUCUGAAAUGGUAUCGACCCAAGGUAAGUAAUUAAGUAGUACUAGCUAGCUGCCAUCUCUUUAAUUAUCAUGCUUGAUUAAUUAUUAUCUGAUCAAAUUCCAUUCUCGUAAAGGCCCUGAAGCAGGCGCCGGGGAAUGAUCUAUGUGCAUACUACGUUUGCGAGAACAUUCGCAUGAUGGCGUCCGAAAGGAGCAAAUCUCAAAGACAGGAGUGGGUACGAUAUUGAUUGUGAGAACACUAUUCACAAUUUUUACACCAUUAUCGAUAUCUAGUCACACAACUAAUACAAAUGCAUAUUGAUCUCCUUCUUAAUAGUUCAAAGAGGUGCGUGACAAGCUCCUAGCACAAGACCGCAUAGAAGCAAUUCAAGAGGAAAUAGCGGGAUUUUUGCUCGACCAGGUCAUAGAUCCCAAAGGAGAAUACUAUUACCCGCUACCGCCCCCAUGAACCACUUCCAAUUGUUAUCGUGCUCCGAAGGCACCAAUUAGCUAGGCUAAUGCCACUGGCUCCGAAGGCACCAAUUAGGACAAAUUGUAUAUAUAUAUAUAUAUGUGUGUGUGUGUGUGUGUGUGUGUGUGUGAAUUAAUUAAUGGUGGUUGUGAGACAUUCGAUGAUAUAUAUAUAUAUACAUAACGUGUACAAUAUGUAGUAUCGUAAAAUACCAGCAAACGAAAAAUAAUUAAAUGGAAAACACAAAAUUAAAUGAAAAAGAAAUCAUAAACCCAAAACCCCUCCAACCUUUUAAUACCGGUUGGUGACACCAACCGGUACUAAAGGGCUCCCUGCCCCCGAAGCUGGCUCGUGCCACGUGGUUGCCCUUUAGCACUGGUUCGUGCUGAACCGGUACUAAAGGGGGGGCCUUUAGUGCCUACACAUUAGCACCGGUUACCAAACCGGCACUAAAGGGCCUUAUGAAUCGGUGCUAUUGCCCGGUUCUGCACUAGUGACCUCUCCGACAAUCGGAGUGACAAAUCCUAAUCUCGAAAUACGCCAAACCAACAAGUACCUUUGGAGACACCUGUAGAGCACCUUUAUAAUCACCCAGUUACGUUGUGACGUUUGGUGGCACACAAAGUGUUCCUCCGGUAAACAGGAGUUGCAUAAUCUCAUAGUCAUAGGAACACGUAUAAGUCAUGAAGAAAGCAAUAGCAACAAACUAAACGAUCAAGUGCUAUGCUAACGGAAUGGGUCAAGUCAAUCACAUCAUUCUCCUAAUGAUGUGAUCCCGUUAAUCAAAUGACAACUCAUGUCUAUGGUUAGGAAACAUAAUCAUCUUUGAUCAACGAGCUAGUCAAAUAGAGGCAUACUAGUGACACUUUGUUUGUCUAUGUAUUCACACAUGUAUUAUGUUUCCGGUUAAUACAAUUCUAGCAUGAAUAAUAAACAUUUAUCAUGAUAUAAGGAAAUAAAUAAUAACUUUAUUAUUGCCUCUAGGGCAUAUUUCCUUCAGUCUCCCACUUGCACUAGAGUCAAUAAUCUAGUUCACAUCGCCAUGUGAUUUAACAUCAAUAGUUCACAUCACCAUGUGAUUAAGACCCAUAGUUCACAUCGACAUGUGACCAAUACCCAAAGGGUUUACUAGAGUCAAUAAUCUAGUUCACAUCGCUUAUGUGAUUAACACCCAAAGAGUACUGAGGUGUGAUCAUGUUUUGCUUGUGAGAGAAGUUUAGUCAAUGGGUCUGCCACAUUCAGAUCCGUAAGUAUUUUACAAAUUUCUAUGUCAACAAUGCUCUGCAUGGAGCUACUCUAGCUUAUUGCUCCCACUUUCAAUAUGUAUCCAGAUUGAGACUUUGAGUCAUGUGGAUCAGUGUCAAAACUUGCAUCAAUGUAACUCUUUAUGACGAACCUUUUGUCACCUCCAUAAUCGAGAAACAUAUCCUUAUUCCACUAAGGAUAAUUUUGACCAAUGUCCAGUGAUCUACUCCUAGAUCACUAUUGUACUCCCUUGUCGAACUCAUGGCAGGGUAUGCAAUAGGUCUGGUACACAGCAUGGCAUACUUUAUAGAACCUAUGGCUGAGGCAUAGGGAAUGACUUUCAUUCUCUCUCUAUCUUCUGCCGUGGUCGGGUUUUCUGAGCCUUACUCAACUUCACACCUUGUAACACAAGCAAGAACUCCUUCUUUGACUGUUCCAUUUUGAACUACUUCAAAAUCGUGUCAAGGUAUGUACUCAUUGAAAAACUUAUCAAGCGUCUUGAUCUAUCUCUAUAGAUCUUGAUGCUCAAUAUGUAAGCAGCUUCACCGAGGUCUUUCUUUGAAAAACUCCUUUCAAACAUUCCUUUAUGCUUUGCAGAAUAAUUUUACAUUAUCUCCGAUCAACAAUAUGUCAUUCACAUAUAUUUAUCAGAAAUGUUGUAGUGCUCCCACUCACUUUCUUGUAAAUACAGGCUUCACCGCAAGUUUGUAUAAAACUAUAUGCUUUGAUCAACUUAUCAAAGCAUAUAUUCCAACUCCGAGAUGCUUGCACCAGUCCAUAGAUGGAUCGCUGGAGCUUGCAUAUUUUGUUAGCACCUUUAGGAUUGACAAAACCUUCUGGUUGCAUCAUAUACAACUCUUCUUUAAUAAAUCCAUUAAGGAAUGCAGUUUUGUUUAUCCAUUUGCCAGAUUUCAUAAAAUGCGGCAAUUGCUAACAUGAUUCAGACAGAUUUAAGCAUAGAUACGAGUGAGAAACUCUCGUCGUAGUCAACACCUUGAACUUGUCGAAAACCUUUUGUGACAAUUCUAGUUGUGUAUAUAGUAACACUACUAUCACCGUCCGUCUUCCUCUUGAAGAUCCAUUUAUUUUUAUGGCUUGCUGAUCAUCGGGCAAGUCAACCAAAGUCCACACUUUGUUCUCAUACAUGGAUCCCAUCUCAGAUUUUAUGGCCUCAAGCCAUUUCGUGAAAUCUGGGCUCAUUAUCGCUUCCUCAUAGUUCAUAGGCUCGUCAUGGUCAAGUAACAUGACCUCCAGAACAGUAUUACCGUACCACUCUGGUGCUGAUCUCACUCUAGUUUACCUACAAGGUUCGGUAGUAACUUGAUCUGAAGUUUACAUGAUCAUCAUCAUUAGCUUCCUCACUAAUUGGUGUAGUAGUCACAGGAACAGAUUUCUGUGAUGAACUACUUUCCAAUAAGGGAGCAGGUACAGUUACCUCAUCAAGUUCUACUUUCCUCCCACUCACUUCUUUCGAGAGAAACUCCUUUUCUAGAAAGGAUCCAUUCAAAGCAACGAAUAUAUUGCCUUCGGAUCUGUGAUAGAAGGUGUACCAAACAUUUUCUUUUGUGUAUCCUAUGAAGACGCACUUCUCCGAUUUGGGUUAGAGCUUAUCAGGUUGAAACUCUUUCACAUAACUAUUGCAACCUCAAACUUUAAGAAACGACAGCUUAGGUUUCUUGCCAAACCAUACUUCAUACGGUGUCAUCUCAACGGAUUUAGAUGGUGCCCUAUUUAACGUGAAUGCAGCUGUCUAUAAUGCAUAACCCAAAAACGAUAGUGGUAGAUCGGUAAGAGACAUCAUAGAUCGCACCAUAUCUAAUAAAGUACGGUUAUGAUGUUCGGACACACCAUUACACUAUGGUGUUCCAGGUGGCGUGAGUAGUGAAACUAUUUCACAUUGUUUUAACUGGAGAACGGAGUCUUAGUCAUCUUGCCCAUGAGGCAUGGUUCGCAAGCAUCAACUGAUUCAUAAUCAAGUGAUUCCAAAAGCCCAUCAGCAUGGAUUUUCUUCAUGCGCUUUACACCAAUAUGACCUAAACAGCAGUGCCACAAAUAAAUUGCGCCAUCAUUAUUAACUUUGCAUCUUUUGGUUUCAAUAUUAUGAAUAUGUGUAUCACUACGAUCGAGAUCCAACGAAUCAUUUUCAUUGGGUGUGUAACCAUAUAAGGUUUUAUUCAUGUAAACAGAACAACAAUUUAUUCUCUUACUUAAAUGAAUAACUGUAUUGCAAUAAACAUGAUCAAAUCAUAUUCAUGCUCAACGCAAACACCAAAUAACACUUAUUUAGGUUCAACACUAAUCCCAAAUGUAUAGGAAGUGUGUGAUGAUGAUCAUAUCAAUCUUGGAACCACUUCCAACACACAUCGUCACUUCACCCUUAACUAGUCUAUGUUCAUUCUGCAACUCCCGUUUCGAGCUACUACUCUUAGCAACUGAACCAGUAUCAAAUACCGAGGGGUUGCUACGAACACUAGUAAAAUACACAUCAAUAAUCUGUAUAUCAAAUAUAUCUUUGUUCACUUUUCCAUCCUUCUUAUCCGCCAAAUACUUGGGGCGGUUCCGCUUCCAGUGACCAGUCCCUUUGCAGUAGAUGCACUUAGUCUCAGGCUUAGGACCAGACUUGGGCUUCUUCACUUGAGCAGCAACUUGCUUGCCAUUCUUCUUGAAGUUCCCCUUCUUCCCUAUGCCCUUUUCUUGAAACUAGUGGUCUUGUCUACCAUCAACACUUGAUAUUUUUCUUGAUUUCUACCUUCGUCGAUUUCAGCAUUACGAAGAGCUUGGGAAUCGUUUCCAUUAUCCCUUGCAUAUCAUAGUUCAUCACAAAGUUCUACUAACUUGGUGAUGGUGACUAGAGAAUUCUGUCAAUCACUAUUUUUAUCUGGAAGAUUAACUCCCACUUGAUUCAAGCGACUGUAGUACCCAGACAAUCUGAGCACAUGCUCACUGCUUGAGCUAUUCUCCUCCAUCUUUUAGCUAUGGAACUUGUUGGAGACUUCAUAUCUCUCAACUCGGGUAUUUUCUUGAAAUAUUAACUUCAACUCCUGGAACAUCUCAUAUGGUCCAUGACGUUCAAAACGUCUUUGAAGUCCCGAUUCUAAGCCGUUUAAGCAUGGUGCACUAAACUAUCAAGUAGUCAUCAGAUUGAGCUAGCCAAAUGUUCAUAACAUCUGCAUCUGCUCCUGCAAUAGGCUUGUCACCUAACGGUGCAUCAAAGACAUAUUUCUUCUGUGCAGCAAUGAGGAUAAACCUCAGAUCACGAAUCCAAUCCGCAUCAUUGCUACUAACAUCUUUCAACUUAGUUUUCUCUAGGAACAUAUCAAAAAUUAAAAAAGGGGAGCUAAACGCGAGCUAUUGAUCUACAACAUAGAUAUGCUAAUACUACCAGGACUAAGUUCAUGAUAAAUUAAAGUUCAAUUAAUCAUAUUACUUAAGAACUGCCACUUAGAAAGACAUCCCUCUAAUCUUCUAAGUGAUCACGUGAUCCAAAUCAACUAAACCAUAUAACCGAUCAUCACGUGAAAUGGAGUAGCUUUCAAUGGUGAACAUCAAUAUGUUGAUCAUAUCUACUAUAUGAUUCAUGCUCGACCUUUCGGUCUCAGUGUUCCGAGGCCAUAUCUGCAUAUGCUAGGCUCGUCAAGUUUAACCUGAGUAUUCUGCGUGUGCAAAAACUGGCUUGCACCCGUUGUAGAUGGAUGUAGAGCUUAUCACACCCGAUCAUCAUGUGGUGUCUGGGCACGACGAACUUUGGCAACGGUGCAUACUCAGGGAGAACACUUUUAUCUUGAAAUUUAGUGAGAGAUCAUCUUAUAAUGCUACCGUCAAUCAAAGCAAGAUAAGAUGCAUAAAAGAUAAACAUCACAUGCAAUCAAUAUAAGUGUUAUGAUAUGGCCAUCAUCAUUUUGUGCUUGUGAUCUCCAUCUCCGAAGCACCGUCAUGAUCACCAUCUUCACCGGCGCGACACAUUGAUCUCCAUCGUAGCAUCGUUGUUGUCUCGCCAAUCUUAUGCUUCCACGACUAUCGCUACCUCUUAGUGAUAAAGUAAACCAUUACAGCGCAAUUGCAUUGCAUACAAUCAAGCGACAACCAUAUGGCUCCUGCCAGUUGCCGAUAACUCGGUUACAAAACAUGAUCAUCUCAUAUAAUAAAAUUUAGCGUCAUGUCUUGACCAUAUCACAUCACAACAUGCCCUGCAAAAACAAGUUAGACGUCCUCUACUUUGUUGUUGCAAGUUUUACGUGGCUGCUACGGGCUUAAGCAAGAACCGUUCUUACCUACGCAUCAAAACCACAAUGAUAGUUUGUCAAGUUGGUGUUGUUUUAAACUUCGCAAGGACCGGGCGUAGCCACACUUGGUUCAACUAAAGUUGGAGAAACUGACAUCCGCCAGCCAUCUAUGUGCAAAGCACGUCGGUAGAACCAGUCUCGCGUAAGCGUACACGUAAUGUCGGUCUGGGCCGCUUCAUCCAACAAUACCGCUGAACCAAAGUAUGACAUGCUAGUAAGCAGUAUGACUUAUAUCGCCCAUGACUCACUUGUGUUCUACUCGUGCACAACAUCAACGCAUAAAACCUAGGCUCUGAUACCACUGUUGGGGAACAUAGUAAUUUCAAAAAAAAUCCUAUGCACAUGCAAGAUCAUGGUGAUGCAUAGCCAUGAGAAGGGAGAGUGUUGUCUAUGUAUCCUCGUAGACCGUUUGCGGAAGCGUUAUAUCAACGCGGUUGAUGUAGUCGUACGUCUUCACGUCCGACUGAUCCAAGUAUCGAAAGCACAGCACCUCCGAGUUCUGCACACGUUCGGCUCGGUGACGUCCUCGCCUUCUCGAUCCAGCAAGAGGGGCGAAGUAGUAGAUGAGUUCCAGCAGCACGACGGCGUGGUGACGGUGUUGGUGAAGAACAAUCUCCGCAGGGCUUCGCCUAAGCACUACAAAAACUAUGUCGGAGGAUAAACUAGAGGGGUUGCCGGCACACGGCUUGGUGUUUCUUGAUGUGUCUUUGGUGCUAGCCCUACCCCUCUAUUUAUAUGUUGAGCCCUGGGGUCGAAACUUGGAGUAAAAGCCUCCUCAAAGUCGGUUUCACCCGAAAGGCAAGAGUCCUUCUCGAACUCCAGGGCUAGACGCCAGGGUUCCUGGCGUCUAGCCUCUAGUCUCCGCAAAACUUCCUUUUGCACUUUCCAAAAGCCACAUGGGCUUUCCCCUUUGGCCCAGAUAAAGUGUUCUCGUGCCCAAACAUUUCGGGAAACAUCCGGAACCCCUUCCGGUGAAUUCCGGAACCCUUCCAAAGAUCAAACACUACUAUCCACAUAUCAAUCUUUACUUCCGGACCAUUCCGGAGUUCCUUGUAAUAUCGGUGAUCUCAUCCAAAACUCCGAACAACAUUCGGUCACUAACAUACAUAACUCAUAGUACUAUAUCGUCAAUCGAACAUUAAGCGUGCGGACCCUACGGGUUCGAGAACUAUGUAGACAUGACCGAGACACCUCUCUUGUCAAUAACCAAUAGCGGGACCUGGAUGCCCAUAUUGGCUCCUACAUAUUCUACGAAGAUCUUUAUCGGUCAGACCGCAUAACAACAUACGUUGUUCCCUUUGUCAUCGGUAUGUUACUUGCCCGAGAUUCGAUUGUCGGUAUCUCAAUACCUAGUUUAAUCUCGUUACCGGCAAGUCUCUUUACUCGUUCCGUAAUACAUCAUCCCGCAACUAACUCAUUAGUUGCAAUGCUUGCAAGGCUUAUAGUGAUGUGCAUUACCGAGUGGGCCCAAAGAUACCUCUCCGACAAUCGGAGUGACAAAUCCUAAUCUCGAAAUACGCCAACCCAACAAGUACCUUUGGAGACAUCUGUAGAGCACCUUUAUAAUCACCCAGUUACGUUGUGACAUUUGGUGGCACACAAAGUGUUCCUCCGGUAAACGGAGUUGCAUAAUCUCAUAGUCAUAGGAACAUGUAUAAGUCAUGAAGAAAGCAAUAGCAACAAACUAAACGAUCAAGUGCUAUGCUAACGGAAUGGGUCAAGUCAAUCACAUCAUUCUCCUAAUGAUGUGAUCCCAUUCAUCAAAUGACAACUCAUGUCUAUGGUUAGGAAACAUAACCAUCUUUGAUCAACGAGCUAGUCAAAUAGAGGCAUACUAGUGACACUCUGUUUGUCUAUGUAUUCACACAUGUAUUAUGUUUCCGGUUAAUACAAUUCUAGCAUGAAUAAUAAACAUUUAUCAUGAUAUAAGGAAAUAAAUAAUAACUUUAUUAUUGCCUCUAGGGCAUAUUUCCUUCAGCGCUACCUUAGUUGAAGGGCUAGCCCUCUCCCAGAUGUGGUCCAUCACUGGUCUCUAGCCCAGUGUUGUGGGACCGAACUCACCUCGCGCCCGGCAGCAGGACCAAGCUUGUCUCGCGCCUGGCAAUAGGACUGGACUUCUCUCACGCCUGGUGCAGUAGGAUGGGACGAUGGAGGCCGGUUGUGACCGGCCUAUUGGUCUCGGCGCUGGGGGCCGCCUAGGGGUGCGAAAGGCGGGACCUUUUCACUCGUCUCUUUGGUUGGAGUAGCCGCGGGUCUCGAAUGAGGUGGUGUCAAGGCCUUUGAUGCCGGGGCGGCGGCCUUGGUGGAGGUAGCGCGGUGCUCAUCGGCCUAGCCCGUGGCUUGGUGCUGCCUGGUGACCAUGGCCAUGUAGGCGGUAUGGUAGCCGGGGUGUGACGUUCGGUGGCGGUGAGUGUUGGUCAGGGUGAAAACCCGCUCUAUCUUUGAACAAACCAUCGGCGGUGAAGCUCAUUCCCUUUUUGAAGGCGUCAUCGGACCUUCAUUGCCCGUCGUGUUCCUCCAGGGAAACUCUGACCCUCGGGUCAGACGGUGGCGGCACUCCAGCGUCGUUCCCUUCCAGAAGGCACCGCCUUGGUGUCCAUGGUUCAUCGUAUGCGGCUUCAUCUCUUUUCGGUGGCGUGUUCACGGGUGAGGACUCCGGUAGCUCUUGUAGUGCUUGGGGUGAUGUUGCCGCGCUCAGUGCCUUUCUAUAUCUUGCCUUGGGUGUGUGUGUUGUGUUGGCGUGCGUUUGUACUGGGUAGUUGAUGAUCAUUGCUUUAUAUAUAAAGCGGGGUGAAAGCCUUUUUCGGUAAGUAACAAAGAUUACAUCCAAAUCCAUUGAUCACCUAGCGACAACUACAAGCAUUGGAGUGAGCGAAAGGCGCGCCUCUAUCAUAGCCCCUCGCUAAUUGGAGCCCGGCAAAACUUCUUCAGGUAGUCAGUCGGGAAGUCAUCGUGUUAAAAUCCCACAGCCCACAGGACCAUCGUCACAUUCGUGCUACCAGGGAGCGCAUAAAUGGUUUGGGGGAGAGGCAAGAAGCAUUGCGGGUCGAGCAGCAAGUGCUCUUCAUUCGUCUAGCAUCUCUCUAUAAUAUAAGAGUCCGUAGACUCUUUUUAGUUUUCUAAGGUUGGCUUAAAUUCAAUAAAUGUCUGGAGAAAUUAGUUUUCAUAUCAGAUGUUCUUUUGUCUUAGUUUGAUUCCGAUCUACUCCUAGUCGAUGGUCUUACACCAUUGGGAUACUUCACAUAAACUGGAGUACAUAUAUGAGAGACCGGUGCUAAGACCUUUUAUCGAGAUAUCUUCCAGAUUCUUAGGGUCAUUGCUCCGGAUCUCCCCUUCCCCCUGCGGGUGCGAAAGCAGUUGGUUCAGUAGUUUCAGAGCAAAGCAAUUCCAACAUAAACUGACACUUUUGGAUCCUCCAAGCCUUUCAAUAGACCCAUAAACUAAAAACUAGAACUACUAACACAGGUUGAAGAGGAUGCAUAUGAACAGCAACUGCUGCCGAUGAAGAGAAUCGUAGAUUGGAAGGAUCCAACCCGAGGCACACAAAUGAAGACAAGAUCCAAGCUGUUUCACAGAAGACCGGCACCGACUGAAUCCUACGAGAUCCGCUAGAGACACACCGCCACAUGCCCUUCAACUAUGAUAACCGGGUCGUCAAAUGCGGAGUAGGCAAGGAGAACCUUAUUCCAUCUCUGGGGAGUUAUCGUCACCUCAUCUUACUGAGCAGUACACAAACCCUAACUGAAUGGAAAAUGCACAAAAAUGAGAAAGAUCCUUCCCGCCGCCAAGGGCAACAGUCCAUCAUGCUUCCUUGGCCCGGAGACCACAGGAGGCUGCUGGACAGGUGGCAACACAAACAGGAGGCAGAGGAACCAUAAUUGCAUGUGCGCCUGAAGUCGGAAAACAAAAAGGUAUGAGCACAAGUCUAUCGAUCACGCCGCCCGCGAUGAUGCUCUUUCCACCGCUCCAGGCCAGCCCGGGGUGCGGCAUCAUCAGUGCACCAACGUCAGGCAGUUCCCUUUCUAGCUACAUGCGCAAGAUGUCAUCACAGGCCAAAGGCUUCGAGGUACGUACGUCGCUCCAAACUCAUUCAUGACCACUUUGCUAACCAACACACAUACGCACGUACAUGUGGCUAGAGAUAGAUAGAUAGAUAGAUAAAGAGUGUGACUUAUGUUUGAGCAUGAGAGACUGUAUACCGGUGAACAUGACAUUUUGGUGACGUUAUAAAAACCUUCAAUUCGCAACGCAAAAUAUUAAGUAUUGCAUUCUUUCUCAUACUUAACUAUUGGAUGUAAUAAUGUCUUAUAUUAUGAGAUGGAGGGAGUAUGUCAUAAUUAUGCAAGUCGGAAACCCUUUGGGGGGAAAAGCAGUUUUUCAUCGGAUCAUCAAUUACGUGUAGCCAAAGUAAGGGAAAUGAAAUUAAGUGACAAUAUCUUCAACAGCAAAGAGUAAAUGAAUUACAAGACAACAAGCCCACAUUAGGUAAGCAGUACGCACACACAAACCAUGGCCGGGUCGACACGGCAAAUUUUUACAGCACACACAACACAUAAACUAACGCGCGCUGCCCACGCGGCUAGCCAGAUUGGAUGGGCUUGUCCUGUGAUUCUUCUGCUGCUGGCUUUGGCUCCGGCUCCCCCGUGCCUACAUUCGGCACCGGCACGCCGUUGGACGAGCUCUCCUCAUCGGCACAAGGUCCUUCGUUGCUGCUACCAGUGCCGACACUCCUUCCCCGUAGCCGUACCUGUAGUAUUGCUGGCCACGGCACACGUUGAUUCAUUUUUCUCCAGCGUAUGCAUGUGUGGUUUGCUGAAAGGGAAGUUGGUGCAAGUCUAUCGAUCAUGUGGCGCGACGAUGUCCUUUUCACCGCUCCACGCCAGCCCGCGGCACGCGCCCCAUCAAUACAACAAGGUCAGACACUUUCCUUUCCAGCUAUGCUGGCAAGAUGUCAUCACCGGCCAAAGGCUUCAAAGUACGUAUGUCGCUCCAAACUCAUUCAUGACCAUUUUGCUAACCGACGCACAUAUGUAUGCACAUGUAGCGACAGAGCCAGAGAUAUAGAUAGAUAGAUAGAUAGAUAGAUAGAUAUAUAUAUAUAGAGAGAGAAAUAGAGUAUGACUUCCAUUUAAGCGUGAGAGAUCGUAUGACCCGUUAAUAUGACAUGUUCGUGACAUCAUACGAAGGUCUAAUUUGCAACGCAAAAUAUUAUGUACUACAGUGUGCAUCACAAUAAUACAGAAGUCGGAAACCUUUUUGAGAAUAAAUGCGGUUUUUUCACCUGAUCAUCAAUGAUGAGUAGCCAAAUUAAGCAAAACCAAAUUAAGCGACAAUAACUUCAACAGCAAAGAGUACAUGAAUUAUUAGAGGACAAGCCCACAUUAGGUAAGCAGUACAUGAAUUACUAGAGGACAAGCCCACAUUAGAUAAGCAGUACGCACACACAAACCAUGGCCGGAUCGACACGGCAAAUUAUUACAGUACGCAGGAUGCAGAAGCUAACGCGCGCCGCCCACGC
rnacentral:lncRNA from 1 species